UACGUUACCACCAGUUACCACCAACUGUUCAUCAUUAACUUUCCAAACAGUUUCGUCAACACACAACUUUGUUGUUUUAACAAAGAACUUGAUAUAAACAGCAGUCAUUAGACGCACCACAUCACCAUCAUCCGACUCCGACUUACGAACGAACAUGACGGGCGUGCCUUUUCCCAAAAAUUGGGGAAUCGACAUGUGCUGUAACACGGCGUUUGGGCAUUGAAGGUUUCCAAUAUUGUUCAAGUAUACGGCUCCGGCCCCGAGGAGAGGAUUCUUAAUAAUGUACCUCUCACCAAUCCUCAGCGGAUUGCCAUCUUGGUCAUAAACUUCAGGGAGUACAAGAUUAUCAUGACAAGUUGUGGGGAGGACAAUUGGAUUCUCAGAAGUGAAAGAUCGAGCAAAGGCAACCAAAGAGAGGGUACUUGAAAGCAAAAGGAAACUCAAAAUAUUAAUCGACUUCAUCUUUCUUUGUGUGUUUUGCUUGCUAUGAGUUUAUGUCCAAUUUAUAGAGCUGCUAAGGGCAUUUUUGGCAAACAAAAAAUAAUACCUACUACCGCCUUAGACACCUCAAAUAAGUUUUAUUCAUUUUAAAUACCUAAUAUCAAGCUUCAAUAUUAAGUCACUCUUUACACUUUUUUUUUUUUUUUUAACGAUCAACAAAAAUAUAUACAUAAUAUGUGUUACACUGAAUAACAUGCAGGUAAAGUAUCAAAUUCGGGUAAGGAAUUCUAUUGACCGAGGGAAAGGUAUUAGGCAUCCCUCGAGUUCCGUGGUUCUAGCACGGUCGCUUUUAUUGACUUAUACUUGACUUUUAUUAUUAUUAUUAUUAUUAUUAUUAUUAUUAUUAUUAUUAUUAUUAUUAUUAUUAUUAUUAUUAUUAUUAUUAUUAUUAUUAUUAUUAUUAUUAUUAUUAUUAUUAUUAUUAUUAUUAUUAUUAUUAUUAUUAUUAUUAUUAUUAUUGUUUGGAUAAAUUGUGUUUUAGGCCAUGGUUUACUUAUAUUUUUUAUUGUGCAUUUUUAUUUGGUCUCGACCUAUAUACGUAACCGCAUUCUUGAUCUUGGCGUUUAGAGACAUAACUGUCUUCUUUGCAUCGCACCUAAUGAUUGUCUAUAUGUCUUACUUUGAAUUAAUAAAAGUUAUCUAUAUUUUUUACCAAGGUGUGUCACCGCAUUCCUUGAGUUUCUUUUACAGCCUCAAAAAGAUGUGUAACCACAUUCUUAAUUGAAACAAAUAUUUUUAACAGUCCUAAAAUUCAUAUAGUCAUUAAAAAAUUAAUAUUUUGUCCCUUAUAAAUAAAACCAAAUAAAAUAAAAUAAAUCUAAAUGUUGAGAAUAGAAUAUAUAAUUCUGACAUCAUUUCUAUAUCCUUUUAUUUUAUGCUAUUAAUAAUAAUUUCUUUAAAUUUUUUAUCCUAACUAUAUCUACUUUAUCAUUAUUAUCUAAAUCAAGACAAGAACAAUGUCAUGAUCCGUUCAUUUUUAAGAGGUCACAACUAGCGAAUAGAAAUAAAUAAAAUAAAAAGUAAUCAUUGUUAAAGCUACCUUCAUUCAUUAAACAGAAAUAUAAUAGCUAACAAAUUGUUCAUUUCAAUCAAAUUACGAAUAAAUUAAAAAAAAUAGGAAAACAUGUCAUAAAACUACAUCAAAUUCCAUAAAUAGAUUAAAGAAAUAAGGAGAAGUUGAAUACCGCAAAAUCUUGACCGAACCUUGAUUAGAACACCCACAAAUUUUUGUAGGUAGUUUGUGAUGGUAUAUAUGUUGUGUUUAAAUAAAAAUAGUAAUGAAAAGGGAAGAAAAGAUGUGAAUGUGUUGGUAAAUUUUUUAUGAUCACCCCCUUUGGUGUGCAGCGUGUGCGUGUGCGUGUGUGUUGUGUAUUUUGUUUUUGUAGUCUUUUUCUUCUUUUCGUUUUUCUGUACGUUUUUUGGUAUGUAGGAAAGAUUGUGUAGUGUCUGUAUAGGUAUGUGUGGGUAUUGUAGUAUGUAUAUAGGUGUAAGGGAGGGGCCGUACGUGUGUGGAGAGGGAAAAUGGUGGGGUGGUGAGUGUAGUGGGGUGUAGUAUAGGGAUAGUGGGGUUGUGGUGGGUAGGGGUGUUCAUGGUUUGGUUUGGGUCGGUUAUUGGUCAAAACCAAAAUCAAACCAACUUAAUCGGUUUUAAAAUUAUCAAAACCAAACCAAACCAAAUAUAAUAUACAUUUAUCGGUUUGGUUGUUUUCGGUUUUGGUUUGGUUUGGUUCGGUUAUUCGGUUAUUAACCAUACAUAAAAAUAAAAUAAACAAUUCAUUCAAAACAUGAAAAAAGUGACAACAAUCCAUUCAAACAAAAAAAUAGUUAGAAUGACUGGCAUUACAGAACUUUCGAUUAUAGAAUUUACUGAAUAAAACUUCAAAAUUCACUAUUUUGGCAUUGAAGGAAGAGACAUGACAUUUUUAGUCCCACAAAGAAUGUUCAUAGACACUCAUAUAUAUGAAACCAAUAAGAACCAAACCAAAACCCAAAUUAAAUCGGUUCAUUUAAUCGGUUUGGUUUGAUUUUUUCGAUUUGGAUCGGUUUUUAUCCAAACCAUGAACACCCCUAGUGGUGGGUAUUGUGCAGGUUACUUAGAUUAUUAUUUUUUAUUUUUUAAAAGAAAGGAAUAAUAAUUAACUAUAUAUAUAAAUAAUAUAUUAUAAUAAAAUAUCAAUUAAUUAUUUUAAAUUAAUAUAAAUCUAAAAAAAAGUCAAAUAGCUAGUAAAAAAAUAUAAUUAAAAAAUACUAGCUUAUUUAUAAAAACUUAAUUUUAAAAUAAUAUAUAUUUUUUGUAAUCUUUCAUUUAUUUUUUAAAAAUUGAAAAUAAAACCUACCUUAAAGUGUGACUCUAUUUUUUUGUAGUUUUCAAAUCUUUUAAAAUAAACUUAAUAAAAUAAGGUAAAAUUCAAAAUAUUUAAUUUAGAUUUUUAUAAAAUAUUUGAGCUCUAAAAAUGGUGUUAAACUUAAGUUCAGUCAAAAAUUACGUGUCUAUAACUAUUUUAACAAAUAAUUAAAGGGAAAUUUAGCAAUCUAGUCAACAUACCUAACAUAAUUAGUCAAAAUGACUACAGUUUAAAAUAUUUAUUUGAAGGUUUGACCAAAAUAAUAUAAAUAUAAAACAAAUGAACAAAAGUAAUACAUAUUCUUAAAAAGUAACCAAAAUAGUAUAAACUCUACCAUGAGUAACGUUUUAUCUAUUAUUUUAUUCAUAAAAAUUAACGGAUAGAAAACAGAGAAACCAACUACCAUUAACAUAAAUCGUUACUGUUGAUAACGUAAUUUGGGAAACUACAUUUUUGAAAAAGAGAUUGCAGUUGUACUUGUAAUAUUUAAUUCACAAUAUGUUUUAAAUAGUAUUAAUUGAAUAUUUUAAAUUUUUUAUUUAAAAUUAUUUAUAUAUAUAUUUGUGUGGUAAUAAAUCAUUUGAAUAAUUGUAAAAAUGAAUAUUUGAUAAAUGUUUUAUCAAUAUUGAUAAAUUUUAAGUGGUGUUGAUUAAAUAAUUUAUUUAUUUAUUAUCCAAAAUAUCUCUAUAUUUAUGAAUUAAGAUAAAGGUGAAAACAAACAACUAACUAUACCUUGAUUUUUUUUUUUUAAAUGACAACUAUUUUGAACCAAUUAUUUUUCACAAAGACAACAAGUAAAGUGAAUGGAAUAAAAUACAGUGUAAUUUUUAUUAUUUUAAACAAGCAAGUCAGUGUAAUCAAAAUCUUGGUAAUUAGGUCAAAUCUAAAACUACAAAAUUUACCUUGAAUUAAUUUUUUAUUUACACCAUUUUAAACAUAGAGAAACUGAUAAUAUUUUCACAAUUCUAACAUAUGCCAACAAGCAUAAACAUCGAAGAAAUGACAUUAUUCAUAUCCAUGCUAAAAGUAAACGAAUAAAGAAAAAGGAUAAAUUUAAUUAAAAGAAAAAUUAGAAUGCAAGCAACUGACAUAAGUUGAAAGCAAAUUCGCUACUGCUACUAAUGUUUUAUGUUAACGUCCGUUCUUUUUUCACUUUCUGUUCAUCAAUUUUUUAUGAAUAAAAUAAUAGGUAAAACGUUAUUGGUGAUAGCGUUUAUACUAUUUUGGUUAUUUUUUUUAAAUGUGUAUUACUUUUGUUCAUUUAUUUUAUAUUUGUAUUACUUUGAUCAAAACUUCUAUUUAUUUAAAAUGUCAAAAUGUCAAUACUUUACAAAAUAAUUGUAUUCAAAUAUUAGUAUUUAUUUUACCCUUUUUCCCCAAAACAGUCCAUCAUUGGACAAAUUCUAAACCAAUAACAGAUAAAAAAGGGAAAAAAAAAACUACCGAUUAAUCUUUUUCCCAUCAUUCACGUUUCUUUUCCCCCAUCAUUCAAGUUUUAUAUUUUCUCUUUCUUCAAAUUUCUUUGCAGGUCAAGAAAUACAAAUUAUGAAUGGUUCUUCUAAUUAAUAUCUCAAUUGUUAGAGGUAAUUUUGAUUAUUUAGUGAUAUUUAUGUUGAUUUUGUUUUUAAAAUUACCGAUUAUCUUGUAUUUCGGAUUUUAUAUAUUACGGAUUUUUUGUCAAUUUUUUUGAUUUUUAUGUGAGUUUGGUUAGAUAAGCAGGGCCCAUUCGGGGGUGGCGCUCCCAACGGGAUUUUCUCCAUAUCCAGGGCUCGAACCCGAGACCUCUAGUUAAGGGUGAAUCACUCCCACCAAUGCACCACAACUCAUGUUGGUCCUAAAGUUAUUAUUAUUAAGUAGGUAUGUACGUUCAAAAUAAUUCUUUAAAAAGUGAUCAUAUCCGAUCUUAAUCAAAUACAACUCUAACUCCAACUUAAAAUUUUAAAAUAAUACUCCCUCCUUGCCCUUUUAGUUGUUAUGCUGCACUUUUCAAAAAUUAUUUUGAAUUAUUUUCCAAUUUAAAUUAGAUUACAUUAAAGAUAUUUUAAAUUAAAAAGUUAGAUAUAUAUUUGAAAGGUAUACAUAAAGUACUAUAAAUUGCAAUUUUUGAAUAUCAGUAUGAUGAAAAAAUAUAUCGUAAAAUGUUACUCAAAGUUCUUAUUAUUUAAUUCUAAAAAAAGAAUCAUACAACUAAAAAAGGAUGAAGUGAAUAUAAAUAUAUUUAAUUUUCAUGAUCAAAUGCAUACUAAAAUAUAGUAUUAGUCAAGUUGCCAAUCGCCAUAAUGAUGAAAAGGAAACAGGUGAAUGCAGCUCAUAUCACUGAAAAUAUAGCGCUUUAUACUUCAUCUUUUCAGCACUACCAGCGUAUAAAAAAAUGAAAAUGUGUAAUUUUCAAGUUUAAUACUAAGAGCCGUAGAGAGUUUGUUUUCGAUAAACUUGAGGGAGGAAAGCAAAACUAAGGCAUUUACAAAUGAAUAAAGAUGAACUUAUAUGCUUUGGUUAUAAAAGUAGUCUGACAUUAUUUGUUUGUAAAAUUUGGAUGCAGUUAAACAUGGCUAUUAAAGAAUCACUUCGACUGUAUCCACCAGAUCCUAUCAUUGAACGAAUGCCUUGUGAAGAUAUGAUUUGUUAAACAUUUUAAUUUUUUAAUAAAAUAUGUUUUUUUUUCAAAAUAAGUAUUUUUGAUCUCAUAACAAUUAUGCGGCUUUUAACCAUGGUUAUAGUUAUACGGAUUGGGUUAUCUAUAGAAAAGUUAAAUAUAUGGAACAAAUCAAAUUCAAAUCAAACCUAUUAAUUAGCUAGCGAUUGAGACGUAAUAAUUUUUUAUAUGUACAUUGUGAAUCUCACGUACUCAAUGGUCCCGUAAAUCUUAAUCAUAUUUUGGAUAAAAGCCACCUAGCUGCUUAGAGAUUUAAUAAUUUUGGAUGUAUUUGAUAUUUUCCCUCCGAACACCUUAUCUUCAGUCUCACUUCUCGCAGUGUCUAUUUUCCUCACCCCCACACUUUUUAUUUUAUUAUUGUGUGUUUUAAUAUAUUUAUCUAGAUUAUAUAUAAAUAUUUUUAAAAUAAUAUUUUUUAUUUAUCUACUAAACAAAUAAGAAUUUUAUUUUCUUGAGGAACAUCUUUCAAAAAGAAUAUUUUCUUUCGUAACGAAUAUAUCCUGAACAACCACAAAGGUUAAUAUCAACAUUUUGAUUUUAAUUGAGUUGAAAUGUUUAGAAAGAAAAACAAAGCAGAAAUAAUUAAUUCUCUCCUAAUUUUAUAAAUUGACAAAUAAUUUAAGAAAAAUAUUUUUAAAAUAUGAACGACUAAUAUUGAAUGAACACUAAUCAUCAAAGAAAUAAAAGAAUAAUUAAGUAGCCAAAUUUUCCGUUCUUACCAUCAACUCUACUUGGAGUUGCACUGUUGCAGGCCAAUAAUGGAUAUAUAUAUUAUAUACUAAUGUGCCGAUGGGACCAUUAUUAGACCAUAGUUAAAACAUGAUAAUGAAGUACGAUGGUUAAUUAGUUUCUUUUCCCAGUUGCAGUAGGCCUAAUUAAUAUAUUGUAAAGUGAUUCUAUUACAAUAGUGAAGUAGAGAGGUGAUUUUAAAGCUAUCAAUAGUUCGAAAACGAAAUUAAUAAUUCAUAUCAAAUUCAGAAGUAUUUUCAAUAUUUUUGUCUAUAUAUCAUCUAUUCUCAACUUUUAAAUUUGAGAGUUCAUAAACAAUAUAUGUCCUCUCAGUUUUUAAAUUCGUUCAACUUCACCAUUAUUAACAUUGUGAAAUUAAUUCAAUGUCAAUUGUCCGUAUUAUGGACAAACCCUAAAUUACAUAAAUUAAAACAAAAGAUUAUACAAUAAAAUUAAUUUAGUACUAAAAAUAGCGUAAAAAUUGAGGGCUGAGACUAACGAACAUGGUUAAUUAAAAUUGAGGAACAUCGUAUCUUUUUGGCCUAAAAGAUAUUUGAAUACUAGACUAAUAUAUAUUCACCAUUGAAGAUAAAUACCAACGGGCUAACAACCAAGUUAUUUUCAUUUUUGUCAUGUAAUCUUAGUUUGUUAAAGCCAAAAAUGAAUAUUAAUGUCUUGACGGGACCGCAUGUGUUACUAUCCCAUUAUUAAAAUGGAGUCCGAAAUUAAAAGGGCAAUAAAAUUUUUCGAAAAUUUCAAAAGGACAACUAAAUUAUUUAUGAAAUCAAAAUGGCAAUAAUUUUUAACGGCGUCUAAAUCAGAAUUUUCACCGCAAGACACAAAUCCAUAAACCUUACACGGUGCAUCAGCUUUUAGCCUUGUAAGACUCAUCCCCGCGAGCCUUACAAGGCGCAAGGCAGGCUAUUUUUUUCAAAAAAAAAGUUUUUAUUGUGUUCGGUCCUUAAGGCUACACGUUGCAAACUCGACCGCUCAUUUUUUUUGUUAGAUAAUUAAAAAAAUCUGACUAUUUAGUUGAGAUGUUAAAUCAUCCAACUUUAAAUUUAUCGAAAAUGCAGUACCUUUUUUUUUUUACAAAAAUACAAUCUAUUUUAGUCGGUUAUUUUUUUAAAAAAAAUUUAUGCCUUUUGAGUAGGGGUGUACAUGAUCGGAUUGGUUCGUGUUUUUCAAAUAUUAAAUCAAAUUAUUUGUGUCGAAUUUUUAAAUCUAUAAACCAAACCAAUAAAACUCGGGUUUUUUCAGAUUUUUCGGGUUUUUUUCGGUAAAGUAUUCAUACAAACAUAUAAUUUACUUGUACUUUAAAUAUAUAUUUCUUUUAGUCCUAACAAAAUACAACUAUCUAAGGUGUUUCUUAAGAAAAUAACACAAAAUACGAUAUGAGUAAUGACACUAAAAUGUCCAAUUAAAAAAUAAUAAUAAUGAAAUCACGUAAAACAAAUAUUACAAAUUAACAAGUCAUAAUGAAGAUGAUCAUAAUUUAAAAGUACUAAAUCAUGCUAAAAUAAGUUUAAUAAGUAUUAGUUACAUGACUAAAUAUUAAAGAAAAAUUAAAAUUAGAUUAUGUAUUUGAAUUGUCUAAACCAAUGUAAAACCAAAGAACAAAAUAUUACAAUAUUAUUGUCAUUCUUAGUGUUGAAUUGAUUUUCUUUUUGCAUUAGUAUUAAUUUCAUUUUUGAUUUAAGCUUUAUUAUAAUUACCAACAUUUGUGGACUAUAAUCUUUAUUGAACCAUUCAGAAUUAUAAGUUUCAAACUUGAAAUAAUAUACUAAAAGAUAAAAACUAUGAAAAAGUAUAAGAAAUAUUUAAAAAUUAUAUCAAAGUAAAUAUUUUUAUGUAAAAGUAAAUUUAAAAUUAUAUAUAUAAUGUCGGGUUGGUUUGGUCUCGGGUUGAUUUUUUUUAGUUAAAAUCAAACCAAUCCAAAUAUAGUCGAGCUUUUUAUUCAAUACCAAACCAAGUCAAACCAACCAUUAAUCGUGUUUUUUUUCUCAAUUUGACUCGAUUUAUAAUUUAAUUCGAUUUUUGAUUCGAUUUUAUACCCCUACUUUGAGUUAUCAAAAUAGGAUUUCUAUUGACCGUAAGUUUAAUUUGAUAAUGCAAAAAAAUUUAAAAUAAAUAAAUUGUAUAUUGUAAGUAAUGCACAUUUCAACACACGUAUGACGUAUGCAUAUUAGGGGUGAAGCUAUAUAGUUCUUAUGACACUUGUUUAAGCUUGGUUUUCUAAAAGAAUGACACUUGUUUAAGUUUGGUUUUCUAAAAGAAUGUUUGGAUGUGUCGUUUGUUUAAAUAUAAUGUUUAUUUUGAUGAUUAGUUAAAUUUAAUUUAUAUUAUUAAAUUUAUUGUUAGGUAAUAACGUGAUUUUUCAUUUUAUGUAAUGGCUGAUUUAGUAUGAAUGUAUGGUCAUAAUUUAUUUUUUUUGUUUUACUUACUAUUUAAUAAUUGUAUUUUAUUAUUUACUUUUUUUUUUAUAAUAAAUCUACUCCGCACUCUAUUUUUCUGGUGUGUUCAUCUUUUUGAUUUUUUGACAUUAUGUAAUUAUCGAAAAAAAUACAACUUAAUAUCGUACGAUACAAUUUAAUAUAACAUAAUAUAAUAUAUAUUAUAAAAUGACAUGUAACAACCAUCCAAACAAAGUAUAAAUAUAUAGUUUCAUCAAAAGUUAUAGUGAUAAAGUGGUAAAUUUCGUAGUGAGGUUUAGAUUCGAAUUAUAACAACGAAGUGAUCACUUUUUAAUAAAUAAUAUUUUAUACCUUUAACAUGAGUUUUUUAAAGAAAAUUGAACUCAAAUUAGCGGAAUCUCAGUACGAAUAUUGAGCCUAAAAAGUACUCUAUAAAAGAAGCUCAUAAAUAAAUAGUCCAUUUAAUGGCAAAUUUUAUCCUUUUGUCAAUACAAAAAAGUCCAUGAAUAAUCUUUUCCGAUAUUUGGUAUUGCAUUUUAGUUCUAAAUUAAACACCUUUUACCUGAUUUGAUUACAAAUAUAUAAUAAAUUAGGAAAUUAAGUCGCGCUACGUGCAGUAUAAAAAAUAUUAAAUUAUAAAAUACUUUUAAUAUUGUUUUGUUUUCUUAAAUAAAAUUAUAAUAUUAUUAAUGUUUUUAAUGAUUUUUUCGAUCUUCAAAUCCAAAUAAAUUAUAUUACAAAUUCAAAUACUUAUAUUUGUAAUUUUGAGUUAAAUUCACGGGAUAUUGAUUUUAUCAACAAAAAAAACAAAAGAAUCCUUUGGCACCAUCUAAUAUACCUAUUCUUUUAUGUUAGAGUUAUUAUAAUUGAAAAAAAUUAUGAAUUUAGUAUCCAUUUGAAUGUGUUCUUUUAUAGAGUUAUGACAUGAUAAUAAAAAUUAAAAUAAUAGAUUUAACAGAAAAAAAGAAAAAAAAUGAAGGAAUAUAUACAUUUUAUAGUAGAUAAAUAAAACAACGGUUUACUCAUUGGUGCAAGGAUGAGCUUAAAGUUUGCUUUCACUAAAAUUAUGUUAUUCUCUAAGAUAAAUGCAUAAAAUGUAGAACUAACAUGCAAUUAGCAUAAAAUAUAAUAGAUCUAUGAAUGAAAAAGGGGAUAAUUUCAUACACUUUUCUUUGAAUUUGACUUUUUAAAAUGGUUCGAAUUUGACUUAUAACACUCGCCUCUUAAAAUUUAUGAUAUUAUACUUCUCUUAUUUUAGUUUUAUUGUUAUACUUCUUUUAACCUAUUAAAUAUCUCAAUUAUAUGUUUGGACUUAUCUGUCUGUCACUCCCCGAGCCUACACCCUGGGCGGAACUGGCACUCGAAGACCAUUGCUGGCCUCAAGUGAACUCUUGGCCUGGCUACUUAACUCAGCGGAAGACUUAACUCAACACAAUAUAAGUUCAUAAAACAACCUAAAUGAUAAAAUCUGGCCAAAAUGGCAACUUAUGUCUCAAAAUAGAAUAUCUGUAAAUACAUAGAUGAGAGACUCAUAACUACUGUCUAACUGUCUAUGAAGCCUCUAUAAUACUGAGAUGGAUGUUGGGACAGCCCCACAACAUCCUAAUAAAGAAAAACUAGAAAAGCGAAUAAAAGAGUCCUCCGGAAUGCAAGGAGGCUCACCACUGACUCUAGAGUGCUCGACUAGAUCAACGGCACACUGGAUGCUGAUCCUGGUUACCUGCGUCUGCAUCAUAAUAAGAUGCAAGCCAACUGGCAUCAGAACAUUGAAUGUACGAGUAUGCGAGUUGGAAUGCUAAACAACAACUUAAGCUUGAAAGGAGUAAGAAGGAACACUUACNNNNNNNNNNNNNNNNNNNNNNNNNNNNNNNNNNNNNNNNNNNNNNNNNNNNNNNNNNNNNNNNNNNNNNNNNNNNNNNNNNNNNNNNNNNNNNNNNNNNNNNNNNNNNNNNNNNNNNNNNNNNNNNNNNNNNNNNNNNNNNNNNNNNNNNNNNNNNNNNNNNNNNNNNNNNNNNNNNNNNNNNNNNNNNNNNNNNNNNNNNNNNNNNNNNNNNNNNNNNNNNNNNNNNNNNNNNNNNNNNNNNNNNNNNNNNNNNNNNNNNNNNNNNNNNNNNNNNNNNNNNNNNNNNNNNNNNNNNNNNNNNNNNNNNNNNNNNNNNNNNNNNNNNNNNNNNNNNNNNNNNNNNNNNNNNNNNNNNNNNNNNNNNNNNNNNNNNNNNNNNNNNNNNNNNNNNNNNNNNNNNNNNNNNNNNNNNNNNNNNNNNNNNNNNNNNNNNNNNNNNNNNNNNNNNNNNNNNNNNNNNNNNNNNNNNNNNNNNNNNNNNNNNNNNNNNNNNNNNNNNNNNNNNNNNNNNNNNNNNNNNNNNNNNNNNNNNNNNNNNNNNNNNNNNNNNNNNNNNNNNNNNNNNNNNNNNNNNNNNNNNNNNNNNNNNNNNNNNNNNNNNNNNNNNNNNNNNNNNNNNNNNNNNNNNNNNNNNNNNNNNNNNNNNNNNNNNNNNNNNNNNNNNNNNNNNNNNNNNNNNNNNNNNNNNNNNNNNNNNNNNNNNNNNNNNNNNNNNNNNNNNNNNNNNNNNNNNNNNNNNNNNNNNNNNNNNNNNNNNNNNNNNNNNNNNNNNNNNNNNNNNNNNNNNNNNNNNNNNNNNNNNNNNNNNNNNNNNNNNNNNNNNNNNNNNNNNNNNNNNNNNNNNNNNNNNNNNNNNNNNNNNNNNNNNNNNNNNNNNNNNNNNNNNNNNNNNNNNNNNNNNNNNNNNNNNNNNNNNNNNNNNNNNNNNNNNNNNNNNNNNNGGGGCGCCAGCCCUCAAACUUCAGAGGACCAGCUGGGGCGCGCUGGCUGGCGCUUCGCCCCAAGGGGUGCACUUUACAGCCCCUUUUGGGGCACGCUGGCUGGCGCGACGCCCCACCCCUUUCCCCAGGUCUUUGGCAAUUUUCUUCUCCGUUUUUCAUCUCUAAACCCUCCUAACUUCCAUGGUUCUUUCCCCAAACAUUUAGGAUCAAAAGUACUCUCAACUUACAACAGAUCUAACUCGAAAAUCCACCCGGAAACAUGAAUCAAAUCAACAAGAAACUUCAACAACACAACCAAUCAAGAACUUAACGACGUCCUUCAAGAACUUCACUUUUUAACAUGUAAACAACCUAAAUUCGCUGAAUUGAAACAAGUUGGUAUGUGGGUGAGCUAACCCAUCACUAAAAGAUCUCACAUACCUUAAUACGGAUCACCCCCGACGAAUUUCACUCCAAAAGCUUGACGUUCUUGGCGAAAUCUUGGCUUUUCUCCCUUUCUUUCUUCUUCUCUCUUCUCCAAGCCCUAAGCGUAUUUCUCAAUUCUCCAAACUGACUAAGUAAUAUUUUUACCCCAAUAGAUCCCUAAAAAAGAAUUAGGAAAUUAAUUAGAGAAAAGACGACUUUGCCCUUCCCUAAAUCCGGAUUGGAACUUUUCUCAAUCCAACAUCCCAACUUACGAAAGACCUAUCUCACUCAUACGAUGUCAAAAUCGUGCAAACUCAACGUCGUUGGAAAGAUCUCUCCAAGGGAUUUCCAACCAUAUCAAGAGCUGCUCCUAACUCAUCCUGAGCUAGGAGUUAUGGCCGUUUGAAAAUGGCCAAAACUCACUUUCUUAACUUAGACAAUUUCCAGAUUUCCUUAUUCUUUCCAAAAAUCAAUAUUUUCAUAUUUUAAACUCUUUAUAGUCGUUUCUAGGUGCGAGAUGUUACAUUGUCCCUUAAAGAAACUCAAUAAUCUCGUUCAAAGAAUCUUCUAAGUAGCAUUACACAUAUGGAUGAAAUUUUCAUCUAAUUUCUUAAAUAUUAAAUGAAAUGUUUGAUAAAGUGAAUAGACAAAAAAUCAUUCAUCUCCCUAAAGAGAGUACUAUUAAAACCCUUUCAUGAAUUGGUUUCAAUCUAUUUCAUUAGCUGCAAUUGAUCAACAACAUAAAGAUGAAAAAGAUAAUAAACUAAACUACAAUUUCUUAUCUUUGUAAACAAACAUAUAUGUAAGGAUGAAAAAAUGGAAUACAAAUUGACGGAAUAGUUACAAGAGUGGUAUUAAAAUUAAUGGCAGUACAAUAAUAAAAUUGAAAAUUCAAUAAUCGUUCCCUUAUUAUAUAACUUAUAACUACUGCUAAAUUAAGAUUACAACGAACUCUUCAAGAACCCAAAUUAAGUGAAAAUAGUGAGUAAGAAAGUAAAGAUAUAUGCACUAAUAAGAACAUAGUUAGGAAUACUUAUCGACACACUUUUUCAUUUGAAGCAAAAACACAUGAAAUUUAUUAAUUUGUUUGAUAAUUAAAAUAAAUUAUAAUAUUUAUUAUAUCUCAUAAAUUACAAAAACCUCCAUCUAUUCAUAUUUUCUACUUAAAUGACAUAUCUCCUCAACUCCUUUCUAUGAUUCUCUUCAUUACCUAUACAUUUAGUUUUUCCAAAAUAUAAUGACUUUAAAUUUUAGUUCAAAUUUAUAAUAUAGAAAGUUCAUUAUAAAAAAAAUGUAGUGCCUUUAUAAAAAAAAAAGAACUUUCAAAACUCGAACUCUAUAUAUAUUUGUUAAAGAUAGAUAAAUUUUUAUUCACAUUUUGAGAAGUACCUAAAACUCAUUGAAUAGAAGGGCACCUUUUUAAUUAUUUCUUUGUAGGCUUUAGAUAUUGUGCAUCACAUUAAGUGCAAGUGCUAUUCUAAUCCAUAUUAUGAAAGGACAUUUUAUCUAUAGCUUUAUCUUCCAAAAAAUUUAUUCUCUUAUGUGUGUCAUUUGCCUUUUCAAGAAAACGUUUGGCAUUUAUUUUGGUUAGGUACUUUUGCAGUUGAAGAGGCAUGAUAGUAGUAAUAAAAAGGGAUAAGGGUCUGGAAAAUAUCCUAACUUUGGUCGAAUUUGUUGUUGCGAUACUAAACUUUCAUGAGGACCUAUUACCUCCCUAGACUAUUUAAUANNNNNNNNNNNNNNNNNNNNNNNNNNNNNNNNNNNNNNNNNNNNNNNNNNNNNNNNNNNNNNNNNNNNNNNNNNNNNNNNNNNNNNNNNNNNNNNNNNNNNNNNNNNNNNNNNNNNNNNNNNNNNNNNNNNNNNNNNNNNNNNNNNNNNNNNNNNNNNNNNNNNNNNNNNNNNNNNNNNNNNNNNNNNNNNNNUAUUAAAUAGUCUAGGGAGGUAAUAGGUCCUCAUGAAAAUUUAGUAUCGCAACAGCAAAUUCGACUAAAGUUGGGAUAUUUUUCAGACCCUUAUCCCUAAUAAAAAUGAUUUAGUAAGUCUUGCAAUAUGAUUUUAGUUAAAAGGCUUUUAUUGAAAUAAAAUUUGAAGACAAAAGUUAUUGAAACAAAAGCCAAAAAUCUCACAAUUAAAUAAAGAUAUAUAAUAUAAUAAAAAAAAACCUACGCUAGCAUCUUCUCACACCAGGCGACUCCUAUGGAGUUUUAGGCCUCUAUGGCCGAAACAGUCUCUCCCCAGCCUCGAGCUGUGGACGAAACGCCAGAAAAACCUAGUUAUGCAUCUAUUUCUAAUCCAUCGACUUACACUCAAAAAUCUGAUGGAAAACUUCCACUAAAAUUAAAACCUGUGAUCUAUGUUCAUGGGGAACCUACUAUGAGUUUCAACUUUUUGGAUUUGGAAUCGUAUAUCCAAGAAGAAAACUUGCAAUAUGCUCUUGUUGCUAAGUUUUCUUAUGGGAGACCCGAUAAGAUUGAUCUUAGAAAGAGUUUUACACGACACUUUGCAAUCAAAGGAGAUUGCAAUUUAGGUUUACUAGAUCAUCGUCAUGUUCUGGUAAGAUUAUCAAAUCAGGAAGACUUUAGGGAGGUGUACUCUAGGGCAGUAUCAUUCAUCACAAUAAAAGAAAAGGGCGUGAAUAAUCAAUACCAAUGUCGGAUUCAACGCUAGACACCAUUGUUUAAUCCAAAAGAUGAGACAUCAAUUGCUUUAGCUUGGAUUUCUUUUCCGAGUUUGUCAACACAGAUGUUUGCUCGUGAAGCCUUGUUUUCACUUGCAUCAGCCGUUGGGACACCCCUACAAGUUGAUAAGGCAACAACGGGUAAGUUAAGGCCUAGUGUAGCUAGGGUAAAAAUGGAGGUUAAUCUAUUAUCAUUGCUUCCGAAUAGAGUUAGAAUGUUUUUUAAAGAUGAAAAAAAUGGUGUCGUUAAAGAGGUGUUGCAAAAAAUUGUCUAUGACAAAUUGCCUUUGUACUGCACAAUAUGUAAACAUCAGGGUCACAAGGAGGAAGAAUGCAGACUGACUAUGGAGGUAGAAGGUGGACUAAUUGAUGAAACAAAAAUUAAUGGGGCAAAGUUCAAAGGAGAUUUGCGAUCAAUUUUGGAUGAGAAAAAGAAAGUUCUUUCUCUUCAACAAACUGGAAAAGAGCAACAUCUGGAAACAAAGAAGAUACAGAAACUAUGUUACCUGGGACAUUGACUUCGAAGAUUAGUGAGCAACUUGGUACGACCACAACGAGUUCGUCCACUCCUAUCCAUAUUGAUGUUGAGGCACAAAAUAAUGUAGAUAAUAACUCAAGGCAGUUGAUCGUUACAUCACAAGUCGCUAUAGAGUAGUUAUCGUCUAGAUUUGUGAAAGAUAGAGAGUUGGAUUCACCUAAUGCAGUCGUGAUUACUAAAUCAAGGCAAGAUGAAGCCAAAAAAAGGUAACACUACCGCAGAAAAAUCCAGUAAUCAAUGGACUUUGGUCUCACAUAAAAAAAUGGUUGGCCCUACGUCAUCAAAUAAUCACAUUUUGCACCAAAACAAUUCUACACAUGUUGAGUUUGAUAUGAGUAAUAGUGUCGUUGAAUGUACUCAAUUUGAUGUGUUGCGAGAUGAGAAGUUUGGACAAUAUGAAGGGCUACAUGUUACAGAUGAAUUAUCUGCUGAAUCUGGGAAUACUUUAGACUUGGACAAGCAGAUUGAGCAAAUAGGACAGUUGAAACAAUGUUGUCACGAUGAGCAUACUAAUCAACAAGCUCUUGUGACACAUGAAAAGGAGUUCAUUGCUACAGAGAAGAUAGAUGGCAAGGAAAUCAAUCUAAAUACACCUACCAUGUUUAUUUUAGAUCAAGAGGUGGCUACAAACAAUUUGAAUGAAUAUAAAGAAAAAUGAGGGGUGGGGAGUGCUUCAAGAUGGGCAGAUUUAGUUGAGGAAGAGAAUCAUACUCCUUCACCUAGUAGGAGUAAGUUAAGCCCUCAAGCACUUGAAUUUGUGCUUACAAGUAAAACAAUCCAUCGAUGGCAGUCAUAGGUACAUCAUCUAACUUGAGUGCUACAAAAGUAAACGUGGCAGAUAGAGAUAAUCUUUAUGACUUGGACAAUGACAUGUCUGAUGGAGACGAUGAAGAUCAUGAAGAUGAUGAAGAAGAAAUGUUGGAUAUAUGCUUUGAUAAGGUGGCUAAGGAGGGGGACCUUUCGCCUAGACAACAAAGAAGUGGAAGCACCAAAUGCAAAAAGAAGACACAUGGAAGACAACAUAGUUGGGAUGGUAAGGUGAGUGGGGAUUUUGUCCCAAGGCGCCUACCGAUGCGACUAGCAAAGCAAAAUCAUAUGACAGUGUCAACAACUUUAUCAAGAUCCAACAAAUUCAAAAAGUGAUGAACUAUCAAUUAUUUUUUAACAGAUUUGAAGAAGAAGACAAGAUGCAAAUACUUCAGAUUACUUUAGACUGGCAAACUAUUUGUUUUAGUUCAUACAUAUAUCAAAUGAACUUUGAGGUGGCUAACUCAUCUUUAUUCUUUGAUUUUAUAUUCUUGCAUUACUUAAGCAUCUUCAUUUGUAAUAUCAUCAUAAAGAGUAUUAUAAACUUUAUGAUAAUCAUAGAAUACCUAGUUUUCUCUAGUUCUUUUUUCUUCAUGCUUGUUAAUUAGUAGAGAUUUGUUGUCUCAUUAGGAUUAGUAAGGUAAGGCCUAGCCCCCCUUACUUGUACUUAUCUCUAUUUAUAUCUUUUAAUUUAAAAAUAAAUAAAUAAAAAUAAAUAGAAAUGUUAGCCAUAGAGAAGUAUCAAAAUGUUAAGACUUUGAGAGAGAUUAGACAAUAUAAAACAACCAAAAUAAAAAAAUACUCACGCACAAAAGUAAGCAUACUGUUUGAAGCCAUGUUAUCAUUCUAUGUAUCAGAAGUAUAGAAUUACAAUGUUAAAAAAGAUCAAUAUUAUUCCUACUUAAUAUUGAUACUUAGCAACCAAAAAUGAAAGUGUAACAAAUUUUGUUAUAGUAAAAGAGAUUGGCGAAAAGUUGUAUGUUAAAACAUAAGGCAAAUCAUAGAAAAAAAAGAACUAAUAUAUAAAUUACUUGAAAAUUGCAAAUUUUUCACCCUCACAGAUUCGCACUUGGCCGACAUCAACAUGUACUUAGCCGAUAGCUAGAUACUCUUCUGCUUCUUUUUUUUUCCACCAAUAAUGUGUAUCCUGCCUUAACAUAAAACAAAACAAAUUAAAAUCAACUAUCUAAAGAAAAAGGAAAAUGAAUUAAAAAUUUUGGUACUAUAAAGAUUAUAUAAAAAUAAAAAUGCAAAGAAAGUGUUAAAAACUGUACCUGAUUUUUUUUUUCACAAUUAAGCAAAAAAAGUAGUAAUAUAAUUUGUAUAACAUUGAAGUACCCAAAUGGUUAAAAAGCAGUAAUAUAACCUGUAGUGGAUGAUAUGCCAUGACUGGCAUCUCUACUAUUAUUUAUGCUAUAAUAGGGCAUAAAUGAAAUUUAAUUAAUAGGAUGUCGUUUGGAAUAUUUCGUGCGAGGGUGAAGGGCUGCAUUAAUUAACUGUAAUUUUUUUCUUUAAUGACGUAUAAGCUGUUAAAUAUUAAAUUAAAUUAAAUUAGAUAAAUAGAAAAAUGAGAGGAAAAAAGUAAAAAAAAUCCAAAAAAAAAAAGAUAAAUGUGAUUCCUGACCUAUAAAGGGUGCCACAUUAGCGGGCUUAUGUUCCUGCUUUAUAUUAAUAUAUAGAUUACUUAAAUCAUCAAAGAAGAAUUUGCACAUUAAUUAAUCAGAACCGACAGACUUAGGAAAGAUAUUAUUAGUCAUAGACUCAUAGGACUUGGAUCUUGUUCCAUAAUUACUAGUUAUAAUAACUACGGUAACAUUUAUAUAUUUAAUUAAGCCAAAUAAAUAUAAUUUUUUCCGAUUUUUUUUUUUUAAAAAUAACCUUGCGCCUUGUAAGACUCAUGGUGGCUGAGCCUUACAAGGCUAAAAGCUGCGACGCCUUGUAAGGCUCAUGGGUUUCUGUGCCUUGCGGCGGAAACCCUGAUUUAGACGCCGUUACAAAUUAUUGCCCUUUUGAUUUCAUAAAUAAUUCAGUUGCUCUUUUGGAAUUUUCAAAAUAUUUUGUUGUCCUUUUGAUUCCGGACUCGUGUUUGAAUAGCUCCUAGAUUGGACAACUAACCUGAAUAAUAGUUAAUCCUGUGAGCACCUUGUACCAAACAUAAAUUGUAUCCUUUUCAUACGGAAUAUUGUAUUUAUGGCUUCUUUUUCAUUGGCCUAAAGGGUAUUGAGUUUAACUAAUAUUCAUUGUCGGUGGAAAUUUUAUUUUUUACGAAUAGUGAAUAGUACAUUAUUGUUUUUAAAAAUCAUUUCCUUAAUUAUUACUCCUUUUUCUUUUCACUCUUUUAAUCUUCAGACUUAUAUAUAUAUAUAUAUAUUAUAGUAUUUUUCAAAUGUGUAAACUUAUUUCGAAAAAAAUUAAAAAUUUAAUGUCAAAACUAAAAAGUUUAAAGAUCAUGGAGUGAAAAGUAUCAUAUAAAUUGAGAUAUUAAAAAUACUAUGUCAUAGAAGGGUGACGGUGAUUACUUGGAUUUGUUUUGCAGAAUGCUGCAAAGGUUGAUACUGUAAUUUAUUUAACUUUGAUGGUGAUAAACAUCAAUAAAGUAGAAAUUGACAUCAAUGAAAAGCAAUACAAUAAAUUUUUAAAAAUUGUACAUUAUUUUACUUAGUUUUGAUUUGUUAAGAAAACCCGAAGAAACACCAGUACCAUUCGUAAAAAAAUUUAACCAAAAUAUAUAACAAAAUUUUUUCAAAAUAUAUAUAAAAAAAUUACUAUUAAUUUAAUCAUUCCUAAGACUAUUUUUAAUUAAUUAAAUCUAAAUUACUCAUUCUAGGAAAGUGAAAUUUUUUAUUAUGAAAUAGAGAGUAGUUGAAUUCAAAAGCAAUAACUUAAAUUCCUGCUUGAUCAUAAUUUUGAACUUGAAAUAUAAACAUUUAAAUUUGAAAGUAAUUUUUAAAAUUUGAAGUUGUAUUUGAAUAAACUUUUUUAAAGUUUUGUGAAUGAAAGUUUCAAAAAUUCGAAAACUUAUCCAAAUUAACUUUUAAAACCUAGUAUUUUUGUGAAGAUCGAUUUUUAAAAUUUAAUUCAAAAUUUAUGACUAAUCUCUAGCUAAAUAAUUGAUUAAACGGAAAAGACAAGUCCUUUACUUGUCAUUGAUCAAUCAACUCCGCCUUGCAAUAAUGAUGUGUAUUUUUUGUUUUAUUUUAAGGUGGGUCCAAUAAUGAUGAAAUUUAAAUUUAGAUAAAAUAGUUCAAAUCACCUUCAUCCCAAACUCAAAACACAAUUUUUCUUAUGUGUAUUUUUGAAAAUCCCUAAAACUACUCGCUCAAAAUUAUAAUCCCUCCGUCCCAUUUUAUGUGAGGUAGUUUGACUCGACACAAAAUUUAAGAAAAAAAGGAAGACUUUUAUAACUUGUGGUCCAAAAUGAAUCCUAGAAAUUUGUAUGGCUGUAAAUCAUUUCAUUAAGGGUAAAAUAAAUAUUUUAUAGUUAAAUUGUUACUUAUUCUAGAAAUGUGUCAUUUUUUUGGGACUGACUAAAAAGGAAAGUAAGUCACAUUAAUUGGGACAGAGGGAGUAGCAUUAAUUUUCAAAUUAAAGAAAAUGUUAGAUUUUUUAAAUUACAUUAUGUCCAACACAUUAAGAAGUAAAAUUCAUAGUGACUAAUGUUAGUGAAAAAUUACAAUAUAAUAAAAUUGCAAGAUUACAAUUGAAAAUAAAAUGAAGAAAAUAAAUCAAGCUGAAGCGCGAAUUUCUCGCUCUUUUUUAAGGAGAUUCAAGUCCACUGCAACAAAUAUUUUUCACCGGUGCAGCAAUAGUCCUUCUUGACUUGAUACAACAGCCUUACACAAAGUAUAACUCAACAACUCUGACAAAGAGUUGAGUCCAAAGCUCCACAAAAAGAAUACCUCCCUUCAAUUAAUAAGAACUUUCUUUUUCGACUAACUCUUUCACUCUAUAUUUUUUUUGUGUAUUGUGUGUUCUAAACCAAAUGAAGACCACCACUAUUUAUAAUUGGGGAUGUCUUCCUAGCAAUGAAUAAGAAGAUAAUGGGGUAGUAAAUGGUAAAAAUAAAUGACUUUAGGAGUUACAUAGGUUACAAGGUAUAAUAGAGAAAGAAUAAUGAAGAAUGAAUGGCAAAGGCCACCAACGGCUAAGAGUGCUAACAAGUAAUGUUGUAACAUAACAAACAAUAACUCCAAAUGGAGUAAUGCAACAAAUAAGUGCCACAAACGGUCAAUGUCAGAAACGUCAAGUAAUGGGCAAUUAAGCCUCAAAACAUUGAUUCCAAAAUACAAUCAAAGUGGCCACUAACAUUCUGAUAGGAAUAGCUGCAAGAUGAAUGGGAAAUAUGCACCUUAACCAUUAUUUACGAAUAUUAAAAUGCUCCCAAACCAAUAAUCCCCCACUCAUUAUAAUAUUAAUCAAGAGAGUCUAUCAGCUGAAGGAAGACUAAUAUACAUAAUGAAGGUGUGCUCUGCAUUGAACCUCCACUUAGUGAAAUAAUAACUUUUUACUCCAGAGUCGUAGUGGUCUCAGACUUGAACUAUGACUGCUUAGGGAAAAUAAAAUAUAAUUGUCCACACAUAAUAAUCAAGGUGUUGACAUGAGCUUUAACAGCCAGCACAUUAUGGCCUUGUGCUAUCCCAGUUUCAUGAGUGCUUUUGAGAAUAAGCCAAAUUCUCAUAAAAAGCGACCUACCUCCAUAUAUCACAUAGGUGAAAUCUGUCGAGAGUGCUCAUGUAAACUUAACACUCCACCCAUACGAGCUAUAGAUAUUCAUUAAGAGUUUUAUCAACUCAACCUUCACAAACUACAGGAAACAAUGCACUCACAUCAUAGGGAGGGAAUAAAAAGAUAGUGCAUUUUUCACAACAAGUCAUCAUAUGAUUAGUUUUUCCCCUUGAACCUGGUAAUAGGAUCUAUUGUCCCCAAGUUGGGUUUCCUCAUAUAUGACUCAAGGAUUUAUAGGCUUCAAUUCCAUCCCCCUCAAUGUGCUCCAGACCUUUUCUCUCGUUAAGGCCUUAGGAAAAGGAUGUGCAAGAUUAUCACAAGAUUUGACAUAAUCAACAUUAAUAGUACCAUUUGUCAAAUAUGAUCUUACAUUAUUGUGUUUCCUCUUUAUAGGUCUGGAUUUACCGUUGUAAUAACGGUUUUGAACUCUAACAAUCGCAACAAUGAUAUCACAAUGAAUUAAAAUAGGAGGAAUUGGUUUUUCAAAAUAAGGAAUUUGAAACAAUAAAUAUCUUAAUCAAUUCGCUUCCUCACUAGCUGAAGCUAAAGCAAUUAGUUCAGCCUCCAUGGUAGAGUUAACAAUUAUAGUUUACUUUUUUAAUCUCCAACAAAUAGCACCACCACCCAAAGUAAAGACAUAAUCAGUGGUAGAACAAGAAUCACCUGAUAAAGUGUUCCAAUCUGCACCACAAAAGCCUUCAAGUACAACAUGAUAUUUUUUAUAAAACAAACCACAAUUUUUCAUUUCAAUUAAAUAUCUCAUAACUCUUGUUAUAACAUGCUAAUGUUCAUUACCUGGUUAGUACUCCUACUGCAUAUGCAAUAUCAGGCCUAGUGCAAUCAGUCACAUAUCUCAAACUUCCGAUUAUGUUAGCAUAUUCCUUUUGAUUUAUUACAUCAUUUUCACUUUACAACAGGAAAUAAGUGAACACUUGAAUCAAAAAGGAGUAGCAACAUGCUUGCAAUCAAGAAAGUUAUAUUUUUCAAAAUUUUCUCAACAUAAUGUGACUGGUCAAGGAAAAUUCUAUCACAUGUUCUUGCUAUUUUUAUUCCAAGAAUAAAAUUUGGUUCACCAAGAUCUUUCAUAUCAAAAUGGCUUAUAAGAAUAUUCUUAGCUUCAUCAAUAACAUUCAUGUUAGAGCCAAAGACCAACAAAUCAUCAACAUAUAGGCAAAUAAUCACAUGUGAAUUAUUUCAAGACUUGUGAUAUAUGCACUUAUCACACUCAUUUGUUGUAAAACCAUUUCCAAUCAUGUUGGAAUCAAACUUUUCAUGCCAUUAUUUUGGUGCCUGUUUCAAGCCAUAUAUGGAUUUAAUAAGUUUACAUACUUUGCUUUCUUGGCCUGCUUCAACAAAAGACUCGGGUUGUUCCAUAUAAAUUUUCUCAUUUAGGUCUCCAUUUAAAAAGAAAGUUUUUACAUCCAUUUGAUGAUUUUGCUAAGCAAAAAUUGCAGUCAUAGCAAUUAAAAGGCUUGUGGAUGUAAUUCUUGUUAUAGGUGAAAAAAUAUCAAAAUAUUCUAGGCCUUCUAGUGUUUAAAACCUUUUGCAACUAGUCUAGCCUUAUAUUUAUCAAUAGAUCCAUCCGGUUUCAACUUUUUUCUAAAAAUCCAUUUGCAACCAAUAGUUUUACAACCCAGUGGUAAAUCAACUAACUUCCAAGUUUUAUUAGAAAUUAGUGAUUCCAUUUCAUCAUUUAAUUUACAGCCUCUUUCCAAAUAAUGGAAUCAUGUGAAGAUGAAGCUUCUUUUAAAGAAAGAAGGUCAUCUCCAACAUUAAACACAUAAAAAUCAGGACCAAAAUCUUUUUCUACUCUAGCUCUUUUACUUCUUCUUAACUCAAAAUCAUCAACUUUUUUAUUUUUCAAAGUGAGAGUAAAAGAAUUAGGUAGUGACAAAAUAUUUUGUUCAAUUCUUUGACCCCCACUAUUUUUAGAAUCAAAAGGAAAUUUAUUCUCAUGAAAAAUAGCAUCACCCGAUUCUAUCACAAUAUUAUCUUCAAGAUUAAAAUAUCUAUAGGCUGUACUAUUUGAAUCAUAACCAAGAAAAACACAAGUAGUAACUUUCUUACCCAAUUUUGUGAUCUUGGGAUCCAUUAGCCUCACAAAGGCUAGACAACCCCAAACUCUUAGAUAUCCCAAACUUGGCUUGUAACCUUUUCCACAAUUCAAAAGGUGUCAAUUUAGACUUUUUAUGAGGCACACGAUUUAACACAUAACAAGCAGUCAAAAUAGCUUAACCCAAAAAUUUAAAGGUGCAUGUGACUCAAUAAACAUGACAUUAAUUAGUCAAUUCAACCAAAGUUCUAUUUUUUUCUUUCCGCUACACCAUUAGAUGAGGGAGAAUAAGGAGGAGUAGUUUCAUGAAUUAUUCCCAAUGAUCUAACAAAAGAAUUAAACUCAUUUGACUCAUAUUCACGGCCUCUAUCACUUCUAAUUCUUUUAUUUUCUUUCAAAUUGAUUUUCAACCUCAUGGAGAUAAGUUUUGAAAUUUUCAAAAGCAUCACUUUAUUUUUCAUCAAGUAAACAUAUGUAAACUUAGAAAAAUCAUCAAUGAAAAGUGAUAAAAUAUCUAUUACCUCCACGAGUUAAAAUUCCACCAAGUUCACAAAUAUCAAUAUGAACUAAUUCUAACAAAUCAGUUUUUCUUUCAACUUGAAAAUGAGACAUUUUAGUGAUUUUGUCUUUACUACAAGCCUCACACUAUUCAAAAUUCUUUUUAAUCAUUGGAAUUAAUCCUAAACUACUCAUGAUUCCACCAUAACGAUCAUUAAUAUGACACAAACGAGCAUGCCAAAAAUUAGUAGAAGAAAACAUAUAAACAGAAGUAGAAGCUUUAUUCACUUCUACAUUCAAUUUGACCAUCCCAUUACAAACAUAUCCCUUUUCCACAACAAUAUCCUUCUUCACAAUUACAUAUCGAUCAGAUUCAAUAAUCUGUUUAAAACCUGCUUUAUUAAGAAGAAAACUAGACAUCAAAUUUUUUCUCAUGGAAGGAAUAUAGAGUACAUCUUUCAAAGUUAAUACUCUUACAGAAGUAAAACACAAUUCGACAUCUCCCGUUCCAAGCAUUUGAGUUUUGUGAGAAUCACCAAGCAUGAUGGUUUUGGGCUCCUCAAAAUGAGUAUAUUUUUUAGGACAAAUUACAGAAAUCGCAUACUUUUAAGGCAAAAUUACAAUACAUCACUUAAAAGUUUAUAAUUACAGAAAUCCCUCAAACGGAUAUAAUAAGAUAAGCGCUGAUACAUUAAUUUGAUACGCGAGAUACAAUAAUAUAAGUGAUGAUACAUGCGCGAGAUACAAUAAUAUAAGCGCUAAUACAUUAAUCCUAUGCGCGAGAUACACUAAUAUAAGCACUGAUACACUAAUCUGAUGCACGAAAAUGAGGAAUUUUGGAGAUUUGUAAAACUUAUAGGGGAUAAUGGUAAUAAGUAAACUAAAAGGUGGGAUUUCUGUAAUUUUUCCUAUUUUUUAAACCAGUCUUUGUCAUUACAGACUUGACGGUUUGCACCAGAAUCAACCCACCAUCCAUCAACAAUCUCAACCAUGUUUAUGUCGAUAAUCACCCCCCAAAAGGUUCUUCGGUAACGUUUGCCUGAGGGUUAGGACCACGUUUUCAGAAUCUGCAAAAUCGAGCAAUAUGCCCACUCUUGCCACAAACAAAGCACGGUCCCUUAUCUUGAACUUGUUGAUUUUGUGCUUGGUUAUUUUCACCAUUAUUUUUCUUAGGAGGUCUACUAUUAUUUUUCUUAAAUUUUUUCUUCUUAGUUCAAAGAAGUAUUUUUGUGAGUUUCAAGAGUAGCAUUAUUUGAAGUAAUUAAAUUUACCUUCGUUGUGAUGUUGCUCUCUUCUUUUUGUAAAAGUGCAUCUUGGCCCCUUGCCUCUACACCAUCGUGCUUUUCCACUUUCCCAUGAUGAGAAAUAAGUUCAUCAUCAUCUAUGGAGGUAUCAUCAACUUUAUUAGGAUUCUUUUCAGUUAACACAUAAGAAACACUGAGAAGAUUUAAGUAGAAAAGUACUUUACCCUUCCAUCUUUUGAAAUGGUUACCAUUGAACCGAUAUGGCUUGUUCAGGUCUACCAUCUUGACAUCUGCGGUUUUUUCAAUUAUAGCCAUUAUUGAAUCUCUUUAAAAUUGUUAGUGAAAAAUUACAAUAUAAUAAAAUUGCAAGAUUACAAUUGAAAAUAAAAUAAAGAAAAUAAAUCUCUUCAGGUUGAGGCGCGAAUUUCUCGCUAUCUUUAGGGAGAUUCGAGUCCACCGCAACAAAUAUUUUUCAUAGGUCCAGUAGUAGUCCUUCUUGACUUGUUCCCGAUACAACAACCUUACACAAAGUAUAACUCAACAGUACAACUCUGGACAAGAGUUGAGUCCAAAGCACCACAAAAAGAACACCUCCCUUCAACUAAUAAGAACUCUCUUUUUUUACUAACUCUUUCACUCUAUAUUUUUCUUGUGUAUUGUGUGUUCCAAACCAAAUGAAGGCCACCACUAUUUAUAGUUGGGAUGUCUUCCUAGCAAUGAAUAGGAGGAUAAUGGGGUAGUAAAUAGUGAAGAUAAAUGACCUUAAGAGUUACAUAUAUUACAAGGUAUAAUGGAGAAAGAAUGAUGAAGAAUGAAUGGCAAAGGUCACCAACGGCUAAGUGUGCUAACAAGAAAUGUAGUAACAUAACAAACAAUAACUCCAAAUGGAGUAAUGCAGCAAAUAAGUGCCACCAACGGUCAAUGUCAGAAACGUCAAGUAAUGGGCAAUUAAGCUUCAAAACAUUGAUUCCAAAAUACAAUCAAAGUGGCCACUAACAUUCUGAUAGGAAUAGCUGCAAGAGGAAUCACUACAAAAGGAACUCCAAUUACCAAUAAAAAAAAUCGCUGGUAAAUUGAGUUAUCAACCAAAUGCCAACUUAUAUUAAUCCGCUGCUAAAAGGCUCAUCGGUAAAUAUUACCAACUGAUUUUAAUUUAUUGAUAAACUUAUCAACCAAAAAUCAAUUGGCAAACACCCAAAGAUGUUGUUACAGAACUUUGAAACAUGGUCCUGAAAUUUCUGAUAGGAAACUUUUCCAGAUACAUUGGUAAUUGGUUGGCAAUUUUAAUAAUAUAAAAUUUAUGUUGGUAAUUUACCAAUAAAUUUGUAAUACUUUUUUUUUUGGUUUCCCAUCCGGUGUUCGGUAUCCACAUUGGAGCCCGACUGAAUCCGGAUUCACGCCGGGAAGUCCCACAUUGGGUAGUAAAGCGCUCUCUAACAAAGGCGACUCCAUACCUAAGGGGAAUCGAACCUGAGACCUCUUGGUUAAUGAUGAAGGAGUACUUAUCACUCCACCACAACCCUUGUUGGUAAUAAAUUUUAAAUAGCGUUAGUAUUAUUAUUUGUUUUUCUAAUAAAUUUACUAAGUGAUUGUUAGUUUGUUGGUAAUACAUCAUUCAAGGCGACUCUGUAUCCAAGGGGAAUCGAACCUAAGAUCUCUUGGUUAAGGAUGCAGGAGUACUUACCACUCCACCACAACCCUUGUUGGUAAUAAAUUUUAAAUACGUUAAUAUGAUUAUUUGUUUUUCGAAUAAAUCUACUAAUUGAUUGUUAGUUUGUUGGUAAUAUAUCAUUCAAGUUCAAUGUUAGGUUAGUAAUUGAUUGACAAUAUGCUCAAAAUAUUAUUAAAUGAAUGAUUAUCCAAUAGUAAAAUAUUUAUUAAUUUAUUGCAUUUAGAAAUCUAAGAGCACGAAUAUAAAUCCAAAAAUAUUAAUAUCAAUUUUAUAAAUCAUAUUUGAAUGAAACAAUGUAAAAUCUAUGAUAACAAGUUAAAUUAAUCUCAAUAUGUCACAUAUCAUUAUAUCAAAUUUUUUAAUUUGAGCAUGUUUACCAAAAAUAUUGACCAAAUCUAAAUUUUGGCCAAAACUUAAAAGAUAAAACACCUAACAACACAAACUAAAAAUGGAACCCUCAAAACCUGAACCAACCAUCAUAUUAGAUAUAAAAAUGACCUUUCGAAGCUAAUCACACUGACAGAAUUCUCAUCAGAGCACGUUUACAAAAAAUGUUACGCAAAGUCAAAUCUUGGCCAAAAGUUAAAAUUUAAAACGCCUAACGGUACAAACGAAAUAUGAAAACCUCAAAAUCCAAACCAACCAUCCUAUAAGACGAAAAAUGACCUUCUAGAUCUAACCGCGUUGACAAAAUUCAAAUUUGAGCAUAUUUCCCAAAAAAAAUUGACCUAAUUCAAAUUUUAGCCAAAAGUUAAAACGCUUAACGACACAAACUGAAAAUAAAAGUCUCAAAACCCAAACCAACCAUCCUAUGAGACCAAAAUUGAACUUAUAUGGCUAACUGCAGUGACAAAAUUUCAAUUCGAGCACGAUUACUAAAAAUAUUGACUAAAGUAAAAUUUUGGCCAAAACUUAAAAGUUAAAAUGCCUAACGGCACAAACUAAAAAUGGAAGCCUCAAAACCCGAACCCUCUAUCUUAUUACAUCAAAAAUGACCUUCCGCAUCUAACUGCACUGACGAAAUUCUCAUCUGAGCACGUUUAUCAAAUAUAUUGACCGAAGUUAAAUUUUGGCCAAAAUUUAUCAGUUAAAACACCUAAGGCACACACUAAAAAUGAAAGCCUCAAAACCCGAACCAACCAUCUUAUUAGAUAAAAAAUGACCUUUGGAGUUAAUUACGCUGACGGAAUUCUCAUCUGAGCACGUUCACAAAAAUAUUGACCAAAGUCAAAUUUUGGCCAAAACACAAGAUUUAAAACACCUAACGGCACAAACAAAAAACGGAAGAGUCAAAACUUGAACCAACCUUCCUGUUAGAUAAAAAAUGACCUUUCGAGGCUAAUGACACCGAUAAAGUUCUAAUAUGAGCACGUUUACCAAAAAUAUCGACCAAAGUAAUCAAGUUUUGGCUAAAAUUUAAAAGUUAAAACGCCUAACAACACAAACUGAAAAUGGAAGCCUCAAAACCUGAACCAACCAUCCUAUUAGAUAUAAAAAUGACCUUCCAAAGCUAAUCGCGCUGACGAAAUUCUCAUCAGAGCACGUUUACAAAAAAUGUAAAGCAAAGUCAAAUUUUGGCCAAAAGUUAAAAGUUAAAACGCCUAACGGUAUAAACUGAAUAUGAAAACCUCAAAAUCCAAACCAACCAUCCUANNNNNNNNNNNNNNNNNNNNNNNNNNNNNNNNNNNNNNNNNNNNNNNNNNNNNNNNNNNNNNNNNNNNNNNNNNNNNNNNNNNNNNNNNNNNNNNNNNNNNNNNNNNNNNNNNNNNNNNNNNNNNNNNNNNNNNNNNNNNNNNNNNNNNNNNNNNNNNNNNNNNNNNNNNNNNNNNNNNNNNNNNNNNNNNNNNNNNNNNNNNNNNNNNNNNNNNNNNNNNNNNNNNNNNNNNNNNNNNNNNNNNNNNNNNNNNNNNNNNNNNNNNNNNNNNNNNNNNNNNNNNNNNNNNNNNNNNNNNNNNNNNNNNNNNNUGGUUGGUAAUCUGUUAGAAUUUCGUUGUUAAGUUUUAAAAUAUAAUUUAGUCAGAAUAUGUUGGUAAUUUGUUAGUAGAAUACUAACCAACUUAAGUUGUUAGUAAAAUCUGUUGACAAUUUGGGUUUUUUUUUGUAGUGAAUGGGAAAUAUGCACCUUAACCAUUAUUACUAAUAUUAAAAUGCUCCCAAACCAACAACUAAUGCUAAGAAAAGUCUUAUUCAUAUCAUUGAUCAAUCAAUUUUUAUUUUUUAUGUAUUAUUAUAUAAACAUUUUGUCUUAAUUGGAGAAGGAGUUUACUGAUUGGAAUCUAAAAUUGUUAAGAUUGUUUUUAACAAGGCUAAAAAUAGAAGGUGUCCUUCUAAGGAAAUUGGGAGAGGUACUAUCAAUAUAGCAUAGGCCAUAGCAGCUUAUUUUGGAAAAUGACUAUUCAAACUUUAUUUUAGAAUGUGAUUUCCUGAUUAUAAUUAAUAUGAUCAAGGAUAUAUCUCAAAUGGCCUGAAAAUUGCUGCAAAAGAAAGAAUAUAUUCUGAGUAACUAGCUAUGAUUUGUCUUUCUUUAGUUUUUGUUGGACCUGUUUUCAAGGUAGUAUAUUAAUGCUUAUUAACGGAAGUUUACGCUAUCGUCCCUCUCUACUUAUUCUCUGUAUAAAUUUUGGAUUAAAUAAAAGGAUUACACAGCUAAAGACAUAAAAUUUUACAUUAAAAAAAUGCAAAUUCAUGAAGUUUGGGGGGUGGGGGUGGGGGUUAAUGUUUCAUUUAUUAAUUAAUUCUAUUUUUAAUUCACUCAAUUUACUCCAUGUAAGAGAGUUGCACUAAUUCAAGCUAAAUAGGUAGUCGAUCUAGAUUGACUCACGACUUGGCCGACUCUUACUUUAAAAAAAUCAAGGCAUAUGCCUUAGGCUCUUAAUUUUGGAGGGAUUAAUUUUUUUACUAAGAAUAAAUGAUGUGUUAAUUUUUUUAUUUAUAGAAAAAUGAUAGUUAUUUUAUUCUCGGGUUUGAGCCCUGGAUAUGGAGAAAAUCCGGUUGGGAGCGCCACACCCGAAUGAGCCCUGCAGAGCGCGAUCCAAAUUUAGUCGGAGCUCUAAUGUGGAUUCCAAACAUCGAGUGAGAAAAAAAAACAUUUAGACUUAGUAAGAGUUGGAUGGGCAGCUCGUUUCAUGGCCCAUAAUUUAGCUAUCUUAAACCCAAUUCAUUUCCUUAGGUCCAAGUAAUAUUUAGAUUGGAUCAUAAACUUAUUCAUUUAGCAUCUCAUUAUAAUUCAAUCCGUCCCAUAUCUGACACCCUUCUUAAGCAUGAAAGUAUGUAUGGAUCACACAUUCAAACACAAAUUAAAUGUAUCGGAUAUGCAUGACAAUUAAAGGACAUGCAUAUUCGAACAUAGCUAGCUAGCUAGCUUGUUUUAUUCAUAACUCAUAAGCAUACAUUAAUUAAAAUUACAUAGAGCCUGGAGACGCAUCCACUUUAAUUUAUUCCUUAACGAAGACAAUGGGAAGAUGGUUUUCACCGGAAGCCACGAGAGGAUAUAAUCCGUAAUCAAAAGUCAAGUUCACACAAUUAAGUUGAGGGGAAUCCGUACAAUACAUUAAGUUGUAUGCAUUUUCCAAUUCUUGUUCCUCCGUCGUCUCAUAUUUCAAAAUCUUGAACAAGUUGCUUUCAGUUCCUAUGGUACCACCAGUCACCACGAACUGAUCUUUAUCAUCACUAACUUUCCAAAUAGUUUCGUUAAAACUGGGACUAGAUAUAUCAAGUGUUGAGAACAUGAUAUCAAUGCCAUCCGUUUCACGCACCACAUCAUCAUCAUUAUCAACCUUAAGAACGAAUUUCACGGGGGUGCCUUUUCCUAUCAAACCGGGAAUCGGUACGUGCUGCAACACGGUGUUUGGGCAUUCAAGGUGUCCAAUAUUGGCCAAGUAUACGGAUUCCGCCUCCAAUGAGAGGAUUAUGAAUAAUGUACUUUUCACCAAUGUACGUAGUGUGGUAGGCGGUCCAUGUCCAACACUUGAGGGGCUACAUCAUCAUCAUCAUCAUUAUUAUUAUUAUUAUUAUGAGUAGUUGUGGGAAGGACAAUGGGAUUGUUGGAAGUGAAAGAUCGACAAAAGGCAACAAAGGGAAACAAAGAGAGUAAGAGGAAACUCAAAAUAUUAAUCAACUUCAUCUUUAAUUUGAGUGUGUUGUGUGUAUAUUUUGCUUACUCUAUCUCCAAUUUAUAGACCACCACAUGUAUGUAACAACAUUUUUGAGAAACAAAAAAUGCCUACCUUUUAGGUUAGGUUAGUGACAUGAUUUAUUAACUAGAUCUAAUUAUAAGUAGUAUAAAGACUUUCUAUUUUAACAAUGAAUUAAAAAUAUUUAUAUAUAUAUAUAUAUAUAUUGUUAGAAAACAUAAGCAAUGUGGAGAAAUUUUCUGUGUAUUUCUUCAUGAAAAAACUCACUGUACAGCCUUCUAGUAUAUAUACAAAUUCUAUUCUAUCCUAAAUUGUGUGAACUAUGAAAUUAAUGCAAUAUGUAUUUACACUUGUCAUUUCAUUAUUGGUCUUCUUCUAACAAACUCCAAACGGCUGUCAUGUGCCAUAUGUGUGCUAUGGUUGAGAAAUAUCUAGAAUUGUACAACUGUAGCAUACAGCUGGAUGGCUCUGAUUAAUUUGAUUCAAUAAGAGAUCUUUGCCCCUGAUGUUGCCACGCAUCCUUUGGACCUUUUGUAUGCCUAUGUUGUUUUUGUUUGAAACUAGGAGAACUUUGAACAUUGUUUCCUUUCAUCUCCUUCUUUUCUUUUUCUGUAAAAUCACCAUGGCCAUAAUCAUGAUGUUCUUGAUUCUCAACACCCCCCUUCAAGGUGGAGGGGAGAGAAACGACACCCAACUUGGAAAGAAUCGAGAAGUGUGAAGGACCGGAGAGGGCCUUUGUGAACAGAUCAGCCAACUGAGCAGAGGAUGGAACAAAAGAUAGAGAGAUCAACCCGGAAAGGAACUGUUGUCUCACGAAGUGGCAAUCAAGCUCAACAUGCUUGGUUCGUUCGUGAAACACUGGAUUCUUCGCAAUAUGAAUAGCAGCUUGGCUAUCAGAGUGAAGAGGCACAAACAAUGAUGGAGAAAUGGACAGAUCUAGAAGAAGUCGGGUUAACUAGGUAAGUUCCGCAGUAACUCUCCUCAUAGACCUGUAUUCUGAUUCAGCGGAAGAUAGUGAAAUAAAGGCUUGUUUCUUGGACUUCCAAGAAAUUGGUGAGCCACCAAUGCUAAUAAAGAAACCACUAAUAGAUCUCUGACUAUCUCGACAAGAUGCCCAAUCAGCAUCACAUAGCAAUCAGGGAAGAUGAUGAUGUAGGAUUGAAGAAUUGACCUUGGUUUGGAUUGAGUCGUAGAUAUCUCAACACUCGAAGUGCAGCAUCAAAAUGGCCCUGACACGGCUGUUGCAUAAAUUGACUAAGAGUGAGGACUAAGAAUGAAAGGCCUGGCCGUGUAUGUGUGAGAUAGUUCAAUUUACCUACUAAUCUCCUGUAAAUGGAAGGAUCUGCAAGUAAAGGACCUGAUGAACUAGUGAGCUUAGAACAAGUGUCAAGUGGAGAGGAGACUGUAAAUAGAGAUGUGCAAUCAAAUUCUUGUAACAAAUCUAGUGUGAAUUUUCGUUGACUGAUAAUACAACCAUGUUCUCCCCUUAAAAUUUCCAUGCCAAGAAAAUAAUGAAGCUCCCCUAAGUCCUUGAUUUGGAAUUCAGAGUUGAGAAAAUCCUUCAUAGUGACAGUUUCAAUAAGAUCAUCCCCGGUAAUCAAAAUAUCAUCAACGUAGACAGCAAUAAUUGAAAUCAGAUCCCCUGUUUUCUUGAAAAACAAAUAAUAGUCAUUAAGAGAUGUUGUAUAUCCUUUAAAAGUUAGGGCUCCUGCAAGCUUGGCAUACCAUUGCCUUGAAGCUUGUUUGAGCCCAUAUAGUGACUUUUGAAGCCAGCAAACAUGAUUGGGACUGAGUGAUGCCAUUCCUGAAGGAAACUUCAUGUAGACUUCCUCUUGAAGGUCUCCAUGAAGAAAAACAUUAUUAACAUCAAAUUGUGAAAUGGACCAACCUUUCUUGACUACAAUGGCAAUGAGACACCUAAUGGUUGUCAUUUUGACAACUGGGGAAAAAGUCUCAGUGUAGUCUAUGCCUUCCCUUUGUAUGUCAUCUCUUAUCACAAGUCGUGCCUUAUAUCAUUCAAUUGAUCCAUCAAAAUGUUGUUUAAUUUUGUAUACCCAUUUGCAAGGUAAAGCCUUCUUGCCAGUAGGUAACAACAUGACCUUUCAUGUAUUGUUUUCUUCCAAAGAUGUAAUCUCUUUUUGCAUUGCAAGCUGCCAAUUAGGAUCCAAACUAGCUUGUUUGAAACUAGUAGGUUCUGAGUGAGCACUAAUAGAACCAAGGAGAUGUUGAUUCUGUAAGGAUAAAGCUCCAAAAGAAAAAGUAGAUGAGUGUGCAGGUUGUGCUAAACAAGUGUCUGAAAUGUUAGUGAGAAACAUAUGAUUAUAGACAAAAUCAUUUAGCUAUGCAGGCCUCUUACUUUCCCUGUUAGAUUUUCGGAUAACAGGUGUGGAAGGAGGAGGAGAUACAAGGAGAAAAGAAGGGGAAAACGAAGGAUAGGAUUGAGAAGAUGAGCUAGAGGAGGAUGAAAGAAUAUGUAGGGUUGAAGAGUCAAUAGAGGAGUCAGGAGUGAGGGAAGAAAUAGGAAAAAUUGGCUCAGAAUCUGAUUGAAGAUUUGAGAAAGGGAAAAUGUGCUCACAAAAUUGAAUAUCUCUAGAUAUAAAGAUCUUUUUAGAUGAUAUGUCAAGAAGCUUGUAUCCUUUUUGGCCCUGUGGGUAGCCCAAAAAUAAACAAGCAAUGGCCCUGGGAUCAAACUUGUUUCGAUUACUGUGCAAAGUAGAGGCAUAACAUAGACAAUCGAAAGCUCGCAAAACUUAUAAUCAGGACAUUUCUGAAAAAGAAUCUCAUAAGGGGUUUUCCCAUGAAGUACUCUGGAAGGAAUUCGAUUAAUAAGAAAAGUAGCAGUCAAUAAACAAUCCCCCCAGUAGCAUUAAGGAAGUUUGGAUUGAAAAAGUAAAGCCCUUGCAAUUUCUAAUAAAUGUCUAUGUUUCCUCUCAACAGCCCCAUUUUGUUGAGGUGUAGCAACACAAGAUGUUUGAUGAAUAAUCCCUUUUGACCUCAAAAAUUCUGCUUCAUGUACCCCUUUCCCCAACUCUAGAGCGUUAUCAGAUCGAAGCGUUUUCACCUUAAGGUCAAAUUGUCUCUCAACCAUGAAUAAAAAAUGUUUCAAAACAGAUAAAACAUUACUCUUAGUAGUUAAUGUGUAUGUCCAAGUACCCCUACUAAAAUCAUCAACAAGAGUAAGAAAAUACUUAUAUCCAUGGUAAGUAGGAACUUUGAAAGGUCCCCAAGUGUCCAUAUGAACCAGUUCAAACACCCUUUUAGAAGUAACAUGAUUAAUGGAGAAGGGUAAUCUGGUUUGUCUAGAAAGGGGACAUAUGUCACACACAAGAAUAAUUAGAAGGAAAAGAAAUGAAACUGAAUUUUUUCAUAGCUGAAUAAAGCAAAUGGCCUAGUUUGGCAUGCCAAAGAGCUACAUCAGAAACAACACUAGCAAAAAAAGGAGAACAAACAGGAACAGUUUUGGAAUCACUUCCUUUUGGUAAAGAAACUACAUUACAUGGAGAUUAAAUACUAGCACUAGAAAUGACAGAUUCUAAAAAUAAAGACCCUCUUCAGCUUCACCAAAAUCUUGUUUCCUCAUCAUUGAACGGUUCUGCAUGACACACUUUUAAGGAUUAAAUAAGAGAAAACAACCAAACUGGCUACAUAACCUAUGAACAGACAACAAAUUAUAUCUGAAAGAAGGAACAAAAAGAACAUUCUAUAGAAUAAGAGUAGGAAAAAUGGCUAUGCUAUCAGUGUGUGUGACCUUAAUCCUGUAAGAAUUAGGUAAAUUUAUAGUGACAGGUGCUGGAAGAGAGACAAGAUUGAGAAAGGAAGUAUGCUUAUAACACAUGUGUUCAGAAGCCCCUGAGUCUAUGAUCCAAGUAUGAGAGUUAAAAACAGAGAAACAUGAACUAGAAUAUUGAGUAAUAGUACCAGCCACAUCAUUUGCAUUAAUCUCUGAGCUAGUACCAGCUCCAGGAGUGGUCUGUCCUUGUUUGAACAUCUGUUUCAUAUGUGAAAUUUGACUCUUACUCAGAAUCUUCAUAUACAAUGGGUGAAUGUCCAUAAUUGUCCUCAAUAAGUGCUUCAUUCCCCUUGAUAAGUGUUUGAAAUCCUUUAGUGAACUAAAAAUCUUCUGGGUACCCAAUCAAUCUAUAACAGUCAUCUUCUACAUGCCCAGUCUUUAGACAAUGAGUACAACUCACAUUAGGAUUGUAUUUCUUCCUUCUUACUUUUCUUGGAUUCUGGGGUGUAAAAUUCCUUUGAGGAUUUGCUGAAGGCCUUUGUCCCUGAGGUUGCCCACCAGAAUGUUGAAAUUGUCCUCCAGACCUCUGUGAAGACUGACCUGGAUGACCAGGCUUCUGCAUUUGGUUUCCAAGUUUCAUUUGGGAAUUGUGGAUUAAUAUAAACUUUUCUCUGAUUCUCAUCCUGAAACAAGAGAGAGUAAGCAUGGUUGAUUCCUGGCAAAGGAUUCAACAUGAGAAUAUUACCCCUUGCCUGAGCAUAAAGAUCAUUCAAUCCCAUAAGAAAUUGAAUUAGCCGAUAAUCUUCAACAAAUUUAGUCAUCUUUUGCUUCCCUGUACACACACAAGGACAUGUACAACCAACAUGAGAGUUGAGAAAAUCCAACUCAUCCCACAACCUUUUUAAUUUAGUGAAAUACCCUGCUAUAUCAUUGGAUCCUUUUACUAACCCAGUCAUUUAUUUUUGCAGGUGGUAUAAUUUAGCACCAUUCAACUAGCCAAAUCUCUGUUCUAGAUCUGUCCAGAGGUCCUUGGCAGUCCUGGAGUAGAUGGCAGAGUGAGCUAUAUCCAUGGACAACGAGUUAAGUAGCCAAAAAGUUACCAUGUCAUUGCAUUUAUGCCAAGAAGAAAAAGUGGGUGUUGUGUUCAAAGGCUCUACACAACUACUAUCAAUAAAACCCAGCUUGUUCUUAGCCGACAAAGCAAUUAGGACAAAUCUCAUCCAUCCCUGGUAAUCCCUCACAUCGAAGGUGCUAUUAACAAGAUUCAUACCUGGUGCAUCUGAAGCAUGAAGAAAAAGAGUAUUACUAAAAUAAAAAAUACUGCCCAUUGCAGUUUGACCUACAACAAUAGGAGCUAUAGCAGUAGGAAUGACCUCUUCUGUAUCCAUGAUUCAAAAAGGGAGGAUGAACACAUAAAUUUGUAGAAGAGCAAAAAAAUGUGGAUUUUAAUGCUCUGAUACCAUGUUAGAAAACAUAAGCAAUGUGGAGAAAUUUUCUGUGUAUUUCUUCAUGAAAAAAAUUACUGUACAGUCUUCUAGUAUAUAUACAUAUUCUAUUCUAUCCUAAAUUGUGUGAACUAUGAAAUUAAUGCAAUAUGUAUUUACACUUGUCAUUUUAUCAUUGGUCUUCUUCUAACAAACUCCAAACGGCUGUCAUAUGCCAUACAUGUGCUAUGGUUGAGAAAUAUCUAGAAUUGUACAACUGUAGCAUACAUAUGGAUGGCUCUGAAUAAUUUGAUUCAAUAAAAGAUCUUUGCCCCUGAUGUUGCCACGCGUCCUUUGGACCUUUUGUAUGCCUAUGUUGUUUUUGUCCGAAACUAGGAGAACUUUGAACAUUGUUUCCUUUCAUCUCAUUCUUUUGUUUUUCUGUAAAAUCACCAUGUCACGACCCAAAAUGAGUCGUGAGUGGCACCCACACUUAACCUCCUAAGUGGGCGAACCAAGGAAUCUAAAACCUAACAUAUAUCAAUAAUUCAACUAUGAAUAACAAUAAGGUACGGAAGCUCAAAACUUGUUAAAGUAACCAAUCAAAUAAAUUUCAAAGGUCUAUUACAUAUUAUCCCCAAAAACUGAAAGUCAUCACAUCAAGGACAUCUAAUCUUCAAAUACUAAGUCUAAGAGUAUUGAGGACACAAAAAUAAAUGAAUAAAAUAGUUUAUGUCCGAAAACUUAGGACAUCAUGCCAUGACCAAGAGAAUCUAACACGAGUCGGAAUGAAUAGCUCACACUAGAACCUAAUGUGCUGGAGACUGGAUAGAGCUGAGGGCGAAUCAAAGUCACUGAUACACUCGCUGCACUCCACAAAAGAAAAUAAAGAAAAAAUACAAGUAGGGUCAGUAUAGGGCAACAUGUACUGAGUAAAUAUUAUCGGUCAACCCAAAAUAGAAACUAACAUGUAAUGAAUAAUAGUAUAAAAUCAACUAUGACACUUAGAAGGUGGCAAGCAACAAACACAUGAACCAGUGUCAACCACACUAAAGUAAGUACGUAAUCAAUCAACAAUAUCAAUAUCACACAUGAGGACUCAUGCCUCCAAACCAAACUAAUUUGGGAAUUGAGUUCUUUGAAAUUGAGUACAUUAAGUUAAUUCAAUAUAUUUUUCCUUUAAUGUUACCGUGUCGGAACGUGACACUCCGAUCAAAUUAUACUGUGUCGAAACGUGACACUCCGAUCCAAUUAUGCCGUGUCGGAAUANNNNNNNNNNNNNNNNNNNNNNNNNNNNNNNNNNNNNNNNNNNNNNNNNNNNNNNNNNNNNNNNNNNNNNNNNNNNNNNNNNNNNNNNNNNNNNNNNNNNNNNNNNNNNNNNNNNNNNNNNNNNNNNNNNNNNNNNNNNNNNNNNNNNNNNNNNNNNNNNNNNNNNNNNNNNNNNNNNNAUCCAAUUAUAUCAUUAAUUUAUUUCAUCAAGCCUUCUUUAUUCAAGGCAUCACUUCGAUAGAGAGAGUUUCAGAUUAUAAAUUUCAUGGUCUCAGGAUUUUAGACCAAUCACAAACCAUACAACCCAACCACACAAAACCACACAAUCCACUACAUAGAGAACUUCACAAUAUCACUCAAUACAUAUUAGUCACUAUUAAGAGUCUAACUAUCGAAAUAGAAUAAACCAUAACCUACCUCCACCGAAGAACUGACGUCAGACAAGCUACUUCUCCAAUGACUUUCCUUUCCGCAAUGCCUCUGAACCUUUCCAAUCUAUCAAGUAUAUAUGCAUAAUUUGUAAGUUAACAGGCCUAUAAACACUCAUAUUAGUCUAUGUCCAGCCUAUACCCAAAAACUCCCCUAAUUCUAUAAUCAACUUCCUAAAGUUCAAACCUAAGAGUAAGUCUUAAUUCCUCCCAUUAGCAUAACUUUAAUGUAAUUCAUAUAAUAUACUACACCUUGUAUUUUAUUACCUCUAUCUCAAUAUAUCAAAUUUUAGUUUAUAAUAUGGUAAAACUGAAGCCACUAGUCACGAUAUCAGUGGCAGCCAACACAUGAAACCACAAAAUAAACUAACCAAAGAAAACAAAUGUAACACGGAGACCUAGGAAACCCAUCCAAAAUAUGGACAUAACAAUGACAAUUCAAUUCUAUAAACUUUCACCUGCAAUCCACUCUUUAACUCAAUAAACAAUAAUUUACCACUUAUUGUUUUAGUACUUCAUAAUAAUUUAAUCAAACCAAUUAACCAGCAACUAACCAUUGGCACCAAUUACUUUAGUUCCUGAUUAUUUUCUCCAUUAGUCAUAUCAAUAUGCACACACUUAUAAAUUGCAGACUAUCUCACUUAUGACAAUACACUAUACACCUCAUUCCUAACUCAAUUAAAUAAUCUCACUGGAAAUCAGCCAAUCCGUGGGAGACAAAUUUGUCUCCAACAAUCCCACCCUAACGCCAUUAAUCACCAAAAUUCAACCUAGCACUACUACUAAAAAUUUGUUCUUUUCAAUUUCCCGUCUAAUAACAAUAAUAUAAUAAUAAUCAUAAAGCCUUUGCUCAUAUUCACAAAAUACAUAUUGGAUUUUACCUGAAGCACUCGUCGGCCUAUCUUCAAAUUGUAUCACCGUAGUUGAAGUUCUCUUGAGUUAGAAUGGGAACUUGAUAAAAAGGAAACAUACUUACCUCUUCUAAAACUUACUCAACUCAAGGAAUAUUCAAAUUAAAACUACUCAACUUACUCAACUAAGAAGUAUGCAAGGAUAAGAUACUCAACUCAAAGAUAUGAUAUUUUUGGGAGUGGUAGAAGUGACCCACUAUUAAUUCUAAUUCUAUUUUUCUUAACCACCAACUAAAUAAAUUAUUAAAACUACCCUAUAAAUUUUAUAAUUGUAGUUACGAAUAGUCGAAAACACUCAUUUAAAAUCUAGCGAAAGAGUAUUUUAUACAAUAAAAGCUCUAAUACUCAAAACGAUCAAAUGGGCCGUUACAUUAGAUAUCAAUUUAGCCAUCGUUCGUCCUCGAAUGAUCAAAAGAAGGCGAGGGUAAUGAAGGGUAUCUGAAUCGAUAAAAAGGUGUGGAUAUCUUUCAUGCAUAUCAGCCUCACUCUCCCAACUGGACUCUUCAAAUGGAUGAUUCUUCCACUGAACCUUGACACAACCAUCAAGACAAAUAUUUUCUAACAUAACCAUGAUACAAUCCUGAAUCAUUAUUGGCUACAACCAUGAGUGAACCAGAACCAGCCACCACACACUCAUAAUGUGAAAAGGAUUCAUCUAAAAAGUAUUACCCUUUUCUACCCAUAAUGGCUACAUGGUUUUCAUGGAGACUUGAGUUAAUAAUCUUAUCAAGAUUACAUCCUCACAACAAAAUAUUUCCUUGAGCUUAAGCUAUAAAAAUAUGAAUCUUUAGACAGCAAGUAAUCAUCUAGGAGAAUCGAACUCAUCUGAUCCAAAGAUGGAAAUGAUCAAGUAACCUCCAUCGAGUGAUACGCCCAAGCAUACAAAACCUCUAACAACACUGUCGAAAUGCUAGAUUAGUAGCUAUUAUAGACAAACCUUAAGAAUGACAAAACUAGACACAAUGGUCCCUACAUUCAUUCACACAUAGCCAAAACAUGAUACCGAUGAUGAGAUAAAUCUUAAGUCUAUCAAAAAAUUGUAAAUUUUCAUGGUAGCUCUCUUAUAAAUUCUCAUAAGCAAAGUUGUGCAUGUAGAAUCACUAGUAUACUUUAACUAUCCCAAACAACACCAAAUCUUCCAGAACUGGGAUGAACAAGUCUAACCGAGGAUGCCACCCUACCAGGAGGACAAUCACGAAAUCGGUACACACAAUCCACUACUAGGGACUCACCCAUAGAAGCGAAAACACCCACGGAAGAAGAAAGUAAAUUAUACUCUAAACCUUAUUUCAUCUACAGUUUUACAGCUUUCCAUAUAUUGCUUCUUUUAUUGUUGCUUUAUUCUUGAGUAUCUUGAGUUGAAUUGUGCUUCAUCAAGUCGAGUACCUUAUUGUUGAGUUGAGCCUUAUUUCCCUGAGUUAAAUAUCUUAUCCUUUGAGUUGCAUAUCAUAUUCUUAAGUUGAGUCGAGUAAGUGAGUUAAGAAGAGGUAUGUAUGUUUUAUUUUUAUUAAUUUCAAGCUUGUAUUUAUGCUUUAAAAUUCCCCUUACAUGCUCGUACAUUUCACGUAUUGAGCCAUCGGACUGCAUCCUUUCAUGAUGCAAACACAUUUAUAUUCAGGGUCAUCAAUAGUGUAACAACCCGAGGCUACACCCUGUACGUUGCCAGCACUCGAGAACCAUUGAUGGUCCCCAAGUGAACUCUUAUCCUGGCUAACUACAAGCGGAAAACUGAUUCAAGCAUACAAAGCUUAAAAACUGAAUAAAAUCAAAAACUCAAAUACAAAAGCUUUAACUCAAAAGAAAACUCUGAAUAAAAAUAAGAUAUUCAACUCGCCAUAAAAUAGGCAACUUAAGUCUUUAAAACAUUUAAUAAAAUAAAUGAAUAAUACAGACUUCUCAACUAUACUAACUAUCUAUGAAGCCUCUAACUGAUAAAGAUGGAAGUCGGGACAAGACCCACGACAUCCUGACUAAACUUAAAAGUAAAUGAAAUCUUAUGGAAACAAGGAGGCUCACCAUAGCUAACUCAAACUACCAGAUGUAUCAACGAAUCUCCUGUUGAUAAUCCUGAAUACCUGUGUCUGCAUCAUGAGAAGAUGUAGGCCAAAUGGCUCAGUACGUGGAAUGUACGAGCAUAUAUGGGGAAUUCUAAAAAAUAAACAUAAGUUUGAAACUUGAUAAAAAGGAAACAUAAACAUAAGCUUCAAACUUAUUCAACUCAAGGAUACUAAAAACUACUCAACUUACUCAACUCAGAAGUAUUCAAGGAUAAGAUACUCAACUCAGAGAUUAGAUACUCAACUCAAAUAUAUGAUAUUUGACUCUGGAUACUCAACUCAAUCUAAAGCAACAAUACACAUGCAAUAUAUGGAAAGCUUUAAAAAACAAUAAAACAACUUAGUUCGUUAAAGAAAAUGCAAUAACAAACUCAACUUUACUUAUAUAAUAAAGUAAUAUAGUUUCUAUAAGAGUUUCUCUAACCGACAACCAUCACUUAAGAGCUAUAGUGAUGAUACAACACUUUACCUCAUGCUGCCAAGGACCAUCCUAUAUCUUGCCAUCAGUAUAAGACCUAACUUAUCCUAGUAGAUCCACUAGUCUAUGCGAAAAUGAUUCAUCUAAAAAGUAUUACCCUUUUCUACCCAUGAUGGCUACAUAGUUUUCAUGGAGACUUGAAUUAAUAGGAAACUCGCAUCCCCACAUCGGUGCUCAAUAAUACUCCCAAAAAUAUAAUACUAGCUCUUUAUGUUUAAAACAUACUUCUUUCUUUAGUUUGAGAUAAUUACUCAAAACUUAGCUUAAAAGUUGUCUUGGAAUCGAUGUUCCCUUUCUUGCUCAAACUCUUUUGGAAAUCUCAGUUUCCUUUCAUCUUAAAUGUGAAAACAAUUACUCUUGGCAAUACUUAGUUCCCAUAUAUCAAUUUUAAAGAAAAUGAACUUUACUCUUACUCUUUACUCAACUUCAAAGCUUAAGUCUUAAAACAAAGUUUAAACAUUUGUAAAAGAUUUCUAAAAAUAUGGUUCAUGUCGAUUUAUUGACGUGAAUGACUCAAUGCAAGGUUUUCAAUAACCAUAGAUAGAACUCAAUGCAUGGAACUCAAGAAUUUCAACAAUACUACUCACUUCAAGAAUGCUCAACUAAGAGGGUUCAUGCGGAAUUUAUCAGCAUGAACUACUCAACUCAAGGACUCGAAGAUACUUCUCGUUCCAAGACUGCUCGACUUAUAGGGUUCAUGCGGAAUUAUGGACAUGAAUAACCCAACUCAAGGACUUCAUGGGUAGCAUGUAAUAGUCCCAUGAUUAAGAAUGUAAUUCAAAUGGGUUAGAAACUCAAUACUUAAGACUUAGGACAUAGGGACAUUACUCCUCUCAUAGAUACUCAACUUAUGGAGUUCAUGCGGAAUUUAUGGGCAUGAACGACAUGACUCGUAGGUUCACAUAACAUUAUGGAACUCAUGAUACAACUCUUCUCAUUCUCAUACUUACUUUCUCAAAAUUUAGUUCAAAUCAAUAGUUGAUCUCAAAAGGUUCACAAUCGAACUCAAAGGCUUUUUUGAACUCUACUCUUAACUCUCUUUUGAAUGUGAAUUAUGAAUUCAAGAGUUAUGGUUCAUGCUAUGAAAGAUCUCAUGAUGACAAAGUAUACUCAAGAAUACAUUCUCCUCACUCUCAUGCUCACUUACUCGAAUCUUGAAACAGUUACUAGAAGUUGUAGAAGACUCCACAAAAGGACUCAAAAGGGACUUUCUUAGAAUGUUUAAAAAAAUCUCAAAACUUAAUCUUAGCUCUACCUUGAAUUUGAAUUAUGAAUUCAAGGUUAUGAUCAUGUUAUGAAUGAUUUCUAGGUGUUUAGAAGUAGUUUAAAGAGUUUAGAAUCAAACUGGAGUAAAGGUACCCUUUUAAAGAACUCAAACGGACGAAACGAUGGACAACGGGUGGGGGCAGACGACCCUGGCGCUCUGAGUGGCGUGGGCGCCAGCCCCUAAAAUUCAGAGAGGUGGUUGGGGCGCUCUGGCUGGCACGCCAGGCCCCAACCCAGAAACUUUCGAUGACUUUCCUUGCUCGUUUUCUCACCCAGAAAAUUCAGCAAGUUUCUUUUCUCGUUUUCUCACCCUAUUUCGAAUGGUUUCUUCCCCAAUCACUUAGAAUUGAUUACUUAACAUAAGUACACUCUAAUCUACUCAAUACAUCCCUUAAAACACUCACUUUAAUCCAAAGAAAAACAUCAAAACCCAACACAACAAGAUUUAGAAUGAACUUCAAGAACACUCAUCAAGAACUCAUCAAGAACUCUAAUAUUUCAACUUUAAGAAUAGAAAUUUGCGACUAGAAAAUAACAUGAGUUGGCGUGUGGGUGAACUAAACUAAUACUAUGGAAGCUUAAAUACCUCUUAGGGAUCAAACCCAUGGCGAAAAUCCGCUACAACACGCAAGAAUCUCGACGAACGCUUAAUCCUCUCCUCUUUUCUCCUCUUCUCUCUUCUUUUCUCUUCUUGAACUCUCAACUAAAACCCUAGGCUAAUUUUAGGAUUAUAAAACUGAACCUAGUAGGAUUAGACCCUCAAAAUAUUACUAAAAAUGAAUUGAAUCUGAUUGGGUAAGGAAAAGACCAAAAUACCCCUCUCUAUUUUCGGCAAACUUUCCUUAACUGAACAGCCUAUCUUCAAAAGGCCAUAUCUCACUCAUCCGACCUCGAAACUUAGCAAACUCAGCGGCGUUGGAAAGAUAAUUCAAAGAUAUUUCCUACGGUAUCUAAUAGAACACCUAACUCAUCUUGAUCUAGGAGUUAUUAUCAUUUGAAGUUGACCCAAAACUCAUACUUAGCUUAACUUGCAAAAUUUCAGAUUUUCCUAUUUCCAAUUUAAUUCUUUUUGGAACUCAAGGUGCUACAUCUAGUGACCUUAACCCUUAAGAAAUUUUAAUUCCUCGAUAAAAUCCUACUCACAACGAAGGAUGGUUCAAGUCUCAGUUCGAAAUUUUUUUGGGGCAUUACAAUAUCUCCCCCUUGGGAUCAUUCGUCCUCGAAUGACGACUGAACUGGGUAUGGAAUGAGUUACUCUUACUAAGGUCUGCGUCUAAUGGUACACUCUCACUAUAUUCAAGCUUAACCCAAAUCCUUAGGUUCAGGUUCUAUACCUCUCUAUAGGGAAUCUCAUCCCAAUACCAUUACUCCUUACCACCACAAUCAAGCUUAGUACUCUAGCAACUCCAUGGACUCCUACUAACAAACUCCUUCAGAGCCAACUAAGGGCUCUCAUUUAAAUAUUUCUCAUAGUAAAACCUCAUUCUAAUUUUCCUCAUUAUUUACAACCUUAGAUGGAACUAUCACACCAUCAUCAUCACGAUAUGAUCAUUAACCUCCUCUUUCUAACAUCACUUCAUUACUAAAAGGACAUCUAAAAAGAUAUCCCCCAAGCUCUUUGGAAUUCAUUACUAUCUUACUCUCAAGCACUUGACUUGAUUUCUCAUCUUAUCAUUUCCCCUUAGGUCUAAAGUUAACACUUGAAAGCUAUGGACAUAUUCCAUCAUCUCUAAAUGGUCUACCUCUUCUUUUAAUCCAACACUUGGGGGAAGUUUAUCUCAUGCCUACCAAACUCUCUAUAAGCGGUACUAAGACCUCUUUCUAAGGUGUUUCCCUUAACCUCUUCUGGUUACAUACCCUCUCAGUACACCUCUUAACGCUCUUAUUACUUUUGUGACUUAGCCACACUUCACUGCCCUUAUCUAAAUGUUAGGGUCUCUCACUUGUACCACUUAUACUAUUGUAGCUAAUCACCUAAAUUCCUCAUCUACUUUAUGUCAAGUCUUCUAGAUCAAAUAUCAAGACUAACAUCAUCACCCUCAUGUUGUCAUUCUUUUGAUCAUGACAGUCAUCUCCAAUUCAAGCUUAAUAUUUAUGACUAAACCCGAAUAUCAAUAUGAUUGCCCGCUUACUAUACUAACUUAUAGCUACUUAAUUAGUUCUAUAACCUUCUAUACAUCAUGACCCUCUCAGACAUAUCAUAAGCCUAGUUUAUAUCUAUAACCUCAUGGAUACUUUUUCUCUUCAAUUCACCACUUACACUUAGUCAUUUCCUACACAAUGACACUUCAUCACCAACUCCUUUCUAGCUACAAUACACUCUACCUCCUAUGAUGGAAUCUUCACAACUCAUCACUUCUUAGUCUACCCGUAAGGGAAAACUCCUCAUUAAUAACUUACUAGGUGUAUGACUAUAAUAACAUAGCUUGCCUCAUCACUAUCUCCCUUUCUAGGAUUACUAAACCUCUCCAUACUUUCCUCUAACUCUGGGCUCUAUCACUACUACUGCUCAUGAUCUCGUAGCUCAUGUUACCUUUUAAGAUGCAAAUACUACCCAAGCUCUAAACAUACUUUCUCAUGAUGAAACAGGACUUAAAGAAGAGAGUACAAAUCAAAUUUAGCUCAAACGCACGAUUCAUAUAAUUAUGGGUGCAUUCCUUUGAAACUGAACACUUAACUUACUCUUUGGGCUACUCUCAUCCCCCUCUGGAGUCUCGUGACUUUCUCAAGACUCUUGCUAAGAACAAAUCAUCGACAAAGAACAGACUCAGUUUUUCAACCACAUCUAGUAUGAUGGGUAGUCGAAUGAUUCUGAGAAACGCACGAGUUAAAAUAAGUCUCUAUGACAUAACUCUAAUUGCACGAUUAAGAGUAUGAAAGAAGGGAAACUUUUCUUAAAUGUCUGUAGUCCCUCAUUUAUAGAAGUGGGGCCCUCACAACCAUAAACAAGAUCCUACUUGACACAGCUUCAUAGACACCCUGGGACUCUUGAACUCUGUGCUCUGAUACCAAGUUUAUCACAACCCGAGCCUAUACCUUGGACAUGGCCGGCACUCGAGAAUCAUUACUAGUCCCCAAGCGAACCCUCAUCCUAGCUGACUACAAGCGAAAAACUGAUUCAAGCAUACAAAGCUUAAAAACUGAAAUAAAAGUUCAUAAACUUAAAUACAAACUUUAAGUCCAAAGAAAACUCUGUAUAAUAAAAUAUAUACAACUCGCCAUAAAAAAGGCAACUUUAGUCUUUAAAACAUUUAAUAAAAUGAAUGNNNNNNNNNNNNNNNNNNNNNNNNNNNNNNNNNNNNNNNNNNNNNNNNNNNNNNNNNNNNNNNNNNNNNNNNNNNNNNNNNNNNNNNNNNNNNNNNNNNNNNNNNNNNNNNNNNNNNNNNNNNNNNNNNNNNNNNNNNNNNNNNNNNNNNNNNNNNNNNNNNNNNNNNNNNNNNNNNNNNNNNNNNNNNNNNNNNNNNNNNNNNNNNNNNNNNNNNNNNNNNNNNNNNNNNNNNNNNNNNNNNNNNNNNNNNNNNNNNNNNNNNNNNNNNNNNNNNNNNNNNNNNNNNNNNNNNNNNNNNNNNNNNNNNNNNNNNNNNNNNNNNNNNNNNNNNNNNNNNNNNNNNNNNNNNNNNNNNNNNNNNNNNNNNNNNNNNNNNNNNNNNNNNNNNNNNNNNNNNNNNNNNNNNNNNNNNNNNNNNNNNNNNNNNNNNNNNNNNNNNNNNNNNNNNNNNNNNNNNNNNNNNNNNNNNNNNNNNNNNNNNNNNNNNNNNNNNNNNNNNNNNNNNNNNNNNNNNNNNNNNNNNNNNNNNNNNNNNNNNNNNNNNNNNNNNNNNNNNNNNNNNNNNNNNNNNNNNNNNNNNNNNNNNNNNNNNNNNNNNNNNNNNNNNNNNNNNNNNNNNNNNNNNNNNNNNNNNNNNNNNNNNNNNNNNNNNNNNNNNNNNNNNNNNNNNNNNNNNNNNNNNNNNNNNNNNNNNNNNNNNNNNNNNNNNNNNNNNNNNNNNNNNNNNNNNNNNNNNNNNNNNNNNNNNNNNNNNNNNNNNNNNNNNNNNNNNNNNNNNNNNNNNNNNNNNNNNNNNNNNNNNNNNNNNNNNNNNNNNNNNNNNNNNNNNNNNNNNNNNNNNNNNNNNNNNNNNNNNNNNNNNNNNNNNNNNNNNNNNNNNNNNNNNNNNNNNNNNNNNNNNNNNNNNNNNNNNNNNNNNNNNNNNNNNNNNNNNNNNNNNNNNNNNNNNNNNNNNNNNNNNNNNNNNNNNNNNNNNNNNNNNNNNNNNNNNNNNNNNNNNNNNNNNNNNNNNNNNNNNNNNNNNNNNNNNNNNNNNNNNNNNNNNNNNNNNNNNNNNNNNNNNNNNNNNNNNNNNNNNNNNNNNNNNNNNNNNNNNNNNNNNNNNNNNNNNNNNNNNNNNNNNNNNNNNNNNNNNNNNNNNNNNNNNNNNNNNNNNNNNNNNNNNNNNNNNNNNNNNNNNNNNNNNNNNNNNNNNNNNNNNNNNNNNNNNNNNNNNNNNNNNNNNNNNNNNNNNNNNNNNNNNNNNNNNNNNNNNNNNNNNNNNNNNNNNNNNNNNNNNNNNNNNNNNNNNNNNNNNNNNNNNNNNNNNNNNNNNNNNNNNNNNNNNNNNNNNNNNNNNNNNNNNNNNNNNNNNNNNNNNNNNNNNNNNNNNNNNNNNNNNNNNNNNNNNNNNNNNNNNNNNNNNNNNNNNNNNNNNNNNNNNNNNNNNNNNNNNNNNNNNNNNNNNNNNNNNNNNNNNNNNNNNNNNNNNNNNNNNNNNNNNNNNNNNNNNNNNNNNNNNNNNNNNNNNNNNNNNNNNNNNNNNNNNNNNNNNNNNNNNNNNNNNNNNNNNNNNNNNNNNNNNNNNNNNNNNNNNNNNNNNNNNNNNNNNNNNNNNNNNNNNNNNNNNNNNNNNNNNNNNNNNNNNNNNNNNNNNNNNNNNNNNNNNNNNNNNNNNNNNNNNNNNNNNNNNNNNNNNNNNNNNNNNNNNNNNNNNNNNNNNNNNNNNNNNNNNNNNNNNNNNNNNNNNNNNNNNNNNNNNNNNNNNNNNNNNNNNNNNNNNNNNNNNNNNNNNNNNNNNNNNNNNNNNNNNNNNNNNNNNNNNNNNNNNNNNNNNNNNNNNNNNNNNNNNNNNNNNNNNNNNNNNNNNNNNNNNNNNNNNNNNNNNNNNNNNNNNNNNNNNNNNNNNNNNNNNNNNNNNNNNNNNNNNNNNNNNNNNNNNNNNNNNNNNNNNNNNNNNNNNNNNNNNNNNNNNNNNNNNNNNNNNNNNNNNNNNNNNNNNNNNNNNNNNNNNNNNNNNNNNNNNNNNNNNNNNNNNNNNNNNNNNNNNNNNNNNNNNNNNNNNNNNNNNNNNNNNNNNNNNNNNNNNNNNNNNNNNNNNNNNNNNNNNNNNNNNNNNNNNNNNNNNNNNNNNNNNNNNNNNNNNNNNNNNNNNNNNNNNNNNNNNNNNNNNNNNNNNNNNNNNNNNNNNNNNNNNNNNNNNNNNNNNNNNNNNNNNNNNNNNNNNNNNNNNNNNNNNNNNNNNNNNNNNNNNNNNNNNNNNNNNNNNNNNNNNNNNNNNNNNNNNNNNNNNNNNNNNNNNNNNNNNNNNNNNNNNNNNNNNNNNNNNNNNNNNNNNNNNNNNNNNNNNNNNNNNNNNNNNNNNNNNNNNNNNNNNNNNNNNNNNNNNNNNNNNNNNNNNNNNNNNNNNNNNNNNNNNNNNNNNNNNNNNNNNNNNNNNNNNNNNNNNNNNNNNNNNNNNNNNNNNNNNNNNNNNNNNNNNNNNNNNNNNNNNNNNNNNNNNNNNNNNNNNNNNNNNNNNNNNNNNNNNNNNNNNNNNNNNNNNNNNNNNNNNNNNNNNNNNNNNNNNNNNNNNNNNNNNNNNNNNNNNNNNNNNNNNNNNNNNNNNNNNNNNNNNNNNNNNNNNNNNNNNNNNNNNNNNNNNNNNNNNNNNNNNNNNNNNNNNNNNNNNNNNNNNNNNNNNNNNNNNNNNNNNNNNNNNNNNNNNNNNNNNNNNNNNNNNNNNNNNNNNNNNNNNNNNNNNNNNNNNNNNNNNNNNNNNNNNNNNNNNNNNNNNNNNNNNNNNNNNNNNNNNNNNNNNNNNNNNUUUUCUUCUUUUCUCUUCUUGAACUCUCAACUAAAACCCUAGGCUAAUUUUUAGGAUUAUAAAACUGAACCUAAUAGUAUUAGACCCUUAAAAUAUUACUAAAAAUGAAUUAAAUCUGAUUGGGUAAGGAAAAUACCAAAAUACCCCUCUCUAUUUUCGGCUAAUUUUCCUUAACUGAACAACCUAUCUUCAAAAGGCCAUAUCUCACUCAUCCGACCUCGAAACUUAGCAAACUCAGCGGCGUUGGAAAGAUAAUUCAAAGAUAUUUCCUAUGGAAUCUAAUAGAACACCUAAAUCAUCCUGAUCUAGGAGUUAUGAUCGUUUGAAGUCAACCCAAAACUCAUACUUAGCUUAACUUGCAAAAUUUCAGAUUUUGCUAUUUCCAAUUUAAUUCUUUUUGGAACUCAAGGUGCUAUAUCUAGUGACCUUAACACUUAAGAAAUUUUAAUUCCUCGGUAAAAUCCUACUCACAACGAAGGAUGGUUCAAGUCUCAGUUCGAAAUUUUUUUUGGGGUAUUACAAACAGGAGCUUCGUUGAUACCACAUGGAGUUCGAGUUAGCUAUGGUGAGCCUUCUUGCUUUCAGAGGAUUUCAUUUACUUAUCAGUUGUUAGGAUGUCGUGGAUCUUGUCCUGACUUCCAUCUUUGUCAUUUAGAGGCUUCAUAGAUAUACAAUAGAGUUUCAAAAGUCUGUUAAUUUAUUUUGUUAAAUGUUUUAAAGACUUAAGUUGCUUAUUUUCGGGAGAGUUGAAUAUAUUAUAUUAUUCAUAGUUUUGUAUUGAUUUAAAGCUUUGUAUUUAAGUUUCAUGAAUUUUUAUUCAGUUUUUAAUCUUUUGCAUGCUUAAGUUUGUCUUCCGCUUGUAGUCAACCAAGGAUGAGGGUUCGCUUGGGGACCAACAAUGGUUCUUGAGUGCCGGUCACGUCCAGGGUGUAGGCUUGGAUCGUGACACCAAAACCGAACUAAAAUAAAUUCAGUUCAGUUCGAUUCAAUUUUUCGAUUUGAAUAUAAUCGGGCCCUUUUCUUAUCAUCAUUCAUCAGUUAACUUUUCUAAUACUAGGCAUUUGCAUUUGGUCUAAUUGAUAUGAGCCAACUGUUAGCUUAGGAAUAUCCCUCCAGUCAUGAUACAUAUGAGCUUCAUUAGAAAUAACGUGUUUAGCUAAUGCAUCUGCAAUUUGGUUAACUUCUCUAUGACAAUGAUUUACUUCAUAAUUGAUCUUUGCAACAACUUGUAAGAUGUCUUCCACAACACCUUUGAUCUUCAAUUGAGGCUUGUCCAUUCCUUACCAUAUCAACCACCAUUUUUUAGUCUAAUUCAAGAUAGCAAUCGUGAAAUCCUUGUUGUGGAUGAUGAUAACUAAAAUAAUAUAAUUCAUUACUAGUUAGUAUCUAAACUCAUAGCUCGUCUCAUCCCAAUAUUACUUUGGGCAGAUCAUUUUCCUACUCGAUCAUCUAAACUCCUAGGUUUUUUUCCCUUAUAUAUAUGAUGAUGCGAUCUCCUUUUGUAUUACUAUUAAUUGUGUAACAAGUAACGAUAUCGAGACCUUGAUUAACAACAAAUACAAAAGUAACCCUAACUUAAAAAGAAACCACAAACUAAAGAAAUUUAUGUAUUUUUGAAUGAAGAAGGUAAGGUAAGGUAAUAGGCUAAUUGCUAGCUUGUUUAUUUAUUGAUAAGCAUACAUUAAUUUACAUGGAGCGAUAGAAGGAUAUAUCCACUUUAUUUAGAAAGCUGCAAGCUAGCCAGCUAAUUAGCAUUCUACGCCUUGAUGAACACAAAUGGAAUAAAUUCCUUAUCGUCAUCGACAGUCACCAGACGAGGAUAUCCAUUUUUAAAGUUGCCGCCGAUAUUUUUGCACUGAAGAUGAGAGGGACAAUGCAGUAACUUGUAUACAUUUUUGGAACCUCCUGGUGUCACCAAGUCAGUUUUCCUAAUUUUGAAGAUGUCGUUUUCAUUUCCUACCUUACCACCAGUUUGGUCAACACACAACUUUGUUGUUUUAACAAAGAACUUGAUAUAAACACCAGUCAUUAUACGCACCACAUCACCAUAAUCCGACUCCGACUUACGAACGAACAUGACGGGCGUGCCUUCUCCCAAAAAUUGGGGAAUCGACAUGUGCUGCAACAUGGCGUUUGGGCAUUGAAGGUUUCCAAUAUUGUACAAGUAUACGGCUCCGGCCCCGAGGAGAGGAUUGUUAAUAAUGUACCUCUCACCAAUCCUCAGCGGAUUGCCAUCUUGGUCAUAAACUUCAGGGAGUACAAGAUUAUCAUCAUCAUGACAAGUUGUGGGGAGGACAAUUGGAUUUUCAGAAGUGAAAGAUCGAGCAAAGGCAACCAAAGAGAGGUACUUGAAAGCAAGAGGAAACUCAAAAUAUUAAUCGACUUCAUCUUUCUUUGUGUGUUGUGCUUGCUAUGAGUCUAUGUCCAAUUUAUAGACCUGCUAAGGGCAUUUUUGACAAACAAAAAAUGAAUACCUACUACCGCCUUAGACACCUCAAAUAAGUUUUAUCCAUUUUAAAUAACUAAUAUCAAGCUUCAAUAUUAAGUCACUCUGAACACUUUUUUUUUUUUACUAUCAACAAAAAUAUAUAGUACAUAAUAUGUGUUACACUGAAUAAUAUGUAAAGUAUCAAAUUAAAUAAAGACAUUUAUUAUUUGUCUCCAAAAUAAAUCUUAAAUAAUAAAUUUUGAGUAAAAAUAAAAAACGGCCAAUAAUUCAAUUUGUAGGAUAUUUAUUAUUUAAUGUGGCUUUAACUAGAGAAGUUGGUAAAAUUAAUAAAUAUUACUUGAGAAUAUUGUCCAUUGUGCUUAAAGGACUCUUGAAACUUGACAUCUAGUGGAGAACCAUUCAUGGGAUUAUUGCACUAAUAAAAUUAAGUUGCAACACCUAAUUUUACUUACCAUACUCAUGUACAUAAUUAUUAAGGAUAAAAAAAAUUAUCCGUAUAUAAUGUAUACACUAACCUAAUAUAUGAAUGACAUGUGUUUGAAUUUAUGGUUCAUUUUAUAUAAUUUUAAUUAAAUAACAUUUGUUUUGCUUCAUUUUAAUAAUUUAUAUUCACCACUGAAUACAAAUAACAGGCUAAUAAUUCUAAAAAUUGAUAUUAAUGUGCUACCUGGCAUGGAAUUAUUCCACAAGUAAAAUAUGUCACUGAAGUACGAUCGAGAUUUAUACCACUGAUUAUUUUGUUACCUAUCAAGAAUGGAUCUUAAAAAUAAUGGCAAAUCAUUAUUAUGAAAAAUGAUUUUUUUUUUAGAUUCUUUUUUUUGACAAAUUAAUAAUUGAAGGAUAGGAUUUGCGUUAUAUGAUAUAUAGAACUUAGUUUUGAAUUUGAGUAAAUUGAGUGUUGAAACUCAAGAAUAAUUAGGCAAAAUAAAAAUUGCACUUCAAAUACAUAUAACUGAAGUUUUAGUCAAUUUUUAUACACUUCAAUCAUAUGUACAUUCAAUAAAAUUAAAAUAAUGUUAAAUGAGUUUGUUAAAUUUAUUGUUAUUUUGAUAAAUUGUUGAUUCAAGUUUGUUUCAUACGAUUGUAGAUCUGAUCUUCGACUAAAUUCGGAUCGGGCUCUGCAAGGCCCAUUAGAAGGUGACACUCCCAACAGGAUUUUCUCCAUACCCAGGGCUCGAACCCGAGACCUCUGGUUAAGGGUGAAGCACUCCCACCAGUGCACCACAACCCAUGUUGGUCCUAAAGUCAUUAUUAUUAAUUAGGUAGGUACGUUCAAAAUAAUUCUUUAAAAAGUGAUCAUAUCCGAUCUUAAUCAAAUACAACUCUAACUCCAAUUUUAAAUUUUAAAUAAUACUCCCUCCGUCCCCUUUUAGUUGUCAUGCUGCACUUUUCAAAAAUCAUUUUGAAUUAUUUUUCAAUUUUAAUUAGAUUACAUUAAAGAUAUUUUAAAUUAAAAAUUUAGAUAUAUAUUUAAAAGCUAUACAAAAAGUACUAUAAAUUGUAAUUUUUUGCAUAUCAAUAUGAUGAAAAAAUACAUCGUAAAAAAUUGUCAAAGUUCUUAUUGUUUAACUCUAAAAAAAAGUCAUACAACUAAAAAAGAAUAAAGUGAAUAUAAAUAUAUUUAAUUUUCAUGAUCAAAUGCAUACUAAAAUAUAUUAGUCAAGUUGCCAAUCGCCGUAAUGAUGAAAGGAAACAGGUGAAUGCAGCUCAUAUCACUGAAAAUAAAGCACUUUAUACUUCAUCUUUUCAGCACUACCAGCGUAUAAAAAAAAUGAAAAUGUGUAAUUUUCAAGUUUAAUACUAAGCCGUAGAGAGUUUGUUUUGAUAAACUUGAGGGGGGAAAGCAAAAUUAAGGCAUUAACAAAUGAAUAAAGAUGAACUUAUAUGCUUUGAUUAUAAAAGUAGUCUAACAUUAUUUGUUUGUAAAAUUUGGAUGCAGUUAAACAUGGUUAUUAAAGAAUCACUUCGACUGUAUCCACCAGAUCCUAUCAUUGAACGAAUGGCUUGUGAAGAUAUGAUUUGUUAAACAUCUUAAUUUUUCAAUAAAAUAUUUAUUUUUUUCAAAAUAAGCACUUUUGAUCUCAUAACAAUAAUGCGGCUUUUAACCAUGCCGGUUAUAGUUAUACGGGUUGGGUUAUCUAUAGAAAAGUUAAAUGUACGGAACAAACCAAAUUCAAAUUAAACCUAUUAAUAAGCGAUUGAGACGUAAUUAUUUUUAAUAUGUACAUUGUGAAUCACACGUACUCAAUGGUCCCGUAAAUCUUAAUCGUAUUUUGGAUAAAAGCCACCUGACUGCUUAGAGAUUUAAUUAUUUUGGAUGUAUUUGAUAUUUUCCCACCGAACACCUUAUCUUCAGUCUCACUUCUUGUAGUGUCUAUCUUCACCAUCCCACACUUUUAUUUUUAUCAUUGUGUGUUUUAAUAUAUUUAUCUAGAUUAUAUAUAAAUAUUUUUUAUUUACCUACUAAACACAUAAAAAUUUUAUUUUCUUGAGAAACAUCUUUCAAAAAGAAUAUUUUCUUUCAUAACGAAUAUACCCUAAACAACCACAAAUGUUAAUAUCAACAUUUUGGUUUUAAUUGAGUUGAAAUGUUUAGAAAGAAGAACAAAAAAGAAAUGAAAACUAUUAGGCAUAUAAAAGUACAAAAUAGUUAACCAAACAACAAUAAUUAAGAUACCAAAAAUGCAAAUAAUUUUCUAGUCAUGAUUUUGUGCUGAAAGUUUUUAGAUAACUUUUAUAUGUACUUCAGUCAUUUUGUCUUGGUUUUAAUAACCUUAGUUAAAAAUGUUUGAAGGUAAAAGUUCUGUAAAAUGCUUGAAAUUUUGUCUUUAUCUAAUUUACAACUUCAAUAAAAAUUGUCUGAAUUUUUUUUUUAUGAUGACCUUCACAAAGGCACACCUUAGACAAAUAUGUUUAUAGGUCUAGGUUUUAAGUUGUAAAAUUUCUGUUCCAUAUUAGUUGUUCAUCUUUUAAAAAAAUAAUUUACCCAUAAUUUUUUUAAAAAAAAACUUUACAAACUUAUUUACAGUUUUUAAAAAGAAUUAAUUAUUAUAAGGAUAAAAAGAGAAAAUAAUAAUUAAUUCUCUCCUGAUUUUAUAAAUUGACAAAUAAUUUAAAAAACAUAUAUUUUUAAAAUAUGAACGACUAAUAUUGAAUGAACACUAAACAUCAAAGAAAUUAAAGAAUAAUUAAGUAGCCAAAUGUUCCGUUCCUAUCAUCAACUCUACUUGGAGUUGCACUGUUGCAGGCCAAUAAUGGAUAUAUAUUAUAUACUAAUGUGCCGAUGGGACCAUUAUUAGACCAUAGUUAUAACCAAUAAAGUGAUUCUAUUAAAAUAGUGAAGUAGAGAGGUGUUUUUAAAGCUAUCAAUAGUUCGAAAAUAAAAUUAAUAAUUCAUAUCAAAUUCAGAAGUGUUUUUAAUAUUUUUGUCUAUCAUCUAUUCUCAACUUUUAAAUUUGAGAGUUCAUAAACAAUAUAUGUCCUCUCAGUUUUUAAAUUCGUUCAACUUCACCAUUAUUAACAUUGUGAAAUUAAUUCAAUGUCAAUUGUUCAUACUAUGGACAAACCCUAAAUUACAUAAAUUGAAACAAAAGAUUAUACAAUAAAAUUAAUUUAGUACUAAAAAUAGCGUAAAGGGCUGAAACUAACGAACAUGGUUAAUUAAAAUUGAGGAACAUCGUAUCUUUUUGGCCUAAAAGAUAUUUGAAUACUAUACUAAUAUAUAUCCACCAUUGAAGAUAAAUACCAACAGGCUAACAACCAAGUUAUUUUCAUUUUCGUCAUGUAAUCUUAGCUUGUUAAAGCCAAAAAUGAAUAUAAUGUCUUGACGGGACCGCACGUGUUACUAUCCCAUAACUAAAACGGAGUUCAGAACUAAAAGGGUAAUAAUUUUUUUUCAAAAAUUUCAAAAAGAUAACUAAAUUAUAUAUGAAACCAAAAUGACAAUAAUUUAUAAUGACGUCUAAAUUAGAGUUUUUGCCGCAAGAUACAAAAACCCAUGAGCGAUGCAACAACUUUUAGCCUUGUAAAGCUCAGCUGGCGUGAGCCUUACAAGGCGCAAGGCAGGCUAUUUUUUUCAAAUAAAAAAGUUUUUAUGGUGUACGGUCCUUAAGGCUACACGUUUGCAAACUCGACCGCCCAUUUUUUUGUUAGAUAAAUAAAAAAAUCUGACUAUUUUGUUGAGAUGUUAAAUCAUCCAACUUUAAAUUUAUCUAAAAUGCAGUACCUUUUUUACAAAAAUACAAUGUAUUUUAGUCGGUUAUUUUUUAAAAAAAAAUUAUGCCUUUUUGAGUUAUCAAAAUAGGAUUUCUAUUGACCGUAAGCUUAAUUUGAUAAUGCAAAAAAAUUUAAAAUAAAUAAAUUGUAUAUUGUAAGUAAUGCACAUUUUCAACACACGUAUGCAUAUUAGGGGUGAAGCUAUAUAGUUCUUAUGACACUUUUUUAAGCUUGGUUUUCUAAAGAAUGUUUGGAUGUGUCGUUUACUUAAAUAUAAUGUUUAUUUUGAUGAUUAGUUAAAUUUAAUUUAUAUCAUUAAAUUUAUUAUUAGGUAAUAAUGUGAUUUUUUAUUUUGUGUAAUGGUUGAUUUAGUAUGAAUGUAUGGUCAUAAUAUAUAUAUUUUUUAUUUUGUUUCACUUACUAUUUAAUAAUUGUAUUUUAUUAUUUACUCUUUCUUUUUAUAGUAAAUCUACUCCGUACUCUAUUUUUCUGGUGUGUUUAUCUUUUUAAUUUUUUUUGAUAUUAUGUAAUUAUCGAAAAAGAUACAAUUUAAUAUAACAUAAUAUAAUAUAUUAUAAAAUGACAUGUAACAGCCAUCCAAACAAAGUAUAAAUAUAUAGUUUCAUCAAAAGUUAUGGUGAUAAAAUGAUAAAUUUCGUAGUGAGGUUUAGGUUCGAAUUAUAACAACGAAGUCACUUUUUAAUAAAUAAUAUUUUAUACCUUUAACAUGAGUUUUUAAAAAAAAAUUGAACUCAGAUGCGGAAUCUCAAUACGAAUAUUGAGCCUAAAAAGCACUCUAUAAAAGAAGGUCAUAAAUAAAUAGUCCAUUUAAUGGUAAAUUUUAUCCUUUUGUCAAUAAAAAAAAAGUCCAUGAUUAAUCUUUUCCGAUAUUUGGUAUUGCAUUUUAGUUCUAAAUUAAACACCUUUUACCUGAUUUGAUUACAAAUAUAUAAUAAAUUACUUGAAUCAUCAAAGAAAAAUGUGUACAUUAAUUAAUCAGAACCGACAGACUUAGGAAAUAUAUUAUUAGUCAUAGGCUCAUAGGACAUGGAUCUUGUUCCAUAUUUACUAGUUAUAAUAACUACUGUAACAUUUAUAUAUUUAAUUAAGCCAAAUAAAUAUAAUCUUUUCAGAUUUUUUUUUUUUUUAAAUAGCCUUGCGCCUUGUAAGGCUCAUGGCGGUUGAGCCUUACAAGGCUAAAAGUUGUUGCGCCUUGUAAGGCUCAUGGGUUUCUGUGCCUUGCGGCAGAAACUCUAUUUGAGACGCCGUUACAAAUUGUUACCCUUUUGAUUUCAUAAAUAAUUCAGUUGCCCUUUUGAAAUUUUUGAAAAAUUUUGUUGCCCUUUUGGUUCCGAAGGCCCCCUCAUUUUGAAGUUUUGGUUUCUUAAAUCUUGUUAUCCUUGAAUUUUUCUAGCACUUAAAGUUUUGGUUUCUUAAAUUUUUUUAUUUCUUUCAAUGUAUUAAGUUUCUUUCUAUUUCAUUCUGAUUAAAUAAAAAAAAACUUUAUUUUACUAUCUUUGUUGUGGUUAAAACUUAAAAAUAAUUAAAUGAAUUGAUCACGUAUUUGAAACAUAAUGACAUGUUUUUCUCAUAUAUUAUUGGAAAAAAUAAUAAUUUUCAUACCGAAUAAAUUAAAUUAAUAUUAUUUUAAUCCAGUAACUUGAACUUAAUGAUGAUUGUGUUUUGAUUGUAGUUGCAUUAGUAAUGAAAUAACUUGGUGAUAUCGAAGAGACAGAGUGAUUGAUUGAAAACAUAUAUAAUAAAAAUAAUAUAUCCUCGGGGAUAUUGGAAAAUUGUUAUACAAAUGAAUUUCUACAACAACAAUAAACAAUGAAACUUCUACUUCAAUUCAAUAUACGAUAAAAUUAACUCCUAGUCAAAGCAACAUAUAAUACACAUUUGCAUUCAUUACAAUAGUAUUUCUUGAGCUUUUUCUUUUUUCCAUCCUUAAACCUAAUUUAAGUCUACUGGGCAUGUCUAAUUAAAAUUAAUAUGCAAUUGAUUAAACAUAAAAGGACCUUAUCCAUGAAAUCCACAUCACGUAAUCAAUAACAAUGCAUAUUACAACUUGGAUUUAGUCGUAACUCCAAUGCAAACUGAUCAAUAAUGAAUAUUAAUGUCGUGAUGGUACCGGAUGGGAUUAUCCAUAAGUAAUUAAUACGUAGCACUUAUUAAUUACUAAAACAUAUGUUGGGUUUAGUAAGGUGUGAAUGGGAAAUAAAAAGAGAAAAUGGAAAGUGGAAGAACCAAUAAAAAUGGGGGAACCAAUUUGGAGGGAAAAUGAAAAAUCAUUGCAAAAGUGCAAAUGAAUAGUCAUUUUUACCAUAUUGGUAGAAGAGAGAAAAUCGUUGUCCUUAUAUUAGGAAACACUUCCUUUAGUUCUUAAAGGGUUAAGAAGAAGGUGCCCCUCGCGACAUCGUCGUCGCUCGCUCGGCUUUGGCAAUUGAUUGAUAAUAUUUUUUGGACAAAAUUUAUUUAAUAAAUUUUGUUAAAUCAUUUCCUUUCUCUUAUAAAUUAAUUCAGAAAGUUAGUUAACUAACAGAUUUAAUUUGGCGCAACUGAAUUUAUUGAAAUUCACAUGUAACGGUAAUCCUUCCGAAAAGUUGUUACUUUCCGAAAGGUCGUUACUUUUCCCAAACGGUAAUCCUUCCGAAAAAUCGUUAUUUUCCCAAAAGACACAAUGUUCUGGAAGAAACGGGUCUGGAUAGAUUUUUCUGAACAGACGCGUUCCUUGCUGCAAAUGGCUAUAAAUAAGAGGUCUUUUUCGUUUUUUAAAACACUGAAAAUUUUUCCUCUCUGCAUUCAUUUUCUUGCAUAAAUAAAAUUGUCGAUCGACUAAGUCUGUGUGUGCUCUUGUUGUUGUUCUUGCGUUCGCUGAAGUUAUUAAAGUUUGAGGUACCGCUACUUCUUUAACAGGUUAAUCCGUUUUAUCUUGGGAGGGAUUAAUCUGCAGCCUCGGAUACAGUGAGGGGAUUAAAUUUCUUAAGGAAACACAGUGGUUUCUGUGGACUCGGAUUAAAAAAUUCAUUCUGUCUAUUUCAUCUUUUUUCUGUUUCUGUAUUUUUGACUAACCUGAAUACAGGAGAUAACAACAUAUUUGUUUGAAAGCAGAAAUUAAUAAAUAAAGAACCUAGCUUUUUUAUUCAUCAUAAGCAUAAAUAUUACAUAGAGUGGGCUAGAAGCAUGCUCCACAUUAUUUUAGAAAGCGAUCGAGCUAGGUUAUAAUAAGCAUAGAUAAUUAACUAUGCAUCAUUCUUGUUUACUUUGGUGAAGCCAAAGGGAUAAGGCUUGUUAUUGAGAGCCAGACGGUAGUAACCACUAUUGUAGGUCAAUCCGACAUCUGCACAAUCAAAGUUACAUGUUGGACAAAUAUAUUGACUAGGACAAUACCUUAACUUGUAAGAAUAAGGUCUCCCCGUCUCAUAUUUCUCAAUCUUGAACCAGUUCUCUAUGUUAUUAGGCCCUGGAAAUCCUAAGGUACCACCAGUUAUAACAAACCUAAGUGGUGAAUGCGUCGGCCCUACGAUGGAAUAACCAACUUUCCAAACAGUUUCGUUAACACAUGACUUAGUUGAAGAAGAAGAAGUUGAGAACUUUAUACUAACAUCUUGAUUUUCAUAAACGAAAUGACUUCCAAGUUUCAUAGUAUAAAACAACAGAGGUGUGCUGUUAUCAAAUUCACCAGAACUGUCCUGCACAACGCCAUUUGGGCAUUUGGUGUUUCCAAGAUCAGUUAAGUAUAUGUUUCCACCGCCAUAGGGAAUACUGAUAACGGAGUACUCCUCGUUUAUCUUGAGUGGUUCGCCCUCCAUGUCCAGCACGGGAGGGAAUACAACAUUCCCAUUAUUAUCAGAAAUGGAAAAUUCAUGAGAAAAGGCAACCAAACUUGAAACCAAUAGGAAACUCAAAAUAGUACUAAUACACUUCUUCAUCUUUAAUUUGUUUGUGUGUUUUACUUGCUAUGACUCUAUCUCCAAUUUAUAGAGCUGCUAAGGGCAUUUUUGACAAACAAAAAAUGACCUUUUAUUUUAGGUUAUAAUAACCUAAAGAAAAUAAGUAGUACAUAACAUAUUUUUUUUAUUUUUAACAAAUAAAUAAUGAUCACAAAGAAUUGAAAAUGGGAAGGUUAAUGUUCUAUUUAUUCAAUCUAUGUUAAUUUUUAUAUAUAGUACCUUUUUUUUUAUAACUUUGAAGCAAAAAUAUUUAUUUAUAUAUAUAGGCUAUAGCUAUAAGAUUUUGUUUUCAAAUAAUUUUAUUAUGGUUAUGGGUCCUAUAUUCAUCCCUCCCACUGUCAAAGUUUGCGUCAAACAACUAUAUAUAUAUAUUUUAUUUUAUUUUUUUCUUGUAAAUUCGAAACUCAACUUAAAAUAAUAAUUAAAUAUUCCAUUGCAAAACUACAUAAAGUUCCCAGUUUUAUUUUCUCAAUUUUUAUUGUAGUAAAAAAGUUGAGAAAUUAACAUUGUCAAUUUAAUUUUUGUAGUUAAGGAAUUUUAUGAUUUCGUGGAUAGUCAUAAGUUCGAACUUUUGUAGCUAUUACUAGAUAUUAGCCCUGACUAGCUUUUAAAUUCAUAGCUAAAUCUUAGUAGUAAAGUUCCCAUUUUUAUUUUCUGAACUUCAAUUAUAUAGUAAUGAAGUUGAGAAAUAACGGUCACAUUAAUUUUUAUAGGUAAGAAAGUUAAUAAAAUUGUGGAUAGUCAUGAAACUCGAAUUUUUGUAGCUUUUACAAGAUCAUCCUUAAAAGUUCUUUUUUAUUAAAUUUGAAAGAACUUAAAAUAAGUUAUUCAAACAUAUUCUAACUUAUAAUUAAAUUCUAACUUAUAUUAUUGUAAUUUAUGACGCUUAUAAUUAUAUUCUACCUUAUAAUAUUUUAAUUUAUACAUCAUAAGUUAAAGCGAAAUUAAAUAGGCUCUUGGUUAACUAUAUACUAGUACAAGGAGUCCGUGCUAGCACGAGCUCAAUAUCUUAAUAUUUUUUUAUUUUAAUUUAUAUGAUAUAGAUAGAAUUUAGAAAGUUGAUUAAAUUUUAAUGUGAUUUUUAGAUAUUUAAGUUGUUAAUUACUUUUUGUUUGCGCAAAUUUACUGUGAAGAGUUUCAUUAAGAUGUCCAUAAUUAAUGUACUUUUCGUCAUCAAUCGUUGAUUUUUCUUAUUUUUUAAUAAUUAGUUUACAAAUUACAUAACUACAUAGGAAAAAUUCACCACAAAAAUAAAUAAUAUCUUAUUUUUUUCCCUAAUCUUGCAAAAGUAUUGUUUUUACCUUUCUUCUAAUCCUACAAAAAAUACAUAAAAUUUAAAAUGUAAUAUGUAAUCACAAAAUUAAAAAAAUAGUACAUAAAAAUAAAACAUAUUUUUUUAAAAAUGAAACUUAGCAAAACUUAUGAGAUGUGUUAAUUGAUUAAUAAGAUAUAUUUAAACCCAUUAAUUAGCGAUUGAGACAUAAUAAUUUUUUAUAUGUACAUUGUGAAUCACACGUACUCAAUGGUCCCGUAAAUCUUAAUGAUAUUUUGGAUAAACACCACAUGGCUGCUUAGAGAUUUAAUGAUUUUGGAUGUAUUUGAUAUUUUCCCACCGAACACUUUAUCUUCAAUCUCACUUUUUGUACGUAGUGUAUAAGAAUUUUAUUUUCUUGAGAAACAUCUUUCAAAGAGAAUAUUUUUUUUCGUAAUUAUUAUACCCUGAACAACCACAAAUGUUAAUAUCAACAUUUUGGUUUUUGAGUUGAAAUGUUAGAAAGAAAAACAAAGCAGAAAUGAGAAUUAUUAGGCAUACAAAAGUACAAAAUAGUUAACCAAACAACAAUAAUUAAGAUACCAAAAAUGCAAAUAAUGUUCUAGUCAUUCCGCACCAGAGACCUUUCUAAUGAGUGCUGAAAGUUUUAGAUAACUUUUAUAUGUACUUCAGUCAUUAAUUUUGUCUUGGUUUUAAUAACCUUAGUUUAAAAUGUUUGAAGUUUAUCAUUGUUAAGGCUACAAUUUUUUGUCAAAAAUGUUUGAAGUUAGAUAGUCUUCGCAACAAGGUAAGUUCUGUAAAAUGCUUGAAAUUUUGCCUUUACCUAAUAUAAAACUUCAGUAAAAAUUGUCUGAAUUUUUUUUUUAUGAUGACCUUCACAAAGGCACACCUUAGACAAAAAUGUUUAUAGAUCUAGGUUUUAAAUUGUAAAAUUUCUGCUCCAUAUUAGUUGUUUAUUUUUUUAAAAAAAUAAUUUAUCCAUAACCUUUUUUUAAAAUUUUUUUACAAACUUAUUUACACUUUUUAAAAAGAAUUAAUUAUUAUAAGGUUAAAAAGAGAAAAUAAUAAUAAUUAAUUCACUUUUAAUUUUAUAAAUUGACAAAUAAUUUGAGAAAAGUGUUUUUAAAAUAUGAACAACUAAUAUUGAAUGAAGGGAUCCGAGUAAAAUUAAGCUAUAACACCUUAAUUAGUUUUACUUAUCAUACGUUUGUGUUAGGGUUUUGCCCUAAUUUUCUUACCUUAUUUGAAGUUUAUAUUUUCCUAAAAGAAAAGACAAAACAUCACCAUAAAUGUUUUUACUUUUUGAAAGGAAAAUAUAAUUUUCUUCCAUAUUUGGGUUAUUUCUUCCUUAGAGGAAAUGUUUGGAAUCCUAUAAAUCGAAGACCUCUCCUCUCAUAUCAAGAACAACAAGAGCAUCCACAAUGUAGGGGAGAUUUUCUCAUAAACAUAUUUAUGAUUUUUUAAUAUUAGUUUUCAAUAUGUAGGUCGCUUGACCAAACCAUAUUAAUAAUAUGUCUUUAGUAUUUUCUUUAUUUGUCGUCUGAUUUCUCAACCAUAUGAUUUGCAAUUAUAUUUCUGUUUAUUAUCAAUUCUCAUUGUGAAUGUUUUUUUUUGGUUUCCCAUCCAGUGUUCGGAGCCCACAUUGGAGCUCCGACUAAAUUCAGAUCACGCUCUGCAAGGCCCAUUUGGGGUGGGAGCAAAUUCGUUCAACCUCAUAGUUACUGACAUUGUGAAAUUAAUUCAAUGUUUUUUUUUUUUGAUUUUCCACCCGGUGUCCGGAGCUCACAUUGGAGCUUCGACUAAAUCCGGAUUGCGCUCUGCAGGGUCCAUUCGGGGGUGGCGCUUCCAACAGGAUUUUCUCCAUACCCAGGGCUCGAAUCCGAGACCUCUGGUUAAGGGUGAAACACUCCCACCAAUGCACCACAACCCAUGUUGGUUAAUUCAAUGUUAAUUGUAUGUACUAUGGACGAACCCUAAAUUACAUAAACUGAAACAAAUGAUUAUACAAUAAAUUAUUUUAGUGCUAAAAACAGCGUAAAAAAUUGAGGGAUAUCGUAUCUUUUUGACCUAAAAGAUAUUUGAAUACAUCACCAUUGAAGAUAGAUACCAACAGGCUAACAACCAAGUUAUUUUCAUUUUUGUCAUGUAAUCUUAGCUAGUUAAAGGCCAAAAAUGAAUAUUAAUGUCUUGAAGGGACCGCAUGUGUUACUAUCCCAUAACUAAAACGUGCCAAACAAAUAUGUCAAAUUAUUUGGAGUCCGGAGCCAAAUGGACAAAAAAAAUUGUCAAAAAUUUCAAAAGGUCAACAAAAUUGAUUUUAGAACCAAAAGGGCAAACAUUGCAACACCCAAACUAACGCUGUUGAAAUCAGGGUACAGUUUACAAAGCGUAGCCGUCUUGAGUCCUACAAGGCGCUGAGAGCUUGCGCCUUGUGAGGCGCAUCGAGUGUGCGCUUCUCCUUAAAUUGAAAAAAAAAGAAAUGCAUUUUCAUUUGGGGANNNNNNNNNNNNNNNNNNNNNNNNNNNNNNNNNNNNNNNNNNNNNNNNNNNNNNNNNNNNNNNNNNNNNNNNNNNNNNNNNNNNNNNNNNNNNNNNNNNNNNNNNNNAAGUGCAGUAUCAGUACACAAAUCACAGUGUACUGAUAGGAUCACGCGGCUAUUCCAAUAGGGAAAUACAAGCAAGUAGUUACAACAUAGUAAACAUACAUAUACAUAUUGUAUCAUUCAAUUAUCAUUUAGGAACAACAUACAAUUUCCCGAUAUCAAUGAUAGGUAAACAUGAACGUAAUAAUCACUAGUGGUCCUCUCAUGGAACCCACGCCCAAAUUGUUAGUGUGUCGGAACGUGACACCCGCUACAAUAUACAUGUGUCGGAACGUGAAAUCCGGUUCAAUAUAUAUUUCGGAACGUGAUACCCAAUCCAUUGUAUGUGUCGAAACUUGACACCCGAUCUAGUCAGCACAACCGCAAUCACAAUCACCCAUAAUGAACAGUGCACAUAGUCACACAGUCAAGUAACAAGUUCAUGGCAUGCAUGUAAUGGUUCGCACAUAAUCAUUUCAUUAGAUUUGAUUCACAUUUUCCAAUUCACAUACAUGCAUGCAUACAAUGAAGCAAUUAGCCGGCAUAUAUCACACAAACAGGAAAUUGAAUCAUCACCUACCUUGAAAUCAAGCCUGAAUACUCCUAAGACAUGUGUGCCUUCCCUUUCCGAGUCUUUCAGCUCGUUCUUGAUCUAAAACAAGCAAUUAAUGCAAGGAUCACUAAACAAUGUCUAAUUUACUCGGAUAAUAACAAAAUUAUUAACCCAAGACCAAACGGAUGAUCCUAAUGUUCAACCAGGGCUUUUCCCCACCAUUAACUUCAGGCCAACCCCCCCUCCCCUCAACGAUGAUUACCCAAGAUUCUAAGUUCUAAGAAUCGAAAUACGGAUUAGGGGAGUAAUAAUCUUACCUUUAGCGCUAGAAAUCGUGGAAAACUGUCAAGAAACUGCCCUGGUUGUCCCUUAGCUCUCAAGAACGAAGUUUGCAGAAAAAUAACGAAUUUGGGGUUUUUCUCCGACUUAAUUCGCGACUAGCCCGCCAUGGCAGACCCCAUCCCACCACAGUGUCCCCACCCUGACGGGAAUAAUCCUGUCCCCGUGGCUUUCACAGAGAUAGAAGUUCAAAAUUUGAGUACCAAGCUCCUAUUUCACAACACACAUUUAAACCUGGAUGUUUUAAAACUACCAUUUCACGCCAAGAUCAGUUUCAGGAGUUCUACUCACCCGAAUUCGAUUCUGUAGAGUCGUACAUGCUCCUUAACAUCUUGGCUAUCCACUCAUGUGAUCCAAUUAUUAAUUAAAUCCACAUUCAUUACCAGAUUUCCCUAGACCUCACCUGACUCGAAUUUCGUCCAAGUCUGGCCUAGGGUAGAAAUUUCCAAGUCACUACUCAGAAGUUUUCUGGCCCAAAUUCUUUCCUCAUUGGCUUUUCAAUAACGACAGAAAUAGGUCAUUACACAAGGCAAUGAUUUUUUUUUAAUUUACAGCCAAGUCAUGAAUUUCCUGCGCCUUACAAGGCGCAAGUCGUCUGCAUCUUGUAAGACGCAAGGCGGCUGCGCCUUGUAAGGCGCAUUGCGGCUGCUCCCUAAUUUGGACGACGUUAAUUUGAUCGUUACAAAGUUGUCCUUUUGGUUCUAAGAUUAAUUUUGUUGUCCUUUUGAAUGUUUUGACAACUUUUCUUGCCCUUUCGGCUCCGGACUCCCCUCCUAUGUCUCCUAGGGGUGGGUGGGCAAAUUAAUUUAUUUUAGAACAUUAUUUUAUUUUGUUUAUUAAAUAGACUUUAAAAUAUAUAUUUUUAAUUAGGUGUUUGUUAUAUCAUCAACAAAUGUAUUAAACUCUUCUUUAAGGUUUUUGCUGGUUGUCAAAAAGGUGACAAAAUUAUAUAACAAAAUCCUACUACAAAUAUUUAAAAUGGACAAAAUCUACCGAAGGUUUAUAUGUGUGUGGAUUAUAUAGAUUACCCAAUCCGUUUAUUCGCAUCCUAAAUUGGACUGCACCAAUAUAAAAAUAUCACUUUCAUAUUGAUUAAUGUAUUUAUUGCUCCAUAUAUUAUUGGCCUAAAUGAUACUAAUGUAAUUGUCCAUAACUAAAACAUGCCAAUGAAGUAGGAUUUGAAAAAAAGAAACGUAGUUGUCAUGCAAGCAAAUCAAUUUGCUAUGUACCCUUUUAUUAUUUUUCCAGCUAUCAAGAAUGCAAGGCUAGAUUUGAGAAUUUCAACAAAAUAUUAAUAAAAUAAUAUAUCCUCCAUGCCCUAACAAGUAGGGAUAUUGGAAAAUUGUUGUACAAAUAAAUUUCUACAACAAUAAACAAUGAGACUUCUACGUCAAUUCAAUAUACAAUAAAAUUCACUUCUAGUCAAACCAACAUACAAUACACAUUUGCAUCCAUUACAAUAGUGUUUCUUAUUUUUUAAAGAUUUCCCCCUUUGAACCAAAUUUAAGUCUACUGGGCAUGACUAAUCAAAAUUAAUAUGCAAUUGAUUAAACAUCUUAUCAAUGAAAUUCACAUCACGUAAUCAAUAACAAUGCAUAUUAUAACUUGGACUUAGUCGUAACUCCAAUGCAAACAGAUCAAUAAUGAAUAGUACUAAUGUCGUGACGGUACCAUAAGUAAUAGGUAGCACUUAUUAAUUACUAAAACUAAUUUGUUUGAAAGCAGAAAUUAAUAAAUAAAGAACCUAGCUUUUUUAUUCAUCAUAAGCAUUAAUUAAUAUUACAUAGAGUGGAAUAGAAGCAUGAUCCACAUUAUUUUAGAAAAGCGAUCGAGCUAGGUUAUAAUAUAAUAAGCAUAGAUAAUUAACUAACUAUGCAUCAUUCUUCUUUACUUUGCUAAAGCCAAAGGGAUAAGGCUUGUUAUUGAGAGCCAGACGGGUGUAUCCCCUAUCUUCGUACAAUCCGACAUCUGCACAAUCAAAUUGGCAUGUUGGACACAUAUAUUUACUAGGACAAUACCUUAACUUGUAAGAAUGAGGUCUCCCAUCCUUAAACCUAAUUUAAGUCUACUGGGCAUGUCUAAUCAAAAUUAAUAUGCAAUUGAUUAAACAUAAAAGGAUCUUAUCCAUGAAAUCCACAUCACGUAAUCAAUAACAAUGCAUAUUAUAACUUGGACUUAGUCGUAACUCCAAUGCAAACAGAUCAAUAAUGAAUAGUACUAAUGUCGUGACGGUACCAUAAGUAAUAGCUAAUAUUGUGACGGUACCGGAUAUGGAAUUAUCCAUAAGUAAUACGUAGCACUUAUUAAUUACUAAAACUUAUUUGUUUGAAAGCAGAAAUUAAUAAAUAAAGAACCUAGCUUUUUUAUUCAUCAUAAGCAUUAAUAUUACAUAGAAGUAUGAUCCACAUUAUUUUAGAAAGCUAGGUUAUAAUAAGCAUAGAUAAUUAACUAACUAUGCAUCAUUCUUCUUUACUUUGCUAAAGCCAAAGGGAUAAGGCAUGUUAUUGAGAGCCAGACGGGUGUAUUCCAUAUCUUUGUACAAUCCGACAUCUGCACAAUCAAAUUGGCAUGUUGGACACAUAUAUUGACUAGGACAAUACCUUAACUUGUAAGAAUGAGGACUCUCCGUCUCAUAUUUCUCAAUUUUGAACCAGUUGUUUAAGGUAUUAGGUCCUGGAAUUCCUAAGGUACCACCAGUUAUAACAAACCUAGGUGGUGGAUGCACCGGCCCUAGAAAGUAAUAACCAGCUUUCCAAACAGUUUCGUUAAAACAUGACUUAGUUGAAGAAGAAGUUGAGAACAUUAUACUAACAUCUUGGUUUUCAUAAACGAAAUGAUCUCUUCCAAGUUGCAUAGUAUAAAACAACACGGGUGUGCUGUGAUCAAAAUCACCAGACCUGUCCUUCACAACGUCAUUUGGGCAUUCGGUAAGGUUAUCAAUAUCAGCUAAGUAUACGCUUCCACCUCCCGGGAGAACACUCAGAAUGGAGUACUCCUCGUUUAUCUUGAGUGGUUCGCCGUCCAUGUCCAGCACGUGAGGGAAUACAAUAUUCCCAUUAUUAUCAGAAAUGGAAAAUUCAUGAGAAAAGGCAACCAAACUUGAAACCAAUAUAUUACUAAUACUCUUCUUCAUCUUUAAUUUGUUUNNNNNNNNNNNNNNNNNNNNNNNNNNNNNNNNNNNNNNNNNNNNNNNNNNNNNNNNNNNNNNNNNNNNNNNNNNNNNNNNNNNNNNNNNNNNNNNNNNNNNNNNNNNNNNNNNNNNNNNNNNNNNNNNNNNNNNNNNNNNNNNNNNNNNNNNNNNNNNNNNNNNNNNNNNNUAAAGUUCCCAGUUUUAUUUUCUCAAUUUUUAUUGUAGUAAAAAAGUUGAGAAAUUAACAUUGUCAAUUUAAUUUUUGUAGUUAAGAAAUUUUAUGAUUUCGUGGAUAGUCAUAAGUUCGAACUUUUGUAGCUAUUGCUAGAUAUUAGCCCUGACUAGCUUUUAAAUUCAUAGCUAAAAUUUAGUAGUAAAGUUCCCAGUUUUAUUUUCUCAAUUUUUAUUGUAGUAAAAAAGUUGAGAAAUUAACAUUGUCAAUUUAAUUUUUGUAGUUAAGAAAUUUUAUGAUUUCGUGGAUAGUCAUAAGUUCGAACUUUUGUAGCUAUUGCUAGAUAUUAGCCCUGACUAGCUUUUAAAUUCAUAGCUAAAAUUUAGUAGUAAAGUUCCCAGUUUUAUUUUCUCAAUUUUUAUUGUAGUAAAAAAGUUGAGAAAUUAACAUUGUCAAUUUAAUUUUUGUAGUUAAGAAAUUUUAUGAUUUCGUGGAUAGUCAUAAGUUCGAACUUUUGUAGCUAUUGCUAGAUAUUAGCCCUGACUAGCUUUUAAAUUCAUAGCUAAAAUUUAGUAGUAAAGUUCCCAGUUUUAUUUUCUCAACUUCAAUUAUAUAGUAAUAAAGUUGAGAAAUAACGGUCACAUUAAUUUUUAUAGCUAAGAAAGUUAAUGAAAUUGUGGAUAGUCAUGAAACUCGAAUUUUUGUAGCUUUUACAAGACCAUCCUUAGAAGUGUUUUUUUAUUAAAUUUGAAAGAACUUAAAAUAAGUUAUUCAAACAUAUUCUAACUUGUAAUAUUUUAAUUUAUGAUGCUUACAAUUAAAUUCUAACUUAUAAUAUUUUAAUUUAUACAUCAUAAGUUAAAGCUAAAUUUUUUGGAAACUGUAAUAUUUUAUUACCAGAUUUGCAAUAUGUACAAAAUUGGAAACUCCGGAUGUGGACAGUUUCCACUCUCAGAGUCCAUCUAAUUCAAAAGAGUUCCUCCUUGCUAGUACUAUUCUAAGGAUAGAAGUUUAGCUUUUGCGUAAAACCUAUAAAAAGUUAAAGCUAAAUUAAAUAGGCUCUUGGUUAACUAUAUACUAGUAAAAGGUGUCCGUGCUAGCACGGGUUCAAUAUCUUAAUAUUUUUUAUUCUAAUAGACUUCUUCAUCUUUGAUCUUUGUUUGUGUGUUUUACUUGCUACGAGUCUAUCUCCAAUUUAUAGACCUGCUAAGGGCAUUUUUGACAAACAAAAAAUGACCUUUUAUUUUAGGUUAUAAUAACCUAAAGAAAAGUAACAUAUUUUUUUUUAAUUUAAAAGUAAGGACUAUAUAUAUACUGUGUUGUAACGUCUAAAUUGGAUCAGACCACCAAUAUGAAUAGUAUUGAGCAAAUUUUAUCUUGAUAUUUUAAUUAUAUAUUCACCGUUCAAUAUAUAUAUAUAUUAACUCCAACCACCAAGGAUACAAGUUUCCUAAAUGGUGGAGGAUUGGACAUAGAUCCCUACCAUGUAUAUUACUAAGCAAUAACACCGUUCAAUAUAGAUAACAGGCUAACAACCACAAAUGAAUAUUAAUGUCCCAGCGAAACCGCACAUGCAUGAGAUUAUCCCAUGACUGAGGGUGUGUUUGGUAGGGAGGAAAAGACCUGUAGGAAUGUUGGUAAAAAAAGGGUGCAGAAAUAAAAUAAAAAAGAUGUUUUGCCAAGAAAAAAAAAUGCGAAUGAAGAACAAACUAAAACUUGAGAAAAUGGAAGAGUGAGAGAAAAAAUGUGACAACGAAAAGGACCCACAAAUACACUUGUCAAAAAGAGAUUGUUCCCACAUACAACUAAUCUUCAUAUUUUAAUUAUAUAUUUAUAUUCACCAUUCAAUACCGACAACAGGCUAACGAUAACCACAAAUAAUGAAUAUUCGGGACCCAUGAGAUUAUCCCAUAACUAAAACGUGUCAAUGAAGUACAAUGACAAAUUUUACUUUAUGUGGGUUUUCUUCAAAAAAAACAAAAAAUCCAUUCUCUUCCGGCCCGUUUGACCAUGCGAUAUGAAAUCAUGAUAUGGUAUCAUAAUAUGGAAUCAUGAGAUGAAAUUGAAGUUUUAUUUGGACAUGCGAUAUGAAAUUUUUGUUUUAUAUAUUUUCUCAUACUCAUAAGAAUCUAUAAGUUGUAAAACUAUUAAAAUAGCCCAAAUUGUUUAUGCAAUCUUAGCAAAUAAACAAAAUUUUAUAAAAUUGCAUAAUAAAUUAUUAUAAAGCUAUUUGUUUCCCACUUAAGUAACUAUUAUAUCACUUUAAUUCAAUUAAAAAAAAUUGAACAUAAAUUGUAGUGAACAAGUCUUUAAUAUAAUCCUCCCACAUAAUACAGACAAUCUCCUCACGUUGAACUUGCAUUUCUCGAUCAUGUGAUCGAGAAGACAAACCAGCAUUGUUACUUUGAGCCAUUUUUUGGUCAAUAUCAUCUCAACUAUAUUUUCAUCAUCAUAGACCAUAAAUAUUUCAUUACUCCUUUUCACAAAUAAUUAUGUAACACUGCACAACCUAUGACAAUUUUCACUUGUGUGUCAAUAUCAUAAUGAUUCAUGCCUUGUUUCAGUAUCUUGAAUCUAUUUUUCAAGCUCCAAAAGUCUGUGGGGUUGUUUUAACAAAAUAUAAACUUGUGAAUCAAUUUUUGUGUUGGUGUCAAUAUCAUAAUGAUUCAUGCCUUGUUUCAGUAUCUUGAAUCUAUUUUUCAAGCUCCAAAAGUCUGUGGGGUUGUUUUAACAAAAUAUAAACUUGUGAAUCAAUUUUUGUGUUGAAAAAAUCUCAAAUCAUGAUAUGGAAUUCCCAUAUAAUUCCAUAUCAUGAUUUUUGGUGAAUAUGGUAUUCCAUCAGCGUAAAAUCGCAUGUCUAAACGUUGAUUCCAUCUCACGAUUUCAUAACGUGAUAUGGUAUCGCAUGGCCAAAUGCCUACUUAUUAAUUGAGAGGGAGUUUGCGUUGCACGAGAUUUGUUUAUGUAUUUUAUAGAAAAAAAGGGUAAAAAAUAUCCUUUAAUUUUGAUUUACUAGUUGAUUAUGUCAUUACCGUUAAAAUGAAGUUAUCUCUGUCGUUAUUAAUUUCAUCAUUUAUGUCCUUCAAUUGGAUGGAAAUCCCAAAUCAUUUAAAAUUGCCUAAUUUAACUUAAAUUAUCCAAUUUUAACCCGACCCGACCCACCUAAUAAUAUAACCCAUUUUGUUCAUCUUCAUUUCUGUACCCUCCCCUUUUUCUCAAUUUCCUCCUCCACGCCGGAAAUCACGAAACCCCCUAUCUCUUCCGACCUCUUUCACCACCAUACAACACUCAACCAGUCACCGUAAACCACUUGGAUAUAAUGUAUUUUGCAAAUUAUAUCUAAUUUUUAUCUCAUAUAUUUCGGUAUCCUGAGAUACAUGUAGUUGGAUGCAUCAAAAUUUAGUAAGAUUCGUAAAUAAGCAAAUUAAAAUAUAUCUAACUAAUUAGCUCCUAAACUAGUGAGAUUUAUGUAAGUUUCUUAUUAUUUAAUUGUAUGCUUGAUUAUGAAUAUUAGUAUUAAAAUUUCACAUUUUUACUAAAUUGGCGGGAUUAACUAUCCAUAAAAAAGAUAUGAUAGCUAAUUCCAAGAAAUAUGAUCCCUGUCUAUCUCAUCUCACCAACCAAACAAUCCCAUAAUGUUUUACAACUGUUUUUAACCAAGAAAGAAGUAUUGAAUGCAUUCCCUCUAUUUGACUAACUAGUAUUAACUAAUACUCAUUUUAAGUUUACUUUAAAGAACCACUUUCAUAUAUGAAAUGGUUUAUUAUCUUGAUUUAUAAAGAUUAAAUUUUUUUGAUGUUUUACUUUGGUAAAUACAUAAGGGUUUUAAAAUAGUAAAUGGGAGGUGGGGCUUCUUAAAAGGUUGAAUCCAUCAAUAGCCUCUUAAGAUUGACCCGAAAUUUUCACUUAGACACCUUAAAUAAGUUUUAUUCAUUUUAAAUACCUAAUAUCAAGCUAUCAUAUUAUGUCACUUUAACACCAUUUUUUUUUACAAUCAACAAAAAUAAAUAUGUAAUAUGAGUUACACUGAAUAACAUGUAAAGUAUCAAAUUAAAUAAAAAUAUUUAUUAUUUGUCUCCAAAAUAAUUCUUAAAUAAUAAGUUUUGAGUAAAAAUAAAAAAAUCAAUUUGUAGGAUUUAUUAUUUAAUUUGGCUUCAACUAGAGUAAUUGGUAAAAUUAAUAAAUAUUACCUGAGAAUAUUGUCCAUUGUUCUUAAAGGACUCUUGAAACUUGACAUCAGGUGGAGAACCAUUCAUGAGAUUAUUGCACUAAUAAAAUUAAGUUGCAACACCUAAUUUUACUUACCAUAAUUAUUAAGAGUAAAAUUUACCUGCAUAUGAUGUAUAUACCAAUCUAAUAUAUACAUAUCAUGUGUUUGAAUUUAUGGUUCAUUUUAUCUAACCUUAAUUAAAUAAGAUUUGUUUUACUUCAUUUUAAUAAUUUAUAUUCACCAUUGAAUAUAAAUAACAGGCUAACAAUUCCAAAAAUUGAUAUUAAUGUGCUAGGAUCGCACGGAGUUAUCAUUAUCCCACAAGUAAAAUAUGUCAAUAAAGUACGAUCGAGAUUUAUACCACUAAUUAUUUUGGUACCAAUCAAGAAUGGAUCUUAAAAAUAAUGGCAAAUCACUAUUAUGCAAAAUGAUUUUUUUAGAUUAUUUUUUUUGACAAAUUAAUGAUUGAAGGAUAGGGUUUGCGUUAUAUGAUAUAUAAAACUUAGUUUUGAAUUUGAGUAAAUUGAGUGUUGAAACUCAAAGAAUAAUUGGGCAAAAUAAAAAAUAAAAAUUGCACUUCAAACACAUAUAACUGAGGUUUUAAUCAAUUUUUAUACACUUCAAUCAAUCAUAUGUACAUUAAAUAAAAAAUAAAAAUAAUGUUAAAUGAGCUUGUUAAAUUUAUUGUUAUUUUGAUAAAUUGAUGAUUUGAGUUUGUUUCAUACGAUUAUAAACCUUAUAAUUUAAAUUCAAACAUAUCUGAAUCAGAUUUGAGUAUUAAAUCAAUUGUUUGGAAGUAGAAACUAAUAAAUAAAGAACCUUGAUUUUUCUUAUUCAUAAUCACAUUAAUAUUACAUCGAGUGGAAUAUAAGCGAUAGAGCACCACAUUGCUACUUGCACUCUGUUUGGAUCAUUGUUAACCAUUGUAUUGUAUUAUAUUGUUACUAUACCUACAAUGUUUGUUUUGAUUGUUACUUAAACUGUAUUGUAUUGUACUGUUAAAUUUCGUUGUUACAUAACAAUGAAAACCCCUAUUUUAUGGAACAACCGAUUUGGUGUGUUCCCAUCGUUACUUAAUUUCUUUUUCCAAUUAUAUCUUUACAUAAUAUUUCAAAAUACUAUUUUACCCUUUACCUUAUAUUAUUUAAUUCUAGUCAAACCUCCUACCCUAGAAUAAUUAAGGAUAUUUUAGUAAAUUUAUAAAUCCUAUCCUAGAAUAAUUAAGGAUAUUUUAGUAAAUUUAUAAAUUACAAUACAGUAUGAUACAAUCAAACCAAACAAUUAAAAUGUUAUUAAACAACAACAAACAAUACGAUCUAGCCAAACAUUGUAUCUACCAUACAAUACAUUACAAUAGAGUACAAUACAAUACAAUAUAUUAUGAAACAAUGGGUAACAAUGAUCCAAACACAGUGUUAGUGGCAUGGGUUCAUUUGCACGUUUUUGUUACAUGAAUAAUAGUAUCUAUUGUCCUUCAAUGUGUGAGACAUAUAAUUAGUAUAGAGACUUGCUAUUUUAACAAAUAAUUAAAAGGUAAGGUUGGUAGACGUUAGCAGAGUAAAUUUCAUCCAAUUUUGUGUUCAUUACCUAAAGUCAUCAUGUAGGAGGUACGUUCAAAAUAAUUAUUCUUUUAAAAGUGAUCAUAUUUUAUCUUAAUCAAAUACAACUUUAACUCCAAUUUUAAAUUUUUGUAAAUAAUACUUCCUCCAUCCAUUUUUAGUUGUUAUGUUGCACUUUUCAAAAAUUAAUUUGAAUUAUUUUCAAAGUUAAAUAGAUUACAUUGAACAUAUUUUAAAUUAAAAAUUUAGAUAUUCAAAAACUAUACGAAAAGUACUAUAAAUUGCAAUUUUUUGCAUAUCAAUCUGAUAAAAAAAAUACAUCGUAAAAUAUUAGUCAAAGUUCUUAUCAUUUAACUCUAAAAAAGAAAACCAUGACAACUAAACAAAGAUGGAGUGAAUAUAAAUAUAUUUAAUUUAACAAACGAAUAAAGAUGAACUUAUAUGCUUUGAUUAUAAAAGUAGUCUAACAUUAUUUGUUUGUAAAAUUUGGAUGCAGUUAAACAUGGUUAUUAAAGAAUCACUUCGACUGUAAUUUAUUAAACGAAUGGCUUGUGAAUAUAUGAUUUGUUAAACACUUUAAUUUAUUAAAAAAAAAUUAUUAUUUUUCGAAAGAAGUACUUUUGAUCUUUUAACAACAAUGCGGCUUUUAUCCAUGGUUAUAGUUAGACGGUUUAGGUUCUCUAUAGAAAAGUUAAAUGUAUGGAACAAAUCAAAUUUAAAUUAAACCUAUUAUUUAGCGAUUGAGACGUAAAAAAUUUUUAUAUGUACAUUGUGAAUCACACAUACUCAAUGAUCCCGUAAAUCUUAAUGAUAAUUUGGAUAAAAGCCACCUAGCUGCUUAGAGGUUUAAUGAUAUAUUUUGGAUGCAUUUGAUAUUCUCUCUAAACACCUUAUCUCUAUUCCCACUUUCUAUAGUUUUCAUCUUCACCAUCCUACACUUUUACUAAUAUUCAUGAUAUGUCUUUUAAUAUUACUUGUUUAAAUUAUAUAGGGAAAAUGCAUAAGUACCCCCAACCUAUGCUCGAAAUCCCAGAGACACUUAUACUAUACUAAGGUCCUAUUACCCUCCCCCCCCCCUCCUAACUUAUUUUAUAAAUAAUUUUCUACCCCUUUUCGGCCUAUGUGGCACUAUCAACCAGAUAGCUUGAAAAAAUUGUCAACACGCGUUGGGCCCAGAAGAUAGUGCCACGUAGGCCAAAAAGGGGUAGAAAAUUAUUUAAUAUAUAUGAUGUAUGUAAUUUUUUAAAUUGUUCAAAGGGUAAAGGGUCAAAUAUGCCCCUAAACUAUUCAAAAAGGUCCAGUUAUACCCUCUGUUUAAAGUUUGGCUCACUCAUGCCCUCGUCGUCCAACUUUUCGUCUAAAUAUGCCCUUAUGGGCGUUAGUUGGCAUGCUGGACAUAUCCAGCUCAUUUUCCAUUUCUUUAACUACCACAUGGAAUUGCCAUGUCAUUUUGACUUUACCACAUGACAUUUAUAUAAAAAUGGAAAGGGAUCAAUUAUGCUCCUAAAAAAUUCGAACCCAUUAACACCUAAUCCGACCCAUAAAUCAACCCCCCCCCCCUCUUUUAAAUAAACUACCCGACCCGUUUUCAACAAUUUUGUUUAAAUUUUUAUUUUUUUCGGUAAAUCCUGAAAAUUAGUAAUUGAUAAUAAAAAAUAGGAAAAAUAUAAAAUUAACACCAAAAAUUCACAAAUAAAUAUUGUAACCUUAAAUUCAACAAUUUUUAAAAUUUUGUUUUUUUUUGGUACAUUCCAAAAAUGAGUAAUUGAUUAAUAAAAAAUAUGAAAAAUAUGAAAAAAAAAAAUAAAAUUAACGCCAAAAAAUCACAAAUAAAUAUUGUAACCUUAAAUUCAAAAAUUUCAACAAUUUUUUUUAAUUUUUAUUUUUUUUAAUAAAAUACUCAUUUUCGGAAUUUGUNNNNNNNNNNNNNNNNNNNNNNNNNNNNNNNNNNNNNNNNNNNNNNNNNNNNNNNNNNNNNNNNNNNNNNNNNNNNNNNNNNNNNNNNNNNNNNNNNNNNNNNNNNNNNNNNNNNNNNNNNNNNNNNNNNNNNNNNNNNNNNNNNNNNNNNNNNNNNNNNNNNNNNNNNNNNNNNNNNNNNNNNNNNNNNNNNNNNNNNNNNNNNNNNNNNNNNNNNNNNNNNNNNNNNNNNNNNNNNNNNNNNNNNNNNNNNNNNNNNNNNNNNNNNNNNNNNNNNNNNNNNNNNNNNNUAUUUUUUUCAUAUUUUUCCUAUUUUUUAUUAAUCAAUUACUAAUUUUCGAGAUUUAUCAAAAAAACAAAAAUUUAAACAAAAUUGUUGAAAACAAGUCGGGUAGUUUAUUUAAAAGGGGGGUUGAUUUAUGGGUCGGAUUAGGUGUUUAUGGGUUUGAAUUUUUUUAGGGGCAUAAUUGAUCCCUUUCCAUUUUUCAUAUAAAUGUCAUGUGGUAAAGUCAAAAUGGCAUGGCAAUUCCAUGUGACAUUUAAAGAAAUGAAAAAUGAGUUGGAUAUGUCCAGCAGACCAACUAACGCCCAUAAGGGCAGAUUUAGACGAAAAGUUGGAUGGCGAGGGCAUGAGUGAGCCAAACUUUAAACGGAGGGUAUAUCUAGACCUUUCCGAAUAGUUUAGGGGCAAUUUGACCCUUUACCCUUGUUCAAAAUACAAAUAAUUAGAAAACCACGCAAAUAUAUAUAUAUAUAUAUAUAUAUAUAAUACAUUCAAUUAAAAUCACAAACGUCAUAUACAAAUAAACGACUCACAUUUCAAAUUGUAUUGAUUUGUAUUGGAUUUAUUUAGUAACAAAACUCUCUCUAAAUAAUUUGUAAGCUAAUUUAUUUAAAUAAAUUUACUAGUACAAACAUAAAUCAUAAAAUCAAGAAAAUAAACAAAAUAAUUAAAAUAGAUUUGAGGGAUAUUUUUGUUCUUUACAUAGACUUAUCCCAUGGUAUUAUAUCCUAUAAUACCAUGUAGGAGGUAUAACUAAUCCAUGGAUUAGUUAUACAUAGGCUCAAAAUCCUACCAAAUAUAGUACUAAAUAAUACCUUACAUAAUACAUGGACUAUUUCUUCUAAUGUGGCCUACCAAACGACCCCUAAAAGGAUUACACAGCUAAAGACAUAAAAUUUACAUUAAAAAAUGCAAAUUCAUGAAGUUUGGGAGGUGGGGGUUAAUGUUUCAAUUAUUAAUUAAUUCUAUUUUAAUUCACUCAAUUUACUCCAUGCACUACAAAAAAUACGGGUUUUAGCAACACGUAAAACCGUGGCUAACACGACUUUGCCAUAGUCAUUUAGCCACCGUGGCUAUAACGGGUGCCACCAACAAAUUUGCCACGGUUUAGGCGACCGUGGUAACAUUUUGUUAGCCACGAUUUGAUGUGAAAAUAGUCACGGUUGAUCGUGGCGAAAUAUCACCAAUGAAAAUGUUCAUAAUAUAUAUUUACCAUGGUUGAACCGUGGCUAAAUACACUUUUUUAAUUAAAAAAAAAUUUCAAUUAUUUCCCAGCAAUACCCUGCAACCAAUGCAUUAUUUGAUAGGCAUCCACUAAUACACUGACCAUAAUACACAAAUCCUAUGCUCAAGAUGGUAUUUUUUAUUAACUGGACACAUAUCAAUUCAACGAGAAUCUAAGGUGCUUAUUGAAGGAACUAAAUAUACAUUGGCAUCCAUAAAUAUUUGAAGUGCCAAGGCAUAUGGUAUCUCUUUCAGGGUCUGUUUUCCUUCAUUUGCCUUAAGCUCAACAAUUCUCCUAAAAGAUUCGAAAGUAACGAUGCAAUAAGUUAGACCUCACAACAGUGAUAAACCUCAAUCAUACAACGCAUGUUAGAUUCCUUAUUUAUGCCAACAAUUAGAUAAACUAAUUUAAAUAGAUAGUUUUUUCCAAGGGAAACUCUUUAUUAACUGAAUAUGAUGUUUCAUUUGUCAUAUCCAAGUGGAUACAUGGAUUACAAAGAAAAUGGGAUUACAUAGGUCAAUCAAUGUUGAGGUGCCUCUUAAUUUAAAAAAUCAGCUGCAGCAGGAUGUAGACACACAUUUACAAAAUUGAAUAAUUGCACAUUAAAGGCAUAAAAUUUGUAGGCUAUCAUAUACGAUGAAAACAUAUGUCAAACGAACAAAGAAAUAUCAGCAAGAACCCAGUACAUACUCAACAAAUUCCACAGAGAAAUCCAAGAUCAACAGUUUGACAAAUGUCAAGAGGUAGUAUCAGAUAUACAUUUAGAAUAAAGGAGAAAAAAAGAUAUGAGUAGGCAUACAUCUUUAUUUUUUUUAAUAAGAUAGGCAUACAUCAAUUUUUCUCAAUUUGGACGGAGAGGGCACUUUCUGUUCUCAUCAGUCCCAUCAAAUGAGUGGAAGAUAUUGGUAAAAUCAUUCCGGAGGGCUGAAAUUUUAGUUAUGUUUAUUGUUAUCAAAGGUUAAAAGCACCAAAAGAAUAGUUGUUUUGUGAGAUGCCAAACAAUAUGCAACACAAUUGAUAAGCAUUGUACCUUGAAGAAAUCAUAUACAUGAUACUUGAACACCGAAUGAUAUGAUGAGUAACGAUCUGUAACAAAUUCUUUUAGCUGAAAUUAAGCUCCCAAGAACUACAAACCAGCAAAUAAAACAGAUUAGGAUUAUAGGAGAGCACACACAAUCAGUUCAUAUGUUAGAGACAUAACACAUAUUUUCAAAACAAGUAAGAUGAGAGAAUUACAAGUAAAACAAAGUGAAAAAAAGUUAAAUCCACCAAAUAUUUAGUGAAUAAGGAAAGCAACCUUGUAAUCAUAUGUGUUUUAGAUAAGCAUGAUUAGAGAAAUAUGCAAAAAAAAUUGAUAAUGUAUUUUUAGGAGAUUUAUUGCAGGCAUGAACCACAAUUGCAAUAACAUUGCAUUUCAAGGAAAAGUUUUGCUUAAAAUACCUUCAACCAACCUUUAACUAAAUGAUGGGAACAAGUAGAAGGAUGAUCUAGUCAUGAAACAAGAAUAAAAGAAAAGAGAGAAAAAUACUUUUAGAAUAACUAUAGAAUCGGCACUAUAAUAUACUACUCCCUCUGUUUUUAUUUUAUGUAACUUAGUUUGACGGGCCACAAAGUUAAAGGUGUGUAUAACAUAUCAAAAGUACCCUAUGAAUCUUAUGGUCUUAAAUAACCAGAAAGCUCUAGUGACCAAUUCUAAGAAUUGACAACAUCAAUGGUACUUAGAUAAUGUUCUUAGAGAUUAUACAUUUUCAAGGUGACUGCUAAAACAAAAUAUAAUCAUGAGGCAGAACACUAGAGCAAUCAAGUGGUAUACUCCCAAAUUCAUCUCAUUGUUUUAACAAGUAGAUUUGAUCAAAAGGCUCAAAUUUAAGCUUCAAAGUAUCCAACAAGAUGUUAAAUGCUAAGAACUUGUUUUCAUCUUCAUUUCCACAAACAUGAGCUCACACUUCACAGACAUACACAAACAAAAAAAAUGCAAUAUAAGUCCAUAGAGCCAAAUCAAAAUAAUCAUAUCUGGGCUAGAUUUCAUAUUUACUCAACUUGCUUAUUGAGAAGCAAUAUACUACGUGAAACAAAAUAAAAACAAAGAACUAUAAUCGAGGAUGAAACAUGGGAACAACAUGACACUUAACACAAAUGCAAUUCAAUAGUCGUACCAAUUCAAGAUAUUGUUGGAAAAUGGUCAUGCUGUGUAAAUACAGGGAAAAUGCUUCUCACUCAAUUCCUGUUAUAUUGUUAUAAGAUAUACACAUUUUUUUAUCCUUAUGUAUUCAAGUGUCACAUUGAUAAUUUACACUAUUGCAUCGUAGGAUGCAAUUCAUAUCAAAUGAGGAAACAAACCUAAACAAAUAUGUCCAGUGCUUAAAUGUGAGGAUGCGAUGGAGCUGGAGGGAUGAAAACAACCUAUCAAGUCAACAGAUAAAAUGCUAUACUGAAGAUAAAAUAAACUUUUAAAGAAAAGAAUACUAUAGAUAGGCAAGCUAAUGUUUUAUACGAUUAAAUCAUUCUAGACAUAAAACAAGAAGUUAGGUCAACGAAAAAACACAUAUAUAUUAAUGUAUUUCAUAAUUUUCUGAAGUGUUUCCCAAAAGACAAUCGUACAUUAUACAACCAAUACUAGUGGUGUCACCUACUCAAUAGACCGAGAAAUAUGAGGCUCUAAAACUCUUAAUUAUAUUCAAAGUCUUCCUAUACUUGGCAAGCUGAUUUUCAAUAAACAUUGAACAAUUAACAUUUAUUUACCUUAGUGGAGCUUGAGAAACCAAUCUCCUUUACGGUAUUUUUAGAGAAUCAUAACAGAGCUUCAGAACUGGACCCAAGUCAUAACAGAGCAAAAGUUGAAAAUUAACAAUCAAGAAACCUAAAUUAGUAAAAAUAUUCAAAAAAAAAAAACAUGCAGAAAUUUGAACAAUAAAACAUCAAAAGUUAUAGAAAUUUUAGAGAUUACAAAACAUUAAUUUUCUUUUGUAUUCAUGCAUGGGUUGGGGUGAAAGGGGGAAUUUGGGUUACCAAACAGUUUCUUUACUCGAGAUUUUUCAAAUUUUUGUACUAAAAAAACCUCAAAGAAACCAUUGAAUAUUGAACAAACUAUUGACUUGAAACUCCUGGAUAGCAAAGAUUUGUUACAUGAAAAAAGUGAAUUUACCAUUUCCGCUACUAUUCGAAGCAAGGCUACAAUAUUCUGCUAUUGUUCGAACCAUUCAAAAAAAUUUGGAGUGAAGCAAAUUAGUGUGAUUUUGGAUGAAGCUAAUUUUGGGUGAAGAAUUUUUUUGGGUAAAACAGAUUUGUGUGAUUUUGGAUGAAGUAGGAUUUUGGGUGAAGUAGAUUUGGGUGAUUCUCGAUGAAAAAAAGUUUUGGCUGAUUUUGGUUGAAAAGAAAUAGGGGCAAAUGAAAUAAAAAGUGAGGGAAUGAAAUUAUAUUACCUGCCUAAUUUGCCCACGUUAUUUUAGCAUCGUUCUCUUAUUCGUAGGAAACAUUAACACUUCCUAUUAAUUUUGCCACGGUUUUUAGAACUGUGGCUAAUAAACCGUAGCUAGAACUCAUUUUUUGGUAGUGAUGUAAGAGAGUUGCACUAAUUCGAGCUAAAUAGGUAGUCGAUCUAGAUUGACUCACGACUGGGCUGACUCUUACUUUAAAAUAAUUAAGGCAUAUGCCUUAGGUUCUUAAUUAGAGGUGUACAAAAUCGAACCAAAAACUGAAUCAAACCGCAAAUUGAGUCAAACCGGAAAAAAAACCCGACUAGUGGUUUGGUUUGAGUUGGUUUGGUAUUGGAAAAAAACAACCCGAUUAUAUUUGGGUUGGUUUGAUUUUAACUAAAAAAAACCAACCCGACAUUAUAUAUGCAAUUUUAAAAUUUUAUUUUAUACAUAAAAAUAUUUAUUUUGAUAUAAUUUUAAAAUAUUUCUUAUACUAUUUCAUAGUUUUUAUCUUUUAAUAUAUUAUUUCAAAUUUAAAACUUAGAAUUUGGAAUGGUCCAAUAGAGAUUAUAGUUGAUAGAUGUUAAUAAUUAUAAUAAAACUUAAAUCAAAAUCAAAUUAAUACUAAUGCAAAAAAUAAUCAAUUCAACACUAGAAUGACAAUAAUAUUGAAUAUUUGUUCUUUAGUUUUACAUUGGUUUAGACAAUUAAAUUACAUAAUCUAAUUUUAAUUUUACUUAAAUAUUCAGUAAUGUAACUAUUACUUAUUAAACUAAUUUUAGCAUGAUUUAGUACUUUUAAAUUAUGAUCAUUUUCAUUAUGACUUUGCAAUAUUUAUUUUAUAUGAUGAUUUCAUUAUUAUUUUUAUUGAAUAUUCGCAUCUCAUAUUUGUGUUAUUUUCUUAAGAAAUACCUUAGAUAAUUGUAUUUUGGUUGUACUAAAUAAAGAAAUAUUUGGAGCACAAGUUAAUUAUAUGUUUGUAUGCAAACUUUACCGAAAAAAAUCCAAAAAUCUGAAAAAAAUUCAAGGUUUAUUAGUUUGGUUUGAUUUAUAAAUUUAAAAAUUUGACACAAUGAUUUGGUUUGAUAUUUGGAAAACCCGAACGAACCCGAGGUUAAAAAACCCAAAAAAAUCUGAAUUUUAUUAGUUUGGUUUGGUUUAAAAAUUUAAAAAUUUUACAAAAAUGGUUUGGUUUGAUAUUUGAAAAACCCGAACCAACCCGGUCUUGUACACCCCUUCUCUUAAUUUUGGAGGGAUUAAUUUUUUACUAAGAAUAAAUGAUGUGCUAGUUUUUUUAUUUAUAGAAAAAUGAUAGUUAUUUUAUUCUCUUAACCCUAUAAAAAUAGAAGAAAUCAAGAAAAUGUUAACAUAACUACUAUAAAAACAACUUUUAGUGGAAAUGAAUAGAUCACAUUAAUAAAGAGUGCUAAAGUAUUUACCGGCAUUAGUUAAGUGUCAUUAGAUCCAAUGUCGCUAAAGACUUUAGGGACAUAUACAAAGAGUGCUAAUUGUCGCUAAAAAUACAUAUUUAGCGGCAAUUGAGCUAUUGCCGUUAGUUGCCACUAAAGAUCAUUUUUCAUGUAGUGUCCGUCCAACAAUAGUUAUCCAUUAUACUAUUUUGGAAUGUCAAACAAUACUUGUUCACUCUAUGAAAUCAAUGGAUAAUUUUACACUUAGUUACUAAUUUACCCUUAUCUUUAAUUAUAGUAAUUUUCUCUAUUACAUUUUUUAAGACACUAUAUUUAUUAUAUUCAAAGGGUGAUAUAGUAAAAUCAUCCUACUAUUUAUAGUUUCUUAAGAAGUGUACAAUGUCAGUAGUGGACAACUAUUAUUGGACAGGGAGAAUAAUAAUAUGUUUCAAACUUGUUUUACACAAAUUUAAAAAGCAUUUAUAUUUUUAAAAAAUAGGGUCUUUGGCUAGGGUGCUUCUCUGACUCAUAAUUAAUGGCAUACACAACAUUCAUAGCUAUGACAGUCUUCGGUCUUCCGCCCAAGUAACAUUUAGACUUACCAGGGUUGUGGUGCACUGGUAGGAGUGUUUCACCCUUAAUCAUAGGUCUUGGAUUCGAGCUUUGAGUAUAGAGAAAAUUUUGUUGAGAGCGUCACAUUCGAAUAGGCCCUGCAGAGCGCAAUCCAAAUUUAGUCGGAGGUGAAUUUCGAACAUCGAGUGAGAAAAAAAAACAUUUAGACUUAGUAAGAGUUGGAUGGACAGCUCGUUUCAUGGCCCAUAAUUUAGCUAUCUUAAACCCAAUUCAUUUCCUUCCGUCCAAGUAAUAUUUAGAUUGAAUCAUAAACUUAUUCAUUUAUCAUAUCAUUAUAAUUCAAUCCGUCCCCAUAUCUGACACCCACCCUUUAUUAUAUGGUUAAGCAUGAAAAUAUGUAUGGAUCACAAUUCACACAUAGAAACACAAAUUAAAUGUAUAUAUAGGAUAUGCAUGAUAAUUAAAGGAGAUGCAUAUUCGAACAUAGCUAGCUAGCUAGCUUGUUUUAUUCAUAACUCAUAAGCAUGCAUUAAUUAAAAUUACCUAGAGCCUGGAGACGCAUCCACUUUAAUUUAUUCCUUAACGAAGACAAUGGGAAGAGCUAGGGUUUUCACCGGAAGCCACGAGAGGAUAUAAUCCGUAAUCAAAAGUCAAGCUCACACAAUUAAGUUGAGGGGAAUCCGUACAAUACAUUAACUUGUAUGCAUUUUCCAAUUCUUGUUCCUCCGACGUCUCAUAUUUCAAAAUCAUUGUUUAGAGGCUUCAUAGACGGAUAGUUAUAGUUCUUUAGUCUUAUUCAUUUCAGAUAUUGUUUAAAAACUUGAGUUUGCCUUAUUGGCUAGUUGAAUGCUUUCUUAUUAACAUUCUUAAGUUAUAUGGGUUUAUCUCUGUUAAGUUAAACUGAGUAAGUAAGUCAGGCCAAGGAUUCGCUUGGGGUCAGCAAUGGUUAUCUAGUGCCAGUCCUGCCGCGUGACACAAACACAAAUUAAAUGUAUUGCAUAUGAUAAUUAAAGGACGUAUUCGAAGAUAGUAGCUUGUUUUAUUCAUAACUCAUAAGCAUACAUUAAUUAAAAUUACAUGGAGCGUGGAAACGCGAUUGAACGAUCCACAUUAAUUUAUUCCUUAAGGAAGACAACGGGAAGAGGGUUUUUACCGUCAGCCACCAGACGAUGUAAUCCAUUAUGAAAAGUCAAGCUGACAUGUUUACACAUUAUAAGUUGAGGGGGAUCCGGACAAUACAUUAACUUGUAUACAUUUUCCAAUUCUUGUACCUCAUGUUUCAUAAUCUUGAACAAGUAAUUGCUUUCAUUUCCUAUGGUACCACCAGUCACCACGAACUGAUCUUUAUCAUCACUAACUUUCCAAAUAGCUAGUUUCGUUAAAACACGGACUAGAUAGAUAUAUCAAGUGUUGAGAACAUGAUAUCAAUGUCAUCCGUUUCACGCACCACAUCAUCAUCAUUAUCAACCAUAAGAACGAAUUUCACGGGGGUGCCUUUUCCUAUCAAACCGGGAAUCGGUACGUGCUGCAACAUGGUGUUAGGGCAUUCAAGGUGUCCAAUAUUGGCCAAGUAUACGGAUCCGCCUCCAAUGAGAGGAUUAUGAAUAAUGUACUUUUCACCAAUGUACGUAGUGUGGUAGGCGGUCCAUGUCCAACACUUGAGGAGCUACAUCAUCAUCAUCAUCAUCAUUAAUAUUAUUAUUAUUAUGAGUAGUUGUGGGGAGGACAAUGGGAUUGUUGGAAGUGAAAGAUCGACAAAAGGCAACAAAGGGAAACAAAGAGAGUAAGAGGAAACUCAAAAUAUUAAUCAACUUCAUCUUUAAUUUGAGUGUGUUGUGUGUAUAUUUUGCUUACUCUAUCUCCAAUUUAUAGACCACCACAUGUAUGUAACAACAUUUUUGAGAAACAAAAAAUGCCUACCUUUUAGGUUAGGUUAGUGACAUGAUUUAUUAACUAGAUCUAAUUAUAAGUAGUAUAAAGACUUUCUAUUUUAACAAUGAAUUAAAAUAUAUAUAUAUAUUGUUAGAAAACAUAAGCAAUGUGGAGAAAUUUUCUGUGUAUUUCUUCAUGAAAAAAAUCACUGUGCAGCCUUCUAGUAUAUAUACAAAUUCUAUUCUAUCCUAAAUUGUGUGAACUAUGAAAUUAAUGCAAUAUGUAUUUACACUUGUCAUUUCAUUAUUGGUCUUCUUCUAACAAACUCCAAACGGCUGUCAUGUGCCAUACAUGUGCUAUGGUUGAGAAAUAUCUAGAAUUAUACAUUUGUACCAUACAGCUGGAUGGCUCUGAUUAAUUUGAUUCAAUAAGAGAUCUUUGCCCCUGAUGUUGCCACGCGUCCUUUAGACCUUUUUGUAUGCCUAUGUUGUUUUUGUCCGAAACUAGGAGAACUUUGAACAUUGUUUCCUUUCAUCAUCUCCUUAUUUUUACUUUUUCUGUAAACUCACCAUGGCCAUAAUCAUGAUGUUCUUGAUUAUCGACACCCCUUCAAGGUGAAGGGAAAGAAACGACACCCAACUUGGAAAGAAUCGAGAAGUGUGAAGGACCAGAGAGAGCCUUUGUGAACAGAUUAGCCAACUGAGCAGAGGAUGGAACAAAAGAUAGAGAGAUCAACCCGGAAAGGAAUUGUUGUCUCACGAAGUGGCAAUCAACCUCAACAUGCUUGGUUCGUUCGUGAAACAUCGAAUUUUUUGCAAUAUAAAUAGCAGCUUGGCUGUCAGAGUGAAGAGGCACAUGCAAUGAUGGAUAAAUGGAUAGAUCUACAAGAAGUCAGGUUAACCAGGUAAGUACCGCAAUAACUCUCCUCAUAGACCUGUAUUCUAAUUCAGCGGAAGAUAGUGAAAUAAAGGCUUGUUUCUUGGACUUCCAAGAAACUGGUGAGCCACCAAGGCUAAUAAAGAAACCACUAAUAGAUCUCCGACUAUCUCGACAAGAUGCCCAGUCAGCAUCACAUAAAGCAAUCAGGAAAAAUGAUGAUGUAGGAUUGAAGAACUGACCUUGGUCUGGAUUGAGUCGUAGAUAUCUCAACACUCGAAGUGCAGUAUCAAAAUGGCCCUGACACGGCUGUUGCAUAAAUUGACUAAGAGUGAUGACUAAGAAUGAAAGGUCUGGCCGUGUAUGUGUGAGAUAGUUCAAUUUAUCCACUAAUCUCCUGUAAAUGGAAGGAUCUGCAAGUAAAGGACAUGAUGAACUAGUGAGCUUAGAACAAGGGUCAAGUGGAGAGGAGACUGUAGGUAGAGAUGUGCAAUCAAAUUCUUGUAACAAAUCUAGUGUGAAUUUUCGCUAACCAAUAAUACAACCAUGUUCUCCUCUUAAAAUUUCCAUGCCAAGAAAAUAAUGAAGCUCCCCUAAGUCCUUGAUUUGGAAUUUAGAGUUGAGAAAAUCCUUCAUAGUGGCAGUUUCAAUAGGAUCAUCCCCGGUAAUCAAAAUAUCAUUAACGUAGACAACAAUAAUUGAAAUCAGAUCCCCUGUUUUGUUGAAAAACAAAGAAUAGUCAUUAAGAGAUAUUGUAUAUCCUUUAAAAGUCAGGGCUCCUGCAAGCUUGACAUGCCAUUGCCUUGAAGCUUGUUUGAGCCCAUAUAGUGACUUUUGAAGCUGGCAAACAUGAUUGGGACUGGGUGAUGCCAUUCCUGAAGGAAACUUCAUGUAGACUUCCUCUUGAAGGUCGCCAUGAAGAAAAGCAUUAUUAACAUCAAAUUGUGAAAUAGACCAACCUUUCUUGACUGCAAUGGCAAUGAGACACCUAAUGGUUGUCAUUUUGACAACUGGGGAAAAAGUCUCAGUGUAGUCUAUGCCUUUCCUUUGUAUGUCAUCUCUUUUCACAUGUCGUGCCUUAUAUCUUUCAAUUAAUCCAUCAGAAUGUUAUUUAAUUUUGUAUACCCAUUUGCAAGGUAAAGCCUUCUUGCCAGUAGGUAACAACAUGACCUUUCAUGUAUUGUUUUCUUCCAAAGCUAUAAUCUCUUUUUGCAUUGCAAACUGCCAAUUAGGAUCCAAACUAGCUUGUUUGAAACUAGUAGGUUCUGAGUAAGCACUAAUAGAACCAAGGAGAUAUUGAUUCUGUAAGGAUAAAGCUCCAAAAGAAAAAGUAGAUGAGUGCACAGGUUGUGCUAAACAAGUGUCUGAAAUGUUAGUGAGAAACACAUGAUUAUAGACAAAAUCAUUUAGAUAUGCAAGCCUCUUACUUUCCCUGUUAGAUUUUCGGAUAAUAGGUGUGGAAGGGGGUGGAGAUACAAGGAGAAAAGAAGGGGAAAAUGAAGCAUAUGAUUGAGGAGAUGUGCUAGAGGAGGAUGAAGGAAUAUGGAGGGUUGCAGAGUCAAUAGAGGAGUCAGGAGUGAAGGAAGAAAUAGGAAAAAUUGGCUCAGAAUCUGAUUGAAGAUUUGAGAAAGGGCAAAUGUGCUCACAAAAUUGAACAUCUCUAGAUAUAAAGAUCAUUUUAAAUGAUAUGUCAGGAAGUUAGUAUCCUUUUUGGCCCUGUGGGUAGCCCAAAAAUACACAAGCAAUAGCCCUGGGAUCAAACUUGUUUCGAUUACUGCGCAAAGUAGAGGCAUAACAUAGACAACCAAAAGCUUGCAAAAACUUAUAAUCAGGACAUUUCUGAAAAAGAAUCUCAUAAGGGGUUUUCCCAUGAAGUACUCUGGAAGGAAUUUGAUUAAUAAGAAAAGUAGCAGUCAAUAAACAAUCCCCCCCCCCCAGUAGCAUUUAGGAAGUUUGAAUUGAAAAAGUAAAGACUUUGCAAUUUCUAAUAAAUGUCUAUGUUUCCUCUCAACAACCCCAUUUUGUUGAAGUGUAGCAACACAAGAUGUUUGAUGAAUGAUCCCUUUUGACCUCAAAAAUUUUGCUUCAUGUACCCCUUUCCCCAAUUCUAGAGCGUUAUCGGAUCGAAGCUUUUUCACCUUAAGGUCAAAUUGUCUCUCAACCAUGGAUAAAAAAUGUUUCAAAACGGAGAAAGCAUUAAUCUUAGUAGUUAAUAAGUAUGUCCAAGUACCCCUACUAAAAUCAUCAACAAAAGUAAGAAAAUACUUAUAUCCAUGGUAAGUAAGAACUUUGAAAGGUCCCCAAGUGUCCAUAUGAACCAGUUCAAACACCCUUUUAGAAGAAACAUGACUAAUGGAAAAGGGUAAUCUGGUUUGUCUAGCAAGGGGACAUAUGUCACACACACAAGAAUAAUUAGAAGGAAAAGAAAUGAAACUGAAAUUUUUUAUAGCUGAAUAAGGCAAAUCGCCUAGUCUGGCAUGCCAAAGAGCUACAUCAGAAACAACACUAGCAGAAAAAGAAAAACAAAGAUGGACAUUUUUGGAAUCACUUCCUUCUAGUAAAGAAACUACAUUACAUAGAGAUUGAAUACUAGUACUAGAAAUGACAGAUUCUAAAAGAUAAAAAUCCUCUUUAGCUUCACCAAAAUCUUGUUUCAUCUUCAUUGAACGGUCCUGCAUGACACACUUUUCAGGAUUAAAUAAGAGAAAACAACCAAAUUGACUACAGAACCUAUGAACAGACAACAAACUAUAUCUGAAAGAAGGAACAAAAAGAACAUUUUGUAGAACAAGAGUAGGAAAAAUGGCUAUGUUGCCAGUGUGUGUGACCUUAAUCCUGUAAGAAUUAGGUAAAUUUAUAGUGACAGGUGCUGGAUGAGGGACAAGAUUGAGAAAGGAAGUAGGUUCAUAACAUAUGUCUUCAGAAGCCCCUGAGUCUAUGAUCCAAGUCUAAGAGUUAAAAACAGAGAAACAAGAAGUAGAAUAUUAAGUAAUAGUACCAGCCACAACAUUUGCAUUAAUCUCUGAGCUAGUACCAGCUCUAGAAGUGGUCUGUCCUUGUUUGAAAAUCUGUUUCAUAUGUGAAAUUUGACUCUUACUCAGGGAUUGCAGGAAAUGCUCAUCAGAAUCUUCAUAUCCAAUAGGUGAAUGCCCAUAACUAUCCUUAAUAAGUUCUCUAUUCCCAUUGAUAGGUGUUUGAAAUCCUUUAGUGAACUGAAAAUCUUCUUGGUACCCCAUCAAUCUAUAACAGUCAUCUUCUACAUGCCCAGUCUUUAGACAAUGAGUACAACUCACAUUAGGAUUGUAUUUCUUCCUUCUUACUUUUCUUGGAUUCUAAGGUGUAAAAUUCCUUUGAGGAUUUGCUGAAGGCCUUUGUCCCUGAGAUUGCCCACCAGAAUGUUGAAAUCAUCCUCCAGACCUUUGUGAAGACUGACCUGGGUGACCAGGCUUCUGCAUUUGGUUUCCAAGUUUCAUUUGGGAGUUGAAAUUCUUAGCCAUAAAUGAAGAGUUGUUAGGGGAAAAUUGUGGAUUAAUAUAAACUUCUCUCUGAUUGUCAUCCUGAAGCAAGAGAGAGUAAGCAUGGUUGAUUCCUGGCAAAGGAUUCAACAUGAGAAUAUUACCCCUUGCUUGAGCAUAAAGAUCAUUCAACCCCAUAAGAAAUUGAAUUAGCCGCUAAUCUUCAACAAAUUUAGUCAUCUUUUGCUUCCCUGUACACACACAAGGACAUGUACAACCAACAUGAGAGUUGAGAGAAUCCAACUCAUCCCACAGCCUUUUUAAUUUAGUGAAAUACCCUGCUAUAUCAUUGGAUCCUUGCACUAACCCAGUCAUUUCUUUUUGCAUGUGGUAUAAUUUAGCACCAUUCGACUAGCCAAAUCUCUGUUCUACAUCUGUCCAGAGGUCCUUGGCAGUCCUGGAGUAGAUGACAGAGUGAGCUAUAUCCAUGGAUAACGAGUUAAGUAGCCAAGAAGUUACCAUGGCAUUGCAUCUAUACCAAGAAGAAAAAGUGGGUGUUGUGUUCAAAGGCUCUACACAACUACCUUCAAUAAAACUCAGUUUGUUCUUAGCUGACAAAGCAAUUAGGGCAGAUCUCCUCCAUCCCUGGUAACCCCUCACAUCGAAGGUGCUAUUAACAAGAUUCAUACCUGGUACAUCUGAAGCAUGAAGAAAAGAGGAUUACUAAAAUAAAAAAUACUCCCUAUUGCUGUUUGACCUACAGCAAAUAGGAGCUAUAGCAGUAGGAAUGACCCAUUCUGUAUCCAUUAUUUAAAAAGGGGGGAUGAACACAGAAAUUUGUAUAAGAGCAAAAAAUUGUGGAUCUUAAUGCUCUAUACCAUGUUAGAAAACAUAAGCGAUGUGGAGAAAUUUUUUGUGUAUUUCUUCAUGAAAAAAUCACUGUACAUCCUUCUAGUAUAUAUACAAAUUCUAUUCUAUCCUAAAUUGUGUGAACUAUGAAAUUAAUGCAAUAUGUAUUUACACUUGUCAUUUCAUCAUUGGUCUUCUUCUAACAAACUCCAAAUGGUUGUCAUGUGCCAUACGUGUGCUAUGGUUGAGAAAUAUCUAGAAUUGUACAGUUGUACCAUACAGCUGGAUGGCUCUGAUUAAUUUGAUUCAAUAAGAGAUCUUUGCCCCUGAUGUUGCCACGCGUCCUUUGGACCUUUUGUAUGCCUAUGUUGAUUUUGUCCGAAACUAGGAGAACUUUGAACAUUGUUUCCUUUCAUCUCCUUCUUUUCUUUUUCUGUAAAAUCACCAUGGCCAUAAUCAUGAUGUUCUUGAUUCUCAACAUAUAUAUAUAUAUAUAUAUAUAUAGUAUAGCUAAAAGAUUUUGUUUUCAAAUAAUUUAUUAUGAUUAAAAAUUAAUUACUAUUGUUACACUAACUUUUAUUGCGUGACUAAAAUUUCCAAUAGGUCAUAGACUCAUAGACUAUAGUUGUGUGAAAGUCGCGACAGACAACUGUAUAUUCAGUUUUUAUUAUUUUCCUUGUUUUUUCUUGUAAAUUCUUAACUCAACCUAAAAAUGAAAAAUUAAAUAUUUCAUUGCAAAUCUAUAUAAAGUUCCCAGUUUUAUUUUCUCAACUUUUAUUGUAGUAAAGAAGUUGAGAAAUUAGCUUUGUUAUUUUAAUUUCUGUAGCUAAGAUAUUUUAUGAAUUUGGACCACAUAUUAAAUAUGAAUUUAAUUUUUUUAGCUAAGAAAAUUCAUAUAUAAAUAUUUACAGCCUAAUUUGGACACAGUUAUUCAGAGUAGCUCGUACAAAAACAUUGGAAUGUCUCUUUCGGAAUAUUGUAAUUAUGGCUCCAUGGACCACUUAAUAUCACAUAAAAUAAAUCAAUUGAAAUAGAUUCUAGUUUAUAUUUUUUAACUUACAAGUGAUAAGCCAAAAAUUAAGCUAAACACACCCUUUGUCUCUUAUUUUUCUUUUUUAAUUUGUCUAAAAACAAAUUAUUUUAUAUUUAAAUAUAAUUUAACUUUUAAAUUCUCAUAUAUAUUUAAUGAGAUAAUUUAUAAUGACAUAAAUAUUUAAUAUAAUAAUUUUGUACCAAAAAUUUCAUGAAUGAUCACCUAAAACACACCACCUACCGGAACUAAGACAUCCACACACGCAGUGGCGGAUGUAGAGUGUGUCCAGGGGGGUCAUCCGACCCCCCUCGAAAAAAAAUUACACUAUAUAUAUAAGAUUAAUUUUUUGUGUACGUGUAUAUAUUUAAAAUUGAACCCCCUGAGCAUAUGUCAAAGGAGUAGCUCAAUGGUUUAUGGGGUUCAGGAUUUCGCCUAUGUUUUAUUUGAACCCCCUCGAUAGAAUUCCUGCCUCCGCCACUGCACACACGAUAAAUAUAUAAAACUGGUAGAAUACCGACGUGGUAUAAUUCAAUCAAUCCACGUACAAAAUUUUAACCAGGGAGAUGUUUGGAUACUGUAGUGGAACAUCAAAAUAUAAUGCAAAUUAUUUUGUGGAUAUCUGAACUAAAACUAUGAUAUGGAUCAUUCUUUGAAAUUUGAUCACAUAUAAUCUAAUCUCGAUAAUUUGUCAGAAUUGGUUAUAAAUUUUUGAUAGAUUAUUAUAAUUUAUUGUGUGAAAAUUUCACCAGUAUGAUCAUGCUUCAACGUAAAUCUUCAAAAAUAAAUAGAUUUACUUUAUCUUUGAUCCUCAACAUUUAAAGCUCAUUAAAAUCAAACAAUGAUGCUCUUCAAUUUCUUCAACCAAUUGAAACCAAAUAAUGAGAAGGUGGAGAGGAAGACUCUAAAAAAUCGCCAGGAAUUUGAUCAUAAUCUUGACAAGUUGCUGGAAUUUGUUUGGUCCUUCGUUUCGUUGACACAAAGUUUAAAAAUAAAAAGAAAAUGUUUGAAUUUGUUGAUCUAAAAAAAUAUGUCGAAUGUAUUAAAAUGCCCUUUAAUCUUUGUUGUUUUAAACAUGUCACAUGGAAAAUUUUAAUUAAGGAUUUGUUGGAAAGGGUAAUUUUUUAAUAGACUAAAACAAAAAGUAGGUCAAACAAAUUAAAAUCGAGGAAAUAUAAAAUUUUGAUGGAUUGUUAUAAUUUGUUGUGUAAAAAUUUAACCAAUACAUUUUUUGUUUCAAAAUCGGUCCGAAUCAACUUCUAAUUACUCCAAAUUUGAUAUACAACCUUCUCAUAUAAAUCACAACAAAUUUUCAAUUAUUAGAUUCUUUGUAAACCUUCAAAAAUAAAUAGAUACCGUUGAUCUUCCACAAUUUUUCUUAAGCUCAAUAAGAUCCAACAAUUUUUUCAACCAAAUGAAACCAAAUCAUUAAGGAUAACAAUAUAAAUUCAAUGGAACAUUACAUAUAUAAUUCCAAUCACAAAUUAAUAAGCAACGAGAAGGAGAAGAAGAGAAAUAGGAGUUUCCUUGCAUUUCAUGAAGUUUGGGUGAGUUAUUUUGAUUCAAUUAAUUUAGUCUUUCUAAAAGUUGGAAUUAUUCGAGUUAAAUAUAUAAUCUAGAUUGACUUAUAAAUUUUUCCGUACCGAACACACCCUUUGUCUCUUAUUUUUCUUUUAAUUUGACUAUAAACUUAUAUUUUAUAUUUAAAUAUAAUUAAAUUUUAAAAUUUUCAUAUAUCUAUAAUGAGAUAAUUUAUAAUCACAUAAUUAUCUAAAUUUAUUAUUUCUGCACCAUAAAUUUAAAAAAUAUUACUCAAUUUUUUUUAUGUGUAAUCAACUACGAUAUAAAUUAUGACGAAAGGGGUAGCUUUUUAAACUCAAGCAUUUAUGGACCACAAUAUGCAAUGGUCGCCUAACAACAACACCUAUCUGAAUUAAGAUGUCUACAUAUUUAUUUAUUUGUAUUGUUAAGCAAUGACUCUUAGUUUUGAUGUUUUAGAUAGAAAAAUUGUAAACAUUUUGAAUUGGAUGUGAAUUAUUAAUUUCAUACUCAAAUUAUUGAUAGCCUUAAAAAUAUUCAUCUACUUAACUAACUGAACCUAAAAACACCCUUUCAUCCUAUAAACAUACAUGUACGCGUACGUACAUUGGAGCCUCGAUUAAAUCUGGAUCGCCCACCGUAGGGCCAUUUGGGGAUAGCGCUCCCAACAAAAAUUUCUCCAUAUCCAGAGCUCGAACCCAAGAUCUCUGAUUAAGGGUGAAACAGUCUCACCACUGUACCACAACCCAUGUUGGUGGUAGGUUGGGUGAAUUAAUGAGCCCUUAUGUUAAUUUAGUUUAUUUUGAUCUAUUUUAUUUAAAAUUUAGCAAGGAUCGAACAAAUUACCUUUCUAAAUUAUGCAAAAAUUAAUACAAAAAAAUCAAUCACUAUGUUUCUAUUUUUAAAAUAAAAUAAAAUUAUACCACUAAACAAAGUGUCUAUCAAUUUUUUAUUAAAAUAAAAAACUUCAAUAGACAAGUAUUGCCUUUGCCCUUAAUUUGCUAUUAUAAUAUUGUUACCGGAGAAGAUGCAGAUAAGAAAAUUUAUUCCGGCGACCUUAGAGCCCUUACAAAAAGUAGCCAUUGUUUUUAGGGAAAAUUGUAUAUAAUAGCAAACUAUUAAUUCAAAUUAAAUGCUAUAAAUAUACUUUGAUUUAAUUGUACCCUAUAGCAAAUUAUUGCUAUUUUCGCCACUCUCCCUGGUGGAAUCUCGCUCGCCACUCUCGUUUGGCAGUAGUCUUGCUCGCCUCUUUCGCUUUUAUACAAAUACAAAUAUAUAAAAUGUGUUUGUGUUUUAUAAAGCGAGAGAAAAUUGUAUAUAUACAUAUAUUUUUGUUCCCCUCUCUCAGAUCUCGCUUGCCACUCUCCCAAAUCUCGCUCGCCACCCUCGCCUCUCUCGCUUAUACAAACAGAAACGAAAUGUAUAAAUUGCGCUUCUAUUUAUAUAAAGCGAGAGAAAAUUGUAUAUACACAUGCAAUUACAUAUAUCUUCGUCCUAUACACUUAUAAUUAUACAAUACAAAUAUUUCCCUGCCCAGUUUUCUUUUGCCUUUUUCUCUUUCUCGUUUUAUACAUACACAGAUUAUACAAUUGAUCUUUUGUAUACAACUGCUUUCUUUUGUAUAUGUAUAGCGAAUUAUACAACUGCCUUCUUUGUAUAUGUAUAACAAAUUAUACAACUGUUUUUUUGUAUAUGUAUAGCGAAUUAUACAUUUAUAUGUUUGCUAUGGAGCGAAAUUAUGCAAACUUUGCUAUAACAUACAAAUAUGAAUUUUAUGUUUCCUACGUGAAAGUUGCUCUUGUUUUUAUGGAUAAAUCUAUCUCUAUUUUGCUUGCUAUUAAUGAUUAGUCUAUCUCCAAUUUAUACAGCUGCUAAGGGCAUUUUUGACAAACAAAAAAUAGCUACCGACCGCCACCUUUUAGGUUAGUGACAUUAUUUCAUUUAUAAAUUAUAAUGAUUUAAAGAAAAUAAGUACUCUAGUAUAAAGCAUGUAUUUGGCUUAAUUAAUUCUCUUAAAAUUAUCCCCUUAAUUUAUCUAGACAUUUAAAUUCAGACUUGUACCUAUUGAACACUUCUAUUCUUUUAAAUUUGAGCCAUUCUAACAUUUUUUUAACAAUCAACUAAAAAUAUAAGAAAGAGUGAAAUGUACUAGCGGUGACAUGACAAUUUGACAAAUUAAAUAAGUAAAAUUUACAUAAAUCUCAUAGUGUUAAGAACUAAUUAUAUCAUAUCUCUACUCUUUUUCAAAUUACAAAAAUCAUUUAAAUUUAUAGGAUCUUGGAUAUAUUUGAAAAUAUGUAAAUACAUAGUUCAUGGAUUGCGAAUGAUACAUUACUUAAUGGAAGGGAUGUAUUCGAAGGGGAGGGAUGUAUUCGAGAGGGGAUAGGAUGUAUAUGAGAGGGGAUUGAUAUUAGUAAAAAAGUUGAAAAAUUUACAUUGUCAAUUUAAUUUUUGUAGUUAGUACUAGAUAUUAGCCAUGACUAGCUUUUAAAUUCAUAGCUAAAAUUUCCUAAUUUAAUGUCUGAUUUAAAAGUAAAAAUUUAAAAUAAGCCAAUUCAAACAAAAUCUGUACUUACCAAAAAAAAAAAAAUCCAAGCAUUCCAUUCUAGGCGAUAAGAAAAAGGGAACAAGAACACUAUGUCUGCGACUGAUCAACAACAAUUCAGUAAGCCACACGUCCAAACACUAAAGGCAUACUCAAAAACAUAGGAAAAAGUACUUAUAGAGGUUUCUAACAUUAUUCAAUUUGGAGGGCUUGUUUAUGGAUUCUAUUGUGAUUAUUCUACUGUGUUGUAUUAGUCUCCUUGGAUGUUCAUUUUGCUAGAAUAAUCUGAAAGCCACUCGCCUUAAUAUAUUAACAACCACACGCCUUCGCCUUUGUGUAAUAGCCAGACACCUUAAUGUAAGCCAGAGAUCACAAACACAAAACGAUACAUUUAUGAAUCUCAAAUCACUUGGAAAUCACAUGUAAUACCUAAAUAUUGAUUAGUUCUUCAAGUGUAUUUUCUGUUUUUUCUUCCGGUUAAUGUGUAAAUGUAAUGAACAUAACGAAAAAUAAACUAUAGGGUUAAAUUAUCAACGACAAUGGGUAAUAAAACACGAUAGAAACAGAGGAGUGGAGGGGAGCGACGAACCAACCUGAAAGUUUCUUUGUUCUUGGACGUAGUUGCUGCGAUUCAAUUAUAGAUGCUGGAACCACACGCCUUAAUAUAACCUUAAUAUAUAUUAACAGAGGAAUCGAUAAUCAAUUACAUUCAAAAUAGUAGCAGCCAGAGAUCACAAACAUAAAAAUGAUACUUUUAGGAAUCUCAAAUAACUUGGAAAUCACAGAUAAUACCUAAAUAUUGAUCAGUUUAUCAAGUGUAUUUUUUGUUUUUCUUCCAAUUAAUGCAUAAAUAUAAUGAACAUAAUGGAAAAUAGGUUAAGUUCUCAACGACAGAGCAACAGGGGUAAUAAAACAUGAUAGAAAUAGAGGAGUGGAAGAGCGACGAACCAACCUGAAAGUUUCGUUGUUCUUGGAUGUAGUUACUGCGAUUGAAUUAUAGCUGCUGGAAGUAGUUCUUCGAUUCAAUAUAUGUUGCUGGAAGGUCUCUGCUGCUAACGAAUGAAUAUAUGUUGCUUGACGUUGCAGCUCUAAUCGAUUUAGGAUGAUGAAUCCUAAUGUGUGUGGAAGAUCUUUUUAGGAAUACUUUCCUUAUUAGAAGCAUAUAGAGGGUUUUUUUGUUACUAAUGUUUUCCUUAUUGACCAGGAGUUCUUUUUUUCCAGAAAUAAGAGAAUCGCGGGAAAAAAUAUUAAAGGGAAAGCAGGAGUUCUAAUUUUCAGAAAAAGAAGAAGAAGAAGGCUUUUAGUGACUAUUUUUAGAAUUGCUUCUAAAAGUGUACAUAUUGCAUUAAACAUUAGCCGUUAAUAUUUUGCCUCACAUGAAUAUAUUAGCGGCAAUUUGCUUAUUGCCGCAAACCAAUUGUCGCUAAAGUUCAUUUUUGUAGUAGUGUAUUUUUCAACACAUUGAGUUGCUAUCUACAGUUUUACAGCUUUCCAUAUAUUGCAUCUUUUAUUGUUGCUUUAUUCUUGAGUAUCUUGAGUUGAACUGUGCUUCAUCGAGUCGAGUACAUUAUUGUUGAGUUGAGCCUUAUUUCACUGAGUUGAAUAUCUUAUCCCUUGAGUUGAGUAUCAUAUUCUUGAGUUGAGUCGAGUAAGUGAGUUGAGAAGAGGGAAGUAUGUUUCAUUUUUAUUAAGUUCAAGCUUGUGUUUAUGCUUUAGAAUUUCCCUUACAUGCUCGUACAUUUCACGUACUAAGCCAUUUGGCCUGCAUCCUUUCAUGAUGCAGACACAUUUAUAUUCAGGGUCAUCAACAGUGUCACAACCCGAGCCUACACCCUGGACGUGGCCGGCACUCGAGAACCAUUGCUGGUCCCCAAACAAACUCUCAUCCUGGCUGACUACAAGCGAAAAACUGAUUCAAGCAUACAAAGCUUAAAAACUGAAUAAAAUCAAUAACUCAAAUACAAAGCUUUAACUCAAAAUAAAACUCUGAAUAAAAAUAAGAUAUUCAACUCGCCAAAAAAUAGGCAACUUAAGUCUUUAAAAUAUUUAAUAAAAUAAAUGAAUAAUACAGACUUCUCAACUAUACUGACUAUCUAUGAAGCCUCUAACUGAUAAAAAUGGAAGUCGGGACAAGACCCACGACAUCCUGACUAAACUGAAAAGUAAAUGAAAUUCUCCGAAAACAAUGAGGCUCACCAUAGAUAACUCGAACUCCUGGAUGUAUCAACGAAUCUUCUGUUGAUGAUCCUGAAUACCUGUGUCUGCAUCAUGAGAAGAUGCAGGCCAAAUGGCUCAGUAUGUGGAAUGUACGAGCAUGUAAGGGGUAUUCUAAAACAUAAACAUAAGCUUGAAACUUGAUAAAAAGGAAACAUACUUACCUCUUCUCAAACUUACUCAACUCAAGGUAUACUCAAGGAUACUCAAAACUACUCAACUUACUCAAUUCAUAAGUAUUCAAGGAUAAGAUACUCAACUCAGAGAUUAGAUACUCAACUCAAAGAUAUGAUAUUUGACUCAGGUACUCAACUCAAUAUAAAACAACAAUACACAUGCAAUAUAUGGAAAACUUUAUAAAAACAGUAAAACAACUUAGUUCGUUAAAGAAAAUGCAAUAACAAACUCAAUUUUACUUAUAUAAUAAAGAAAUAUAGUUUAUGUGGGAGUUUCUCUAACUGACAACUAUCACUUUAAGAGCUAUAGUGAUGAUACAACACUUUUACCUCACGCUGCCAAGGACCAUUCUAUACCUUGCCAUCAGUAUAGGGACCUAACUUAACUUAGUGGAUCCACUAGUCUAUGCGAAAAGGAUUCAUCUAAAAAGUAUUACCCUUUUCUACCUAUGAUGGCUACAUGGUUUUCAUCAAGACUUGAGUUAAUAGGAAACUCGCAUCCCCAUAUCGGUGCUCAAUACUACUCUCACAAUAUAACUAGCUCAUAUGUUUAGAAACAUAACUCUUUCUGUGUUUUGAGAUUAUUACUCAAANNNNNNNNNNNNNNNNNNNNNNNNNNNNNNNNNNNNNNNNNNNNNNNNNNNNNNNNNNNNNNNNNNNNNNNNNNNNNNNNNNNNNNNNNNNNNNNNNNNNNNNNNNNNNNNNNNNNNNNNNNNNNNNNNNNNNNNNNNNNNNNNNNNNNNNNNNNNNNNNNNNNNNNNNNNNNNNNNNNNNNNNNNNNNNNNNNNNNNNNNNNNNNNNNNNNNNNNNNNNNNNNNNNNNNNNNNNNNNNNNNNNNNNNNNNNNNNNNNNNNNNNNNNNNNNNNNNNNNNNNNNNNNNNNNNNNNNNNNNNNNNNNNNNNNNNNNNNNNNNNNNNNNNNNNNNNNNNNNNNNNNNNNNNNNNNNNNNNNNNNNNNNNNNNNNNNNNNNNNNNNNNNNNNNNNNNNNNNNNNNNNNNNNNNNNNNNNNNNNNNNNNNNNNNNNNNNNNNNNNNNNNNNNNNNNNNNNNNNNNNNNNNNNNNNNNNNNNNNNNNNNNNNNNNNNNNNNNNNNNNNNNNNNNNNNNNNNNNNNNNNNNNNNNNUUCAUGGGUAAUAGGUAAUAGUCCCAUGAUUAGGAUUAUAAUCUCGGAAGGGUUAGAAACUCAAUACUUAAGACUUAGGACAUGGGGACAUUAAUCCUCUCAUAGAUACUAAACUUAUGGAGUUCAUGCGGAAUUUAUGGGCAUGAACGACUUGACUCGUAGGUCUACANNNNNNNNNNNNNNNNNNNGUAUACAACUCUUCUCAUUCUCAUACUUACUUUCUCAAAAUUUAGUUCAAAUCAAUAGUUGAUCUCAAAUGGUUCACAACCGAACUCAAAGGCUUUCUUGAACUCUACUCUUAACUCGAUCUCUUAAAUGUGAAUUAUGAAUUCAAGAGUUAUGGUUCAUGCUAUGAAAGAUUUCAUGAUGACAAAGUAUACUCAUGAAUACAUUCUCCUCACUCUCAUGCUCACUUACUCGAAUCUUGAAACAAGUUACUAGAAGUUGUAGAAGACUCCACAAAAGGACUCAAAGGGACUUUCUUAGAAUGUUUUAAAAAAAUCUCAAAACUUAACUCUUAGCUCUACCUUGAAUUUGAAUUAUGAAUUCAAGGUUAUGAUCAUGUUAUGAAUGAUUUCUAGGUGUGUAGAAGUAGUUUAAAGUGUUUAGAAUCAAAGGGGAGUAAAGGUACCCUUUGAAAUAACUCAAACGGACGAAACGAUGGACAACGGGUGGGGGCAGGCGACCCUGGUGCUCUGAGUGGCGUGGGGUGCCAGCCCCUAAAGUUCAGAGAGGUGGUUGGGGCGCUCUGCUUGGCGUGACACGCCAGGCCCCAACCCAUAAAACUUUGACGACUUUCCAUGCUCGUUUUCUCACCCUAACUCGCCUAAAAUUGAACGAUUUCCUCCCCAAACACUUGGAUUUGAUUACUUAACAUUAUUACACUCUCAUAUACUCAAAAAAACACUCAAAUUACUAAAUUUCAUCUGAAGAAAUCAUCAAAACCCCAACACAACAAUAUUUAGAAUGAACUUUAAGAACACUUAUCAAGAACUCAUCAAAAACUCUAAUCUGUCAACUUUAAGAAUGAAAUUUGCGCUGAAAAUAACAUGAUUGGCAUGUGGGUGAACUAACCCAACACUAUGGAAGCUUACAUACCUCUUAGGGAUCAAACCCAUGGCGAAAAUCCGCUACAACACGCAAGAAUCUCGACGAACGCUUGAUCCUCUCCUCUUUUCUCCUCUUCUCUCUUCUUUUCUCUUCUUGAACUCUCAACUAAAAUCCUAGGCUAAUUUUAGGAUUAUAAAACUGAACCUAAUAGGAUUAGACCCUUAAAAUAUUACUAAAAAUGAAUUAAAUCAGAGUUGGUAAGGAAAAGACCAAAAUACCCUUCUCUAUUUUCGGCUAACUUUCCUUAACUAAAUAGCCUAUCUUCAAAAGGUCAUAUCUCACUCAUCCGACCUCAAAACUUAGCAAACUCGGCUGUGUUGGAAAGAUAAUUCAAAGAUCUUUCCUACGGUAUCUAGUUGAACACAUAAAUCAUCCUGAGAUAGGAGUUAUGAUCGUUUGAAGUCGACCCAAAACUCAUACUUAGCUUAACUUGCAAAAUUUCAGAUUUUUCUAUUUCCAAUUUAAUUCUUUUUGGAACUCAAGGUGCUACAUCUAGUGACCUUAACACUUAAGAAAUUUUAAUUCCUCGGUAAAAUCCUACUCACAACGAAGGAUGGUUUCAAGUCUCAGUUCGAAAAAAAUUCUGGGGUAUUACAAUAUCUCCCCCUUGGGAUCAUUCGUCCUCGAAUAACGACUGGACUGUGUAUGGAAUGGGUUACUCUUACUAAGGUCUGCGUCUAAUGCUAGGCAUUUGCAUUUGGUUUAAUUGAUAUGAGCCGACUGUUAGCUUAGGAAUUUCCCUCCAGUCAUGAUACAUAUGAGCUUCGUUAGAAUUAACGUGUUUAGCUAAUGCAUCUGCAAUUUGAUUAACUUCUCUAUGACAAUGAUUUACUUCAAAAUUCAUCUUCGCAACAACUUGUAAGAUGUCUUCCACAACACCUUUGAUCUUCAAUUGACGCUUGUCCAUUCCUUACCAUAUCAACCACCAUUUUUUAGUCUAAUUCAAGAUAGCAAUCGUGAAAUCCUUGUUGUGGAUGAUGAUAUCUAAAUAUAGAUACCCUUAAUUACAUCAAGCACGUUGCCAUAAAAUAAACAUAAAGUAAGUAUUGUACACCAAAUAAAAAAAUAUUCAGCGCAAGUAGAAUCCAAAAUGGCUUAUUUUGGCUUGACACGGAGUUUAAAAAAAUAUUUGAAUCAUGUGAUCUAAAAAAAAGAUAUGUCGAAUCAUGAAUGUAUCAAAAUGACCUUUUAAUUUUGUGGUCUUAAAAUGUCAUGUAGAAAGUUGAAAUUAAAGAAUUGCUAAAAAGGAAAAAGGUCAUGUUUAUUUUAAAUGAAUUAAAAAAGAAAAUAGCUCAAAUAAAUUGAAACAUAGAGAAUAUAAAAUUUUGACGGAUUGUUGUAAUUUGUUGUGUAAAAAUUUAACCAAUACGUUUUUUGUUUCCAAGUUGGUCCAAAAUCCAAAUCAACUUCGAAUUGCUCCGAAAUUUGAUAUGCAACCUUCUCAUAUAAAUCACAACAACUCUUCAAUUAUUAGAUUCAAUCUAAAUCUUCAAAAAUACAUAAAUGUCUUCAAUAUUCAACAAAACAAAUUGUUAGAGUUAUCUUAUCAAUAAUAUAAUUCAUUACUAUUUAGUAUCUAAACUCUUAGCUCGUCUCAUCCCAAUAUUACUUUGGGCAGAUCAUUUUCCUACUCGAUCAUCUAAACUCCUAGGUUUUUUUCCCUUAUAUAUAUGAUGAUGCGAUCUCCUUUUGUAUUACUAUUAAUUUUGUAACAAGUAACUAUAUCGAGACGAUUGGUUAACAACAAAAACAAAAGUAACCCAAACUUAAAAAGAAACCACAAACUGAAGAAAUUUAUGUAUUUUUGAAUGAAGAAGGUAAGGUAAGGUAAUAGGCUAAUUGCUAGCUUGUUUAUUUAUUGAUAAGCAUACAUUAAUUUACAUGGAGCGAUAGAAGGAUAUAUCCACUUUAUUUAGAAAGCUGCAAGCUAGCCAGCUAAUUAGCAUUCUACGCCUUGAUGAACACAAAUGGAAUAAAGUCCUUAUCGUCAUCGACAGUCACCAGACGAGGAUAUCCAUUUUUAAAGUUGCCGCCGAUAUUUUUGCACUGAAGAUGAGAGGGACAAUGCAGUAACUUGUAUACAUUUUUGGAACUUCCUGGUGUCACCAAGUCAAUUUUCCUAAUCUUGAAGAUGUCGUUUUCAUUUCCUACCUUACCACCAGUUACCACCAACUGUUCAUCAUCAACUUUCCAAACAGUUUGGUCAACACACAACUUUGUUGUUUUAACAAAGAACUUGAUAUAAACAGCAGUCAUUUGACGCACCACAUCACCAUAAUCCGACUCCGACUUACGAACGAAUACGACGGGCGUGCCUUUUCCCAAAAAUUGGGGAAUUGACAUGUGCUGCAACACGGCGUUUGGGCAUUGAAGGUUUCCAAUAUUGUACAAGUAUACGGCUCCGGCCCCGAUGAGAGGAUUGUUAAUAAUGUACCUCUCGCCAAUCCUCAGCGGAUCGCCGUCUUGGUCAUAAACUUCAGGGAGUACAAGAUUAUCAUCAUCAUGACAAGUUGUGGGGAGGACAAUUGGAUUCUCAGAAGUGAAAGAUCGAGCAAAGGCAACCAAAGAGAGGGUACUUGAAAGCAAGAGGAAACUCAAAAUAUUAAUCGACUUCAUCUUUCUUUGUGUGUUUUGCCUGCUAUGAGUCUAUGUCCAAUUUAUAGACCUGCUAAGGGCAUUUUUGACAAACAAAAAAUGAAUACCUACUACCGCCUUAGACACCUCAAAUAAGUUUUAUUCAUUUUAAAUAACUAAUAUUAAGUCACUCUUAACACUUUUCUUUUUUUACUAUCAACAAAAAUAUAUAGUACAUAAUAUGUGUUACACAGAAUAAUAUGUAAAGUAUCAAAUUAAAUAAAGACAUUUCUUAUUUGUCUCCAAAAUAAAUCUUAAAUAAUAAAUUUUUAGUAAAAAUAAAAAAUGGCCAAUAAUUCAAUUUGUAGGAUAUUUAUUAUUUAAUUUGGCUUCAACUAGAGUAGUCGGUAAAAUUAAUAAAUAUUACUUGAGAAUAUUGUCCAUUGUGCUUAAAGGACUCUUGAAACUUGACAUCCAGUGGAGAACCAUUCAUGGGAUUAUUGCACUAAUAAAAUUAAGUUGCAACACCUAAUUUUACUUACCAGACUCAUGUACAUAAUUAUUAAGGAUAAAAAAUUUUAUCCGUAUAUAAUGUAUAUACUAACCUAAUAUAUAAAUGACAUGUGUUUGAAUUUAUGGUUCAUUUUACAUAAUUUUAAUUAAAUAACAUUUGUUUUGCUUCAUUUUAAUAAUUUAUAUUCACCACUGAAUACAAAUAACAGGCUAACAAUUCCAAAAAUUGAUAUUAAUAUGCUAGCUGGCAUGGAAUUAUUCCACAAGUAAAAUAUAUCACUGAAGUACGAUUGAGAUUUAUACCACUGAUUAUUUUGUUACCUAUCACGAAUGGAUCUUAAAAAUAAUGGCAAAUCAUUAUUAUGCAAGAUGAUUUUUUUUUUAAUUAUUUUUUUGACAAAUUAAUAAUUGAAGGAUAGGGUUUGCGUUAUCUGAUACAUAGAACUUAGUUUUGAAUUUGAGUAAAUUGAGUGUUGAAACUCAAGAAUAAUUAGGCAAAAUAAAAAUUGCACUUCAAAUACAUAUAACUGAAGUUUUAGUCAUUUUUUAUACACUUCAAUCAUAGGUACAUUCAAUAAAAUUAAAAUAAUGUUAAAUGAGUUUGUUAAAUGUAUUGUUAUUUUGAUAAAUUGAUGAUUCAAGUUUGUUUCAUACGAUUGUAGAUCUGAUCUUCGACUAAAUUCGGAUCGGACUUUGCAGGGCCCAUUCGAAAGGGACACUCCCAACAGGAUUUUUUCCAUACCCAGGGCUCGAACCCGAGACCUCUGGUUAAGGGUGAAGCACUCCCACCAGUGCACCACAACCCAUGUUGGUCCUAAAGUCAUUAUUAUUAAUUAGGUAGGUAUGUUCAAAAUAAUUCUUUAAAAGUGAUCAUAUCCGAUCUUAAUCAAAUACAACUCUAACUCCAAUUUUUAAAUUUUUAAAUAAUACUCCCUCCGUCCCCUUUUAGUUGUUAUGCUGCACUUUUCAAAAAAUCAUUUUUGAAUUAUUUUUCAAUUUUAAUUAGAUUACAUUAAAGAUAUUUUAAAUUAAAAAUUUAGAUAUAUAUUUAAAAGCUAUACGAAAAGUACUAUAAAUUGUAAUUUUUUGCAUAUCAAUAUGAUGAAAAAAUACAUCGUAAAAUAUUAGUCAAAGUUCUUAUUGUUUAACUCUAAAAGAAAGUCAUACAACUAAAAAAAAAUGAAGUGAAUAUAAAUAUAUUUAAUUUUCAUGAUCAAACGCAUACUAAAAUAUAUUAAUCAAGUUGCCAAUCGCCAUAAUGAUGAAAGGAAACAGGUGAAUGCAGCUCAUAUCACUGAAAAUAAAGCACUUUAUACUUCAUCUUUUCAGCACUACCAGCGUAUAAAAAAAAUGAAAAUGUGUAGUUUUCAAGUUUAAUACUAAGAGCCGUAGAGAGUUUAUUUUCGAUAAACUUGAGGGGGAAAAGCAAAAUUAAGGCAUUAACAAAUGAAUAAAGAUGAACUUAUAUGCUUUGAUUAUAAAAGUAGUCUAACAUUAUUUGUUUGUAAAAUUUGGAUGCAGUUAAACAUGGUUAUUAAAGAAUCACUUCGACUGUAUCCACCAGAUCCUAUCAUUGAACGAAUGGCUUGUGAAGAUAUGAUUUGUUAAACAUCUUAAUUUUUCAAUAAAAUAUUUUUUUUUUCAAAAUAAGUACUUUUGAUCUCAUAACAAUAAUGCGGCUUUUAACCAUGCCAGUUAUAGUUAUAUGGGUUGGGUUAUUUAUAGAAAAGUUAAAUGUACGGAACAAACCAAAUUCAAAUUAAACCUAUUAAUUAGCGAUUGAGACGUAAUUAGUUUUAAUAUGUACAUUGUGAAUUACACGUACUCAAUGGUCCCGUAAAUCUUAAUCGUAUUUUGGAUAAAAGCCACCUGGCUGCUUAGAGAUUUAAUAAUUUUGGAUGUAUUUGAUAUUUUCCCUCCGAAGACCUUAUCUUCAGUCUCACUUCUUGUAGUGUCUAUCUUCACCAUCCCACACUUUUUACUUUUAUUAUUGUGUGUUUUAAUAUAUUUAUCUAGAUUAUAUAUAAAUAUUUUUUAUUUACCUACUAUUAUUUAUCUACUAAACAAAUAAGAAUUUUAUUUUCUUGAGGAACAUCUUUCAAAAAGAAUAUUUUCUUUCGUAACGAAUAUAUCCUGAACAACCACAAAUGUUAAUAUCAACAUUUUGGUUUUAAUUGAGUUGAAAUGUUUAGAAAGAAAAACAAAGAAGAAAUGAAAACUAUUAGGCAUACAAAAGUACAAAAUAGUUAACCAAACAACAAUAAUUAAGAUACCAAAAAUGCAAAUAAUAUUCUAGUCAUGGUUUUGUGCUGAAAGUUUUUAGAUAACUUUUAUAUGUACUUCAGUCAUUUUGUCUUGGUUUUAAUAACCUUAGUUAAAAAUGUUUGAAGGUAAAAGUUCUGUAAAAUGCUUGAAAUUUUGCCUUUAUCUAAUUUACAACUUCAGUAAAAAUUGUCUGAAUUUUUUUUUAUGAUGACCUUCACAAAGGCACACCUUAGACAAAAAUGUUUAUAGGUCUAGGUUUUAAAUUGUAAAAUUUCUGCUCCAUAUUAGUUGUUUUAUCUUUUUAAAAAAUAAUUUAUCCAAAAAAAAACUUUCUAAAAAAACUUUACAAACUUAUUUACAGUUUUUAAAAAGAAUUAAUUAUUAUAAGGUUAAAAAGAGAAAAUAAUAAUUAAUUCUCUCCUGAUUUUAUAAAUUAACAAAUAAUUUAAGAAAAAUAAUUUUUAAAAAUAAUGAACGACUAAUAUUGAAUGAACACUAAUCAUCAAAGAAAUUAAAGAAUAAUUAAGUAGCCAAAUUUUCCGUUCUUAUCAUCAACUCUACUUGGAGUUGCACUGUUGCAGGCCAAUAAUGGAUAUAUAUUAUAUACUAAUGUGCCGAUGGGACCAUUAUUAGACCAUAGUUAAAACCGAUAAAGUGAUCCUAUUAAAAUAGUGAAGUAGAGAGGUGUUUUUAAAGUUAUCAAUAGUUCGAAAAUAAAAUUAAUAAUUCAUAUCAAAUUCAGAAGUGUUUUCAUUAUUUUUGUCUAUCAUCUAUUCUCGACUUUUAAAUUUGAGAGUUCAUAAACAAUAUAUGUCCUCUCAGUUUUUAAAUUCGUUCAACUUCACCAUUAUUAACAUUGUGAAAAUUAAUUCAAUGUCAAUUGUCCGUACUAUGGACAAACCCUAAAUUAUUGAAACAAAAGAUUAUACAAUAAAAUUAAUUUAGUACUAAAAAUAGCGUAAAGGGCUGAAACUAACGAACAUGGUUAAAUUAAAAUUGAGGAACAUCGUAUCUUUUUGGCCUAAAAGAUAUUUGAAUACUAUACUAAUAUAUAUCCACCAUUGAAGAUAAAUACCAACAGGCUAACAACCAAGUUAUUUUCAUUUUUGUCAUGCAAUCUUAGCUUGUUAAAGCCAAAAAUGAAUAUUAAUGUCUUGACGGGACCGCACGUGUUACUAUCCCAUAACUAAAAUGGAGUCCGAAACUAAAAGGGGAACAAUUUUUUUCGAAAAUCUCAAAAGGGCAAAUAAAUUAUUUAUGAAACCAAAAUGACAAUAAUUUGUAAUGACAUCUAAAUCAGGGUUUUCGCCGCAAGGCACAGAAAUCCAUGAGCGGUACAACAACUUUUAACCCUGUAAGGCUCAGCCGGCGUGAGCCUUACAAGGCGCAAGGCAGGCUAUUUUUUUUCAAAAAAAAAAGUUUUUAUGGUGUACGGUCCUUAAGGCUACACGUUUGCAAACUCGACCGCCCAUUUUUGUUUGUUAGAUAAAUAAAAAAAUCUGACUAUGUAGUUGAGAUGUUAAAUCAUCCAACUUUAAAUUUAUCUAAAAUGCAGUACCUUUUUUACAAAAUACAAUGUAUUUUAGUCGGUUAUUUUUUUUAAAAAAAAUUAUGCCUUUUGAGUUAUCAAAAUAGGAUUUCUAUUGACCGUAAGCUUAAUUUGAUAAUGCAAAAAAAUUUAAAAUAAAUAAAUUGUAUAUUGUAAGUAAUGCACAUUUCAACACACGUAUGACGCAUGCAUAUUAGGGGUGAAGCUAUAUAGUUCUUAUGACACUUGUUUAAGCUUGGUUUUCUAAAGAAUGUUUGGAUGUAUCGUUUGCUUAAAUAUAAUAUUUAUUUUGAUGAUUAGUUAAAUUUAAUUUAUAUCAUUAAAUUUAUGGAAAAGGGUUAAAAUUGCUCCUAAACUAUGUGAAAUAGAUCACUUAUACCCUCCAUUAUAUUUUGGGAUCAAAAAUAUCCCCGCCGUUAUCCUAGGAGACCACAAAUACCCUCAAGAGUUAAUACCCCAAAUUAUUAGUGAUGUGGCAAGCCACAUGGGACUAAUCCCUCCACCUAAGCAUUGCCAACUAAGAUUCACUACAAAAGAAUUUGACCUUUAGCGGCGACAAUAGUCGCCACAAAAGCCCAGAAAUCGUCACUAAAAGUUUUUAACAUUAAAUUCUAAUUUUGUGUUUUUUUCUUCAUUGUUUUUAAAAAACCAAAAAUGAUAUCGAUUAAGUAGGAGUUUUAAGACACUGUAUGUUUUAUUUUUAUGUCAUAUGUAAAUGUAUAAAAUGUACAAUGAUGCAUUAUAUAGUAGGAGAUUUGAAUCGAGAAGUAAUUUUGAUGAUUUUUCGUAAUAAUAUUGGAUAUUUUUAAUAUUGAUAUUUCAAAGUUAUUUAUUUUAGAAAAUUAGGUUGCAAUCAAAAAUUAAUUAUCAUAUUUUUUUGUUGAAAAAAUAGGUUUUACUAGCGAAUGGUUGUUGGAGCCUUAGUCGCCACUAAAAAUCACUAAUAACCUUUAGUGACAAUAUUUUGGGAUUUUGUGGCAACUUUGUCGCCACUAAAGGUCAAAUUCUUUUGUAGUGAAUCUUAGUUGGCAAUGCUUAGGUGGAGGGAUUAGUCCCAUGUGGCUUGCCACAUCACUAAUAAUUUGGGGUGUUAACUCUUGAGGGUAUUUGUGGUCUCCUAGGAUAACGGUGGGAAUAUUUUUGAUCCCAAAAUGUAAUGGAGGGUAUAAGUGGUCUAUUUCACAUAGUUUAUUUAGGGGCAAUUUUGAUCCUUUUCCGUUAAAUUUAUUAUUAGGUAAUAAUGUGAUUUUUCAUUUUGUGUAAUGGUUGAUUUAGUAUGAAUGUAUGGUCAUAAUAUUUUUUUUUGUUUUGUUUUACUUACUAUUUAAUAAUUGUAUUUUAUUGUUUUUUUAUAGUAAAUCUACUCCGUACUUUAUUUUUCUGGUGUGUUUAUCUUUUUAAUUUUUUUGACAUUAUGUAAUUAUCGAAAAAGAUACAAUUUAAUAUAACAUAAUAUAAUAUAUUAUAAAAUGACAUGUAACAACCAUCCAAACAAAGUAUAAAUAUAUAGUUUCAUCAAAAGUUAUGGUGAUAAAAUGGUAAAUUUCGUAGUGAGGUUUAGAUUCGAAUUAUAACAACGAAGUCACUUUCUAAUAAAUAAUAUUUUAUACCUUUAACAUGAGUUUUUUUUUAAAAAAAAUUGAACUCAGAUGCGGAAUCUCAAUACGAAUAUUGAGCCUAAAAAGUACUCUAUAAAAGAAGUUCAUAAAUAAAUAGUCCAUUUAAUGGCAAAUUUUUAUCCUUUUGUCAAUAAAAAAAAGUCCAUGAAUAAUCUUUUCCCAUAUUUGGUAUUGCAUUUUAGUUCUAAAUUAAACACCUUUUUACCUGAUUUGAUUACAAAUAUAUAAUAAAUUACUUGAAUCAUCAAAGAAAAAUUUGCACAUUAAUUAAUCAGAACCGACAUACUUAGGAAAGAUAUUAUUAGUCAUAGACUCAUAGGACAUGGAUCUUGUUCCAUAAUUACUAGUUAUAAUAACUACUGUAACAUUUAUAUAUUUAAUUAAGCCAAAUAAAUAUAAUCUUUUCCGAUUAUUUUUUAAAAAAAAAAUAGCCUUGCGCCUUGUAAGGCUCAUGGCGGUUGAGCCUUACAAGGCUAAAAGUUGUUGCGCCUUGUAAGGCUCAUGGGUUUCUGUGUCCUUGCGGCGGAAACUCUAAUUGAGACGCCGUUACAAAUUGUUACCCUUUUGAUUUCAUAAAUAAUUCAGUUGCCCUUUUGAAAUUUUUGAAAAUUUCUAUUGCCCUUUUGGUUCUGAAGCCCCCUCAUUUUGAAGUUUUGGUUUCUUAAAUCUUGUUAUCCUUGAAUUUUUCUAGCACUUAAAGUUUUGGUUUCUUAAUUUUUUUUAUUUCUUUCAAUGUAUUAAGUUUCUUUCUAUUUCAUUCUGAUUAAAUUAAAAAAAAACUUUAUUUUACUAUCUUUGUUGUGGUUAAAACUUAAAAAUAAUUAAAUGAAUUCACCUAUUUGAAACAUAAUGACAUGUUUUUCUCAUAUAUUAUUGGAAAAAAUAAUAAUUUUCUUACCGAAUAAAUUAAAUUAUUAUUAUUUUAAUCCAGUAACUUGAACUUAAUGAUGAUUGUGUUUUGAUUGUAUUUGCAUUAGUAAUGAAAUAACUUGGUGAUAUCGAAGAAACAGAGUGAUUGAUUGAAAACAUAUAUAAUAAAAAUAAUAUAUCCUCGGGGAUAUUGGAAAAUUGUUAUACAAAUAAAUUUCUACAACAACAAUAAACAAUGAAACUUCUAGUUCAAUUGAACAUACGAUAAAAUUAACUCCUUGUCAAAGCAACAUAUAAUACACAUUUGCAUUCAUUACAACAGUAUUUUUUGAGCUUUUUCUUUUUUCCAUCCUUAAACCUAAUUUAAGUCUACUGGGCAUGUCUAAUCAAAAUUAAUAUGCAAUUGAUUAAACAUAAAAGGAUCUUAUCCAUGAAAUCCACAUCACGUAAUCAAUAACAAUGCAUAUUACAACUUGGACUUAGUCGUAACUCCAAUACAAACUGAUCAAUAAUGAAUACUAAUGUCGUGACGGUACCGGAUGGGAUUAUCCAUAAGUAAUUAAUACGUAGCACUUAUUAAUUACUAAAACUUAUUUGUUUGAAAGCAGAAAUUAAUAAAUAAAGAACCUAGCUUUUUUAUUCAUCAUAAGCAUUAAUAUUACAUAGAAGCAUGCUCCACAUUAUUUUAGAAAGCGAUCGAGCUAGGUUAUAAUAAGCAUAGAUAAUUAACUAACUAUGCAUCAUUCUUGUUUACUUUGCUAAAGCCAAAGGGAUAAGGCUUGUUAUUGAGAGCCAGACGGGCGUAUCCCUUAUUUUCGUAUAGUCCGACAUCUGCACAAUCAAAUUGGCAUGUUGGACAAAUAUAUUUGACUAGGACAAUACCUUAACUUGUAAGAAUGAGGUCUCCCUGUCUCAUAUUUCUCAAUCUUGAACCAGUUCUCUAUGUUAUUAGGUCCUGGAAAUCCAAAGGUGCCACCAGUUAUAACAAACCUAAGUGGUGAAUGCGUCGGCCCUACGAUGGAAUAAGCAACUUUCCAAACAGUUUCGUUAAUACAUGACUUAGUUGAAGAAGAAGAAGUUGAGAACUUUAUACUAACAUCUUGGUUUUCAGAAACGAAAUGACUUCCAAGUUUCAUAGUAUAAAACAACACAGGUGUGUUGUUAUCAAAUUCACCAGAACUGUCCUGCACAACGCCAUUUGGGCAUUUGGUGUUUCCAAGAUUAGCUAAGUAUACGCUUCCACCGCCAAAGGGAAUACUUAUAAUGGAGUACUCCUCGUCUAUCUUGAGUGGUUCGCCGUCCAUGUCCAGCACGGGAGGGGAUACAACAUUCCCAUUAUUAUCAGAAAUGGAAAAUUCAUGAGAAAAGGCAACCAAACUUGAAACCAACAGGAAACUCAAAAUAUUACUAAUACACUUCUUCAUCUUUAAUUUGUUUGUGUGCUAUGACUCUAUCUCCAAUUUAUAGAGCUGCUAAGGGCAUUUUUGACAAACAAAAAUGACCUUUUAUUUUAGGUUAUAAUAACCUAAAGAAAAUAAGUACAUAACCUUUUUUUUUUUUUAACAAAUAAAUAAUGAUCACAAAGAAUUGAAAUGGCAAGGUUAAUGUUCUAUUUAUUCAAUCUAUGUUAAUUUUUUUUUUUUUUUAUAUAUAUAUAUAUAUAGUACCUUUUUUUUUAUAACUUUGAAGCAAAAAUAUUUAUUUAUAUAUAUAGGCUAUAGCUAUAAGAUUUUGUUUUCAAAUAAUUUUAUUAUGGUUAUGGGUCCUAUAUUCAUCCCUCCCACUGUCAAAGUUUGCGUCAAACAACUAUAUAUUUAUUUAUUUUUUUCUUGUAAAUUCCAAACUCAACUUAAAAAUAAUAAUUAAAUAUUCCAUUGCAAAACUACAUAAAGUUCCUGGUUUUAUUUUCUCAAUUUUUAUUGUAGUAAAAAAGUUGAGAAAUUAACAUUGUCAAUUUAAAUUUUGUAGUUAAGAAAUUUUAUGAUUUCGUGGAUGGUCAUAAGUUCGAACUUUUGUAGCUAUUACUAGAUAUUAGCCCUGACUAGCUUUUAAAUUCAUAGCUAAAAUUUAGUAGUAAAGUUCCCAUUUUUAUUUUCUCAACUUCAAUUAUAUAGUAAUGAAGUUGAGAAAUAACGGUCACAUUAAUUUUUAUAGCUAAGAAAGUUAAUGAAAUUGUGGAUAGUCAUGAAGCUCGCGUUUUUGUAGCUUUUAUAAGAUACAAUUAUUCUUGGACACUUUUAAUUAAAUUUUUGACUCCGCCAUUAUUAGAAUAGUUGGUAAAAUUAAUAAAUAUUACUUGAGAAUAUUGUCCAUUGUGCUUAAAGGACUCUUGAAACUUGACAUCCGGUGGAGAACCAUUCAUGAGAUCAUUGCACUAAUAAAAUUAAGGGUAAAAUUUAUCCGUAUAUGAUGUAUAUACGAAUUCAAUAUUUGAAAACAUGUGUUUGAAUUUGUGGUUCAUUUUACAUAAUUUUAAUUAAAUAAUAUUUGUUUUGCUUGAUUUUAAUAAUUUAUAUUCACCGCUGAAUAUAAAUAACAGUCUAACAAUUCCAAAAAUUGAUAUUAAUGUGCUAGCUGGCAUGGAAUUAUCCCACAAGUAAAAUAUGUCACUGAAGUACGAUCAAGAUUUAUACCACUAAUUAUUUUGGUACCAAUCAAGAAUGAAUCUUAAAAUAAUGGCAAAUCACUAUUAUGCAAAAUGAUUUUUUUUUAGAUUAUUUUUUUUGACAAAUUAAUAAUUGAAGGAUAGGGUUUGCGUUAUAUGAUAUAUAGAACUUAGUUUUGAAUUUGAGUAAAUUGAGUGUUGAAACUCAAAGAAUAAUUGGGCAAAAUAAAAAAUUGCACUUCAAACACAUAUAACUGAAAUUUUAGUUAAUUUUUACACACUUCAAUCAUAUGUACAUUCAUUAAAAUUAUAAUAAUGUUAAAUGAGUUUGUUAAAUUUAUUGUUAUUUUGAUAAAUUGAUCAUUCAAGUUUGUUUUAUACGGUUAUAAACCUUAUAAUUUAAAUUGAAACAUAUUUACAUUAGACUUGAGUAUUAAAUCGAUUGUUUGGAAGCAUAAAUUAAUAAAUAAAGACCUAGUUUUUUUUUUUUUGGUUCAAAACAGAGUAAUAUAUAUGUUACGUAAUAUGCAUCGUUACAUUGUUACCAGCAAGUGGCAAAACAGGACACCUACUAUUGAUGUUCUGAGGAAGGGGCAUACUAUUACUAUUACUAUUACAUGAGUUGCUUGUAAAAGAUUUCUUAGAUAGUCUAACAAAUGGAGUUCCUUCUUUGUCUGCUUCUAGUUUGUUGGAUACAAACACCGGAGGAACUUCCAUGCACAAAAAGAGUUGAUUUGAUCCAUUUUAGCGCCUUCCUUUGCUAGAGCGUCUGCCACUUGGUUUGUUUCUCUAAAGAUAUGGUGUAUUAGGGGGUUCCCCAGGCGGUGAAGUAGAUCCCUGCAAUCAGAAAGAAUAAUUUCGUCAGUGGGGUGUUCUCCUCGAAUGAGGGUCUUAAUUUCCUUGCAAUCGACGUUAACUUCCAAUGGUACUAAUCCUCUUUCUAGUGCUAUUCGAAGUCCCUGCAAAAGUGCUAUCAAUUCAACUUUCAUGUUAUUUGCCAUAUACAAGUUUCCCAUAUAUCCCAAAACCCAAUCGCCCUUGCUAUUCCUAAUGACUCCACCUGUUCCGCCUUGUCUUGUGCUUCCCAUGAACAAUCCUUCGCUAUUGAGCUUGUAACCCUGGCAGGGUGUUGUCCAUUUAAGGUAGUUGAUAAUAUUUUUAUCUUCCGUGUGUGUAUUGUUUGUAAGAGCAUAGUAUUCAACAACAUGAUACAAAGCGUUCUUUGAUGAAAUAUUUUUUUUCUCAUUAUUAUGGUAUUUUUUGUUUCUUGUUAACCAUAUGUUCCAUUUAUAGAAGGGAAAAACUUCCUUCCAAGUUGUAUGACUUUUUAUGUUAAUGUUGAGGCUUUUUAGUAGUGUUAACCAGUCAGAACCUUGGUUAUUUGUGAACUGAUUUAUGGUGUAAAUUACCCCCAGUUCCCUCCACAACUGCCUUACAUUCGUGCAUUCCACGAAAAUAUGUUUGAUUGUUUCUGGUUUUUGCAUAGAUUGCAUAGGUCGCUGACAUCAAUCCCUAUAGAUUUGAGGUAGCUUUAGUUGGUAAUCUGUUGUGGUGACAGAGCCAAAGGAAAAAUUUAAUCUUAUUUGGUUCAUAAGCAUUAAUAUUACAAACAAAUUGGCAUAUGUUGGACACAUAUAUUGACUAGGACAAUACCUUAGCUUGUAAGAAUUAUGUCCUGUAUUUUGGUUGCUAUUAAUCUCUGUCCAAUUUAUAGAGCCUACUUAAUUAGUUGCAUGGCUUCAUUUGCACGGUUUUGUUACAUAAAUAAUAUCUAUUUUGUCCUUGAAUGUGUGAGACAUAUAAUAGUAAUAAUUAGUAUAGAGACUUGCUAUUUUGACAAAUAAUUACAAGGUAAGGUUGGUAGAUGUUAGCAGAGUAAAUUUCAUGGAUGGUCAUCCAAUUUUGUGUUCAUUACCUAAAAUCAUUAUUAUUAAGUAGGUAGGUACGUUCAAAAUAAUUCUUUAAAAAGUGAUCAUAUCCGAUCUUAAUCAAAUACAACUCUAACUUCAAUUUUAAAAUUUUAAAACUUUUAAAUAAUACUCCCUCCUUCCCCUUUUAGUUGUUAUGCUGCACUUUUCAAAAAUCAUUUUGAAUUAUUUUCCAAUUUAAAUUAGAUUACAUUAAAGAUAUUUUAAAUUAAAAAGUUAGAUAGAUAUUUGAAAGGUAUACGAAAAGUAUUAUAAAUUGUAAUUUUUUGCAUAUCAAUAUGAUGAAAAAAUACAUCGUAAAAUGUUUGUCAAAAUUCUUAUCGUUUAACUCUAAUAAAAAGCCAGACAAUUAAAAAAGGACGAAGUGAAUAUAAAUAUAUUUAACUUUCAUGACCAAACGCAUACUAAAAUAUAUUAGCCAAGUUGCCAAUCGCCAUGAUGAUGAAAGGAAACAGGUGAAUGCAACUCAUAUCACACAAAAUAAAGCACUUUAUACUUCAUCUUUUCAGCACUAUCAGCGUAUAAAAAAAUGAAAAUGUGUAAUUUUCAAGUUUAAUACUAAGAGCUAUAGAGUUUGUUUUCGAUAAACUUGUGGGGAGCAAAAUUAAGGUAUUAACAAAUGAAUAAAGAUGAACUUAUAUGCUUUGAUUAUAAAAGUAGUCUAACAUUAUUUGUUUGUAAAAUUUGGAUGCAGUUAAACAUGGUUAUUAAAGAAUUACUUCGACUGUAUCCACCAGAUCCUAUCAUUGAACGAAUGGCUUGUGAAGAUAUGAUUUGCUAAACAUCUUAAUUUUUCAAUAAAUUUUUAUUUUUUUUCAAAAAUAAGUACUUUUGAUCUCAUAACAACAAUGUAGCUUUUAACCAUGGUUAUAGUUAUACGGAUUGGGUUAUCUAUAGAAAAGUGAACUGUAUGGAACAAAUCAAAUUCAAAUUAAACCUAUUAAUUAACAAUUGAGACGUAAUUAUUUUUUAUAUGUACAUUGUGAUUUGUGAAUCGCACGUAUUCAAUGGUCUCUUAUCUUCACUCACUUCUCGUAGUGUCCAUCUUCACCACCUCACACUUUUACUUUUAUUAUUGUGUGUUCUAAUAUAUUUGUCUAUAUUAUAUAUAAAUAUUUUUAAAAUAAUAUUUUUUAUUUACCUACUAAACACAUAAGAAUUUUAUUUUCUUGAGAAACAUCUUUCCCUGAACAACCACAAAAGUUAAUAUCAACAUUUUGGUUUUAAUUGAGUUGAAAUGUUUAGAAAGAGAAACAAAGUAGAAAUGAAAACUAUUAGGCAUACAAAAGUACAAAAUAGUUAACCAAACAACAAUAAUUAAGAUACCAAAAAUGCAAAUAAUAUUCUAGUCAUGGUUUUGUGCUGAAAGUUUUUAGAUAACUUUUAUAUGUACUUCAGUCAUUUUGUCUUGGUUUUAAUAACCCUAGUUAAAAAUGUUUGAAGUUAAUUAGUCUUGGCAACAAGGUAAAAGUUCUGUAAAAUGCUUCAAAUUUUGCCUUUAUCUAAUUUACAACUUCAGUAAAAAUUGUCUGAAUUUUUUUUUAUGAUGACCUUCGCAAAGGCACACCUUAGACAAAAAUGUUUAUAGGUCUAGGUUUUAAAUUGUAAAAUUUCUGCUCCAUAUUAGUUGUUCAUCUUUUUAAAAAAUAAUUUAUUCAUAAUUUUUUUAAAAAAAAAAAAUUUACAAACUUAUUUACAUUUUUUUAAAAGAAUUAAUUAUUAUAAGAUUAAAAAGAGAAAAUAAUAAUUAAUUCUCUCCUGAUUUUAUAAAUUAGAACAAAUAAAUAAGAAAAAUUAUUUUUAAAAUAUGAACGACUAAUAUUGAAUGAACACUAAUCAUCAAAGAAAUUAAAGAAUAAUUAAGUAGCCAAAUUUUCCGUUCUUAUCAUCAAACUCUACUUGGAGUUGCACUGUUGCAGGCCAAUAAUGGAUAUAUAUUAUAUACUAAUGUGCCGAUGGGACCAUUAUUAGACCAUAGUUAAAAUAUGAUAAUGAAGUACGAUGGUUAAUUAGUUUUUUUUCCCAGUUGCAGUAGGCCUAAUUAAUAUAUCGAUAUCUCUUUAAAUUUGGAAUACAUUUAAUUUAGAUACUAGAAUCAGGGCAUGUAACAUUUGAACACAUGAACAACCGAUAAAGUGAUCCUAUUACAAUAGUGAAGUAGAGAGGUGUUUUUAAAGCUAUCAAUAGUUCGAAAACGAAAUUAAUAAUUCAUACCAAAUUGAGAAAUAUUUUCAAUAUUUUUGUCUAUAUAUUAUCUAUUCUCAACUUUUAAAUUUGAGAGUUCAUAAACAAUAUAUGUCCUCUCAGUUUUUAAAUUCGUUCAACUUCACCAUUAUUAACAUUGUAAAAUUAAUUCAAUGUCAAUUGUCCAUACUAUGGACAAAUCCUAAAUUACAUAAAUUGAAACAAAAGAUUAUACAAUAAAAUUAAUUUAGUACUAAAAAUAGCGUAAAAAUUGAGGGCUGAAACUAACGAAAAUGGUUAAUUAAAAUUGAGGAACAUCGUAUCUUUUUGGCCUAAAAGAUAUUUGAAUACUAUACUAAUAUAUAUCCACCAUUGAAGAUAAAUACCAACAGGCUAACAACAAAGUUAUUUUCAUUUUUGUCAUGUAAUCUUCGCUUGUUAAAGCUAAAAAUGAAUAUUAAUCUCUUGACGGGACCGCAUGUGUUACUAUCCCAUAACUAAAACGGAGUUUGAAAUCAAAAGGGCAAUAAAAAUUUUCGAAAAUUUCAAAAGGGCAACUAAAUUAUUUAUGAAAUCAAAAUGGCAAUAAUUGUAACGACGUCUAAAUCAGGGUUUCUGCCACAAGACACAGAAACCCAUGAGCCUUACAAGGCGCAUCAGCUUUUAGUCUUAUAAGGCUCAGUCGGCGUGAGCCGUACAAGGUGCAAGGCAGACUGUUUUUUUCAAUUUUUUUUUUUUAUGGUGUUCGGUCCUUAAGGCUACACGUUUGCAAACUCGACUGCUCAUUUUUUUUUUUUGUUAGAUAAAUAAAAAAAUCUGACUAUUUAGUUGAGAUGUUAAAUCAUCCAACUUUAAAUUUAUCUAAAAUGCAGUACCUUUUUUUACAAAAAUAUAAUGUAUUUUAGUCGGUUAUUUUCUUUAAAAAAAUUAUGCCUUCUGAGUAGGGGUGUACAUGAUCGGGUUGAUUCGAAUUUUUCAAAUAUCAAACCAAAGCAUUUGUGUCGGAUUUUUAAAUCUAUAAACCAAACCAAACCAAUAAAACUCGAGUUUUUCAACCUCGGAUUUUUUUCGGAUUUUCGGGUUUUUUCGGUAAAGUAUUCAUACAAACAUAUCAUUUACUUGUACUUCAAAUGUUUCUUUAGUUCUACUAAAAUACAACUAUCUAAGGUGUUUGUUAAGAAAAUAACACAAAAUACGAUAUGAGUAAUAACACUAAAAUAUCCAACAAAAUAAAAUAAAAUAAUUAAAUUGUGUAAAACAAAUAUUGCAAAUUAACAAGUUGUAAUGAAGAUGAUCAUAAUUUAAAAGUACUAAAUCAUGCUAAAAUAAGUAUUAGUUACAUGACUAAAUAUUCUCCUCUGUUGACCAAGUCCGGUGGUGGCAAGCAGAAGAAGAAGAAGUGGAGCAAGGGAAAGCAAAAGGAGAAGGUAAAUCUAUUUCGUACUCUAUUUUUCUGGUGUGUUUAUCUUUUUGAUUUUUUUGACAUUAUUAUCGAAAAAGAUACAAUUUAAUAUCGUAUGAUACAAUUUAAUAUAACAUAAUAUAAUAUAUUAUAAAAUGACAUGUAACAACCAUCCAAACAAAGUAUAAAUAUAUAAUUUCAUCAAAAGUUGUGGUGAUAAAGUGGUAAAUUUCAUAGUAAGAUUUAGAUUCGAAUUAUAACAACGAAGUCACUUUUUAAUAAAUAAUAUUUUAUACCUUUAACAUGAGUUUUUUUUUAAAAAAAUUGAACUCAGGUUAGCGGAAUCUCAGUACGAAUAUUGAGCCUAAAAAGUACUCUAUAAAAGAAGUUCAUAAAUAAAUAGUCCAUUUAAUGGAAAUUUUUAUCCUUUUGUCAAUAUAAAAAAGUCCAUGAAUAAUCUUUUCCGAUAUUUGGUAUUGCAUUUUAGUUCUAAAUUAAACACCUUUUACCUUAUUUGAUUACAAAUCAUAUAUUAUUACUAUAUAAGAAGAGGGAAUAACCAACUACCACAAGUCAACAUGUGUUCCAAUAAGAAGAGGGAAUAACCAAUCUAUAUAAUAAUAUAAAGCUGAAUGAAAGGGUUGCUGAUGUGGCAUGUGUUGACACCCAAUUUUGACCCUCCACAAUAUAAAUUAAUCAUUUCGAGCUUCUCCAAUUUCAAACGAUUUAAAAUAAUUAGUUUUAUAAAGUUUCAAAAAAUAAUAAUAUAGUUUGCAAGAUUUUUUUUAAUAGUUUUGUCACUUUUUAUAAUUUUUAGAUAAUAUAUAUGUUUUACAUAAUUAUGUAUAUAAUUAUUAUAUUUUAUGAUUAUUCGAAAACCGUCUCAAAAAGAUUUUAUUUUAACUAAAUAUUUGGUUAAUUAGUUUAGUUAUAUAAUAGUUUAUAUUUUUAAUUAAUUAGUCUAUAAUUAAGCUAAUUAUUUUAUUUUGUUGAAAUCAAGAAGCUUAUUAAUUAAUUUAUUUUAAUUCGUCUUAUUUAAAUUACUAGUCAAACUUGUCCUAAUUAAUUAAGUAUGGUUACAUCUGUAAUUUCCAAUUGGCCAUAAUUUAAAUUUAUAUGGCCAAAGCCUAGUCCAAUUCUGACCAAGUCUAUUUCAUUCUCAAAACCCACUCCAAUUUAAUUUCCAACAAUUUCCAGCAAAUUCCAGCAACAAAUAACCCAUUCCCAGCCCACUACUUUCAACAGAAACCCGGCCCAACCCAUUUUCAACACCAAAGAAACCCAUCAGCAAAGCCUCUCCAGCAACAAAAACCAAAUGACCCCUGCGUUCUCUAUCUUCUUCACCAUCACGUGAAUACACUGGAAAAAAAAAUCAGAAACGUCAAUAGAAGCUUGCAAACGUCAACAAUAGCUGCCCUCACCAAACCAUUCCAGCAGCUCCCACACCCUGCUCUGCAACAACCGCCCAUUUUGAUCUUUUCCAUCCGGAUUUUAGGGGAUUUUGGUUGAAUUUCCAUACAACAACAGCCUUCCCUUACCCUUGGGGAAAAAUUUGAUUUGAUUUGAUUGGGGAAUUCCGACUUUGCCCCAAGUUCCUAUCCGUUUUCUUCCCCCUAAAUCUGCCUUGAUUUCUUGGCUAUAUAUAUUAUUCACUGUAAGGGGGCGAGCAGGGAGUUGGUUCCGGAGUUCGAUUCUUUGACAAUAGUCGUUUUACACUUGAGAAAUUCCAAAACGAUUUUCUCAUUCUAAGUUCCAAGAAAAGCUUUGAUCAAAGGUUGGUUCAAAUUUCCUUGUCUAUUGCUCUGAGUCUAAACCGGUGUAAGAAGUCGUCGCUCUCUUUGGCUCGUUUGUUCUCAGUUCGCUGCUCCAAACAAGGUAACACGUCCUCCUUUAUACUAUUUCCUUCCCUCUUUGUCUGUUUCAAAAAGAAAAAUAUUUUUUUGUAUGUCGGAAAAGCCUCAUUAAGUGACCGGUUCACUGUUAGUUGUUGAGUUGGUGAUAUAUUGACGCGGUUUUGAUGUCAAAUUAAUGUUAUGUUCUGUAUUAGCAUUAUUGCUCUUCUGCUCCUUUGUUUGGAUUCACUUUUGCUAUUUUACCUCUUAUAUGUCUGCCUUAAAGUCUUUGAGUCUGUAUCUUUUAUUCUUGCUGUCUUUUAACGUCAAUAGUUUCAUUCAAUGUUGCUACUGCGAAUGAUGAUUUUCUUUUCAAAAUGACAUCAGAAUGUCAAAGCUAACUAAUGUGGAAUUUAUAUGUUGUUUUAUCUAUUAUUUGUUGUUGUAGUAACUCAUUUUUGUCAUUUUCUUAUGUUCCAUGUUGUUUUACUGCCAAGCUAAACAUGUUUGACUCGAGUUUACGUCUUCGUUUUGCUUAAAAUCUAAUCGAAAAUACUCACUACUUGUAGCAAGUUUACAAAAAAUGUGGAAUGUUGUUUCUUCCCAAUUUUCUCUUUACUUCUAGUUCUUGUUUCCUUCCCCAAUUGUUAGUGUUAUUUGAUGUCUUAUUAUAUCUUAGUCCGCAGCCUAUUGUUCUAAGAAAAAGAUUUGUUCAUUAAUGUGGUCAUGUUUUGCAUCAAAUUAGCAUUCGCCUGACGACUAGUAAGCUUUAUGUGUCCGCCGAUUAUGAGCACAAAAGUGUUAAUGUAUUAGCAUGUUCUGUUGUGUUUAUUAAAGUAUUAUAGGUUUGCUUUUGAUUUUGCCUUAUUUGAUAGCUACUAAUCUAUCUUUUCCUUUCCUUAAAUUGGUCACUUGUUUGUUAGCAUAUAAUUUCCUAAAGCUAUUACCAUUUAAGAUCGAAGCUUGUCCAAGUAAAAGUGACCCAAUGAAAUGUAAUUCCUGCCUGAUAUGUAGCAUGUCCUCUACCUCUUUUAUGUUGUGAAUUUCAUUGUUUACCAAUCACCUAUUCAUUGAAUAAGUUUGCCUUUAUUGGACCCAUUUUUACUCCCUUAGGAUCUUGCUGUUAGGCCUAUGCACGUAUGCAUUUUUUUUUUUUUUUUUUUUUUUUUUUUUUUUUUUUUUUUUCUUAGAACUUUCUUAUGCUCCAAAGUUUGAUAGUCUAGCUUUUAGAUUUAUUUACUCCAUGUAAUGUAGUGAGUUUGGUGAUAUAUUGUUGUAGAUUGCACGGGUUUACUUUAUUUAAUUAAGUCAUGUCUUAUUUGUGUUUUGUUUUCGCCUCAAAUGCUAAUCAUUAUUAUUAUUAUUUUUGUUGCAUGUGAAACUCCUUCCGAGACCUCACGGACUUUAUUUCCUCUCCUCGCAUUUUCUUGUUGAGCCACGAAGGCUCAAACCCUUCCCUUCGAGUCAGCCGGCUUUUGAAACUGACGGACAGGUUGAAUGCACUUAAAAGGGAGCUGGAAAUUGAACUUUCAGGUCUUAAAAAACCAAAAGAAGGCAGUAUACAUGACCUAUACAGCUGUAUACACAAGUAUACACGGAAAAAAUAGCGAUAUACAGGUCCAAAAAUUGAAACAGGUGUUCUGGAAGUUGAAUUAGGUUGUAUACAUUUGGUAUACAGCCUUAUAUAACAAGAAAAAUGGGCUGGAUUCAUACGAUAUACACUGAUAUACAACCAGUGUAUACAAAAACGGGAUUGAGCCUAAGCCCCCAAAUUUUCAGCGAAUUUGGCCCAAAAGGAGGCCCAAAUUCAAUUUCUCCCUACUCUUUGAUUAUUUAAUUAUGAUUAUCUAUUGUUUAUUGCGUGUUGACUCUAACUUUUAAAUUGUUAACUAACCUAAUUAAAUUCCCAAACGAUAAGUUAAUUUCUUUACGUUGGCUUACCUUUAAUACAUUCUUAUAUUUGUUUUUGUUUUAUCUUACUAAUCAAAUGUAUUGGCCAUUUUUCAUUUUUAUUAAAUCUUUUGUUUUUAAAAGGACAUGUUUUGAAUGCCACUUCCUUUAAUCAUUUUGCUUAUUUAAAUGGUUUUAAAGUUAACACUUUUCUCAAAUGAACUAAAAUAAAAUAAAAUUGUGCGUGUUCUCUUUUUAUCAAUUGAUUUAAAAUGGUCUCAUGCUUUAAUUGGUUCAAAUUAUUAUCUUAAAAAAUGAAGUAAAUAAACUUUAAUUAAUCUAGUUUUUAUUGAAAUUCUAAUUACUCGUAUCACAAGUCCAAUGUGUCGUUUUGAAUUCUUUUCUCUAAAAAAAAAAAAAAACGAAAAAUGUGUCGUUUAUCUAAUUAUUUUCUCAAAAUUAAUUAAAUAUUGUAAAUUAUCAUAUUUUCCUUUUAUGUUAAACCAUUUUUUCUAAAAAUAGUCAAAAAUAUAUUUUAGUCAAGUCGCAGGUCAACCGCAUGUUAGCGGACACUUCGAGUGCUUACACCCUUCUCGAAGUGUAAAUUGAACCCCGAACCCUCUUUGGUAUUUUCAAAUGUAUUUUUUUUUCUGUUUAAAAUCUUUGGAAAUUAUAAGUUUUCUUAAUUUCUUUAAAAAUUAAGUGGCGACUCUUUUCUAAGUAUUUUUCUCAAAAAUGUUUUAUACUUAGAACAUUUCAAAAAGUGAUUUUUCUAGAAAUAGUUAAAUUACGACACAACAGCAUGCCUUAUUGAUCAGUAUUACUAUUUAUCUAUUUUUCUCUUAAUUUUGAUUUUUUUUCUUCAUGUAUUUAUUAAUAUUUUUAAAAAAAUAACUUACUUCCUCAUAAUUAGCAUAAUGGGCAGUUAAAUUAGGAAAAUAAUUAAUGCUCCACCUCACGUAGCAUCAGUUACUUUUAUGCUUUUAAUCACCAAUAAUUAAUUGGCUUCAUUGCUUUGCUUAUUCCUACUCUAUUUUCGAAUAUAUAUAUACUGCUUGUACUUUUUCUUUUGAGGUCUAAGGUAAGUGUUUUUCUCUGUUCUUUUAUUUUUUCUUUUUAUUUUAUUCUUGAUCCUUCAUUUUUAAUCUAUAUAUGUUAUCAUCAUCUUAUAACAUGCUAACUAAUAUGGAGUUCUUUUUUUACUUGAAGAGGUACAUUUUUAAUUAGUAUCAUUGUUAUUCAAAUUUUUACAAGAUUUUAUUGUAAUUUUUGUGAUUUAAGUGUGAUUUUUUUGAAGUCGUCAAUAUAUAUGAAUAUGUCUCUCUUUCUUUCUCUCUCUAUAUGAAGUCGUCAAAAUAUAUGAAUACGUCUAUAUAUAUAGUAUUAUAAUUAAAUUUUUGCAAGAUUUUAUUGUAAUUUUUGUGAUUUAAGUGUACUUUUUUUUUAAAUCGUUAAUAAUAAUGAAUAUGUCUCUCUAUUUACGUAACUAUAAUUUCGUAUUCAUAUAUUUUUUUUGUAUUACGUCACAAUUAUAUAUAUAUAAAAGAAGUGAAAUGUCACAAUCUUUUUCUCAAUUUUUUUAGACAUUUUUCUAGAUUUUUUAGAAAACGUAAAAAAAAACGUCUGUUUCUUAAAUUUGCAGGAAACGGGUCAUUUAUUGCUCAUUAUUGCCAUCUAUUAUUUUGUCACAUUAUUACUUUUUCUACCUCUAACAUCUCCUUAAUUCUCUCUUAAUUUUAUGUUUUAGUUAUUUUUAAUUGAUAGUAGUAAUUACCUUAAUAAAUGUCAAAAAAUAUUUCAAGACUUAUACAUCCACAUUUCAACACACAAAUCACAAUUGCAAGAUUUAAAUUUUUACUUUUUAUCUCUUGAUUAUCAAUAGACAUAAUGUAAAAUAUUAAUAUCAUUAUAUAUGAUUCGUAUUUAAUAAAGUUUGUAUGAUUUUUUAACGUUUUCGAUUGAUAAAAACAUUGUUUCAAUGCCUUUCAAAAAAUAAUAGCAUUUCUAUUGAUACCGCUCAAAACUAAUUGAUAAUGAGAUCGAUGACUAAAGAUGAACAUGGCACAAUAAUGAAUAUUAUCAUAAGAGAGGCUUAAGAAUUGACGGUUAGAUGAAAUUAGUAGGAGAUUAGAAAUGACAAAUUUGAAGAAAAUAAGAAGGAAAAAAGAAAGAUAUAUUUGAUUUGUAAUAUUAUUCUUUUUUAAUUUUUUUUCAAUUUCAAUUUUGUAAAAGAAAGGUAAAUGAAAUGGCAAAGGAAGGUAGCAUGUAGACGAGAUUGUUAGACAAGUUCAGAUAUUUAUAUUGUAAUCAAUUUUUUAGAUUUAAAUUUAAAAUAUGAACAUAUGCAUGUAAAGAGAUCAUUUUUUCUUCAAAUUCUACUACAAUUUUACAAAUGAUGAUUUUUAAAAAAAAGCAAGUAUUACUUAUAAAUUAGAUCAAAACUCAAAUUUUAAUGUAUAUAGAUAUAUAAGGUUUAAAAUAUUUUAAUCAUUCACAUGUUAUAAACAAAUUAUUAAAAAAAUUUAUUACCGUGCGAAGCACGGCUCAGUUCACUAGUAUAUUUAUAAAAAGAGAUGACAUAUAAAAUGAAAUGGAGAGUAUUAGUUUUUGAAAAUGGAAAAGGACAAGACACAUAUAAAAUUAAAAGGCAUAUAAAAAAAACAUAAAAAGUAACAUAUGUUAUUAAAAACUUUAAUAAAAAGUACUGUAAUUUACAAUAAAUAAUAACUUAAAAUAUCUACAAGACAACAAAAAAAAACACUAAUUUUUGUACUGCUUGUGUCACAUAAAUUAGGAUUGGGAUGAUUUUAAAAUUUUAAUUUUGGUUAUACAUUAUAAAAUAGCCGAAAAAAUGAAUGAUAUAAUUUUUUUAAAAAUAACCGAAUGAAUCGUCCUAUAGAUAACCCUAAUGUUUCUUCUACUCUGUUUAUUUUUACUUAAAUUUAGAAAGAUAUGCUUCAUUUCUACCCUCAAUCUUAUCGCUACAUUUAUUUGCUANNNNNNNNNNNNNNNNNNNNNNNNNNNNNNNNNNNNNNNNNNNNNNNNNNNNNNNNNNNNNNNNNNNNNNNNNNNNNNNNNNNNNNNNNNNNNNNNNNNNNNNNNNNNNNNNNNNNNNNNNNNNNNNNNNNNNNNNNNNNNNNNNNNNNNNNNNNNNNNNNNNNNNNNNNNNNNNNNNNNNNNNNNNNNNNNNNNNNNNNNNNNNNNNNNNNNNNNNNNNNNNNNNNNNNNNNNNNNNNNNNNNNNNNNNNNNNNNNNNNNNNNNNNNNNNNNNNNNNNNNNNNNNNNNNNNNNNNNNNNNNNNNNNNNNNNNNNNNNNNNNNNNNNNNNNNNNNNNNNNNNNNNNNNNNNNNNNNNNNNNNNNNNNNNNNNNNNNNNNNNNNNNNNNNNNNNNNNNNNNNNNNNNNNNNNNNNNNNNNNNNNNNNNNNNNNNNNNNNNNNNNNNNNNNNNNNNNNNNNNNNNNNNNNNNNNNNNNNNNNNNNNNNNNNNNNNNNNNNNNNNNNNNNNNNNNNNNNNNNNNNNNNNNNNNNNNNNNNNNNNNNNNNNNNNNNNNNNNNNNNNNNNNNNNNNNNNNNNNNNNNNNNNNNNNNNNNNNNNNNNNNNNNNNNNNNNNNNNNNNNNNNNNNNNNNNNNNNNNNNNNNNNNNNNNNNNNNNNNNNNNNNNNNNNNNNNNNNNNNNNNNNNNNNNNNNNNNNNNNNNNNNNNNNNNNNNNNNNNNNNNNNNNNNNNNNNNNNNNNNNNNNNNNNNNNNNNNNNNNNNNNNNNNNNNNNNNNNNNNNNNNNNNNNNNNNNNNNNNNNNNNNNNNNNNNNNNNNNNNNNNNNNNNNNNNNNNNNNNNNNNNNNNNNNNNNNNNNNNNNNNNNNNNNNNNNNNNNNNNNNNNNNNNNNNNNNNNNNNNNNNNNNNNNNNNNNNNNNNNNNNNNNGGUGAUUAAGAAAUCAUUAAUACAUUGGAAGACUUCACCAUUUUGCCCUUUGUUUAUAUCAAUGCAGAUUGAAAUGAGUUACAAAAAAUACACAUACAAUAUAGGAAUGGUCAUAUUUAUUGUAGGGGUAAAAUGGAAAAGAAUUAAUUAAUUCUAUCCUAAUUUAAUAAGUGCUCAAAUAAUAUAAAAAAAAUAUUUUUAGUAAGAGUCUCAUCUAUGGGACGGAGAGAGUAACAAUAUAACUUUAUUAAUGUUGGGCAGGGCAGCGCCCGGGCUUUCUUUACUAGUAUAUAUAUAAAGGAGAAACAUAAAAGAGGUGAUGUGGCACCUCUCUAUGACCUCCAUUUCUAUUUAUUUAUUUUGUCCUUUUUUUGGACAUUUUUUCAUUUUUNNNNNNNNNNNNNNNNNNNNNNNNNNNNNNNNNNNNNNNNNNNNNNNNNNNNNNNNNNNNNNNNNNNNNNNNNNNNNNNNNNNNNNNNNNNNNNNNNNNNNNNNNNNNNNNNNNNNNNNNNNNNNNNNNNNNNNNNNNNNNNNNNNNNNNNNNNNNNNNNNNNNNNNNNNNNNNNNNNNNNNNNNNNNNNNNNNNNNNNNNNNNNNNNNNNNNNNNNNNNNNNNNNNNNNNNNNNNNNNNNNNNNNNNNNNNNNNNNNNNNNNNNNNNNNNNNNNNNNNNNNNNNNNNNNNNNNNNNNNNNNNNNNNNNNNNNNNNNNNNNNNNNNNNNNNNNNNNNNNNNNNNNNNNNNNNNNNNNNNNNNNNNNNNNNNNNNNNNNNNUCACUUAUAUUAUUACUCUUUUUAGUUUUGUUUUACUACAUCUUUUCAUUCUUGAAAACUUAAAAUGUUACAUCUAAUUGUAUUUAUCUUCACAAAAUAAAUGUAUUGAUACUUGUAUACCUAUCUUAAGAUACUUGUAUGCCUACAUUUCCAUCUUUUGAUAUAUUUUGUCUUCUUUUUAUAUUUUAUUCAUAAUAUUUAUUUUCAAUUAAAUUCUUAAAAAUUAGAUGAUAUAAUCACAAAAAAUAUCCAAAAGAUAAAUACUUGAAAUAUAUCUACCUAUAGAUUUUAUCGUUUGUCUGCAAAUAAUUUCCUUAAUUCAAUAUAGUACAUUUCACUAAAAGACUAAAAGUGCUUAAGAAUAUUAAUUAUUAGAAAUAAAAAAAUAUAUACACAAGAAAAAGAAAAAAAAAUCACCACAAAUAUAUGACACUCACAUUUCAACUAAUUAAAUAUCUAAAAGAAUCAUAGUUCGAUAUAAAAUUCAAUUGAGAGAAAAAAAAAUUGAAUUUUAUGCAUAUGAGUUUCCUUAGUUCAUGCCUUCAUGGUAUUUAAGCAUGAUUAUAGGAAUUGUUAAAAUAGCUAUAUUUUGUGAGACUUAAAUAUUUUUUCAUUGCUCCAUACUCAUUAAGAUAUUUAAUAUUUCUAUUGUCAUUGGAAGGAAAAAAUUAAGAGUUAAUGAAGCAUAGAUAUCUUGCCCGUUAGCCUUUUCUAUAAAUACUCAAAUAGAUUGAACAUAUUAUUUUCUUUUUAGUACUACUUUAUGCAUUUAAGAAUCUUGAAAACUUAAAAAACUUCAUAACUUGAUUUAAAUUUUUUGAAUACCAUUAUAUUUAUACCUACUCACCAAAUGAAUAUCAACAUUAUUUUUAUUUAGUAGAAAAAUGGAUGGGAAACCUUAUUUUUUGUGUUUUAUAUUUCUAACCUAUAUUAAUUGUGAAUAUAUAAUGAGAUGUGUUUUAAAAAGAAAUUUUCUGAUAUCAUGUUUUCAUUUAAUUAUUUCUUGAGUAGCAAAGAGUAAUUAAAUAAAUAGAUACUUAGUGAAGAAACACGUAGUCAAAGGUCUGCUAACAAGCUAUUUUUAUAUAUAUUUUUUCAUAUUUACUUAAAAAAAAUAUAGAUAAUGUUUUAUGUAACUUUUGAUUUAAAAUUUUAAAACUUAAACUUUGAAAAAGACUUUUAUGUAUCUUAUAAUUUAUUCUAUUUAGAUUAUACGUUUGAAAGAAAUAUUGAAAAUAAAAUUGAUUAUAUUUUUUGAUGAUUUUAAUAUUCGAAUAUUAGAAAGAACGAAAAAUAAAUCAUGAAUUUGGUGGGCAUUUGACCAUAUAUAAUUAGAAAUAAGGCAUUUGGCCAUAUAUAAUUAGAUUUUUUUUUUCAUUUUACUAGAAUUUUUAAAAUCAGAGUUGUGUUUUAUUAUAAUUUUUUCACAAAUAAGACAAAAUAACAUUUUAUUUGAAAUUCUAAACAUGGAGUGUAAUUUGAUUUUUUCAUAGUCAAAAUUAAUUUUUAAAUAAAGUAAAAAUUAUUUCAGAAAAAAGACGGAUAAUAUAGUUUAUUUCUUCACGCGAAAUGCGGAUAAAUUCACUAGUAUAUAAUAAAUUACUUGAAUCAUCAAAAAAGAAUUUGCACAUUAAUUAAUCAGAACCGAUAGACUUAGGAAAGAUAUUAUUAGUCAUAGACUCAUAGGACUUGGAUCUUGUUCCAUAAUUACUAGUUAUAAUAACUACUGUAACAUUUAUAUAUUUAAUUAAGUCAAAUAAAUAUAAUCUUUUCCGAUUUUUUUUUAAAAAAAUAGCCUUGCGCCUUGUAAGGCUCAUGGCGGCUGAGCCUUACAAGGCUAAAAGUUGUUGCGCCUUGUAAUGCUCAUGGAUUUUUGCGCCUUGCGGCGGAAACUCUGAUUUAGAUACCGUUACAAAUUAUUGCCCUUUUGACUUCAUAAAUAAUUCAGUUUCCCUUUUGAAAUUUUCAAAAAAAAUUAUUGCCCUUUUGAUUCCGGACUCGUGUUUGAAUAGCGCCUAGAUUGGACAACUAACCUGAAUAGUAGUUAAUUCUGUGAGCACCUUGUACCAAACAUAAAUUAUAUCCUUUUCAUACGGAAUAUUGUAUUUAUGGCUUCUUUCUCAUUGGCCUAAAGGAUAUUGAGUUUAACUAAUAUUCAUUGUCGGUGGAAAUUUUAUAUUUUUACGAAUAGUGAAUUACAAUAUUGUUUUUAAAAAUCAUUUCCUUAAUUAUUUACUUCUUUUUCUUUUCACUCUUUAAUCCUAAGACUUAUUUUUUUUCUUGCUACCGUCAAUUUUUCUCCCUAAAGCUUUGCAUCUCGGUGUUAAAAAGAUAAUUAUUAUACCUCUCUUUAUUUGAAAAAAUUCUACUAACAACUAUUCUACAAAAAUGUAGAGUUAUAUUUAACUAAUUUAAAAAGUUACUUUUUUCGUCUAAAUUUAUGUAAGAAUUUGAAUUUUGAUAGCUAAACGAGUUAAUUUAUAUAUAUAUAUUUUAAAAGUAUAACUUAUAUUAUAGUAUUUUUCAAAUGUGUAAACUUAUUUUUAAAAAAAUUAAAAAUUUAAUGUCAAAAUUAAAAAGUUUAAAUAUCAUGGAGUGAAAAGUAUCAUAUAAAUUGAGAUAUUAAAAAUACUAUGUCAUUGAAGGGUGACAGUGAUUACUUAGAUUUGUUUUGCAGAAUGCUGCAAAGGUUGAUACUGUAAUUUAUUUAACUUUGAUGGUGUUAAACAUCAAUAAAGUAGAAAUUGACAUCAAUGAAAAACAAUACAAUAAAUUUUUAAAAAUUAAUAUUAUUUUACUUAGUUUUGAUUUGUUAAUAAAACCCGAAGAAACAUCAGUACCAUUCGUAAAAAGGUUUAACCAAAAUAUAUAACAAAGUUUUUUCAAAAUAUAUAUAAAAAAAUUACUAUUAAUUUAACCAUUCCUAAGACUAUUUUUAAUUAAUUAAAUCUAAAUUACUCAUUCUAGGAAAGUGAAUUUUUUUAUUAUGAAAUAGAGAGUAGUUGAAUUCAAAAGCGAUAACUUAAAUUCCUGCUUGAUCAUAAUUUUGAACUUGAAAUAUAAAUAUUUAAAUUUGAAAGUAAUUUUUAAAAUUUGAAGUUGUAUUUAAAUAAAAAUUUUUAAAGUUUUGUGAAUGAAAGCUUAAAAAAUUUGAAAACUUAUCCGAAUUAACUUUUAAAACCUAGUAUUUUUGUGAAGAUCGAUUUUCAAAAUUUAAUUCAAAAUUUAUGACUAAUCUCUAGCUAAAUAAUUGAUUAAGCGGAAAAGACAAGUCCUUUUCUUGUCAUUGAUCAAUCAACUCCGCCUUGCAAUAAUGAUGUGUAUUUUUUGUUUUAUUUUAAGGUGGGUCCAAUAAUGAUGAAAUUUAAAUUUUGAUAAAAUAGUUCAAAUCACCUUCAUCCCAAACUCAAAACACAAUUUUUGUUAUGUGAUUUUUGAAAAUCCCUAAAACUACUCGCUCAAAAUUAUAGCUUCAAAUUAAAGAAAAUGUUAGAUUUUUUAAAUGACAUUACGUCCAACACAUUAAGAAGUAAAAUUCAUAGUGACUAAUGUUAGUGAAAAAUUACAAUAUAAUAAAAUUGCAAGAUUACAAUUAAAAAUAAAAUAAAGAAAAUAAAUUUCUUUAGACUGAGACACGGAUUUCUUGCUCUCUUUAAGGAGAUUCAAGUCCACUGCAGCAAAUGUUUUUCAUCGGUCCAGCAGUAGUCCUUCUUGACCUGUCCACAAGGAUACAACAGCCUUACACAAAGUAUAACUCAACAACUCUGGACAAGAGUUGAGUCCAAAGCUCCACAAAAAGAAUACAUCCCUUCAACUAAUAAGAACUCUCUUUUUUGACCAACUCUUUCACUCUAUAUUUUCUUGUGUAUUGUGUGUUCUAAACCAAAUGAAGACCACCACUAUUUAUAGUUGGGGAUGUCUUCCUAGCAAUGAAUAGGAAGAUAAUGAGAUAGUAAAUAGUGAAGAUAAAUGACCUUAGGAGUUACAUAGAUUACAGGGUAUAAUGGAGGAAGAAUAAUGAAGAAUGAAUGGCAAAGGCCACCAACGGCUAAGAGUGCUAACAAGAAAUGUUGUAACAUAACAAACAAUAACUCCAAAUGGAGUAAUGCAGCAAAUAAGUGCCACCAACGGUCAAUGUCAAAAACGUCAAGUAAUGGGCAAUUAAGCCUCAAAACAUUGAUUCCAAAAUACAAUUUAAGUGGCCACUAACAUUCUGAUAGGAAUAGCUGCAAGAGGAAUGGGAAAUAUGCACCUUAACCAUUAUUUACUAAUAUUAAAAUGCUCCCAAAUCAACAAUCCCCACUCAUUAUAAUAUUAAUCAAGUGAGUCUAUUAGCUGAAGGAAGACUAAUAUGCAUAAUGAAUGUGUGCUCUGCAUUGAACCUUCACUUAGUUAAACAACAAUUUUUUACUCCAGAGUCGUAAUGGUCUCAGACUUGAACUAUGAUUGCUUAGUGAAAAUAAAAUAUCAUUAUCCACACAUAAUAAUCAAGGUGCUGACAAGAGCUUUAACAGCCAGCACAUUAUGGCCUUGUGCUAUCCCGGUUUCAUGAGUGCUUUUGAGAAUAAGCCAAAUUCUCAUAGGAAGCGACCUACUUCCACACAUCACAUUUGUGAAAUCUGUCGAGAAUGCUCCUGUAAUCUUAACACUCCACCCAUAUGAGCUACAUAUAUUCAUUAAGAGUUUUAUCAACUCAGCCUUCACAAACUACAGGAAACAAUGCACUCACAUCAUAGGGAGGGAAUAAAAAGAUAGUGCAUUUUUCACAACAAGUCAUCACCUGAUUAGUUUUUCCCUUUGAACUUGGUUAUAUGAUCUCUAGUCCCCAAGUUGGGUUUCCUCAUAUAUGACUCAAGGAUUUGUAGGCUUCAAUCACAUCCCCCUCGAUGUGCUCUAGACCUUUUCUCUCGUUAAGGCCUUAGUAAAAGAAUGUGCAAGAUUAUCACAAGAUUUGACAUAAUCAACAUUAAUGGUACCAUUUGUCAAAUAUGAUCUUACAUUAUUGUGUUUCCUCCUUAUAGGUCUGGAUUUACCGUUGUAAUAACAGUUUUGAACUCUAACAAUCGCAGCAAUGCUAUCACAAUGAAUUAAAAUAGGAGGAAUUGGUUUUUCAAAAUAAGGAAUUUGAAACAAUAAAUCUCUUAACCAAUUCGCUUCCUCACCAGCUAAAGCUAAAGCAAUUAGUUCAGUCCCCAUGGUAGAGUUAACAAUUAUAGUUUGUUUUUUUUAUCUCCAAUAAAUAGCACCACCACCCAAAGUAAAGACAUAAUCAGUGGUAGAACAAGAAUCACCUGAUAAAGUGUUCCAAUCUGCAUCACAAAAGCUUUCAAGUACAACAAGACAUUUUUAUAAAACAAAUCACAAUUUUUCGUUUCAAUUAAUUAUCCCGUAACUCUUGUCACAACAUGUCAAUGCUCAUUACCUAGCUAGUACUCUUACUGCAUAUGCAAUAUCAGGCCUAGUACAAUCAGUCACAUAUCUCAAACUUCCGAUUAUGCUAGCAUAUUCCUUUUGAUUUAUUAUCAUUUUCACUUUUAACAGGAAAUAAGUGAACACUUUAAUCAAAAGGAGUUGCAACAUGUUUGCAAUCAAGAAAGUUAUAUUUUUUCAAAAUUUUCUUAACAUAAUGUGACUGGUCAAGGAAAAUUCCAUCACAUGUUCUUGUUAUUUUUAUUCCAAGAAUAACAUUUGCCUCACCAAGAUCUUUCAUAUCAAAAUGAAUUCUAAGAAUAUUCUUAGCUUUAUCAAUAACAUUCAUGUUAGAGCCAAAGAUCAAUAAAUCAUCAACAUAUAGGCAAAUAAUCACAUGUGAAUUAUUCCAAGACUUAUGAUAUAUGCACUUAUCACACUCAUUUGUUUUAAAACCAUUUCCAAUCAUGCAAGAAUCAAACUUUUCAUGACAUUGUUUUGGUGCAUGUUUCAAGCCAUAUAGGGAUUAGUAAGUUUACAUACUUUGCUUUCUUGGCCUGCUUCAACAAAAGACUCGGGUUGUUCCAUAUAAAUUUUCUCAUUUAGGUCUCCAUUUAAAAAGACAGUUUUUACAUCCAUUGAUGAAUUUGCAAAUAAAAAAUUGCAGUCAUAGCAAUUAAAAGUCUUAUGGAUGUAAUUCUUGUUACUGGUAAAAAGUAAUCAAAAAAUUCUAGGCCUUCUAGUUGUUUAAAACCUUUUUGCAACUAGUCUAGCCUUAUAUUUAUCAAUAGAUCCAUCCAGUUUCAACUUUUUUCUAAAGUCCCAUUUGCAACCAAUAGUUUUACAACCUGGUGGUAAAUCAACUAACUUCCAAGUUUUAUUAGAAAUUAGUGAUUCCAUUUCAUCAUUUAGUUUACAGCCUCUUUCCAAAAAAAUGGAAUCAUGUGAAGAUAAAGCUUCUUUUAAAGUGAGAGGGUCAUCUCCAACAUUAAACACAAAAAAAUCAGGACCAAAAUCUUUUUCUACUCUAGCUCUUUUACUUCUUCUUAACUCAAAAUCAUCAACUUCUUUAUUUUUCAAAGUUAGAGUAGAAGAAUUAGGUAGUGACAAAAUAUUUUGUUUAAUUCUUUGACCCCCACUAUUUUUAGAAUCAAAAGGAAAUUUAUUCUCAUGAAAAAUAGCAUCACCCGAUUCUAUCACAAUAUUAUCUUUAAGAUUAAAAAAUCUAUAGAUUGUACUAUUUGAAGCAUAACCAAGAAAAACACAAGUAGUAACUUUCUUACCCAAUUUUGUGAUCUUGGGAUCCAUUAGCCUUACAAAGGCUAGACAAUCUCAAACUCUUAGAUAUCCCAAACUUGGCUUGUAACCUUUUCACCAUUCAAAAGGUGUUAAUUUAGACUUUUUAUGAGACACACCAACACAUAACAAGCAGUCAAAAUAGCUUCACCCCAAAAAUUUAAAGGUGCAUGUGACUCAAUAAGCAUGACAUUAGUCAAUUCAAAUAAAGUUCUAUAUUUUCUUUCCGCUACUCCAUUAGAUGAAGGAGAGUAAGGAGGAGUAGUUUCAUGAAUUAUUCCCAAUGAUCUAACAAAAGAAUUAAACUCAUUUGAUUCAUAUUCACAGCCUCUAUCACUUCUAAUUUUUUUUACUUUUCUUCCAAAUUGAUUUUCAACCUCAUGGAGAUAGUUUCGAAAUUUUCAAAAGUAUCACUUUUAAUUUUCAUUAGGUAAACAUACGUAAACUUAGAAAAAUCUUCAAUCAAAGUGAUAAAAUAUCUAUUAGCUCUAUAAGUUAAAAUUCCGCCAAGUUCACAAAUAUCAGUAUGAACUAAUUCUAACAAAUCAGUUUUUCUUUGAACUUGUAAAUGAGGCCUUUUAGUGAUUUUGGCUUUACUACAAGCCUCACACUUUUCAACAUUCUUUUUAACCAUUGGGAUCAAUCCUAAACUACUCAUGAUUCCAACAUAACGAUCAUUAAUAUGACACAAACGAGCAUGCCAAAAAUUAGUAGAGGAAAGCAUAUAAACAGAAGUAUAAGCUUAAUUCACUUCUACAUUCAAUUUGACCAUCCCAUCACAUGCAUACCCCUUUCCCAAAAAAAUAUCCUUCUUCACAAUUACAUAUUGAUCAGAUUCAAUGAUUUGUUUAAAGCCUGCUUUAUUAAGAAGAAAACUAGACAUCAGAUUUUUCUCAUGGAAGGAGUAUAGAGUACAUCUUUCAAAGUUAAUAUUCUUUCAAAAGUAAAACACAAUUCGACAUCUCCCGUUCCAAGCACUUGAGUUUUGUGAGAAUCACCAAGCAUGAUGGUUUUGGGCUCCUCAAAAUGAGUAUAUUUUUUUAAAUCAGUCUUUAUCAUAACAGACAUGACGGUUUGCACCAGAAUCAGCCCACUAUCCAUCAACACUCUCAACCAUGUUUAUGUCGAUAAUCACCGCCACAAAAGGUUCUUCGGUAACGUUUGCCUGAGGGUUAGGACCACAUUUCCGGAAUCUGCAAAAUCGAGCAAUAUGCCCACUCUUGCCACAAACAAAGCACGGUCCCUUAUCUUGAACUUGUUGAUUUUGUGCUUGGCUAUUUUGACCAUUAUUUUUCUUGGUAGGUCUACUAUUAUUUUUCUUAAAUUUUUUCUUCUUAGGCUUCAAAGAAGUAUUUUUGUGAGUUGAUGUUGCUCUCUUCUUUUUGUAAAAAGUUCAUCUUGGCCCCUUGCCUCUUCACCAUUGUACUUUUCCACUUUCUCAUGAUGAGAAAUAAGUUCAUCAUCAUCCAUGGAGGUGUCAUCAACUUUAUUAGGAUUCUUCUCAGUUAACACAUAAGAAACAUAGAGAAGAUUUAAGUAGAAAUGUACUUUACCCUUCCAUCUUUUGAAAUGGUUACCAUUGAACCGAAAUGACUUGUUCAGGUCUCCCAACUUGACAUCCGUGGUUUUUUCAAUUGUAGCCAUUACUAAAUCUCCUUAAAAUUGUUAGUGAAAAAUUAAAAAAUAAUAAAAUUGCAAGAUUUCAAUUGAAAAUAAAUCUCUUCAGGCUAAGACGCGGAUUUUUCGCUCUCUUUAAGGAGAUUCGAGUCCACUACAGCAAAUGUUUUUCAUCGGUCCAGCAGUAGUCCUUCUUGACUUGUCCCCUCAAGGAUACAACAACCUUACACAAAGUAUAACUCAACAACUUUGGACAAGAGUUGAGUCCAUAGCACCACAAAAACCCUUCAACUAAUAAGAACUCUCUUUUUUGACUGACUCUUUCACUCUAUAUUUUUCUUGUGUAUUGUGUGCUCCAAACCAAAUGAAGACCACCACUAUUUAUAGUUGGGGAUGUCUUCCUAGCAAUGAAUAGGAAGAUAAUGGAGUAGUAAAUAGUGAAGAUAAAUGGCCUUAAGAGUUACAUAUGUUACAAGGUAUAAUGGAGGAAGAAUAAUGAAGAAUGAAUGGCAAAGGCCACCAACGGCUAAGAGUUGGUAAAUUGAGUUACCAACCAAAUGUCAACUUAUAUUAAUCCGUUGCUAAAAGGUUCGUCGGUAAAUAUUACCAAUCGAUUUUAAUUUGUUGGUAAACUUAUCAACCAAAAAUCAGUUGGUAAACACCCAAAAAUGUUACAAAAUUUUGAAACAUGGUCCUGAAAUUUCAGUUGGUAAAUUCACCAACUAAUUUUUGGUUAGUAUAUCGUUAGUACCUUUACUAAUGAAUUGAAAAGGAGUUAGUAAAUUUUUUUCUGCAUUAUUCGAUUCCGUUAGUAAUACGUUUGAUAGUAAACUUUUCUAGAUACAUUGGUAAUUGGUUGACAAUUUUAGUAACAGAAAAUUUAUGUUGGUAAUUUACCAAUAAGUUUUAAAUACUUUUUUUUUUGUUUUCCAUCCGGUGUCCGGUAUCCACAUUGGAGCCCGACUAUGCGAAUCCGUACCCAAGGGGAAUCGAACCUGAGACCUCUUGGUUAAGGAUGGAGGAGUACUUACCACUCCACUACAACCCUUAUUGGUAAUAAAUUUUAAAUAUGUUAGUAUGAUUAUUUGUUUUUCUAAUAAAUCUACUAAUUGAUUGUUAGUUUGUUGGUAAUAUAUCAUUCCAGUUCAAUGUUAGGUUAGUAAUUGAUUGCAAUAUGCUCAAAAAAUUAUUAACUGAAUGAUUAUCCAAUAGUAAAAUAUUUAUUAAUUUAUUGCAUUUAGAAAUUUAAGAGCAUGAAUAUAAAUCCAAAAAUAUUAAUAUCAAUUUUAUAAAUCAUAUUUGAAUGAAACAAUGUAAACUCUAUGAUAACAACUUAAAUUAAUCUCAAUAUGACACAUAUCAUUAUAUCAAAAAUUUUAAUUUGAGCACGUUUACCAAAAAUAUUGACCAAAUCUAAAUUUUGGCCAAAAGCUUAAAAGUUAAAACGCCUAACAGCACAAACUAAAAAUGGAAGCCUCAAAAUCUGAACCAACCAUCCUAUUAGAUAUAAAAAUGACCUUUUGAAGCUAAUCGCGCUGACGGAAUUCUCAUCAGAGCAUGUUUACAAAAAAUGUUAAGCAAAGUCAAAUUUUGGCCAAAAGUUAAAAGUUAAAACGUUUAACGGUACAAACUGAAUAUGAAAACCUCAAAAUCUAAAGCAACCAUCCUAUAAGACGAAAAAUGACCUUCCAGAGCUAACCGCACUGACGAAAUUCAAAUUUGAGCAUGUUUCCCAAAAAAAUUGACCUAGUUCAAAUUUUAGCCAAAAGUUAAAAGUUAAAACUCUUGUUGACACCCAAUUUUGACCCUCCCCGAUAGGAAUUAAUUCACGAGCUUCUUAAUUCCCAAACAAUUUAGAAUAAUUAAUAAAAGUCAAAUACUUUACAAAGUAAUUUUAAGUGACCUUAGUCGAUUCUCAUAAUUUAUAAAUAAGUGGAUAUAUUUCAUAUAGUUUUAUAGAUAUGAUCGGUAUGUUUCAUGAAUAUUUGAAAAUCAUCUCAAAAAGAUUUUAUUUUAAAUAUUAUAUUAAAAUUAGUUUAGUUUAGAUUGUGGUUAAUUUUAAAAAUCAAUUGGUUUAUAGUUGAAUUAAUUAUUUUAUUUUGUUAAGAUGAGAAGCUCAUAAAUUAAUUAUACUAAUUCAUCUUAUUUAUGUUUAGCCGAAUUUGCAAAUGAGUUCAAUUUGGUUAAAGAUUCGUAAUCUUGAUUGGCCAAUUACAAUUCAACUUGGCUAAAUUAGUAAUUCACUUGGCCAUAUAAAAAACUAAAGUUUUGGGCCCUACUUCUAAUUCCUAGCAGCCCACACCUUUGUUCCCAUUUCCUAGCCCAUUUCCUCCUCUAAAUUUUCCAGCCCAAUCCCUAUUAUCCCUCAACCCGACCCAUCCAGACCAGCCCAAUAAAACCUGACCCGACCCCAUCCCCUUUUCCUUCUAAUUCCAGGUCAACGCUAACACAACAAUAUCAUAACAACGACAGCAUCUCACGGAAAACAACCAACAACGUCAAUUCCAAUAGACGGAAAACAGCGAUUCCAAUCGGCGAAAUACACGGCAAGUUCACGCCUUGGACGCGUGAAUCAAGUUCUCUACGAUUUAUUGUUGUCUUCCCCCAACGUCCCUUUCCGUAGUACUGUUCCAGCGCUUUUCCAGCCAAUGAAUCGUCCUUACAACUUGAGAUCGAGCCACGUAGCUCCUAAAGGACGAUGAGUUGAUCAUAGAGCGUCAAUUCACCCUUUUCUCUUUCGGAAUAGAGCGGAAUUUCAGAAAAAGGUUAUCUCUCCAGAAUUGUGAAUGAAUCUUUGAGUUUGAAUUCGAAAUAGGCCCUGAAAUCUGAGAUUUUUAUCCCUUUCCCCCCAUUUUUUGAACCCUAGUUCUCUUCUAUAUAUUCCCCCUUAUUCAUUGUAGAUGGGGGAGAUUUUUUUUGGGGUUGAAAAUUUGUAGAACAAAAAUACACAUAAUAGCUUAAGCGAAAAUAGCUAAAAUAUAUAUACUAAAUACUCCAAGAAAAAUAGAGAAAAUACUUAAUUUUGGUGUUUGAGUUUGAUAUCUCUACCCAAACAUUCUGAUUCGCUGUUCGUGUUUGAGUCUCGGUGUGGUGGAGGUCAUUGUUUUGCUCGUCUUGAUCCCUGCUCGCUGCCCUCAAGAAGGUAAAAAUCUCUCAUUUUAUUUCUGCUCAUUUGACCUCCAGUUAUUCUGCAUUUCUUCUGUUUAUGCGUUUAGCUGAGACCUUUCAAUCUGGAGUUGUGGUUAUUUUUUUGUGUAUUUUUUAAAUGCGUAAGCUUGUGCUAUUUAGCUGUCAUUUGUUUACUGCGGGGUUCAUUUGUGAAGCAUCUUGAAUAUUGACACUUUAUUUCUAUUUUUGUUGUACUUACUGGUUAAUCGAGUCAAUCUUAGCAUGUUCUAUUAUUGCCUUAUGCUCUAAUUUUUUAUGCGUAGCGUUUUCUACGGCUUGUCUCCCUGAUGUUAGUUUGGUUAAGUGAAAGUAUUAUAGUUUGAGUAAGUCUCUAAUAGCUUCCAUGCCAAAAGAUAUCCUUGUAUUUGAUAUAUAUUUGUUUUGAGUGAUUUUGCAUUGGUUUGCUGUUGAAAUUUUCUUUAGUGGAGCUCUAGUUAUUAGUAAGACUUUCGUCACUUUCAGUUUUGUAUAGUUGCUUAAUUCAUAUCGUAGAUUGUGUAUCUUCCUCGAAGAAAUGUCCCUUUGGCAUAAAAUAUUCAUAGAUGUUCUCUGUUCAACUAGUCAUUUAACAAAUGUGUACAUUUGGAAAGGACUGAUUAAUUUUUCUCAAAUCUGUUAUUAAUCUGAUCACUUAUAUUUGUUUAUUUUGAUAUCAUUGCACGCAAGUCGUGGUUGGUCCCUUUUACCUAUGGUAGUGGUUUAGUCCCUUGCUUAGUUUAUUCAUUUAUUUUGAGGGUGAAGUUCAAUAUAGUUUACGUGUAUUUUUUUUUUACUUGAAAGCAUGACAUAUUUUAUUUUUUCUAUUUUUAUUUUUUGUUUUAUUUUCUUCUUUUUAUUUUGUUGUUCAUGUAUACUGUUGUUAGUCACUAUUCUAAUUUAUUGAUUUAAAUAGUUAGUAUGCUCUUCUAAUUACUCCUUUAAGCUAGGGUGCUCCAUAUAAUGCGACUGAAUCUAAAAAUCUUGCUUUAAUUAUUAGCAUCCUUUAUUAGCAUGUCUGCCUAUUUAAUAAGUUGAAUAACAUUUGUUUGCUAUGGGUUUUAAGUGUCAAAUAGCAGCUUAAACGGUCUUUAUUUUAGCAUGACUUGGAUUUAGUGUCUUUGGAGUUUGUAUCCCUUUGUUCAGGUCCAUAUUGUUUAAGUUCAACCGAGUUAUUUACUUUGUAUUGAUUUAGGGGCUGUUAUGAUUCGCUUUAGAGAUGUUGUUGCUUUAUUAUUCUAUGGUACUAAUUCUUAUUAUCAUUUUGUUGCAUGUGAAAUUUUUCUGAGUUCACCAUGAACUCCUUUUUCCUCGCAUUUUGAGAAAGCCGUAAAGGCUUAAAUCUCUCAUUUCGAAUCAGCCAGUCGUGAAAUCAAAGAGCAGGUCCUAAAAAUUGACGAACAUGUGUUUGGAGCUAAUACAAGAUUGUAUACACUAGUAUACACCUAGUGUAUACAAAAUGGAAAUGGGCCAAAAGUGUCACGCCCCGAGCCUACACCCUGGGUGGGACUGGCACUCGAAGACCGUUGCUGGCCCCAAGUGAACUCUUGGUCUAACUUACUUAACUCAGCGGAAGACUUAACUCAUCGCAUAAACAUUUAUGAAGAAACUUGAAUGUCAUAAAGGAACAUUCAAUUGCCAUUUAGGCAAACUCAAGUCUUUAACAUAAGAAAUGAAAAGUAAAGACAAUUGAAAUAACUAACUAGUCUGUCUGUCUAUGAAGCCUCUAAAACAACUGAGAUAGAUGUUGGGACAAAACCCCCACAACAUCCUAAUGGACUAAACUAGAAAGCAAUGAAAAUAGAUCCUCCGGAAUGCAAGAAGGCUCAUCGACUGACUCUGAAUUGCUCACUGGAUCAAUGGUGCGCUGAAAUGCCGAUCCUAGUUACCUGUGUCUGCAUCAUAAGACAAUACAGGCCAACUGGCAUCAGUACAUUGAAUGUACGAGUAUGCGAGUUGGAAUGCUAAAACAACAUAGGCUUGAAAAGGAAUCUGAAAGAAACUGAAGAACUUACUUGGCUCAGCUCAACUCAACUCAACAUAAUUGAACUCAUUUCAAUAUAAAACAAUUUAAAACAAGUGCAAUAUAAAGAAAAGCUAUUUAAAANNNNNNNNNNNNNNNNNNNNNNNNNNNNNNNNNNNNNNNNNNNNNNNNNNNNNNNNNNNNNNNNNNNNNNNNNNNNNNNNNNNNNNNNNNNNNNNNNNNNNNNNNNNNNNNNNNNNNNNNNNNNNNNNNNNNNNNNNNNNNNNNNNNNNNNNNNNNNNNNNNNNNNNNNNNNNNNNNNNNNNNNNNNNNNNNNNNNNNNNNNNNNNNNNNNGCCAAAGGUAUAGGACCUGAACUACUAAUGGAUCCACAAGUAUAUGUGAAAAGGGUUCAUCUAAAAAGUAUGAACCUUUUCUAUCCAUGAUGGCUACAUGGUUUAUGGGGGGUGUGAGUUGUUUGAACUCUCCCCCAUAUUGGUGCUCAAUACUACUCCCAAAAUAUACUAGCUCUUAUGUUUUAAAACAUACUUCUUCUGUGAUUUGAGAUUAGUGCUCAAAAAACUUAGCUCAAAGGUUAUCUUGGAAAUCUCAGUUUCCCUGCUUUCUUCAUUUAGAAAGCUAAUACCCUUUUCUGAAACUAGCCCAAAUGUUCUUUGGAAAUCUCAGUUUCCGUUCUUAUUUAAAUGUGAAAAUAUUUUAAAUCUCUUUGGGAAUACUUAGUCCCCAUAUACUUUUGAAGAAAUGAACUUCAAACUUUACUCUUUACUCAUUACUCAACUUGAACUUUAAGUCUUAAAAACAAAGUUAAAAGCAUUUGCAAAAGACUUCUUGAAAAGACUCUAAGAACUUCUUAGACUUGGCUCUUGACUUUCCUUGAAUUUAAAUUUAGGAAUUCAAGGUUAUGGUUUAUGUUUCUGGAUGAUUUCUAGAUGUUUAGAAGUCAUUUAGAGUAGUUAGAAUCAAUGGAAAGUGUUAAUACACUUUAAAAUAACUUAAACGGACUGAAUGACAAAAACUGGGUGAAAAAUGACUAUUUGGGCGCAUCCGGGGCGCGCCGCGCCAGCCCUUACCUUUCUAGGGCUCUAUUCUGGCACGCCGCCCCUGCCUUCCUGGCGCAAUAGGGGCGCGUCGAGCCAGCCUUCCCACAGACACAAACUAACGAAUUUUUGACCUCAUUUUCUAAUCCUAAAUCAUUUUAAUCAUAUUCUUUUUCUCAAAUUUACUUUAGAUUCAUGUACUUAAAUUAUAUACACAAAAAUCUAACCCAAACAACUCAAGGAAACAACACUUUAACAUCAAGAAGAUCCUUAAUCCCAUCUCAUAUUCAAGAACGAAAUCAACUCAAGAACCACAUUCAUAUUACAUUCAAAAUCCAAUCUUUUGGAGAUGAAAUCACUGAAUCAAACAUGCUUGGCACGUGGGUGAACGAACCCAACGUUGAGAUAGACUCACAUACCUUAAUUGAUUGAAUCCUCAGCGAAAUUCGCAAGCAAUUCCUUAUGACGACGACGAAUCUAGCUUUUUCCUCCUUUCUCUUUUCUUGCGUUCUUCCUCCAAAACCCUAGCUCUAUUUGGUACUCCCUCCGUCCCUAUUUACUUGUCCAUAUUUCCUUUUUUGGUUGUCCCUAUUUAGUUGUCCAUUUUGACAAAUCAAGAAAGGACAACAAAUUUUUUCCUAUUAUACCCUUAUUUACACUUCUUGAAAAAUUGUAAAAAGUGUAUGUUGUUUCCCUCCAAUUUAUUUCACUUGAAUUCAAAUAAGUGGUUGUAAUUUUAAAGUGAAAAGUUGUCAUAAGGGUAAAAUUGUAACUUCACUGUGCUAAUCAUUGUUGCCUUAAUCUGUGUGCCAUUUCUAAAGUGGACAACUAAAAAGGGACGGAGGGAGUAAAUGUCUACCCCUAAACGAAAUAAAUUCGGAUAGAACAAUUGGGUAAGAAAAGGACCAAACUACCCUUUAAAAAUUCGGAUAGAACUUUCCUUAUUCCAACAACCCAACUUCCAAAGGGAAUAACUCACUCAUACAAACUCGGAAUCGCGCAAAAUUGGUGGCGUUGUAAAGUCGUUCCAAGAGCUUUCCAACCAUAUUUGAAAUUACACCUAAAUCAUCCUAAUCUAGGAGUUAUGGUCGUUUGAAGUUAACCAGAAACUCACUAUUUUCUAACUUAGCCAAUUCCCGGAUUUUUUUUAUUUCUUUCCAAAAAUGACUAUUCCCAAUUUUAACUUUUUUCUUAGUUAUUUCAAAUUGCGAGAUGUUACAAAAAGACCCCAAAUUCAGCAUUGUAUUUUGUUAUUUUGGGCCUAAGCUCACUUAUUUGCUAUUACUUGUUAGUUCUUAGGACAGGUGGAAAAUUGGGCCUAAGACCCAGAGAACCUUUUUUUUAUGUUAGUUUAGGACAGUUGCAGGCGACUCAAAUAGGCUAAAGGGCCAAAACAAAAAUGGGCCCAAAUACUGGCCCAGACGAACAGGAAAAUCAGAUUUGGGCCCAAGUCUCUUUCCCUCUUUGUUUUAUGGAAAAAUUACAGAAAUCUCACAUUUUAGUUUAUUUAUUACCAUUAUUCCCUAUAAGUUUUACAAAUUUCCAAAAUCCCUCAUUUUCGGGCAUCAGAUUAGUGUAUCAACACUUAUAUUAUUGUAUCUCAUACAUCAGAUUAAUGUAUCAACACAUAUAUUAUUGUAUCUCGCGCAUCAAAUUAAUGUAUCAACGCUUAUAUCAUUGUAUCUCGCGCAUGUAUCAGCGCUUAUAUUAUUGUAUCUGUUUGAGGGAUUUCUGUAAUCAUAAACUUUUAAGGGAUAGAUUGUAAUUUUGCUUUAAAAGUAUGUGAUUUCUGUAAUUUGCCCUUGUUUUAUUGUGUUCGUUUACUUGUCAAUAUCUGCUAUUUAACCUCAAGGUUUUAAAAAUUCAAAUCCCCGAAAGAUAUCCAUUUUGAAUUAAUUGCUUAACUAAAUUAUUCCUCUUUUACUUGACUUAAUACAUAAAUAAAUAAAUAAGUUUACAAAAUAUUUCACUUAGAUAAUAUUUCAAUAUUUUUCUUUUUCUCCCUUAAAAUGGUCCUAACUAUAAAAUAGUUCAGUUUUGCAAUUCAAGCUAAGUUAAAAUUAUUUUAGCCAAAUAAUUAACUGCCGGAUAACCGCGUAUUAGCGGGCAUUUCAGAUGCUUUCAAACCCUUCCUGAAAUGCUAAUAAGAACCCCGAACCCUUUUUAAGUUUUCAUUAGAUUUUCUGUUUUAGUCUUUUGAAAACAAUAGUUUUCUUAAUUUUACUUUAAAAAUUAAGUGGCGACUCUAAACCAGUCUAAUCAUAUUUUUAAAAUAAAAUAACUCUUAACGACACAAACUGAAAAUAAAAGUCUCAAAACCCAAACCAACCAUCCUAUGAGAUCAAAACUGAACUUAUAUGGCUAACCGCAGUGACAAAAUUUCAAUUCGAGCACGAUUAUCAAAAAUAUUGACUAAAGUAAAAUUUUGGCCAAAACUUAAAAGUUAAAAUACCUAACAACACAAACUAAAAAUGGAAGCCUCAAAACCCGAACCCUCUAUCUUAUUACAUAAAAAAUGACCUUCCGCAUCUAAUUGCAUUGACGAAAUUCUCAUCUGAGCACAUUUAUCAAAUAUAUUGACUGAAGUUAAAUUUUGGCCAAAAUUUACAAGUUAAAACAUCUAACGACACACAAUAAAAAUGAAAGCCUCAAAAUCCAAACUAACCAUCCUGUUAGAUAAAAAAUGACCUUUGGAGUUAAUUACGCUGACAUAAUUCACAUCUGAGCACGUUCACAAAAAUAUUGACCAAAGUCAAAUUUUGGCCCAAACAUAAGAUUUUAAACACCUAACGGCACAAACAAAAAACGGAAGUGUCAAAACUUGAACCAACCUUCAUGCUAGAUAAAAAAUGACCUUUCGAGGCUAAUGACACCGACACAGUUCUAAUCUGAGCACGUUUACCAAAAAUAUCGAUCAAAGUCAAGUUUUGGCUAAAAUUUAAAAGUUAAAACGCCUAACGACACAAACUGAAUAUGAAAGCCUCAACACUAGACACCGAUUUACCAAAAGUUUAACUUCAAUUGAUAAAUUUACCAACUAUUCAAAUAUAAGUUAGUAAUUAAUAAUUUACCAAUAAAUUUUAUCACAGUUGGUAAUAGUUAUUAUUCAACUAAACAUUUAUAUGUAAUAUUACCAACUAAUAAUUAAUAUGUUGGUAAAUUUUACCAAUGAAUUAAUGAUUGGUUGGUAUAUUACCAACUAUUUAAUGAUGUUAGUAAUUUACUAACUAAAAUCUUUAUUCGUCGGCAAACUUUUCAACUAAUUGGAUAUUGGUUGGCAAGUUUACCAACAAAUUACAUUUCGUUACUAAUUUACCAACACAUUUAUAUUUGGUUGGUAAAUUUAGCAACACAAUCUUGCCGUUGGUAAAUGUUUGGUUAGUAAUUCAUUGGUAAUAUGUUAAUAAAUUAUAUAAACAAUUUUUUGUCAUAUUUACCAAUCGAUAUAUACUUCGUUGGUAAUAUUACCAACAAAAGGUGUGCGUUAGUAAUAUUUCAGUUGGUAAUCCAUUGAUAGAAUGUUGCUAAAUUUGGCGCCAUUUUUUCCCGCCGUAUUUACCAACUAAAAUACUUAGUUAGUAAGAUUUUGGUUGGUAAUCUGUUAGAAUUUCGUUGUUAAGUUUUAAAAUAUAAUUCAGUUAGAAAUAUGUUGGUAAUUUGUUAGUAGAAUACUAACCAGCUUAAGUUGUUAGUAAAAUCUGUUGGCAAUUUGGGGUUUUUUUUUAGUGAAUGGGAAAUAUACACCUUAACCAUUAUUUACUAAUAUUAAUAUGCUCCCAAACCAACAACUAAUGCUAAGAAAAUUCUGAUUCAUAGCAUUGAUCAAUCAAUUUUAUUUUAUUUUUGUAUUAUUAUAUAAACAUUUUGUCUUAAUUGGAGGAGUUUACUGAUUGGAAUCUAAAAUUGUUAAGAUUGUUUUUAACAAGGCUAAAAAUAGAAGGUGUCCUAAGGAAAUUGGGAGAGGUACUAGCAAUAUAGCCUAGGCCAUAGCAGCUUAUUUUGGAACCAAAUGGUGGGUGAGAAAUGACUAUUCAAACUUUAUUUUAGAAUGUGAUUUCCUGAUUAUAAUUAAUAUGAUCAAGGAUAUAUCUCAAAUGGCCUGGAAAUUGCUGCAAAGAAAGAAUAUAUUCUGAGUCACUAGCUAUGAUUUGUCUUUUUUUAGUUUUUGUUAGACCUGUUUUCAAAGUAGUAUAUUAAUGCUUGUUAACGGAAGUUUACGCUAUCGUUCCUCACUACUUAUUUUCUGUAUAAAUUUUGGAUUAAAUAAAAGGAUUACACAGCUAAAGACAUAAAAUUUACAUUAAAAAAUGCAAAUUCAUGAAGUUUGGGGGUGGGGGUUAAUGUUUCAUUUAUUAAUUAAUUCUAUUUUAAUUCACUCAAUUUACUCCAUGUAAGAGAGUUGCACUAAUUCGAGCUAAAUAGGUAGUCGAUCUAGAUUGACUCACGACUUGGCCGACUCUUACUUUAAAAAAAUUAAGGCAUAUGCCUUAGGCUCUUAAUUUUGGAGGGAUUAAAUUUUUACUAAGAAUAAAUUUUGUGUUUUUUUUUUUUAUUUAUAGAAAAAUGAUAGUUAUUUUAUUCUCUUAACCCUAUACAAAUAGAAGAAAUCAAGAAAAUGUUAACAUAACUAUUUUCACGGCAACAAAAACAAUUUUUAGCGGAAAUGAAUAGAUACAUUAAUAAAGAGUGUUAAAGUAUUUAUUGGCAUUAGUUAAGUGUCAUUAGAUCCAAUGUCGCUAAAACUUUAGUGACAUAUACAAAAAGUGCUAAUUGUCGCUAAAAAUACAUAUUUAAUGGCAAUUGAGCUAUUGCCAUUAAUUAAUUGCCGCUAAAGAUCAUUUUUGAUGUAGUGUCCAUCCAACAAUAGUUGUCCAUUAUACUAUUUUGGAAUGUCAAAUAAUACUUGUUCACUCUAUGAAAUCAAUGGAUAAUUUUACACUUAGUUAUUAAUUUACCUUAUCUUUAAUUAUAAUAAUUUUCUCUAUUACAUUUUUUAAGACACUAUAUUUAUUAUAUUCAAAGGGUGAUAUAGUAAAAUCAUCCUACUAUUUAUAGUUUCUUAAGAAGUGUGCAAUGUCAAUAGUGGACAAUUUAGAAUAAUGAACUGUUUCAAACUUAUUUUUCACAAAUUUAAAAAGCAUUUAUUGUUAAAAAAAUAGGGUCUUUGGCUAGGGUGCUUCUCUGCCUCAUAAUUAAGGGCAUACACAACAUUCAUAUCUAUGACAGUCUUCGGUCUUCCGCCCAAAUAACAUUUAGACUUACUAGGGUUGUGGUGCACUGGUGAAAGUGCUUCACCCUUAACCAGAGGUCUUGGGUUCGAGCCCUGGGUAUGGAGAAAAUCCUGUUGGGAGCGUCACACCCGAAUGGCCCCUGCAGAGCGCGAUUCGAAUUUAGUCGGAGCUCCAAUGUGAAUUUCGAACACCGAGUGAGGAAAAAAAAAACAUUUAGACUUAGUAAGAGUUGAAUGGGCAGCUCGUUUCAUGGCCCAUAAUUUAGCUAUCUUAAACCCAAUUCAUUUCCUUCGGUCCAAGUAAUAUUUAGAUUGGAUCAUAAACUUAUUCAUUUAUCAUCUCAUUAUAAUUCAAUCCGUCCCCAUAUCUGACAUCCACCCUUUAUUAUAUGCUUAAGCAUGAAAAUAUGUAUGGAUCACACAUAGAAACACAAAUUAAAUGUAUGUAUAGGAUAUGCAUGAUAAUUAAAGGACAUGCAUAUUCGAACAUAGUUAGCUAGCUAGCUUGUUUUAUUCAUAACUCAUAAGCCUGCAUUAAUUAAAAUUACAUAGAGCCUGGAGACGCAUCCACUUUAAUUUAUUCCUUAACGACGACAAUGGGAAGAGCUAGGGUUUUGACCGGCAGCCACGAGAGGAUAUAUAUAUAAUCCGUAAUCAAAAGUGAAGCUCACAUCAUUACACAUAAUUAAUCCGUACAAUUAAUACAUUAACUUGUAUUCAUUUUCCAAUUCUUGUUCCUCCGUCGUCUCAUAUUUCAUUAUCUUGAACAAGUUGCUUUCAUUUCCACCAGUUACCACGAAUUGUUUAUCAUCACCAGCAACUUUCCAAACAGCUAGGUUUCGUUCAAACACGCGCGCCGGAGUAGAUAUAUCAAAAUCUGAGAACAUGCAUCCUUAACUUUCCAAACAAUUUCAUUUUCUAUUUUACCGGAAUUCGGUACGUGUUUGGGCAUCUUAAGUAAUAACUAGCUAGUACUGGACAAGUAUACGGUUCCGCCUCCCAUGACAGGAUUAUGAAUAAUGUACUUUACACCACUGUAGAGUGGUUGGCCGUCCUGUCCAAUUAACACUUGAGGGGAUACAUCGAUCAUCAUUAUUAUUAUUAGUAGUUGUGGGAAGGACAAUGGGAUUGUUGGAUCGACAAAAGGCAACAAAGAAAGCAAGAGGAAACUCAAAAUGUUAAUCCACUUCAUGUGUAUUUUGAUUGCGUCUAUAUAUCUAUCUCCAAUUUAUACACCACCACAUGUAUGUAAGGGCAUUUUUCAGAAACAAAAAAUGGCUACCUACUACUACUACUUUUUAGUUUAGUGACAUGAUUUAUUAAGUCGAUCAAUGCUUGAGAGAUCUAAUAAGUAGUAUAAAGACUUUCUAUUUUAACAAAGAAUCAAAAAUGGGAAGGUUAAUUUCUAUUUAUUUAUGGGAUAUGGUACGGGUACUCUAUAAACUAUGAUCGAAAUCUCAUAAACAUAUAUUAACUAAACUAAGGUCCUAUUACCCCCUCAAACCUAUUUUUUUCUUGUAAUUUUGUACACCUUUUUGACUUGAGUGGCAUCCAAACAAUUCCCACACGCCUCAACUAUGUGGAGUCACGCAGUGUGCCACGUAAGCCAAAAUGUGUACAAAAUUACAAUAAAAAUGAGUUCGAAGGGGGUAAUAAGACCUUAGUUAGUUAAAGUGUGUCUUUGAGAUUUCAGUUAAAUAUAAUUUAGGGGUACUUGUGCCUUCUCCAUUUAUUUAUCAAGUCAAUUUAUUUUGGUCUGAUUAGUUUAUUGAUAUAUAAAAAAAAAUUACAACUUGAAGCAAAAAUAUUUACAUAUAUAUAGCUACAAGAUUUUGUUUUCAAAUAAUUUAUUAUGUGUAAUCAUUUAAAAAUUAUUAAAUAUAAAUUUAUAAAAUGAUUUGGAUUAUAUUAAAUUCAUGAAUAUAUUAGUCCAAAUAAAUAUUAUGGAUUAAUAUAAUUGAAUUAAUUAUUUAAAUCUAAUAAAUAUGGAUUUAAUUAAAGCCUGCUCCAUAAAGCUCAUAUGUCAUGUCACUUAAAUCUGAUUGGCCGAAGGAAGUCCUUUUAAAUAGGGGUCCUCAUAAUUCAUAAUGGAGAACCAAAAAAUUUAACAAGAAGCUAGAGAAAACUCGUGGAUCAAAAGCCGCAGAUUUUUCAAGAACGAUAAAGAUAAAGACCGCCGGAUUCAAGAUCAAGCUCGAAGCCCUUAGAUUCAACUAGAAGUCAAGAUAAAGUUCAAGAUCAAGAUCAAGAUCCACCAAUUGAAACCGAAUAACGAAAGAUAACUAUAGAAGUUCAUAUGGAACAUUACAAAUAUAAUUCCAAUCACAAAUUAAUUAGCUACUCUACUUGAGGUAGCAGACCAAUAAUGUACCGAUGGGACCAUUAGAGAUUAUCCAUUACUAAAACGUGUCAAUGAAGUACGACGGUUGGUUGAGCAUAUAAUAUACAGUAGUAGGCUUAAUUGAUAUUAUGACUUGGCUCAAUUGAGUAUCUGAAUACGAUCAAAUGUUUCUAUUAGAUACUUCCAAUCCAAGUUUGGAGAAACUCUAGUUUUAUGUGUCUUUUCAAUUAGUGGCUAUAACGUAGAUAAAUUAACUAAUUAAAAUAUUUUAUACAUUUAAUUACACGGAUUAACCUUAAUAAGCUAUAAAACCUCAUAUUUGUUUCAAUAAACUUAAAAUACGCCAAUGGAAAGUGUUAUAAUAUGGGAUGGAUAUUAGUGGAAAGGAAAUAUGAAAUCAAGAACUCUAACAAAGAAGAGGAAUAUUCAUCUAUGGAAGAAGAAAAUAAUAGAAAUUCAAUAUCAAAAGCUAAACAAAAUAAUUUGUACAAACGGAUACAAAAUAGACGUAGUUAGUUAUAAACUUAUAUCUAUCUACCUUAACUCCGUCCAAUAAUAUUUGUCCACUAUACUAUUUUGGAAUGUGCAACAAUAUAUACUUGUUCAUUUUAUGAAAUCAAUGGAUAAACAAAUCAAUGGUCAAUCACACAUUCAAACACAAGCCUUAAAAAAUGUAUCGCAUAUGAUAAUUAAAUUAAAGGUCGUAUUCGAAGAUAGUAGCUUGUUUUAUUCAUAACUCAUAAGCAUACAUUAAUUAAAAUUACAUGGAGCGAUCCACAUUAAUUUAUUCCUUAACGAAGACAACGGGAAGAGGGUUUUUACCGUCAGCUACCAGAUGAUGUAAUCCAUUAUGAAAAGUCAAGCUGACAUGUUUACACAUUAUAAGUUGAGGGGGACAAUACAUUAGCUUGUAUAUCACUAAUUAGUCAAUUUCAUAAUCUUGAACAAGUUGCUUUCAUUUCCUAUGGUACCACCAGUCACCACGAACUGAUCUUUAUCAUCACUAACUUUCCAAAUAGUUUCGUUAAAACACGGACUAGAUAUAUCACUAAUUAGUCAAUUUCCAAUAGAUCAUAGGCUCAUAGAAUCAGCAGGUAGGUUGGGUGAGGCUUUUUUUUGGGUUUUUCAUCCUAUGAUGGGAUUUUAAAUUGGAGCCUCGAUUAAAUUUGGAUCGCGCACUGUAGGGUCCAUUUGGAGAUGACGCUCCCAAUAAAAUUUUCUCCAUAUCCAGAGCUCGAAUCUAAGAUCUUUGAUUAAGAGUGGAACAAUCUCACCACAACUCAUGUUGGUGGUAGGUUGGGUGAAUUAAUGAGCCCUUAUGUUAAUUUAGUUUAUUUUGAUCUAUUUUAUUUAAAAUUUAGCAACGAUCGAACGAAUUACCUUUCUAAAUUAUGCAAAAUAAAAAACUUCAAUAAACAAGUAUUGCCUUUGCCCUUAAUUUGCUAUUAUAAUAUUGUUACCGGAGAAGAUGCAGAUAAGAAAAUUUAUUCCGGCGACCUUAGAGCCCUUACAAAAAGGUAGCCAUUGUUUUUAUGGAUAAAUCUAUCUCUAUUUUGCUUGCUAUUAAUGAUUAGUCUAUCUCCAAUUUAUACAGCUGCUAAGGGCAUUUUUGACAAACAAAAAUAGCUACCCACCGCCACCUUUUAGGUUAGUGACAUUAUUUCAUUUAUAAAUUAUAAUGAUUUAAAGAAAAUAAGUACUCUAGUAUAAAGCCUGUUCUAUUAUUUUUGGCUUAAUUAAUUCUCUUAAACUUAUCCCCUUAAUUCAUCUAGACAUUUAAAUUCAGAUUUGUACCUAUUGAACACUUCUAGUCUUUUGAAUUUGAGCCAUUCUAACAUUUUUUUAACAAUCAACUAAAAAUAUAAGAAAGAGUGAAAUGUACUAGCGGUGACAUGACAAUUUGACAAAUUAAAUAAGUAAAAUUUACAUAAAUCUCAUAGUGUUAAGAACUAAUUACAUCACAUCUCUACUCUUUUUCAAAUUACAAAAAUCAUUUAAAUUUAUAGGAUCUCGGAUAUAUAUGAAAAUAUGUAGAUACAUAGUUCACGGAUUACGAAUGAUACAUUACUUAAUGGAAGGGAUGUAUUCGAAGGGGAGAGAUGUAUUCGAGAGGGUAUAGGAUGUAUAUGAGAGGGGAUUGAUAUUAGUAAAAAAGUUGAAAAAUCAACAUUGUCAAUUUAGUAUUUGUAGUUAUUACUAGAUAUUAGCCAUGACUAGCUUUUAAAUUCAUAGGAUAUUAGCCAUGACAAGCUUUUAAAUUCAUAGCUAAAAUUUCCUAAUUUAAUUUUUGAUUUAAAAGUAAAAAUUUAAAAUAAGCCAAUUCAAACAGUUUCUAAUUUAUGACUUUUGAUUUAGAAGUCAUAGUAUAUAUAUAGUAAUAAACUUGAGAAGUAACUUUGUAACAUUAAUUUUUAUAGCUAAGAAAGUUAAUGAAUUUGUGGAUAGUCAUGAAACUCGAAAUUUGGUAGCUUUUACAAGAUACCAUCCUGAAAAGUUUUUUUAUAAAUUUUUUUUUGAAAGAACUUAAAAUAAGUUAGUCAAACAUAUUCUAACUUAUAAAUAAACUCUAACAUGAAUUUUUAUUUAUACAUCAUAAGUCAAAAGCUAAAUUAAAUAGGCUCUUUGUUAACUAUCUUUUACUAUCUAAUAAAGAGGAAUAGCAGGCAGCAGACCGUCAACACGUCUGCUUGUGCUACCUGCUUAUUCCCCUUGGCAGCCUCUUCAUCAUUUAGUUAACUGCUAUAAGUUCUUUAUUAAAUGUAACAUCUCGCAACUAGAAAGAAUUAAAAGGAAGUUUAAAAUCUGGAAAUAGUUAUUUUUGAAAAGUGUAAGGAAAUCUGGAAAAUUUUAAGUUAAAGUGAGUUUUUUGUCAACUUCAAACGACAAUAACUCAUAGCUCAGGAUGAGUUAGGUGUAGUUCUAGAUAUGGUUGUAAAGCUCUUGGAAUGAUCUUUCCAACGCCGCUAAGUUUGCACCAUUCCGACUUUGUAUGAGUAAAUUAUCCCCUUUGGAAGUUGGGCUGUUGGAAUAAGGAAAUGUCUAAUCCGGAUUUUAGAAGGGCUAUUUAGUCUUUUCCUUACCUAAUUUCUCUGAUUCGUUUUAGGAGAUUAAUUGGGUAAAACCAGACUUUAUUCAGUUUAGAAAAAUUAGAAUUUACGCUAGGGCUUGGAGAGGAGAAGAAAGAAGAGAAAAGAGGAGAGAAAUCAAGAAAUCGCCAAGAACGUUCAAGCCUUGUGAGUGGAAUUCAUCGGGGGUGAUCCCUACAAGGUAUGUGAGAUCACAUAGUGUUGGGUUAGUUCACCCACACGCUAAACUUGUUUCAAUUCAGCAAAGUUGGAGUUGUUUGAAUGUUAAGAAAGUGAAGUUCUUGAAGAACAUUGUUGAAAAUUCGUUGCGUUCUUGAUGGUUGUGUUGUUGAAGUCUCUUGUUGAUUUGAUUCGUGUUUCCGAGUGGAUUUUCAAGUUAAAUCUGUUAUAUGUUGACGGUACUAUUGAUCCUAAAUGUUUGGCGAAAGAACCAUGGAAGUUAGGAGGGUUUAGAGAUGAAAAAUGGAGAAGAGAAAUCGUCAAAAACCUGGGGAAGGAGGUGGGGCGUCGCGCCAGCCAGCGCUCCCCAAAAGGGGCUCUGAAGUUCACCCCUUGGGGCGACGCGCUAGCCAGCGCGCCCCAGCAGCUUCUCUAACAUUUGAGGGCUGGAGCCCCGCACCUCUCAGAGCGCCAGGGACGCCAGUUCUCCCCAUUCUUCCCUCACCUUUUCGUACUAGUUCCUAAGUGAUGUACCUAUGUUUCCUAGUUGAUUCUAACACUCUAAGGUACAUAUAAACAUCAUGAAAUCAUCCAUAAACAUGAGAUCAUGAACCUUGAAUCCACAAUCCAAUUCGAGGAAAGUUAAGAUCAAAGUCAUAAAAGCUAAGAGUCAAAGUCUAGAAGGUAAGAAACAAGUCAAAGCAAAGUUUUUUAAAGUUUUCAAGAGUCUCUAUCAAACGUUUUACCUUCGUUUUAAGGCUCAAGUUUUAAGUUAAGCAAAGAGUAAACUUGAAGUUUUUUUCUUCAAAAGUAUAUGAGGACUAAGUAUUCCCAAAGGGAUUUAAAAUAUUCACAUUUAAAUAAGAACGGAAACUGAGAUUUCCAAAGAGCCUUGGGGCUAGUUUUCAGAAAAAGUAAUCUCUUUCUAAAUGAAGCAAGAUGGAAACUUGAUUUCCAAGAUAGCCUUUGAGCUAAAUUUUUGAGCACUAAUCUCAAAUCACAAAAGAAGUAUGUUUUUAAAACAUAAGAGCCAGUAUAUUUUGGGAGUAGUAUUGAGCACUGAAUUGGGGACAAGCAUGAGUUUAGAUAACUCACUUCACCAUAGAACCAUGUAGCCACCAUGGGUAGAAAAGGGUCAUACUUUUUAAAUGAAUCCUUUCCGCAAUAGACUAGUGGAUCCAUUAGGCAGUUCAGGUUCUAUACCUUUGGCCGGGUAUAGGAUGCGCUGGCAGUGUGAGGUAGAUCGCUGUAUCAUCACUAUAUCUCUUAUGUGAUGGUUGUCGGUUAUAGAAACUCCCACAUAAGUUAUUGUAUUUUUAUAUACAUCAGUUUAUUGUAUUUUUACAUACAUUUUAGAGUUAUGUUGUAUCCUUGUGUAUAAACAGAGUUGACAUCAUGUUUUUAAACAACUUUUGUUUAUAUUGCACUUGUUUAAACUGUUUUAUAUUGAAAUGAGUUCAGUUAAGUAUUCAUGAGUUGAAAAGAGCCAAGGUAAGUGUUUUUUUUCAGAUUCUCUUUCCAGUCUAUGUUGUUUUAGCAUUCCAACUCGCAUACUCGUACAUUCAAUGUACUGAUGCUAGUUGGUCUGGAUCUUAUUAUGAUGCAGACACAUGUAACUAGGAUCGAUAUUUCAGCGUACCGUUGAUCCAGUAAGCAGUUCAGAGUCGGUCGGUGAGCCUCCUUGCAUUCCGGAGGAUCUAUUUUCAUUUGUUUCUAAUUAGUUCAUUAGGAUGUUGUGGGGUUUGUCCCAACAUCCAUCUCAGUUGUUUUAGAGGCUUCAUAGACAGUCAAAUGUUAGUCCUUUGAGUCUUUUCAUUAUCAUUUCUUAUUGUUAAGCCUUGGGUUGCCACUUUUGGCCAAGUUGAAUGUUUAAUCUUUAAAACAUUCUCAGUUAUUUUAUUAUCCAGUUCAGUUAAGUUCAUUGAUCAUUAUAGAUAUGAAUAUUGUCUUCUGCUGAGUUAAGUAAGCCAGACCAAGGGUUCGCUUGGGGCCAGCAAUGGCUUUCGAGUGCCAGUACCGCCUAGAGUGUAGGCUCAGGGUGUGACAUUAAUUUUUUUAAAAAAAGUUGUUACAUGCUGCCACUUCUUCAUCCAAUGAAAAUGGAAAAAGAAAACUGUCUUCUUCAUCCAAUGAAAAAAAUGUGAAAAUCCAUUUAAAAUUUCAAUUGUAAACUUACUUUCUUAAGAUCCUUCAUAAGAUGGAGUCAUGAAAAUAUUUUAUGGGCUUCAUUUAUAUUUUAUAUUUAUCAUUUUUUAUGGGAAAAAGGACAAAUAUACCUUUGAACUAUCGUAAAUGGUAUGCAGAUACCCUUCAUCUUACUUUUGGGACAUUGGUGCCCCUGCCGUCCAAAAACUAAAGCAUAUAUACCCUUUAUACUAACAGACAUACACGUGUCAUGCUCUUAUCCGCCGAUUAAAUAUCGGAUCGACGGAUAAGAUUGCACCACGUGUCCCUAUUUAGUCUUCCGUUAGAGUGAAGGUCAUAUAGGCUCUAGUUUUUAGAUGGCAGUGGCAUCAAUGUCCCAAUAGUAUGACGGAGGAUAUCUGCAUACCAUUUACGAUAAUUUGGGGGUAUAUUUGUCUUUUUCCCUUUUUUUAUUAAUUAUUUUUAAUUUUAUUAGAGUUAAUUCUUGAAAUUCUAUCGGUGAAAUACCACAAAUAAUGGGAAAAUUACACGGUUAAGCAAACUUAUACUAUUUAAUUACUCAUCAUAGCUAUAGUUUGCUAUAACUAUCACUCGUGACUAACAUUAUACAUUAAUUACGUGGGCUGACUUCGAGUUUGUAUAAUUAGCUACAUUUGUAUAUGUAUAAUUCGCCAGAAUAUACAAAUACAUAUAUAUAAUAUACAAUUAUCUAACUGAUAUACAUAUACAAUUCACCUCUCUCGCUCGCCUCUCUCCUCCCUCUCCCAAUCUCGCUUGCCAUAUAUACAAAUACAUAUGUAUAAUAUACAAUUAUCUAACCGAUAUACAUAUACAAUUCACCUCUCUCCCCCAUUUUUCCCUCUUUCGCUCGUCUCUCUCCUCUCUCUUUCAGUCUCGCUCGCCUCUCUUCUCCCUAUAACAUGUAACUACGAAUUGUAAUUUUCAAACUAUAGCUAUGGAGAGUAAUUAGGCUAGUUUUGAGUGGCUAUAUGUGAAAGUUCCUCAAUAAACAUUACGAAUUUCAGAUAAUGAUAAUUGGGCCUGUGCAAAGCACGGGCUUCUCCUUAUAUAUACAUUGUAAUGUUGUAUUGUAGAGCCUAAGUUGGACCACUUAUAUGAAUAGUAAUUGAUCCCAUGAGCACCUCGUACCAAAACAUAAAGAAAAUCUUUUCGUACGGAAUAUAAUAUUUAUGGCUCCACAUAUAUCUCCUUGGCCUAAAAAAUAUUUAGCAAGCUCUAUUUUCAUAUUUUAUUUUUAAUUAUAUAUUGACAAGAUGCUAACGACAACCACAAACGAUGAAUAUACGGGUUUCGUGAGAGUAUCCCAUAACUAAAACGUGCCAAUGAAGUACAAUGACAAAAUUCUGGAAGAAGCUCCUCUCAGUACACUAAUCUCUCCAGUUGAUCCAGUGCAUAUUUAAUUUAAUGAUAUCUGUCAAUUUUAAAAUCUAAUGGUCCAUAUUUAUUUAAAUAAAACUGUCUUUAAAUCAUGGUCAAAUAUCAUUAACCAUGGUUAUUACUAUUUCUCUUUCUCUCUCCUUUCUCAUCUCUUUCUUUCUCACUUAAUUCUGCAACAAACCUUUUCUCAAUCAACAAAGAAUUUUCUUUGUUAACAACAAAUCGCUAUUUCUUUCCAUUAUUUUCACACAGUGAUAAAAGAAGACAAAAUUCAAAGGAUGAACUUGGGUUAUAAAUUUAAAAAAUACCAACCCAUGAGACUACUUCUUUGAAGCUUGGUUCGGUCACAAUUAGGAGUGUUCACGGUUUGGAAAAAAACCGAUCCAAACCGAACCAAGUCAAUAAAAUAAAACCGAUUUUAUUUGGGUUUGAUUUGGUUUGGUUUUAAAUUUUUGCCAAUCAAUAGUAUUUGGUUUGGUUAUGGUUUUAUUCGAAAAAACCGAAGAAAUAACCGAACGAACCGAUGAAUUAUACAUAUAUUUUUAUUAAUAUACAUACUUAAUAUAUUAUUUUUAUAAACAAUUUUAAAGAUCUUAUAUAUGUUUUCAUUAAAAUUUCUUUAUAAUUUACUUAUUGAAAGCAAAAAUGCCUAAGAUGAAAAUAUUUAUCUUAUUGAUUUCAUGUAUAUGAGUGUCUAUGACAAUUCUUUGUGGGACUGAAAAUAUUAUUGUCUCUUCCUUCUAGGUCAAUAUAGUGAAUUUUAAGCUUAUUGAUAGUAAAUUUAGUGAUCGAAAAAUUCAGUAAUUUAAGUCAUUCUAACUAUUUUUCGUUUUGAAUGGUUUGUUGUCACUUUUUCACAUUUUGAAUGAAUUGUUUCUUUUAUUUUUGUGUAUGGUUAAUAACCGAAUAACCGAAACCGAUAAAUGUAUAUUAUAUUUGGUUUGGUUUGGUUUUGAUAAUUUUAAAACUGAUUAAGUUGAUUUGGUUUUGAUUUUGUACCAAUAACCGAUCCAAACCGACCCGUGAACACCCCUAGUCACAAUGGUGAUCCACAAAACUCUGUCGUCUUCUUCGUUACAUCAAUUUUUUCAAUUUGGAGUUUCUGCAAAAGCCAACUAAAAGAUCUGGAAAGGGCACGAAAAAUGGGUUGGAAAAUAUUUUUUCAUAUACUUUUUUUUUUCUUGUGAAAUUUUCCAUUUAUUUUUUGGGUCUUCUUUUCUUGUGGUAUUUAUAACUGUAAUCUUUAAUUGGGGCUAAUCACUCCAUUCCAAUCUUUCUCUUUUGAGACUCUCCCUAGUUGUUCAUAUGUAAAUGUAAAAACAUCAAAAUAUUGAUGUUAUUUUAAUUAUCAAUUGUUUGAUUGCUCUGUUUUUCAGAGAGUUUUGGAGGAGGAAGAAGUGUUUCUUUGCUGAUUGAGAAAGGAAUGAGAGGAGAGAGAAUUACUAAUAACCAUGGUUAAUGAUAUUUGGUUAAGAAAAUUAAUUUGGUCCAUUAAAAAUUAAAUGGACACGUGUCAACUAUAUGAAAUAGCACUGGGGGAAACUGGAGAAAUCAUCACUGGAGAGGAGCCUCUUCCCGAAAUUCCAUUCUCUUAUUAAAAAAAAUAUUUCCAUUUCUCUUAUUAAUUGAGAGCAUGACGCACGUGAUUUGUUUUUCUAUUUCAUAUAAAUGUAAAUUUACUUAGAUAUAGUGUAUUUAGAAAACUAUACAUAAUUUUAAUUUUAUGUAUCUCGAAAUAAAUGUAACUAAAUGCAUCAAAAUCUUGUAACAUCCGUAAUAUAGCAAACUAAAGAAUAUAUAAAUAAUUAACUCUUAAACUAGUGAGAUUUCUGUAAAUUUCUCAUUAUUUUAUGAGAUAAGCGACAAAAACACACCUUAACUAUCAUUUUUUUUUUGAGUUUCAUACCUAAAUUAUCGAGAGUGUGAGUUUUAUACCUAAAUCAUCACUUAUUUGAAAAAUAAUAAGAUUACCCAAUCCGUUUAUUUAAAAUGAACAAAAUCUACUCGAGGUUUAUAUGUGUGCGUGGAUUAUAUAGAUUACCCAAUCCGUUUAUUCGCAUCCUAAAUUGGACCACCAAUAUAAAAAUAAUAUCACUUUCAUAUAUUGAUUAUUGUAUUUAUCGCUCCAUGUAUUGUUGCCCAAAUAAUAACUAAUGUAAUUGUCCAUAACUAAAACAUGCCAAUGAAGUAGGAUUUGAAAAGAAAUAAAAACGUAGUUGUAAUGCUGGCAAAUCAAUUUGCUACGUACCCCCUUAUUAUUUUUUGCAGCGAUCAAGAAUGCAAGGCUAGAUUUGAGAAUUUCAACAAAAUAUUGAUAAAAUAAUAAAAAUCCUCAGGGAUAUUGGAAAAUUGUUAUACAAAUAAAUUUCUACAACAAUAAACAAUGAGUAUACAAUAAAAUUCACUCCUAGUCAAACCAACAUAUAAUACACAUUUGCAUUCAUUACAAUAGUAUUUCUUGAGGUUUCUUUUAUUUUCUUUUUAGAUUUUCCUUCCUUAAACAUAAUUUAAGUCUACUGGGCAUGACUAAUCAAAAUUAAUAUGCAACUGAUUAAACAUAAAAAGGAUUGUAUCCAUGAAUAUCCAUGUCGUAUUCAAUAAUGAAUACUAUCAGUGUUUUAAAAGACUUUUUUGGGACUCGCCCUGGGGCGGGACUCAAGCAAAACUCUCUGAAACUCAACAGUGGGACUUAGUUCUGUAAGACUUACACCCUAAGCGCCCGAUUGUACGGCCUAAGCACGCCCAACGCCCAAUGCUUGGGGCUCGCCUAAUAGAUCUUACACAAAUUAUGUGUUAAAAUCUUUAGUUAAUAUUGUUGGCCCUCGUACACUACUAAAAAAAUGUCAAAAAACGACGGACUGCGUCGCUUUUUUGGUCAAAAUCGACGGAAAAGCGACGCGGUCACCUCCGUCGCUUUUUAGCCCGAUGCUUUUCAAAAAGUGACGGACAGCGUCACUUUUCAAAAAGUGACGGAUUGCAUCGCUAAAAAAGUAACGAAUAGCGUCGCUUUUUGACUUUUUUUUAACAAAAGCGACAGAUUCCAUUGCUUUAUUUUAAUUUUAAAUUUUUUUAUUUCUAAAAAGCGACACAGUCCAUCGCUUUUCUGGAAAUUUUAUUUUUGAAAAUCCCUGAAAACGACGGACAAAACCAUAUUGUCCGUCGCUUUUUUGAGAUUUUUUAAAAAAAAAAACCCAAAAAAGCGAUGGAUAAAACCACGCUGUCCGUCGCUUUUCUGGGACUUUUAAAAAAAUAAAACCUAGAAAAGCGUCGGACAAAACCACGCUGUCCGUCGCUUUUCCUGGAAUAUUUUUGAAAGCAGAACCUGGCAAUUUCUACUGCCCACCUGCAAAUGCAAUUCAAUUCAAUUCUACACUAUUCAGCCCAAUCAAACACACACAAUUAUAAACAAUCUAAACAAAACAUAAAACAACAAACUUAAAAUAGCAUUAAAUAGUAUCUAAAUCACAAAUUAAAGACUUAUAAAGUCUUUCAAAUUUCAUUUCAAAAUUACAAAAAGCUCAAAAAUGUCUAGAGAUCUAAACUAGGGAGUGGGUUCUACAUAAUCAUCAUCAUCACUCUCGUCGUCGGUGUCAUCGGGAGCCGAAGUAGUAGGUCGACGAGCGAGGUUCAUCACUUGUUCUUUGAUUUGCUGAACGGUUUCACGCAUGCUUUCUUGUUCAGCUACUCUUCUCCGCUCCAAAUCUGCUAGUGACGCUGUAAGCUUAGUUAUUUGAGCCGACAUAGCAGCAAUCUGAACACCAUCAAAUGCCUCGGAUUGACGUGACAAUCCAAUUCCUUCUAAGCUUGAUUGGAGUCGUCUUACAUCGUUUCGAGAGCCUAGACCAUAGACUCUACCCUUGUGUGUCCCCCCUACCACUUUUUCUUUCCAAAUCUGAGUGGAAAGUUCAGGUGUCGAUUGGACCGAACUAUCUAGAUUCUCAGCGAUGUACUGAUGAAAGUCAUUCUGCAUAUUAAAUAUAAAAAUUGACAUCAGUAUAUAUACAUAUCAUAAAUAUAUUCUCUAUUAAUAUAUAUUACUCAUAUUAAAUAACUUACAAAAGUCAUUGUAUGUUCAAUAAAAUUUCUANNNNNNNNNNNNNNNNNNNNNNNNNNNNNNNNNNNNNNNNNNNNNNNNNNNNNNNNNNNNNNNNNNNNNNNNNNNNNNNNNNNNNNNNNNNNNNNNNNNNNNNNNNNNNNNNNNNNNNNNNNNNNNNNNNNNNNNNNNNNNNNNNNNNNNNNNNNNNNNNNNNNNNNNNNNNNNNNNNNNNNNNNNNNNNNNNNNNNNNNNNNNNNNNNNNNNNNNNNNNNNNNNNNNNNNNNNNNNNNNNNNNNNNNNNNNNNNNNNNNNNNNNNNNNNNNNNNNNNNNNNNNNNNNNNNNNNNNNNNNNNNNNNNNNNNNNNNNNNNNNNNNNNNNNNNNNNNNNNNNNNNNNNNNNNNNNNNNNNNNNNNNNNNNNNNNNNNNNNNNNNNNNNNNNNNNNNNNNNNNNNNNNNNNNNNNNNNNNNNNNNNNNNNNNNNNNNNNNNNNNNNNNNNNNNNNNNNNNNNNNNNNNNNNNNNNNNNNNNNNNNNNNNNNNNNNNNNNNNNNNNNNNNNNNNNNNNNNNNNNNNNNNNNNNNNNNNNNNNNNNNNNNNNNNNNNNNNNNNNNNNNNNNNNNNNNNNNNNNNNNNNNNNNNNNNNNNNNNNNNNNNNNNNNNNNNNNNNNNNNNNNNNNNNNNNNNNNNNNNNNNNNNNNNNNNNNNNNNNNNNNNNNNNNNNNNNNNNNNNNNNNNNNNNNNNNNNNNNNNNNNNNNNNNNNNNNNNNNNNNNNNNNNNNNNNNNNNNNNNNNNNNNNNNNNNNNNNNNNNNNNNNNNNNNNNNNNNNNNNNNNNNNNNNNNNNNNNNNNNNNNNNNNNNNNNNNNNNNNNNNNNNNNNNNNNNNNNNNNNNNNNNNNNNNNNNNNNNNNNNNNNNNNNNNNNNNNNNNNNNNNNNNNNNNNNNNNNNNNNNNNNNNNNNNNNNNNNNNNNNNNNNNNNNNNNNNNNNNNNNNNNNNNNNNNNNNNNNNNNNNNNNNNNNNNNNNNNNNNNNNNNNNNNNNNNNNNNNNNNNNNNNNNNNNNNNNNNNNNNNNNNNNNNNNNNNNNNNNNNNNNNNNNNNNNNNNNNNNNNNNNNNNNNNNNNNNNNNNNNNNNNNNNNNNNNNNNNNNNNNNNNNNNNNNNNNNNNNNNNNNNNNNNNNNNNNNNNNNNNNNNNNNNNNNNNNNNNNNNNNNNNNNNNNNNNNNNNNNNNNNNNNNNNNNNNNNNNNNNNNNNNNNNNNNNNNNNNNNNNNNNNNNNNNNNNNNNNNNNNNNNNNNNNNNNNNNNNNNNNNNNNNNNNNNNNNNNNNNNNNNNNNNNNNNNNNNNNNNNNNNNNNNNNNNNNNNNNNNNNNNNNNNNNNNNNNNNNNNNNNNNNNNNNNNNNNNNNNNNNNNNNNNNNNNNNNNNNNNNNNNNNNNNNNNNNNNNNNNNNNNNNNNNNNNNNNNNNNNNNNNNNNNNNNNNNNNNNNNNNNNNNNNNNNNNNNNNNNNNNNNNNNNNNNNNNNNNNNNNNNNNNNNNNNNNNNNNNNNNNNNNNNNNUCAAGUUCUAAGUUUAACUUCAAAUUCUAAGUUCAAGUUCUAAGUUCAAGUUCUAGUUCAGGUUCAAGUUCUAAUUUCAAGUUCAAGUUCUAAGUUUAAGUUCAAGUUCUAAGUUCAAGUUCUAAUUUCAAGUUCAUAUUCAUAAUUAAGUUCAAUUUAUAGUAAAUUCAAGUUAUAAUUAAUUAUAAGUUCUAAUUAAGUUGUAAUUCAAAUCUCUAAAAUUUCAAAUUCAAACUAGCUAGCUAGUGUCCCAAAUUCAAACUAUUAAUUAGUCCUAAAAUAUCAAAUAUAAUUCAAACUAUUAGUCCUAAAUUCCAAAUUCAAACUAGCCUUAAAAUCACAAAUUGAAAGUACUCCUAGAAUUCAAAAAUCAAACUAUAGUGCUAAAAUUCCAAAUUCAAACUAUUAGUAGUCCUAAAAUCUCAAUAAUAACUCAAACUAGUCCUAAAUUAAAAAUUCAAACAAGUCUUAAAAUCACAAAUUCAAACUAGUCCUAAAAUCCCAAAAUCUAACUAGUACUGAAAUUCUAAAUUCAAACAACUCCUUAAAUACCCUUGUUCAAUCUAAUCUUACAAUUCCAAAUCAAACUAAUUAACUCAAGAAAUACCGAAUUUCAAACAAAUCCUAAGAUACCCUAAUUCAUACUAAUCCCAACAUUAAAAUUUUCUCGGAAUAUGCAAUAAUGAUGUAACGAGAUCAAACAGAACAUAAAAGCUCAAAUUCUCGAAAUAUUCAUCUCAUAAUAGCCAUAGAUGUAAUGAAAAGCUAAAAAAAAAUUUUAGAUUAAAACUUACUAGGACGGAUCUAUUGAGAUCCGUCUUUGAACUCGAAUUUCGUCGGAGAUGAGAGGAAUGGAGAUGCGAGGAUCUCGCUGGUAUGUUGUUGUCGUUGCUGCUGGUGCGCUGCUGUUUCGCCAGUAGCUCGUCGGAGCUGUCUCUCGUGCUGGUUGUUGUUGGCUGGAGAUGUUGUUGCUCUCCUCACCGGCUGCUGAAGUUGAUUGCUUGGAGCUUGCUGGUUGGAGCGGUUGAGGGAGAGAGAGAGAGAGCAGCGAGCUUUCGCUGAUUGGAGAAACGAGAGGGAGGCGGCGAUUUGUCUCGCCAUUCCCGCUGAAGAGAAGAGACGGGAGGGAGCAAGGAGAGAAGAGAUGAGAAGAGGAAAGUGAAGGGAGGAGGGCGACGGGAGGAGCGAGAGGGAGAGCUCACCGGCGAUGGUGGAGCUCUCGCCGGUUCUUACUAAUGGAGGGGGCUGCGGCGCUGCUAGAGAGAAGAAAAGAAUGAGUUUUCAAAAAACGGGUUUGGUCUUUUUUUAAGUCAAAAAUAGGAAGGUUAGGUAGAUUUAAUAUAAGCCAUUGGAUUAGUUAAGAUGAGCGGCUAGGAUUUGAUCUAGGAUUCACUUAAGGGAUGGACGGUUCGAAUUUAAACUAAUGUUUCAAGAUUUGGACAAAAAGGGUUAUAAUUGCAAUGAAUGAAUGGCUAAAAUUGCAACUAAAAUUGAUUUAAGAGGCUAUAAUUGAAAAACGAAAUUGGAUUGAGGUGGCUAGAAUUGUAAUGAAUUGGAUAAGGAAAAAACUAGAAUUGAAAGGAAUUAGAUCAGAAUGGGCUAAAGAUUAAAUGAUUUUGAGAAAAAUUAAACAAAUGCUAUCCAAUUAAAAUACUACAAAUAUUAUAACAUUUUAUAUAAUAAACAUCACUUAAAUUUUAAAACAUUUGAAUAAAAUAAUUAUUUCGAGUUUUACUUAUAAUUUUAAAAAUAUUUUAAUAAUAUUUAUGAUAAUUUUAUAAAGCAUGCCCACUAAAAUAUAUAAUUUUUAGACAAAAUCGAUUAAAAAUUUAAACUUGGAAUAUUUUUAAAAAAAUAUGUAUUUAACCGAAUAGCACUUCCGAAAUGGUUAUAGGUCGGUAUAAAUUUAAUUUUAUUGAUCAACAAAAGUUUAUCAAUAUCAAAUUUAAUAUAUAAAUCUCCUUGAAUUGAUCAUCGGUAUUUCUUUAAUUGAUAAUGUAUUUAAUAUCUGAACCACUAGUAUGUAAGACUUGAUUUAUUAAACUACUUGAGGAAUAUAUAAUUAAUCAACGUAUUUCAUACUCCGAUGAAGUAUCCUUUACAUGUCAUCAUAAUUAGGAGGUGAUCACUACACUUGACAUCCAUUCAAGAUCGAACGUAUAUAAUAAUACUAUCUCGCAUUUCAUACUUGAAUGGAUUAUAUGUUAGUUCUUCACCUCUACAACAUCAUGACCUGAGAUAUUAAGUUCAUGAUUAGACGACGGAUUGAUAGAAUUUGUACAUUACUCUAUAAAUAUAAGUAUAAUUAACUCCUAAUUCAUAUCAACGUAGUUUCAUACUCUAAAUAUGGAUUAUAGAUUUUUUUUAUUUAUUCCACGAAUUCUAACUUUUUAUUUAUAAAAGUAUGCAAAAUUGUUAGACUUUUUGAACAAUUAAUUGUAGGUGUAAAAUGAAAAUUUUUAAUAUUGUGCACAAUAGCAAAAUUAUAAUUAAUAGGAAUAUUUUAAACAAACCGACCUCCGGAUGUCACUUUUAUUAAAAGUAAUUAGAUAUAAUAAAAAAUACCGACCUCAUGAGGUCGGUAUCACAUUAAAUUUUAAGAUAAAUAAAAAGUAAUCAUGUUAAUUAAAUAAUAUUGACAUCGGGAGGUCGGUAUUUUAUAUUAAAUUAUUUUUUUAACUUAUAUAAAAACCGUCAUUUGGAGGACGAUUUAUUUAAAGUUAAUUGAAAAUAUUAAUUUAUUACAUACUAUUUAAUUUUACCGACAUCCAGAAGUUGGUAUUAUAAUUUUUUUAUUUUACACAAAAUCGUCCUCCGGAAGACGAUUUAAAUAAACUUAAAUCAAAAUAUUUCUCAAUUUUGUUUUUUAUAUGGAGAAAUGGGGAAAAUCGCGUCUGCUAGUGCAGAUAUUUUAAAAAAUGCGACGGACAACGUCUCUAUGUCGGUCGCUUUUUAAAAAAAAUGUUUGACCAACAUUUUGACCAAAAAGCAACGGACUAAGAGACAUUGUCCGCCGCUUUCUUAAAAUAUUUGACCAGAUAUUUUGACCAAGAAGAGACGGACAUAAAGAUGCUGUCCGUCGCUAAUUUAAAAAAUAAUUAAACAAUUAAAAUUAAUAAAAAGCGACGGACUGCGUCGCUAUCUAUAUAAAUAAUUAAUUAGCAAAAAUCCGCGAAAAAAGCGACGAACUAAGCGAUGCCGUCCCUCGCUUUUAAAAAAAAUAAAAUAAAAUUAUUUUAAUUAAAAAGCGACGGACAGUGUGUCUAAUGGCGUCACUUUUUGGAGCGACGUGGUCCGUCGCUUUUACUUCCGUUGUUUUUUAGCAGUUUUUUAGUAGUGGUAAUUGUUGAAUAAAUGAAUGAUACUUAAUAAUUUUCUAAUCUAUAGAGAUAAGAAGAUUAAGAGUAACUCAAAUAACAAGUUAUAUUAUCAUAUCUUUACUAUUUGGUAACAUUGUGAAGAUAAUUAUUUAGUACGUAACAUUUCUUUUAAAGAUACAUAACGAAAUUUUACUUUUUCACUUACCAUUGGUCUUCAUGGUUUUGUCAUAUGUCUCAAAAUUAUCACAUUUUAUUUUGCUAUUUGAAAGUAAUUUAAUUUUUAUUCAUGAUAGAGUGAUGUUUUUAUUCUAGGCGGAAUGACCUGGGAGAUCCUUAUACUUGCCCGAAUUGUCAACUGGACCCUUCUACUCACGAUAUUGCCAACUGAACACUUAAACUCAAUAAAACACAAUAUUUUAAACCCUUUUGACUUCACGUGCACUUCAAACACAUAGUGAAAAUGACAUGUCAUGAUCCACACCAGACUUUUAGUGACACAUCACUUAUUUUUUUACUUUAUUUAAAAUUUUCAUUUUUUUUCUUUUUCACUCAGUUUGUUCCUCACACUAACUUUAUCCUUGACCAUCUCCCUCCAUUUUUUCACCAAAGCCACCAUUGCCAUCUUACAUCCUUAUUCUUUACUGGUUAUCACUACCUUAAAUAACUAAAAAAUAUCAUUGUUCUCCAAGUUUUCAUCAUUCAUAAUUUUUCUCCAUUUUUUUUUAUCAAGGUCUUCAUCCACCACUUGAACCAUUGUGAAAUUGUUUCUUCCAUUAAUGCCAAUGAACCACACUAAAAUAUCUUAAUAUGUUCUAAUAUAUACGUAUGUUCUACUUAAUUUUACAAAGACAUAGAAUAAUCAUUCUUCACUCUCCAAAAUAAUUAGAUCUCUAUCACCUUAAUCCCAUGAGUUUCCUUAAUCAUGUUUGUAAUUAUCUCAAACUAUUGAUGUAUUUUUAUAAUUUUGUGUUAUUAUAUUAUUAUAUUAUAUUAUAAAUUAAAAAUUUAAAGAUCCGUAGGACUUACGCACCACGUCUCGAGGCUUACGCCUCACUCUAUACUAAGUAAAACGCCUCUCCUUACGCCCUGACUUUUAAAACACUGAAUACUACUAAUGUCCUGACGGUACCGCAUGGGAUUAUCCAUAAGUAAUACGUAACACUUAUGGAGUACUAAAACUUAUUUGAAUCAAUUGUUUGUAAGCAGUAAUUAAUAAAUAAAGAACCUAGCUUUUUUAUUCAUAAGCAUUAAUAUUACAUAGAGUGGAAUAGAAGCAUGAUCCACAUUAUUUUAGAAAGCGGUCGAGCUAGGUUAUAGUAAUAAGCAUAGUAAGGCCAUAGUUUAGUUUGGCUACAAAAGGUGUGCUUCUGAUCACACACAUUUCGUAAUAGAUAUAUAAUUAACUAUGCAUCAAUAUUCUUGUUUACUUUGGUGAAGCCAAAUGGAUAAGGCUUGUUAUUGAGAGCCAGACGGGCGUAUCCCUUAUUUUCGUAUAGUCCGACAUCUGCACAAUCAAAUUGGCAUGUUGGACACAUAAAUUGACUAGGACAAUACCUUAACUUGUAAGAAUGAGGUCUCCCCGUCUCAUAUUUCUCAAUUUUGAACCAGUUCUUUAAGGUAUUAGGUCCUGGAAUUCCUAAGGUACCACCAGUUAUAACAAACCUAGGUGGCGGAUGCACCGGCCCUAGCAUGUAAUCACCAGCUUUCCAAACAGUUUCGUUAACACAUAGAUUAGAAGUUGUAGUUGAGAACAUUAUACUAACGUCUUGGUUUUCAAACACAUAAUGACUUCCAAGUUGCAUAGUGAAAAACGUCACGGGCGUGUUGUGAUCAAAUUCACCAGAACUGUCCUGCACGAUGCCGUUUGGGCAUUUGGUGUUUCCAAGAUCAGCUAAGUAUACGCUUCCACCGCCAUAGGGAAUACUGAGAAUGGAGUACUCUUCGUUUAUCUUGAGUGGUUCGCCGUCCAUGUCGAGCACAGGAUUAUUAUCAGAAGUGAAAGAUUGAGAAAAGGAAACCAAAGAGAGGCUACUUGAAACCAAGAGGAAACUCAAAAUAUUACUAAUAGACUUCAUCUUUGUUUCUGUAUUUUGCUUGCUAUUAAUUAAUCUAUAUAUGUCCAAUUUAUAGAGCACCACAUAUAUUGCAUGGCUUCAUUUUCACGUUUUUGUUACAUGAAUAAUACUUAUUUUGUCCUUGAAUGUCUGAGACAUAUAAUAAUAAUAAAGUUUUGACAAAUAAGGUAAAAGUUCAGUAAAAUGUUUGAAGUUUUGCCUUAUUAAAUUUAGUAAAUUUUUUCUAAAGUUAUAAGUUUUGGUGAGCCAUAUCAAAUUCAGGCAAAAACGUUUUAGUAAUGACCUUCACAAAGCCAUACCUUACACAAAAUUGUUUUGAAGUCAAGAUGCAAAUUUUUAAUUUCAAACACGUACGCCUAAAUUUAUUUUAAAAACAUAUAAAUUUCGGGGCCCUUUUCAUUGACACACAUCUACCACGUGAGUCUUGACAACCUCUGUAAAAAUGUUUGAAAUCAAAUAUAAAAUUUAAAUUUCACUUGUAUACGUUUGAAAUUCAUCUCAAAAUGGGUAAGUUUGCAAAUACAAUGAAAAACCGGACAUAAAUUUAGCGAAGACAUAAAAACAGACCCAUAUUUACAAAACGUAGCACGGGAUUUUCAUUUAACAAACAUAGCGGGAGUGUUUUUUUUCCUUUUUUUUUUCAAAACGCGUAUGAAAUUUUUACUCAAAAGCGUAAAACUUUGCUCAAUAUUUUAUGUAAGGUUCAUGCUGAUUUAUGAAAAUUCAAUAUAAUUACAAUAAUAUUUUGUAUAACUUUCAUACAAGAUUUAUAUAAAUUUAAUACAAGUACUACAAUAACUUGCAAACUUUAAAAUACAAUAAUUACACACCUCAUCAUAUAAUUAUAAUACAUUUCAUACAUUUUUCGAACUUGGGUCUGGAGUUCCUUUGUGUAUUUGUUUAUGAUUAGGAGGCGGCUAUUGGUAUACUAUGGUUUAGGUUUUAAAUUAUAAAAACUUUGUUCCAUAUUAGUUGUUUAUUUUAUUUUUUAAAAAUAAUUUACCCUCUUAUUAUUUUAAUUUUUUGAAAAAAAAUUUAUGUUUACAUUUUUUUUAGAAAAAUAAUCGUAAGGUUAAAAUGAGGGGAAAAAAGAUUAAUUCUCUUUUGAUAUUAUAAAUUGACAAAAAAAUUGAGAUAAUUAUUUUUAUAAUAUGAUCAACUAAUAUUGAAUGAAGGACCAACAUGGAUUGUGAUACAGUGUUGGGACCGGUCCACCAUUAAUCAUAGGUCUCGAGUUUAAGCCCUAGAUAUGAAAAAAAAAUUGUUGAGAGUACUACCACCAAUAAAUUUUGCAGUGCAUGAUCUAGAUUUAAUCCCAAAUUUUCCAUUCUUAUCAUCAACUCUAGUUGCAGUUGCACUGUUGCAGGCCAAUAAUGGAUAUAUUUUAAUGUGCCGACGGGACCAUUAGAGACUAGCCAUAUCUAAAUCGUGUUAAUAAAAUAGGAUGAUUAGUUGAACAUUUAAUAUAUAGUAGUAGUAGGGUUAAUGUACGACAUCUCCUAGAAUUUGGAGUAAAAUUUAAUUUAGACUUAUUAUAAUUGAACAUAUAUAUGAACAAGUGAUAAAGUGUUAAAUCCUAUGAUAUACUAUCGGUCCAAAUUUAGAGAAAUUUAUGCAUAUUUCCAAUUAGUGUUUAUUACAGAAACAAGUUUUUAAUAAGCCUCAAUAAAACUUCAAAUUUGUUUAAUUUGUUCCCCUAGAAACUCAUGAAUAUAAUUAAAAGGAGGUGACAUAUUUCAUGCGAUUAAUUAAAAAUACGGCGAUGGAAAAUGUUAUAAUAAUCUGGCGCGGAAACUAGGGCUGGGCGUUCGGUCUUGUUCGGUUUAUCGAUUUUCGAUUUGGUAAAAGUGUUAACCGAAUGUAACAACCCAGAAAUUUUUUUUGAGCUAAGACUUGAACCAUCCUUCGUUGUGAGUAGAAUUUUACCGAGGAAUUAAAAUUUUCUUGAUGUAACACCUCGCAACUAGAAAGAAGUUUAAAAUCUGGAAAUAGUCAUUUUUGAAAAGUAUAAGGAAAUCUGGAAAAUUUUAAGUUAAAGUGAGUUUUGGUCAACUUCAACUGACCAUAACUCCUAGCUCAGGAUGAGUUAGGUGUAGUUCUAGAUAUGGUUGGAAAUCUCUUGGAAUGAUCUUUCCAACGCCUCCAAGUUUGCGUGAUUCUGAGUUCGGAUGAGUGAGUUAUACCCUUUGGAAGUUGGGCUAUUGGUUUAAGGAAAGUCCAAAUCCGGAUUUUUGAAGGGUAGUUUGGUCUUUUCCUUACCCUUUUAUUUUAAUUUGUUUUAGUCAAUUAAUUAAGGGUCUAAACUGAACUGGGUCAGUUUUACGCUUUUGGAAAAGAGUUAGGGUUUUAGAGAAGAGGAGAAAAGAGAAGGAGAAGCAAGGAAAUCGUCAAGAUCGUCGAGUUUAGCUUGUGGAUUUCGUCGGGGGUGAUCCCUAAAAGGUAUGCGAGAUCACAUAGCAUUGGGUUAGUUCACCCACGCGCCAAGCAUGUUUAAUUCAGCGUGUUUUCGUCCUAAAAUGAAUGAGAAAUUGAUGUUCUUGAUAGUUGUUCUUGGAUUGAUUUCGUUCUUGAAUAUGAGUUGGGAUUUAGGAGUUUCUUGAUGAUUAAGUAUUGUUUCCCUGAAUUGUUUGAGUUAGAUUUUGUGUAUAUGAUUUGGGUACAUGAAUCUAAAGUGAAUUUGGGGGAAAAAAACGGAUUAAAGCGAUUUAGGGUCAGAAAACACGAUCAAAAGUUCAUCUGAAUUUUACCUGAAGGGAGGCUGGCGCGAUGCACCCCUAUAGUGCCAGGAAAGCUGGGGCGGCGCGCCAGCAGUGUGCCCGAAAUGAGUCCCAGUAAAACGGGGCCUGGCGCGACACGCCAGGUACGCCCUCGGAUGGGCGUUUUUCACCAGUUUUCGUCGUUUAGCCUAUUUAAGUUAUUCUAAAGUGUCCUUACACUUUCCAUUGAUUCUAACUACUUUAAAUGACUUCUAAACACCUAGAAAUCAUCCAUAAACAUGAAUCAUAACCUUGAAUCCAUAAAUUCAAAUUCAAGGGAAGUCAAGAGCCAAGUCUAGGAAGUUCUCGGAGUUUUUUUCAAGAAGUCUUUUGCAAAUGCUUUUUAACUUUGUUUUAAGACUUAAGUUUUGAAGUUGAGUAAAGAGUAAGAGCAAAGUUCAUUUUCUUUAAAAUGAUAUAUGGGAACUAAGUAUUUCCAAGAGUAAAUGUUUUCACAUUUAAGAUGAGAGGAAACUGAGAUUUCCAAAAGAGUUUUGAACAACAAAAGGGAACAUUGAUUCCAAAAGAGCUUUUGAAGCUAAGUUUGAGCAAUUAUCUCAAACCAGAGAAGAAGUUGUUUUAAAAACAUAUGAGCUAAGUAUAUUUUGAGAGUAGUAUUGAGCACCGAUAUGGAGACGCGAGUUCAUAUUAACUCAAGCCCCCAUAAACCAUGUAUCCAUCAUAGGCAGAAAAAGGAUCAUACUUUUUAAAUGAUUCCUUAGUGCUUUUUAGCAUAGACUAGUGGAUCCACUUAGUAGUUCAGGUUCUAUGCCUAUGGCAAGGUAUAGGACGGUCCUUGGCAUCGUAAGGUAAAAUGUUGUACCAUCACUUAGGCUCAUAGUGAUGGUUGUCGGUUAGAGAAACUCCCAUAGAAGUCAUUAUAUUUUUAUAUACAUCAAUUUAUUGUAUUUUUACAUACAUUUCAGAGUUAUGUUGUAUCCUUUUAUAUAUACAGAGUUGACAUCAUGUUUUAAACAACUUUUCUUUAUAUUGCACUUGUUUUAAAUCUGCUUUAUAUUGAAAUGAGUUCAGUUAUGUAUUCAUGAGUUGAGAAAGAGCCAAGGUAAGUGUUUCUUUUAGAUUCCCUUUCAAGCCUAUGUUGUUUUAGCAUUCCAACUCGCAUACUCAUACAUUCAAUGUACUGAAGCCAGUUGGCCUGCAUCUUAUUAUGAUACAGACACAGGUAACUAGGGUCGGCAUCCGGCACAUCGUUGAUCCAGUGAGAAGUUUAGAGUCUGUUAGUGAGCCUCUUUGCAUUCCAGAAGACUCUUUUUCAUUACUUUCAGUUUUAAUAUUAGUUCAUUAGGAUGUCGUGGACCUGUCCCGAUAUCCAUCUCAGUUGUUUUGAGGCUUCAUAGACAGACAGACAGUCAGUUAGUUAAUUCAGUUGUCUUUACUUUUCAUAUGUUAAAGACUUGAGUUUGCCUUAAAGGCUAGUUGAAUGUUCCGUUAUAACAUUCUAGUUAUUUCAUAAAUGUGUAUGUGAUGAGUUAAGUCUUCCGUUGAGUUAGUAAGUCAGGCCAAGGGUUCGGCUUGAGGCCAGCAAUGCUCUUCGAGUGCCAGUCCCUCCCAGGGUGUAGGCUCGGGGUGUGACACUUGAGUAUUGAGUUCCUAAUCCCUUCUGAGAUUAUGUUCCUAAUCAAGAAACUAUUACAUGUUACCCAUGAAGUCCUUAAGUUGAGUUGUUCAUGCCCAUAAUUCUGCAUGAACCUUAUGAGUUGAGCAUUCUUGAAGUGAGUAGUAUCAUUGACUCCUUGAGUUUUGGAGUUGUUGAGUUCCAAGUAUUGAGUUCUAUGCAUGGUUAUUGAAAACCUUGAAUUGAGUCGUUCACGUCCAUAAUUCGGCAUGAACCCUAUUUUAAGAAGUCUUUUUACAAAUUGUUUUAAAACUUGUUUUAAAGACUUGAGCACUAAGUUGAGAAAGAGUAGAGUUGAGUUCAUUUUCUUUAAAAUGAUAUAUGGGAACUAAAUAUUCCAAAGAGUUAAUGUUUUUACAUUGAAGAUGAAAAUUGAGAUUUCCAAAUGAGUUUUGAGCAGUUUGAGUACUAUCUCUUUUAAGAAAAAGAUGAGUUUUGAGAAAGAGUUUCUAAAACAUGAUUAGUAUGACAAUCGAGUAUGUCAUCAAUGUUUAAGCAGUAUGGUAUCUAGAUAUACCAUCAAUGUUUAUGCAAUAUGACUUCCCUAGUCAUCAAUGAUCAUAUUAAAAUAUGGUUUUGAUAUGUUUUUGAGAAAGAGUUUUCUAGAGUAGUUACCUCUUUUAAGAGGGUAGUUUGAGCAAUUAUCUCAAACCAGAGAAAGAGUUAUGUUUUUAAACAUAUGAGCUAAGUAUAUUUUGGGAGUAGUAUUGAGCACCGAUAUGGGGGCGCAAGUUCAUAAUAACUCAAGUCUCCAUAAACCAUGUAGCCAUCAUGGGUAGAAAGGGUCAUACUUUUUAGAUGACACCUAAGUGCUUUUUAGCAUAGACUAGUGGAUCCACUUAGUUAAGGCAUUCUUGUAACAUCUCGCAAUUUGAAAUAUCUAGGAAGAAGCUAAUAAUUGGAAAUAGUCAUUUUUGGAAAGAAUGAAAAUCUGGAAAUUUGUUUAAGUUAGGAAAAGUUGAGUUUUGGUCAACUUCAAACGGCCAUAACUCCUAGCUCAGGAUGAUUUAGGUGCACUUUAAGACAUGGUUGGAAAGCUCUUGGAAUAAUAUUUCCAAUGCCACCGAGUUUACGCGAUUCCGAGUUCGUAUGAGUAAGUUAUGCCUUUUGGAAGUUGGGUUGUUGGAUUAAGGAAAGUCUAAUCCUGAUUUUAGAAGGUUUAUUUAAGUCUUUUCCUUACCUAAUUAUUCUAAUUUGUUUUUAGGAGAUUAAUUGGGGUAAAACCAGAUUUUGGUUAGUUUAGAAAAGUUAGAGUUCACGCUAGGGCUUGGAGAAAAGAGAAAAGAGGAGAUGAAAAAGAGAAAAGUUAGAGUUCACAAGAUAUGAAAAAAAUCUUGUUGGGAGUACUACAUCAAUAAAUUUUUAAGUGCACGAUUCAAAUUUAAUCCCAAAUUUUCCAUUCUUAUCACCAACUCUAGUUGCAGUUGCACUGUUGCAGCAAAUAAUGGAUAUAAAUUAAUGUGCCGACGGGACCAUUAGAGACUAGCCAUAUCUAAAACGUGUUAAUUAAAUAGGAUGAUUAGUUGAACAUAUAAUAUAUAGUAGUAGUAGGGUUAAUGUACGACAUCUCCUAGAAUUUGGAGUAAAUUUAAUUUAGACUUGUUAUAAUUUAAUUGAACAUAUAUAUGAACAAGUGAUAAAGUAUUAAAUCUUAUGAUAUACUAUCAGUCCAAAUUUAGAGAAAUUUACGCAUAUUUUCGAUUAGAGUUUAUUACAUAGAUAAGGUAUUAAUAAGCCUCAAUAAAACUUCAAAUCUGUUUAAUUUGUUUCACUAGAGACUCAUGAAUAUAAUUAAAAGGAGGUGACAUAUUUCAUGCGAUUAAUUUAAAAUACGGCGAUGGAAAAUGUUAUAAUAAUCUGGCGCGGAAACUAGGGUUGGGCGUUCGGUCUUGUUUGGUUUGUCGAUUUUCGAUUUGGUAAAAAUGUUAAUCGAAUGUAACACCCCAGAAAAAAAAAUUUGAGCUAAGACUUGAACCAUCCUUCGUUGUGAGUAGGAUUUUACCGAGGAAUUAAAAUUUUCUCGAGUAUUGAGUUCCUAAUCCCUUCUGAGUAUUUGAGUAUUUGAGUAUCUGAAUACGAUCAAAUGUUUCUAUUAGAUACUUCCAAUCCAAAUUUGGAGAAACUCUAGUUUUAUGUGUCUUUCCAAUUAGUGGCUAUAACGUAGAUAAGUUAACUAAUUAAAAUAUUUUAUACAUUUAAUUACAUGGAUUAACCUUUUUUUUGGUUUCCCACCCGAUGUUCGGAGUUCACAUUGGAGCUCUGACUGAAUUUGGAUCGCUCUCUGCAGGGUCCAUUCGGGGGUGGCGCUCCCAACAAGAUUUUCUCCAUACCCAGGACUCGAACCCAAGACCUCUGGUUAAAGGUGAAGCACUUCAUGUUGGUACACAGAUUAACCUUAAUAAGCUAUAAAAUCUCAUACUUGUUUCAAUAAACUUAAAAUACGCCGAUGGAAAGUGUUAUAAUAUGGGCUAGAAAUUAGUGGAAGGGAAAUAUGAAAUCAAGAACUCUAACAAAGAAGAGGAAUAUUCAUAUAUAGAAGAAGAAAAGAAUAGAAAUUCAAUAUCAAAAGCUAAACAAAAUAAUUUGUACAAACGGAUACUUAAUAGACGUAGUUAGUUAUAAACUUAUAUCUAACUACCUUAACUCCGUCCAACAAUAGUUGUCCACUAUACUAUUUUGGAAUAUACAACAAUAUAUACUUGUUCAUUUUAUGAAAUCAAUGGAUAAACAAAUCGAUGGUCAAUCACACAUUCAAAAACAAAUUAAAAUAUGUAUCGCAUCUGAUAUUUAAAUUAAAGGUCGUAUUCGAAGAUAGUAGCUUGUUUUAUUCAUAACUCAUAAGCAUACAUUAAUUAAAAUUACAUGGAGCGUGGAGACGCGAUAGAACGAUCCACAUUAAUUUAUUCCUUAACAAAGACAACGGGAAGAGGGUUUUUACCGUCAGCUACCAGACGAUGUAAUCCAUUAUGAAAUAGCUAAACAUUCAGAAGUUAGUUACUAAUCCAUUUGUUAGUUAGAAGGUCAUUUCAGUCAUUUCAGAAUGUUAGUUAGUGCUAGUUAAUUACCUCGAUUACUGUGCUGAUGAAUUAGUUAGUUAGUAAAUUAGAUAUUUUUUUCUUCUUCUUGCUUUCUAUAUAAUCUGUGGAUGUAUCUCACUUGUAAAAUCAUCCAGAUUCAGAUUAAUAAAAUUCUCUCUCGUUUCUUCCUGAAUCUAGUUUCUUCUCUAAGUUCAUCAAUGGUGUUAUGAGCUUGUAUGCUCACAAUUUUCUUCAUGGUAUCAGAGCAGAGUUGUAGUUGAGUUUAGAUCUCUACUAGUUGGUAAAAUCUGUAGUUCUGAAGAAAUGGUGGCAUUGAAGAUAGAUCAAAAUGAUCCUUUAUACAUUGGGGCAUCAGACAGUUCGAGUGUUGUAGUGAUUCCCAUAAAGUUGAUUGGAUCUGAGAAUUAUGGAAUCUGGAGCAGGUCAUGCAGAGAAGAACUGCAUGAAUAGUGGGAAACAUGUAAUGCAAUUGUGUUGUCAUGGCUGAUGAACACAGUCAGUGAUGAGCUUCUCAGUGGCAUUGUAUAUGCCACAAAUGCCUUAUCAGUUUGGAAUGAUCUCAAGGAAAGAUUUGACAAGGUGAAUCGAGCAAGGAUCUAUCAAUUUCAGAGAGAGAUUACCACUCUAAUACAAGGUACAGAUACUGAGUACCUGUUGUGCUUGUCCUCAAUCGAAAAAGUAUACUGAUCACUUGCAGCAGAUGAGGUUGAUUCAAUUUCUAAGUGGCCUGAAUGAAUCAUAUGAGCAGGCUCGCAGACAGAUACUACUUAAGGGAACUACAUGAUCACUGAAUCAAGCUUAUGCAAUGAUUAUAGAGGAUGAGAUUCAACACUCAAGUUAUAUGGCUAAUAUAGUUGAAAAGCCAAAUUCAAUGGUGAUGAAUGUGAACAAGAAUCAAGGAGGAAAAGAGAACUACAAAGGAAAUAAGUGUGAGUACUGUCACUAUCUUGGUCACACCAAGGAUAAUUGCUAUAAGUUGAUUGGCUAUCCAAAUGGUUGGAAGCAAAAGAAGAAACCAUGCUAUGGAAAUGGAAAUGGUAACAUGAGAAAUGCUGCAGGCACAAAUCAAUUUAGUAUCUAUAGAGGACAAAGUUCAGGAAAUAACAUAAGGAAUCAAGUAGGGCCAUCAUGUUCUGGUGGAUUUGGAGGAGGACACCAGUCUGCAAACAACAUCUCUAAUGAUUAUUAUAAGCCUUCUAACACAGCUUCAACCAGUCAGGUGGAAAACAAUACUCUCCUAGCAAAGGGACAAACAUUCAUUGAGAAAGAGUACAAGAAAAUAAUGGAGAUGCUAAACAAGCUUGGAUGUGCAAGAGUCCAAGCAGGUCAAUAUGGCAGGUAUUACCGCUUGCUUAAUGACAAACUUUCUUACAAAGGACUGGAUAAUUGAUUCAGGUGCGACUCAUCACAUCAUAGCAAACAAACAACCAUUGACUAAGAGGCAUGAACUAACCAAGUCAUAGAAUAAUCAAGUUCAUCUUCCAACAGGUGACAAGGUGGCAAUCAGUCAUGUUGGUGAAACACCUAUUUUUGACAAUGAAGUGGUAAAAAAUGUCUUGCAUGUGCCAGACUUCAAGUCAGCUUGUUAUCAGUGUCCAAAAUCACAAAGGAACUAAAUUGUUUUGUAUCAUUUUACCUUUACUUUUGUGUGUUUCAGGACCUCUACAGUGGCAAGGUGAAGGGGAUUGGUAGAGAAGAAGGAGGAUUAUACAAUUUUAAAGUUGCAUUUACACCAAAGCAGAAGGAGGAAAUAAGGUGUGCUCAGAAGAUAGUGGCUACAAGAGCAACAAUACAGGACACAAAUCUAUGACAUAAAAGGCUUGGACACCCAUCUCAACAGAUAUUGAGAUAUCUCAAGUUAGCUACAAGCAAUAAAAGUGGUGAAUUAUCUUCAAAUUGCCCUGUUUGCCCUUUAGCUAAGCAAACUAGGCUUACCUUUCCUAGUAGUAAUACUAGAGUAUCCAUGAUGUUUGAUGUUUUUCAUAUGGAUCUAUGGGGACCCUAUAAGACCCCUACUCUAGAUAGAAAGCAUUAUUUCUUAAUAAUAGUAGAUUUGAAUGGGUUCAGUUGUUGCAAUUAAAAUCUGAAACCAUUGUGGCUAUCAAAAAUUUCCUUUCCAUAGUUAAGACUCAAUUUGAUUCUCAUGUCAAGACUGUGAGAUCUGAUAAUGGUGCAGAGUUCUUUAAUUCACAAUGUACAGACUUGUUUCAUCAUCUAGGAAUAUUGCAUCAAAGCAGUUGUCCUCACAGACCACAACAAAAUGGUAUGGUGGAGAGGAAACAUAGACACAUCUUUAACAUUGCUAGAGCUAUCAGAUUUCAAUCUCAUUUGCCUAUCAGAUUUUAGGGGUAUUGCAUUAAGGCUGCAGUGUAUUUAAUGAAUAGAUUGCCUUCCUCAGCUAUUGCUAACAAAAGUUCCUAUGAAUUACUUCACUAUAAACAACCAAAUAUGUGUCAUCUAAGAGUCAUAGGUUGUCUUUGCUAUGCUUCAACACUUCCCAGAAGGGAUAAGUUCUCAGCAAGAGCUGCUUCUGCCAUCCUCUUAAGGUACUCAGACCUACAAAAGGGUUACAUAUUGUUGUACAUCAAUUCUACCAAACUGUAUGUGAAUAGAGAUGUGGUUUUCCAUGAAGAAAUUUUUUCAUUUGCCAAAGUGAUGCCUCAGAUUAAUCCCUCAAUUGAUGUACAUGGUUCCCCUUUGGAGAUAAUAGAGAAUCUUGAUGUGGUGAAUGAGUCUGCUAAUAAAGAUAGUGAAGAACCUGAAGUUGCUGUCACAAGAAAUGAAGAUGCUCAGGCAGUAGAUGUUGGUGUUGAGAAUUCUUCAGUAUGUCAAAUGUCUGAAACUGAUCCAGUAUUGGAAAUUUCUGAAGAUUUCCCUGGGGUACCAUCACAUGUUGACCCUCCUAAUAGAAGAACUUUAAGCAACAUCAAAGAGCCAAUUUGGAUGAAAGAAUAUGCCACUACUAAGAAACACAGUAGUACCAGACAUCCCAUGGCCAACUCUCUGAAUUAUGACAAACUGAAGCCUUGUUACAGGGGCUAUUUGAGCAAGCUUUCAGAUUGUAUGGAACUUAAGUAUUUGAGCCAAUCUGCAAAGGAUGAGAGGUGGAUACAAGCAGGGGCGAAUUUAUGUACUAAUUUUGGGUCACCCGAACCCGUGGUCAUCCGACCAAACUCGAUAUAGUACUUCUAUAAUUAUUAAAGAAUAUGUUAAAUUAAAACUUGUUGAACCCGUUCUCAAAAUGGUUGGAUGGUUCACUGGUACCACUGCAAGAUUUCAACUCACAGGUCGCAGGUUCGAUCCCAGGCAGCCCCAAUUCGCUGCAAUUUAUUUUUAUUAACUAAAAACACAUUUUUCAUUAAAAAAAAAAGCUAAAUUUUGAAGUUCUAAAAGUCAAAGACUUCAAAAGUUUCCUUCCCACACACUUUCCAAGUUCCAACAAUAUUUUUCUUCUCUUUUCAAAUUUGUUUUCUAUUUUCCACACAAAGAAGAAGCUUCAAGUCUCCAACUUCGAAGUCAAGAAUUUAGAGAAAUCAUCAUUGUCAAAGUUUUAGGGUAAUUUUAGUUUAUGAUUUCUCGUUUUCAUAUAAAAAAAUCUUGUCAUUACUUAUAAUAGGAAAUCAUCAAUAGCUAAAGAAUUGAUUAUCUCAAACUUACAUAUUUUGCGGAUGUAACUUGUAAGGAAUGUGUUUCAUAUUAUAUUAUCAAUUUUGAAGGGUGUGAUUCCUUUUUUUUUUUAAUGUGAAAGGGGUGUGAUUCCCUUAUUUUUUUAAAUGUGAAAGGGGUGUGAUUCCUCUAUUUUAGUUAGAUUUGCAAGGAUUGUGAUUCCUCUAUUUUAUUUGAACUUGCAAGGGUGUGAUUCCCUUAUUUUUUAUUGUGAAAGAUAUGCGAUUCUCUUAUUUUAUUUUAAAUUUGCUAGUUAAAUUUGUGACUAAGUUGAAUAGUUAUUUGAAUUUGUAGGAACAUUUAUCCUUGAAUAACUAAAUGGAUAAAUUUUUUAUUAAGAAACCACGGCAAGGGUGUGAUUCCCUUAUUUUUUAUUGUGAAAGAUAUGCGAUUAUCUUAUUUUAUUUUAGCAAAAAUGAUCAACGUAAUAGCAUUGGUGAAGAAUUUUUGAAUGGAUGUUUAGUUUGUAAGAUAGAGCGGAAGAUAUUUGAAAAUGUAAGUAAUGAUGCUAUUAUAGAUCGUUUUCAAAAUAUGAAGUCCCGUCGAGUACAAUUGUAAACUGAUGAUAUUUUUUGUGGUAAUGCAUUUUUUAUGUAUUGCUCGCUUAGUUAUUGUUAUUAUAAAUUUUUUUAUCUUAUCUUUAAAGCAAUGGUGCACCCGUUUUCUUAAAAUCCUGGAUUCGCCUCUGGAUACAAGCUAUGCAGCAGGAAAUCCAAGCUCUUGAGGAAAAUAAUACUUGGAUAGUUGUUAAUUUACCAAAGGGCAUGCAUAUAGUUGGUUCCAAAUAGAUAUACAAAGUGAAAUAUAAGGCAAGUGGUGAGGUAGAAAGGUUUAAAGCCAGGCUAGAAGCAAAGGGAUAUAGCCAACAAGAAGGACUAGAUUAUCAUGACACUUUUUCUCCUGUAGCCAAGAUGGUGACAGUGAGAUGUGUCAUUGCUCUAGCAGUAUCAAAAGGCUGGACACUAUACCAGAUGGAUGUCUAUAAUGCAUAUCUUCAAGGUGAUUUAGAUGAAGAGGUCUACAUGGAGAUGCUUGAGGGCUUUAAAAGACCAGGUGAAAACAAAGUAUGCAGGUUACUUAAAUCAUUAUAUGGGCUUAAACAAGCCUCAAGACAAUGGAACUUAAAACUCACAAAAGCAUUGCAGGCCACAUAUUUUACUCAAAGUGCUCAUGAUUACUCAUUAUUCACACUUAACAAGGGGGAAGACCUUGUGAUUGUUUUGGUCUAUGUAGAUGACUUAUUGAUUAUAGGGAAUAACACACAGUUGAUCACUGAAGUUAAGGAAGCUUGCACAGACAGUUCAAGUUGAAGGAUCUAGGUGAACUUAAGUUCUUCUUAGGCAUUGAAGUAUUGAGAUCUUCAGCGGGAAUUAUUCUGAAUCAAAUGAAGUAUAUCUUAGAGCUUAUUAUUGAUGCAGGCCUGACUGGUGCAAAACCUGCAUCCACACCACUAGAGUCCAAUUUGAGAUUGACAUUAGUGGAACAUGAUCUAGCAACUGGCUACACUGGAGAAGUUGUGCUUCAUGAAAUUACUUCAUACCAAAGGUUGGUUGGUAAGCUAUUAUAUGCCACCAUCACUAGACUAGAUAUAAGCUAUGCAGUGCAAACCCUCAGCCAGUUUAUGCAAUCUCCUAAGAAGUCACAUCUGGAGGCUGCUACUAGAGUGGUUAGAUAUUUGAAAGGUACAGUUGGUCAGGGUAUUUGGCUGCAUUCUGAACCUACCAACAUACUCACAUGUUGGUGUGAUUCUGAUUGGGCUGUUUGUCCCAACACAAGAAGGUCCAUCACAGGGUAUGUCAUCAAGUUUGGAGAUUCUUUGGUAUCCUGGAAAUCCAAGAAACAACAGACUGUUUCAAGAAGCUCAGCUGAAGCUGAGUACAGAAGCAUGGCUUCAACAGUCUCAGAAAUCACCUGGCUCCUAGGCUUGUUCAAAGAGCUACGAGUGUCUAUUCAGUUGCCUAUUACUAUUUUCAGCGACAGUAAAUCAGAAUCCAACUAGCAGCUAACCCAAUGUUUAAUGAAAGGACAAAACAUAUCGAGAUAGACUGUCACUUCAUCAGAGAUAAGAUCAAAGCAGGGAUGAUUGACACUGCCUAUGUACACACAUAACAGCAACUUGCAGACUUAUUGACAAAAGGGUUGAGCCAGGUCCAACAUGUAUACCUUUUAGGCAAGCUUGGUGUGCUUAAUGUCAUGAACACUUCAGCUUGAGGGGGUGUGUUGAAAUAGCUAAACAUUCAGAAGUUAGUUACUAAUCCAUUUGUUAGUUAGAAGGUCAUUUCAGUCAUUUCAGAAUGUUAGUUAGUGCUAGUUAGUUACCUCGAUUACUGUGCUAAUGAAUCAGUUAGUUAGUAAAUUAGAUAUUUUUUUCUUCUUCUUGCUUUCUAUAUAAUCUGUGGAUGUAUCUCACUUGUAAAAUCAUCCAGAUUCAGAUUAAUAAAAUUCUCUCUCGUUUCUUCCUCACUCUAGUUUCUUCUCUAAGUUCAUCAAUGGUGUUAUAAGCUUGUAUGCUCACAGUUUUCUUCACUUGAACAAGUAGCUUUCAUUUCCUAUGGUACCACCAGUCACCACGAACUGAUCUUUAUCAUCAGUAACUUUCCAACUAGUUUCGUUAAAACACGGACUAGAUAUAUCACUAAUUAAUCAAUUUCCAAUAGGUCAUAGGCUCAUAGAAUCAGCAAAUAGGUUGGGUGAGUUUUUUUUUUUUGGUUUUUCAUCCGAUGAUGGGAUUUUAAAUUGGAGCCUUGAUUAAAUUUGGAUCGCGCACUGUAGGGUCCAUUUGGGGAUGACGCUCCCAACAAAAUUUUCUCCAUACCCAGAGCUCGAAUCUAAGAUCUUUGAUUAAGAGUGAAACAAUCUCACCACAACUCAUGUUGGUGGUAGGUUGGGUGAAUUAAUGAGCCCUUAUGUUAAGUUAGUUUAUUUUGAUCUAUUUUAUUUAAAAUUUAGCAAGAAUCAAACGAAUUACCUUUCUAAAUUAUGCAAAAAUUAAUACAAAAAAUCAAACACUAUAUGUUUCUAUUUUUUUCAAAAAAAAUAAAAUUACACCACUAGACAAAGUGUCUACCAAUUUUUUAUUAAAAUAAAAAACUUCAAUAGACAAGUAUUUCCUUUAGCCUCAAUUUGCUAUUAUAAUAUUGUUACCGGAGAAGAUGCAGAUAAGAAGAUUUAUUCCGGCGACCUUAGAGCCCUUACAAAAAGGUAGACAUUGUUUUUAUGGAUAAAUCUAUCUCUAUUUUGCUUGCUAUUAAUGAUUAGUCUGUCUCCAAUUUAUACAGCUGCUAAGGGCAUUUUUGACAAACAAAAAAUAGCUACCGACCGCUACCUUUUAGGUUAGUGACAUUAUUUCAUUUAUAAAUAAUAAUGAUUUAAAGAAAAUAAGUACUCUAGUAUAAAACCUGUACUAUUAUUUUUGGCUUAAUUAAUUCUCUUAAAAUUAUCCCCUUAAUUCAUCUAGACAUUUAAAUUCAGACUUGUACCUAUUGAACACUUCUAUUCUUUUGAAUUUGAGUCAUUCUAACAUUUUUUUAACAAUCAACUAAAAAUAUAAGAAAGAGUGAAAUGUACUAGCGGUGACAUGACAAUUUGACAAAUUAAAUAAGUAAAAUUUACAUAAAUCUCAUAGUGUUAAGAACUAAUUAUAUCAUAUCUCUACUCUUUUUCAAAUUACAAAAAUCAUUUAAAUUUAUAGGAUCUCGGAUAUAUAUAUAUGAAAAUAUGUAGAUACAUAGUUCACGGAUUGCGAAUGAUACAUUACUUAAUGGAAGAGAUGUAUUCGAAGGGGAGAGAUGUAUUCGAGAGGGAAUAGGAUGUAUAUGAGAGGGGAUUGAUAUUAGUAAAAAAGUUGAAAAAUUAACAUUGUCAAUUUAAUUUUGUAGUUAUUACUUAGAUAUUAGCCAUGACUAGCUUUUAAAUUCAUAGGAUAUUAGUCAUGACAAGCUUUUAAAUUCAUAGCUAAAAUUUCCUAAUUUAAUUUUUUAUUUAAAAGUAAAAAUUUAAAAUAAGUCAAUUCAAACAUUUUCUAAUUUAUGACUUUUUAUUUAGAAGUCAUAGUAUAUAUAUAGUAAUAAAGUUGAGAAGUAACUUUGUAACAUUAAUUUUUAUAGCUCAGAAAGUUAAUGAAUUUGUUGAUAAUCAUGAAACUCGAAAUUUGGUAGCUUUUACAAGGAGUCCGGAGCCUAAAGGGAAAAAAAAUUGACAAAAUUUCCAAAAGGGUACAUCAAUUUUUUUUCCUAACCAAAGGGGCAAAAUCGCUGAUGGGGUAGCGAUUUUGAUUUGACGCCGUUAAUAGAUCAAAAUCUCUGCCCUAUCAGCGAUUUUGUCCAAAAAACUUUUUCAGAAAAUCGCUGCCCGCGCAGCGAUUUUGCGAUUUUAAAAAAAUAAAAUUAAAAUCGCUACUAUGGUAGCGUUUUAUAAAAACGAAUUUAUUUUAUUUUUUUGAUUGGCAGCGAUUUUCGUUAAUGUUUUUUUUUUAAAUCGCUGCUGUUGCAGCGUUAUUAUAAAUUUUGUGGAAUUUUUUUUUUUUUAAGGAAUCGCUGCCUUGGCAGCGAUUUUAAUGGAACUUUUUUUUAAAAAAAUAAAAAUCGCUGCUUAGGUGGAAUUUUAUUUAUUUUUUUGAAAUUUCUGUCAACUACUAGUUGAAAGAAAUUUCAAAAUAAAAAAAAAAUCCACCAAAAUCUAAAAACAGAAAAAAAAAUUCACAAAAUUUAUAAUAAUGUUGCAACAGCAGCGAUUUUAAAAAAAAAACAUUAACGAAAAUCGCUGCCAAUCUGUUUUACAAUUAGUGUUUAUUACAUAGAUAAGUUUUUAAUAAGCCUCAAUAAAACUUCAAAUCUGUUUAAUUCGUUCCACUAGAGACUCAUGAAUAUAACUAAAAGGAGGUGACAUAUUUCAUGCGAUUAAUUUAAAAUACGGCGAUGGAAAAUGUUAUAAUAAUUUGGCGCGGAAACUAGGCUUGGGCGUUCGGUCUUGUUCGGUUUAUCGAUUUUCGAUUUGGUAAAAAUGUUAACUGAAUGUAACACCCCAGAAUAUUUUUUUGAGCUAAGACUUGAACCAUCCUUCGUUGUGAGUUGGAUUUUACCAAGGAAUUAAAAUUUUCUUGAGUAUUGAGUUCCUAAUCUCUUAUGAGAUUAUGUUCCUAAUCAUGAAACUAUUACAUGUUACCCAUGAAGUCCUUAAGUUGAGUUGUUCAUGCCCAUAAUUCCGCAUGGACCUUAUGAGUUGAGCAUUCUUGAAGUGAGUAGUAUCAUUGACUCCUUGAGUUCUAGAGUUGUUGAGUUCCAAGUAUUGAGUUUCUAUGCAUGGUUAUUGAAAACCUUGAAUUGAGUCGUUCACAUCCAUUGUUUACAUCCCUACUCUAUUCAAAUAUGACGAAACGUCGUGGUGACUCAAAAAAUGAUUAAUUAAUUCAAUUAUAAAAGAAUUUUCAGAAAAAACGAGUUUUAAAAGAGUCACCACCUAAUUUUAGGAAAGACUAGGAAACCAAUUAAUUAACUAACUAAAAGAAUGUCUACGAAACCAAUAGAUUCUAGUUAAGGGGUUCAAGUUAUUCCGAAAGGAAAGUGUUAGGCAUCCUUCAAAAUCCACAAUUGUGGGUCCCAGCUGAACUCAUUUUUUCAAAUUGAGGAGGAGAUGAAAACAAAUAUACAAGUAUAAUAAACAUGAGAUAUACACAAAUAAUAAAAUCAAACAAUAAUAUAAGAAACAACCUAAAUUUGCCUAUUGUCAAUAAUAUACAAUAAUGAAUGGAAAAUAUAAUUCUAACUCCUUUCGAAUAGCUUCAAUGAGAAGCGACUCUGGGGUACCAGUAAAGACACUUAGUAAAAGUGUUAGUAAUAAAUAAAUAUGAAUAAAAACAAAUAAAUAAAAUAAUAACUUAAAAGUAAAAAAUCCGUCUUAUUAACAUAGGAGGCCUUCACUAUAAGAAAAGUAUUGAUUACCUGGGGAUUUUCCUAGGGAUAACAUAGUAAAAUCCGCAGGUAACUUGAUUACCUGCGAAUUUUCUCGCAAAAUGAAAUCCGAUGGAAAAACCUUUGUAGGUAACUCUUACCUGCGGAUUUAUACAAGCCCUAGGUAAUUUACAUGGGGAAUUAAAAUACGCAUGUGUUACCUGCGGAUUUAUCUGCGAUACAUAACAAAAAUUCUUGUGAAUUUUUUACCAAAAAUUCUUGUGAAUUUUUUACCAAAAUUUCUUGCGAAUUUUUUACCAAAAUUUCUUAUAAAAACGAAAUUUCUUGGGGAUUUUCAUAGAAAUAUUUUGCAAGGAAUUCUCUAUGAAGAUUCCCAAGUAAAUCUGUAGGCGUUUGGAGAUAAAAUUUUGUGAAACAAAAGGAAAUUUCCUGUGUGUGUAUAUAUAUAUAUAUAUAUAUAUGAAAAUAUUGCUCAAGAUAAUUCCUAUGAAAAGGAACCCGCAAGAACUAACAAAAAAUAUAGUUCACGUUAUAUCACUUUCAUUCAACAAAAAACAGAAUUCAUAAUUAUAAUUCCUAUGAAAAGAAACCCGCAAGAUCAAUAGUUUAUGAUUCUUAAAUGGACAAAAGCAAAAUACAACUCAAAUUUGAAUCCUAAAUAGUGUUAUCAACUAUCUCAAUCCUCACUUUCAUUCACGCUAUCAGAGUCAUGGGCAGAACCACUGUCAUUCACACUGUGAGAGUCAUCACCACUUUCAUCCUCAUCAUAAGCUUGAUUGUCUUCUUGAGAUGAUUGCCCAUUUGAAGAUGAUGCGUUGUAUACAUUCAAACCUGACCAGAAUUAUGAAUGAAUAAACUUAAUACACCACAUAGAUUCCAAGAACAACCUUAACAACCUUAACCACGCUUCACUUUGUGCGAUUUAAUUGAUUUCAGAGGCAAGUUUUUCCUAACAUCUUGAAAAAGUUGUGUUAUCCUUGCAGAUGCCAUUUUCUCAAAAUUACGUCUUAUAGCAUCAGUAUAGUGAGGGAGCCAUUUGAAUUUCUUCUGUAUAUAGCAAAUAAAAACUGCAUUAGUUAUACAAGCUCACACCACCUGCAUUAGACACUUGAUAAUUGUUAGAGUGUUGCAAAUGGUAACGUUAUUCUGGGAGAUUCUUUAACGGAUGAAAUAAGCUCACUAUUUUAUUUGAGUUUAGAAUAAUAUAUAUGACCUCUCACGUCGUGAAUGUACCUCAUCUAGUACAAUACAUCGAUACAUAUCAUAUCAGUUCACAGUUCCAGAUAUAACUAAGACAGACAUCUAAGAUAAUAAGCAACUGGAAGAAAAUUCAUUUUCGAAUUAACAAAACCAACAAUGCAUUUUUUGCACUUCUUGACUAAAAUCACUUCCAAACUCAAUCACAUAACUAACAGUAAACUAACUAGAAUUCUUUAACUGUCACUCAGUGCUUAAAAACAAUUGUAAAGUCCAAACCUUUAAAUUUUCAGAGGAGAGAAAAUAAAUCAUACCCUUCACCUGAAUCCAUUCCUUUUGUAGCUCCAUAUUUUCCAGAAGCAACAUCCACCUGGAAAAAUAAGGUAAUACUUUCUAGAUGCUAACUAGACUAUACAGAAAGACAAGAAAUCGCACUUAAAUAAACUCAAAACUCACUACACUCUCAGGGUCUGCAAGCAUGACAAAUGUGACAUCACAAGAUGUUGCAACCUCCUCAGGGGAUGAUUUGUAUUUGCAGAAAAGAACCUCAAGUUACCUUGAAAUGAAAAUUAUCCAAAGAACCACAAGUUACCAUGAAAUGGAAAUUAUCCCCAAGUACAAGCAAUAACAACAGUCAAGAAAUUUUUUAAGUGAUCUCAUACAAGGCGAUACAAGCAUAGGCAUAGAUCUUUCUUUUUUCAAUUGUUAAGGAUUAGCAUAGAUUACCAUUGGCUACUUCAGUGUUGGGUAAUCUAAGUUUAAACACAUUUCCUGGAGGCCAACACAAACAAACUUAAGUUUGCAGCAUAACCAAAAUUGGCAUAUACUUACUUUGCACCCAGGGAUAUAAGGGGUUCACAUUUGCUCUUGGUCCUAUUCCAAACUGUCACAUCACAUCUGCAACAUGAGAACAAACACAAUAAAAUCAUUAGACAUUGAAAUUUAAUUAUUCCAAAAAAAGAGGUUUUAAAGUAUAAAAAUCAUGUCUCAUUGCUCCAACAAGAUCAAAUGUCAGAUGGCACAGCCUUGGUAUUAAUAAUGUGUACUUCUGAAAGAUCAACAGUUUAGGGUACUCAUAAUUUAGCUAGUUAAUAAAGAACGAUAACAAUGAUGAGUAUAAAGUUAACUACGCGCUGUCCAGUGAUUUAUGAAGUUCACAAAGCAAAACCUCAUUGAAAUCCAUCAAAUUAGUGUAUCAAAGUAAUAAUUGGAACAUACCCUGCUUUUAUGAGAUUUUGUGCCAUUGGAUUGCCCAUAAUUCCAAGACCUAGAAAGCCAAUACUUGCUGGAAGAGCAUCAGCUGCAGAAAACUAAAUUCCAUCAGACAAAAUAAACACCUAAUUUUUUGUCAGUAGUAAAUAGCAUCCGAAAGAACUAUAACUCGACACAAAAUGACACCAUAAAAGAGGAAAUAAAGUUUUUUUGUUAAUCAAUAAUUUCAUCCUAAUUUCAAUUUUCGCGUGAUGUCAUGCUGCCAUGAUACUUUCGUCUUGCUUUCAAGUGAAUGGAUCAAGACAAAUGCCUUGAAAAUUUUCUAUUACUACUAGCUGAUGGUGCCAAACUAUACAUUACAAUACUAUAAAAUUGUAAAAUAUUAAGGUUUUUCGUAAUAGACACCAGUAAUAGCAGGCGUUGACAACAUCUCUAAUAGUCAAACAAAAUCACUUCAUACAUUAGGCCGUCCCUAAUUGUAAAACAGAAACUGUCACGACCCGAGUCUACACCCUGGAUGUGGCCGGCACUCAAGAACCAUUGAUGGUCCCCAAGCGAACCCUCAUCCUGGCUGACUACAAGCGGAAAACUAACUCAAGCAUACAAAGCUUAAAAACUGAAUAAAAUUCAUGAAACUGAAUAAAAUUCAUGAAACUGAAAUACAAAGCUUUAACUCAAAUGAAAAACUCUGAAUAAAAUAGUAUAUUCAACUCGCCAUAAAAUAGGCAACUUAAGUCUUUAAAACAUUUUAAAAAAUAAAUGAAUAAUACAGACUUCUCAACUAUACUGACUAUCUAUGAAGCCUCUAGCUGAUAAAGAUGAAAGUCGGGACAAGACCCACGACAUCCUGACUAAACUAAAAAGUAAAUGAAAUCCUCCGGAAAAUAAGGAGACUCACCAUAGCUAACUCGAACUCUCGGAUGUAUCAAUGAAUCUCCUAUUGAUGAUCCUGAAUACCUGUGUCUGCAUCGUGAAAAGAUGCAAGCCAAAUGGCUUAGUACGUGGAAUGUACUAGCAUGUAAGGGGAAUUCUAAAGCAUAACAUAAGCUUGAAAGAAUCUGAAAGAAAUUGAAGAACUUACCUGGCUCAACUCAACUCAACAUAACUGAACUCAUUUCAUUAUAAAGCAGUUUAAAACAUGUGCAAUAUAAAGAAAAAAAUUGUUGAAAACAUGUUGUCAAUUCAUAAUCAUAAUAUCAUAAAAUGACAAAUCAUGCUCCCUCUCAAAGUCUAGUUGUGCAAUACAUGAAUGAAGUCACAUACCCCCAUUAACACUAAGCAGAACCCCUUGAGGAACCAUGCUACUUUAUGGGGGCUGUGUGUUGUUUGAACUCUCCCCCAUAUCGGUGCUCAAUACUACUCCCAAAAAUAUACUAGCUCUUAUGUUUUAAAAACAUACUUCUUUCUGCUGAUUUGAGAUAAUUGCUCAAAAACUUAGCUCAAAGGCUAUCUUGGAAAUCUCAGUUUCCCUGCUUGCUUCAUUUAGAAAGCUAUUUCUCUUUUCUGAAAACUAGCCCGAAGGCUCUUUGAAAAUCUCAGUUUCCGUUCUUAUUUAAAUGUGAAAACAUUUAAAAACUUCUUUGGGAAUACUUAGUUCCCUAAUAGCUUUUGAGAAAUGAACUCAACUCUUUACUCUUUGCUUAACUCAAAACUUAAGUCUUAAAACAAAGUUAAAACGUUUGUAAAAGACUUCUUAAAAUAUGGUUCAUAUCGAAUUAUGGACAUGAACUACUCAAUGCAAGGUUUUCAAUAACCAUAGAUAGAACUCACAUACUUGGAACUCAAGAACUUCAAUGAUACUACUCACUUCAAGAAUGCUCAACUCAGAGGAUUCAUGUAGGAUUUAUGAGCAUGAACUACUCAACUAAAGGACUCAAGGAUACUUCUUAUCUCAAGACUGUUCGACUUAUAAUGUUCAUGCGGAAUUAUGGGCGUGAACAACUCAACUCAUGGACUUCAUGGGAAAUAGGUAAUAGUCCCAUGAUUAGGAAUGUAAUCUCAAAUAGGUUAGAAACUCAAUACAAAAGACUUAGGAUCUGAAGAUAUUACUUCUCUCAUAGAUACUCAACUUAUGGAGUUCAUGCGGAAUUUAUGGGCAUGAACGACUUGAUUCGAAGGUCUACAAACUACAUGAACCCAUGUAUAUGAAACUUCUCAUUCUCUUACUUACUACCUCAAUACUUAGUUCAAAUCGAUGGUUGAUCUCAAAGGAAUCACAAUUGAACUCAAAGGCUUUCUUGAACUUUACUCUUAACUCUCUCUUGAAUAUGAAUUAUGAAUUCAAGAGUUUUGGUUCAUGAUAUGAAGGAUCUCAAUAACAAUAUAGCUAUUCGAUAAUUAGGAAUAGAACUUUUAAAAGAAACAUGAAUUCAAGAACUCAAAAUCAACUUAUCUCAAGAAUGCUCAAUUCUAGGGAAAGUAUCCUAGAUUACUCUUUUUCUGAUCUGAAAGUAGAUGUAGGGCGUGAGGACGAGCUAGUCCAACACUAUGAUAGCCUUACAUACCUAGAAGAAAAAGAUUCUUGAAGAAUCUAUAAGAAUCUUGAGGAAGAACUUGAUUAGAAGCCUUGAAACCCUAGCUUGAAGGUAAACAAUCAAGAAAACCUUUCUUGAAAUCUCUAUGGCCUAGAAUUAUGAUUUUCAUUAGUGAAGAUGAAAAUCUAAUUGUUUUGAACCUUUUAUUAGUCAAGAAAUUCGUUUAUGGUAUUCUUAGAGGUAAAAGGCAAAAACGACUCUUUUUAAUAUUUUCCCGUCGGCUAAUUCGUAACAGCACUGUAUAUGUUACUAAAAUAGUCAUAACUUUUUACUUAGAAAUUGGAUUGACGCAAAAUUGGUGGGGUUGGAAAGUACAUUCAAUUACCUUUAACUGGAUAGGUUAUGGAUCACGUAACUCUUAAUAUUCUAAGAGAUAUGGUCGUUUAAAGUUGACCCAAGCAAAAUCUUAAAUUAAAACUUAAUGAAACUUCAAGAACACUUAUCAAGAAUUCUAAUCUUUAAAUUUCAAGAUCGAAAUUACGCUGAAUAAAUCAUGAUUGGUGUGUGGGUGAAAGAACCCAACACUAUAGAAGCUUACAUACCACUUAGGGAUUAAACCCAUGGCGAAAAUCCGCAACAAGACACAAGAAUCUCGACGAACGUUUGAUCUUCUCCUCUUUUCUCCUCUUGAACUCUCAACUAAACCCCUACGCUAAUUUUAUGAUUAUAAAACUGAACCUAAUCAGAUUAGACCCCUAAAAUAUUACUAAAACGAAUUAAAUCUGUUUUGGUAAGGAAAAGACCAAAAUACCCCUCUAAAACCCGGAUUUGACUUUUCUUAACUGGACAACCUAACUUCAAAAGGCCAUAUCUCACUCAUCCGACCUCUAAACUUAGCAAACUUAGCGGCGUUGGAAAGAUAAAUCAAAGGUCUUUCCUACGGUAUCUGGUAGCACACUUAAUUCAUCCUGAGCUAGGAGUUAUGGUCGUUUGAAGUUGACCCAAAACUCAUACUUAAGCAUAACUUGCAAAAUUUCAGAUUUUGCUAUUUCCAAUUUAAUUCUUUUUGUAACUCAAGGUGCUACAUCUAGUGACCUUUAACACUCAAGAAAUUUUUAAUUCCUUGGUAAAAUCUCAGUCACUACGAAGAACGGCUCGAGUCUUAGUUCGAAAAAUUUUCUAGGGUGUUACAGAAACUCACAUCAGCUAAUUUUUUUUGAAGAUGAGAACAAAUUGAAGAGAUUCUAGAACAAACAUCAUUUGCAGGAUAUUAAAAUUCAAUAAGCUGUAGAGAAGAAACAUAAUAAGGACAUGCACUCAUCUUCUUCAAGUAUUUAAGCAAGAGCUUUGAUUUGCAAAAAAAUCUCACUCGAUUUUCAUCCAAACUAAAACAGUAAACAAAAAUUUACAGAUUAACCUCACAGAGCUUGAAAUUUCUAGAUUAACCUCAAUUUUUUGGUAGAUUGACAAGCAAAUCUUCCGAUCUGUAGUCCUUUACUUUGGAAAAAUUCACUUGGAGAGAAGCAUGAGGUCCGCUAGGAGAGUUUUGAGAUGAGCUUUGUAUAUAUGAGCUUGGGGAUCCGGAUGAGCUUGGAGCUUGGGGCUACACCGAUUCAGAUCGUUUCCACCAUUGUAUCUACAUGUGAGUUUUGGAGAGAAACUUUAGUGGGUUUGUGUAAAGUGAGUUAGAGAGAGGAAAAUGAGUCUUAGUGGGUCUUACAAUCACUUUCCAAUUCCUAAUUGAGUUUUUAAUUGGUCUAUUAUCCAAAAAAAUUACAAGUGUAAAAGAAUCCAAUCAUCUAAAAGAUAAUUGGUCUAAUAAUUCCUAAAUCCCCAAUUAUUUCCCAAGGUAAUAAAAUGUCUAGGCAAAUCCCAAAAAUAAUUUUUUAGACAAUCUGGAAUUUUCCUACAGAUUAAAAAUAAAUUUUUAAAAAAUAUUUUUGGUCCAUGUACCUAGGGAUUUAGCUAGAGAUAUUGUUCAUGCGGAUAUAUUUUCCUAGGUAAUUUUCAGGAACUAAUUUAGUGCAAAAUGGUACCAAUGUUAGUUGCGAAAUUUGUUGGGAAUAUAAUUUUCAUAGGUAAUAUAUUCUAAUAUUGAGGAAUUUAAAAUUUUCGCAAGAAAAUUUGCAAGUAUUACCUGCGACAAUUUCCCCCCAGAUAAUAUUCCUAUGUAAUUCACACUUUUCUAGUAGUGCUUGGAAAUCGACGGUAAUUUCUUUAUCGGCCAAUUUUAACAAAUAAUGGAUAUAAACUUAAACUAAAAUUUCCGUCUUUUAAAAUGAAGAGGCCUUCAAAAUCGACGAAGAAAUUUUUUCAUUGGCCAAUUUUACAAGAAUGAAUAACAUGCAACUAACAAACAAUAUAAUAUCCACUAAGUUCUGAAAUUUUCCAAUGAUGAUUAAAAUAAAAUAAAUAAAAAAUCAAUACUAAUAGAACAAUGUAAAUAAUAACAAUGAUAAUAACUUCACUUUUUAUUUAUAAUAACGAAAUUAAGAUAAUCAAAAUGACAUAAAAAUUAGUCGGGAAGAACCAAACUAGGAACACCAUAUGAACAAGAAUUAUUGGAGCAAAGAACUACCACCAUUGUUAUAACUAAAACAAGCACAAUCUGUGAAACCCACUCAAUAUAAUUAAAUCUAACUACCAAUGAAAUGUUAAUCACAUAAGGUAGUCUAUAAAUUUACCAAUUUAAAAUCUACAAACUUAAAUAAAAGACAGAGAAUGACACAAAAAGGGAAGAACGGUCAAAUAUUUAGAUCCCACCUAACAUCACAUUUCAUGUAAUCAAAAAUAUAACACCAAUCAUCUAUUCGUUAAUAAUCUAAGCAAUAUAUCACUUCACAGUUAGUAAUUAAAAUAGAAUUGAUAGAAAAUAAUCAAAACAUUAGCAAACAAAAGCAACAGCAAAAUAUGGUUAAAAACAAAUAUGAGAAGUGCAAAUAAUUGUUCAAAAUUAUAAUACAGACAGAAAAAAAACAAAGGAAAAUAAAAAGUCAAAAAAGGAUAGUGAUAUUACCCUCGCCGGAGAUAGAGUGCUUCGACCGGUUUCGGCCGUUUCUGGCCUGCAACUGCUUCUAAAUCACCGAACUCGUUGUUGGGUUGCUAUUGUUGAUGUGCGAGCUUCGAAGCUUGUUGUUCACCAGAGCUUAAAAGCUCACUGGUUCACUGGUGGUCUCCGCUGGUCGGAGUUUGAAACUGCUGGCUGCUUUGUGGUAUUGUCUUUCAUCGGAGUUUGAUGCUCUGAUUCGACUGGAUACCUGCAAAAAUGGAGGAAAAGUCGUGAAAGGGGGAGAGGAAAGGGGUUGAUUUCCUUUUUAUGUUGCUCUGGUUCAUCGGAGCUUUGAGGUCCUCGCCGGAGCUGCUUGUUGGAAAAAGGGAAAGAAACAAAGGGGUUUUGGGGUGGUGUGGUGGUUUAAUUCGCUGUUGUUUGGAGGUUUUGGUUGCUGUUGGUUUUGAUGUGGUGGUGCAGUAGAUUCGCUGGUGGGUUUUGAGCUCGAGUGGUGGUGCGAACUAGCCAGGGAUGAGGGUUUUUUGGGUGGUGGUUUUGUUUGGUCGUCUGUCUCGUUUUGCCGGAAAAUGUGGGCUAGUGGUGUCAAAGAAAGGGGGAAGAAGAAGGGCCAGCUGGUUGUUGCCUUGUGGUUGUCAAAUUCCGAUUAAAAAAAAUCGUUUGAGGGUGGUGGCGGUUUAGAGAAUGUGUCAGUAAAGAAUUCUUAGGGAUUUUACCCUAUCAAAUUGAAAAAUUAUUUCCACCCCUCUUAUUUUUUAGGGCAAAUUACAAAAAUCAGUUACCUUUAAGGCAAAAUUACAAUCUAUCUUUUAAAAGUUUAUAAUUACAAAAAUCUUUUAAAUGGAUACAAUAAUAUAAGCGUUGAUACAUUAAUAUGAUGCGCGGGAUAAGUAAGAUACAUUACAUUUUAUACAUGAUACACUAAUCUGAUGUACAUUUUACACAUGAUAUACUAAUCUGAUGCGCGAGAUGCAAUAAUAUAAGCGUUGAUACAUUAAUAUGAUGCGCGGGAUAAGUAAGAUACAUUACAUUUUAUACAUGAUACACUAAUCUGAUGUACAUUUUACACAUGAUAUACUAAUCUGAUGCGCGAGAUGCAAUAAUAUAAGCGUUGAUACAUUAAUCUGAUACGCGAGAUACACUAAUCUGAUGCGCGAUAAUCAAAAUUUAUAUAGGAAAUAAUUUUAUAAUGGGCUCAAAUUGUGGGCUUGAUAUUAUGACCCAAAAUUGUUGGUUAAAUAAAAUAUCUGUAUUUAAAUGAAUUUCUAGACUGUGCAAAAUAUCAAAAUGAAUAUUAACAAAUGUAACAAAUAAAAUGAAUAUUAAAAAAAAUAUAAUGAACUUAACUAAUGACAUGUAAAAAUGCAAUUUUAAAAUUAACUGAAUAAAAAAAUCCUAAAUUUUGAUAAAUAAGGAUAGUUAUCGAUAAACUUUUUAAAAUUAUAAAAAAAUAUUUUGAACUAUUAAAUAAAUAAAACUUAAAAGUUACGAAUUUUGAAAAUGUUAGGCCAAAUUAAAAUUGGGUGUCAACAUCCAUAAUUCGGCAUGAACCCUAUUUUAAGAAGUCUUUUUACAAAUUGACUUGAGCACUGAAUUGAGAAAGAGUAGAGUUGAGUUCAUUUUCUUUAAAAUGAUCUAUGAGAACUAAGUAUUCCCAAGAGUAAAUGUUUUUAUAUUGAAGAUGAGUGGAAAUUGAGAUUUCCAAAAGAGUUUUGAGCAGUUUGAGUACUAUCUCUUUUAAGAAAAAGAUGAGUUUUGAGAAAGAGUUUUCUAAAACAUGAUUAGAAUCAGGGCCGUCUUAACUAAUAGGCCACUAAAACCAUCGCUUGGGGCCCCCAUUUUUAAAAAAAAAUACUUAUACAUAUUAUUAAAAAAAUUACAUUAAUUUUUUGAAAAAAAAAAAAUGUUGUAAGAGGUUUUUAUAGUUUUUUCUUGAAAAAUUGUUAUUUUUGAUAUUCUUAGUUCAUAAGUAUAUGUAAAUUGUUUUAAUUUUUAUAAAGAAUUUAUUCAGUUUUAAUAUGUCAAACUAGAAAACAUGAUUCCGAUUUUGAAAAAAAGAGAAAAAACUUGAAGAAUUAGAUAAAUCUUAAAAAAGAGCUCUUGAUAGAUUUUUAACAAAUAAUAAAAUUUUUGAAUAAAAAAUAUUGGAGGAUGUUCUUCAAAUGAUCAAGUAACUCAAUUAUAUAAUUGAGUUAGAUGAUAAUAAUAUCCAAGAAGAAAAUCUAGAAGAAGUUGGUGAAAAAUGUGAUAUUGUUCCCGAUAUCAAGAACUCUUAAAUAAUUUUAAAUAGUUGCAUCCCUAAAAAUAUAUAUGAUCCAAGUCAAUGGAAUAAUGUAGUUACAAAAUUAAGAGAUCUAUUAGUAGAAAAGGGAUCAUUUAGAGUGACUGAUAUAAAUUUCCACAAGAUAAAUGCGUACGACAUUUUUCUACAACACAUUAUAUUCAAAAAUUUGUAAACGGAGAAAAGCAUGAAAGAAAAUGAUUAAUCUACUCUACAGAUUUGGAUAAAAAUAUUUGUUUUUGUUGUAAAUUAUUUAGCACAACUGCUAUUAUUUGUAAUAAUAAACUAGCUAGUGAAGGUAGUAAUGAGUGGAGAAAUCUUAGUGUUAAGCUCAAAGUCCAUGAAGUAAAGAAUGAACAUAUUAUUAAUAAUAUGAGGUUCUGUAUUGAUUUAGAAAUGAGAUUGCAUUAAAAAACAAUUGAUAAAGCUGUGCAAGAACAAAUUGACAGAGAUAAAAUGUAAUGAAAAAAUGUAUUGUACAAGAAUUAAUUGACGUGAUCAAAACUCUAGGGAAAAAUAUUUAGCAAUUUAGGGGAACAAAAUGGAAAGAUCUAUCAAGAAAAGUAACGGUAAUUUUUAAAGCCUAAUUGAAAUGAUUAAUAAAUUUGAUUAUGCUAUGCAAGUACAUAUUCGAAGAAUAAGCAUGACGAUAUUCAUAGUCAUUACCUUGGACAUACUAUACAAAGUGAAUUAUUAAACUUAUUGGCAAGUGAAGUCAAGAAUAAUAUUAUUAAAGAGAUUAAAGAAACAAAAUACUUCUCAAAAUAUUAGGGCCUCUCUUUAAGAUUUGGCUUUAGGCCCUCGAUCUUGUUGAGUCAGCCCUGAUUAGUAUGACUAUCAAGUAUGUCAUCAAUGUUUAAGCAGUAUGGUAUUUUUUUUUUUUAAUUACACCCAAACCAAGUGGGAGUUAUUUAUUCCAUCAAAAGAGUGCAUAUAGGCAAACCCAGGUACAAGAAGGCCUUUUGGCAGCCAACAGAAAAGGCCUCAGCUUACAAAAAAAAUUGAUUUGUCAUACCUAAUUCUAAUACUAGGCAUUUGCAUUUUGUCUAAUUGAUAUGAGCCCACUUCUAGCUUAAGGAUAUCCCUCCAAUCGUGAUACAUAUGAGCUUCAUUAGAAAGAACAACAUGUUUAGCUAAUGCAUCUGUAACUUGAUUAGCUUCCCUAUAACAAUGAUUUACUUCACAAUUCAUCUUAGCAACAACUUGUAUGAUGUCUUCCACAACACCUUUGAUUUUCAAGUUGGUGGCUUGUCCAUUCCUUACCAUAUCAACCACCAUUUUUUAGUCGAAUUCAAGAUAACAAUUGUGAAAUCCUUGUUGCAAACACCAUAGGAUUCCGAAUCUAGCCGCCAAAGCUUCUGCAAGAUUGUUACUAGAGCAUGAAGAAGGAAUGGAGAAGGCCAUAAUCAUCCUUCAUGUAUGAUCUCUAACGAUCCCUCUUAAACCUGCAUUGCCAGAAGAGAAACUUUCAUCAGUAUUUAUUUUAACACAAUUAAUAUUGGGUGUGUUCCAGUGGACAGUCUUCCACUUCAGAUAUGGUUUUAAGCUUUCCACCUUGUUUAGAAGAUCUCUCCAAAAAUUAACAAUCUCAAAAGAGGGAAAAGUCAUUCUCAAAGACAUUUUCAAAUUCCACCAUACAUGAUUUUCCAUGGUUCUAUACCACAUCUUCUUUUGAUCCCCAUAUUUACUAGCACAUCUAUGUUUCCAGAUUUCCCAGAAAAUCAAGAUAGGUAGAGUAUGGAUAAUCACAUUAUGUAUGGAAUCAUGAGUAUGUACAUUCCACCAAGUCUAUAGAAGAUUAAUAGUAGAUGAGGCCCUCGUAUCAAUGGCCAAAGGACAGAGGCGUAUCCAGGAUUUCGGCUAGAUGGGUGCACGAUUACGAAAAAAUAUUUUUUAAAGAUAAAUUUGAUUAAUUUGACUUUUAGUUCGUAUAUGAACCAUUAAAUUUUAAAAAUUAUAGGUUCAAAAUGUAUAAUACUACUAGUUUUAAAUUUUAACAUACACAUUUGAUUUAAUUAUAUAAAAAAAUUACAAUGUUAAAUUUUUUAGGAAUUUUCAAUAUAACACAUUUGAAAAUUUUGAAAGAUUAAAGGAAAAAUAAAAGCAAAAUUAGCUGAAACGUCAAAAGUGUAACCGAUAACCACUUGGAAAGGUGUUACUCAUAGAGACAAGAUAUAUAUAAGAUUUAAAAUUAUAUCCUCACUUAGAAAGGUGCACCCAAUCAUCAUCGCAUUAUUAUAUGAUAUACUUUGAACAUGGGUUCACACAUCUAUAUUUAAAUAUUUUUUAAAAAAUAUAACACUACUAUACAUGAUCUAGAGAGGGGAGCAUGGGUUCACGUGAACCCACAGCACCCCCUCUAGAAACGCCUCUGCCAAAGGGCCUCCAAUUUUUUUCCAUAAGUAGCUAGCAACAUCACUAUCCAAGAAUACAUGAUUAAUGGUCUCAGUUUUCAUAUUCUUACAACAAACACAAUGAUCAUAUUAUUGUAUCUAGAUAUACCAUCAAUGUUUAUGCAAUAUGACUUUUCGAGUCAUCAAUGAUCAUAUUAAAAUUAAAUAUGAUUUUGAUAUGUUUUUGAGAAAGAGUUUUCAAGAGUAGUACCUCUUUUAAGAGGGUAGUUUGAGCAAUUAUCUAAAAUCAGAGAAAGAGUUAUGUUUUUAAACAUAUGAGUUAAGUAUAUUUUGGGAGUAGUAUUGAGCACCGAUAUGGGAACGCGAGUUCAUAAUAACUCAAGUCUCCAUAAACCAUGUAGCCAUCAUGGGUAGAAAUGGUCAUACUUUUAGAUGACACCUAAGUGCUUUUUAGCAUAGAAUAGUGGAUCCACUUAGUUAAGGCGUUCUAUAUGACGGCAAAGUAUAUGAUAGUUUUGGCAGCGUGGGCAAGACAUCUAUCAUCACUUAGGCUCAUAGUGGUGGUUGUCGGUUUGAGAAACUCCCACAAAGUUAUAUUGUAUUUUUAUCUACACACUGAGUAUUAUUGUAUUUUUCAAUACAUUGAGUUGUUAUCUACAGUUUUACAACUUUUCAUAUAUUGCAUCUUUUAUUGUUGCUUUAUUCUUGAGUAUCUUGAGUUGAACUGUGCUUCAUCGAAUCGAGUACCUUAUUGUUGAGUUGAGCCUUAUUUCACUGAGUUGAAUAUUUUAUCCUUUGAGUUGAGUAUCAUAUUCUUGAGUUGAUUCGAGUAAGUGAGUUGAGAAGAGGUAAGUAUGUUUCAUUUUAUUAAGUUCAAGCUUGUGUUUAUGCUUUAGAAUUCCUCUUACAUGCUCGUACAUUCCACGUACUAAGCCAUUUGGCCUGCAUCCUUUCAUGAUGCAGACACAUGUAUAUUCAGGGUCAUCAACAGGAGUUUAGUUGAUACCACAUGGAGUUCAAGUUAGCUAUGGUGAGCCUUCUUGCUUUCGGAGGAUUUCAUUUACUUAUCAGUUGUUAGGAUGUCGUGGGUCUUGUCCUGACUUCCAUCUUUGUCAUUUAGAUGCUUCAUAGAUAGACAAUAAAGUUUCACAAGUCUGUUCAUUUAUUUUGUUAAACGUUUUAAAGACUGACGUUGCUUAUUUUGGGGCGAGUUGAAUAUAUUAUAUUAUUCAGAGUUUUGUUUUGAUUUAAAGCUUUGUAUUUAAGUUUCAUGAAUUUUUAUUCAGUUUUUAAGCUUUUGCAUGCUUAACGUCUUCCGCUUGUAGUCAACCAAGGAUGAGGGUUCGCUUGGGGACCAACAAUGGUUCUUGAGUGCCGGUCACGUCCAGAGUGUAGGCUUGGAUCGUGACACCAAAACCGAACUAAAAUAAAUUUGGUUCAGUUCAAUUCAAUUUUUCGAUUUGAAUAUAAUCGGGCCCUUUUCUUAUCAUCAUUCAUUAGUUAACUUUUCUAAUACUAGGCAUUUGCAUUUGGUCUAAUUGAUAUGAGCCGACUGUUAGCUUAGGAAUAUCCCUCCAGUCAUGAUACAUAUGAGCUUCAUUAGAAAUAACGUGUUUAGCUAAUGCAUCUGCAAUUUGAUUUACUUCUCUAUGACAAUGAUUUACUUCAAAAUUCAUCUUCGCAACAACUUGUAAGAUGUCUUCCACAACACCUUUGAUCUUCAAUUGACGCUUGUCCAUUCCUUACCAUAUCAACCACCAUUUUUUAGUCUAAUUCAAGAUAGCAAUCGUGAAAUCCUUGUUGUGGAUGAUGAUAUCUAAAUAUAGAUACCCUUAAUUACAUCAAGCACGUUGCCAUAAAAUAAACAUAAAGUAAGUAUUGUACACCAAAUAAAAAUAUAUUCAGCGCAAGUAGAAUCCAAAAUGGCUUAUUUUGGCUUGACACGGAGUUUAAAAAAAUAUUUGAAUCAUGUGAUCUAAAAAAAAGAUAUGUCGAAUCAUGAAUGUAUCAAAAUGACCUUUUAAUUUUGUGGUCUUAAAAUGUCAUGUAGAAAGUUGAAAUUAAAGAAUUGCUAAAAAGGAAAAAGGUCAUGUUUAUUUUAAAUGAAUUAAAAAAGAAAAUAGCUCAAAUAAAUUGAAACAUAGAGAAUAUAAAAUUUUGACGGAUUGUUGUAAUUUGUUGUGUAAAAAUUUAACCAAUACGUUUUUUUUUUUCCAAGUUGGUCCAAAUCAACUUCGAAUUGCUCCAAAAUUUGAUAUGCAACCUUCUCAUAUAAAUCACAACAACUCUUCAAUUAUUAGAUUCAAUCUAAAUCUUCAAAAAUACAUAAAUGUCUUCAAUAUUCAACAAAACAAAUUGUUAGAGUUAUCUUAUCAAUAAUAUAAUUCAUUACUAUUUAGUAUCUAAACUCUUAGCUCGUCUCAUCCCAAUAUUACUUUGGGCAGAUCAUUUUCCUACUCGAUCAUCUAAACUCCUAGGUUUUUUUCCCUUAUAUAUAUGAUGAUGCGAUCUCCUUUUGUAUUACUAUUAAUUUUGUAACAAGUAACUAUAUCGAGACGAUUGGUUAACAACAAAAACAAAAGUAACCCAAACUUAAAAAGAAACCACAAACUGAAGAAAUUUAUGUAUUUUUGAAUGAAGAAGGUAAGGUAAGGUAAUAGGCUAAUUGCUAGCUUGUUUAUUUAUUGAUAAGCAUACAUUAAUUUACAUGGAGCGAUAGAAGGAUAUAUCCACUUUAUUUAGAAAGCUGCAAGCUAGCCAGCUAAUUAGCAUUCUACGCCUUGAUGAACACAAAUGGAAUAAAGUCCUUAUCGUCAUCGACAGUCGCCAGACGAGGAUAUCCAUUUUUAAAGUUGCCGCCGAUAUUUUUGCACUGAAGAUGAGAGGGACAAUGCAGUAACUUGUAUACAUUUUUGGAACUUCCUGGUGUCACCAAGUCAAUUUUCCUAAUCUUGAAGAUGUCGUUUUCAUUUCCUACCUUACCACCAGUUACCACCAACUGUUCAUCAUCAACUUUCCAAACAGUUUGGUCAACACACAACUUUGUUGUUUUAACAAAGAACUUGAUAUAAACAGCAGUCAUUUGACGCACCACAUCACCAUAAUCCGACUCCGACUUACGAACGAAUACGACGGGCGUGCCUUUUCCCAAAAAUUGGGGAAUUGACAUGUGCUGCAACACGGCGUUUGGGCAUUGAAGGUUUCCAAUAUUGUACAAGUAUACGGCUCCGGCCCCGAUGAGAGGAUUGUUAAUAAUGUACCUCUCGCCAAUCCUCAGCGGAUCGCCGUCUUGGUCAUAAACUUCAGGGAGUACAAGAUUAUCAUCAUCAUGACUAGUUGUGGGGAGGACAAUUGGAUUCUCAGAAGUGAAAGAUCGAGCAAAGGCAACCAAAGAGAGGGUACUUGAAAGCAAGAGGAAACUCAAAAUAUUAAUCGACUUC
rnacentral:lncRNA from 1 species